AUUUUAUGAAAAUUGAUUAUCUCAUUGGAAUUACAUAGAUAUUGGAAAACAUUACUCCAGCCCCACCAUCCCAACCAUUUACUUAGUUCAUCAGUAAAAGCUGGAUUUUCCAUUUGUUCUUGAGAUUCAAAUUAAGGCAACAAGUUGCUCAUUCUACAUUAUCUAUGUAAUCCUGUAAAAGUGAAGGGCGUUUAGAUGUGGAAAAACCUUAUUCCUGCCGCAACACCUCAAACAGAUUGUGACCAGACAAGACUUAGUUCAUCAUUAGCAGUCUUUGAAGCUUCCAUUUGUUCUAGAGAUUCAAAGGCAGCAAGCUGCUUCCUCAGUGCUACUAAUUCUUCCCCGGCAUUGCAUAUGUAGCCUGAGGCUUGUCUGCCAGACAAAGUUGCUCCUUCCAUUCUAUCUAUGUAAUCCUGUGAGAGUGAAACCAUUUAGAAGACAUAUCUCUUUUUUUUUUUCAAUAUUUGGAAUGAAACAAUUAUAUACAGUUACCUGUUUUGUAUAUGAGCUGGCGAGGAAGAAGUUCUUCACUGAUAUCUUUUGAUCAGGUCUGAAGGGGUCUUUACCAGGUCCCUCACCUCACAAAGAUUGCCGGAUUUUGACGACAGAUAACCAAAUAACUUCUAAACCUUGGGAUGAUGGAAAUAGAGCUAAAACCUAAUAAAAGGAACCGUGAAUGGAUAGUAUGGAUUCAUGUAUAUUAUCCAGAAAGUUGCAUGACCUUUUGUGGUACUCAGGUCAUUAAAAAACGUGAGAUAAACAUCUAGGAUAAGAAAAGCAAAAAAGCGUAACCUAAUACGUAUUAUAUGAAUUGAAGGUGUCACUGAACACUACUAACCUGCUUUGCCACUCUCCUUAUGAUUUCAUCAUUUGGUAAGGGCAUAUAAGGAUCUCCAGGCGUCAAAACGCAUCUGAAAGAUAAUAUGGUUAUAGGAAGCAAGAUGGAAUACAAAGACACUUGGCAAAAGGAAGUCAAUCAGAUUCCAUGCACAUUAAUAGAUGCGUAAAAAAAUAAUAAGAGCCAUAUGUGAAACAAUUUACCUUAGACAUGGCAAGUCCUUUGACAAAUGUUUCCCCGUUAGCAGAAUUAUCAUAAUGCAUCUCUCUGCAUCCCCACCUAAGAUGGAACCAGUUCUCACAAGAACAGACUCCAAGGUUGGGAAAAUCAAUUGAUCAUCGGAGAAAACAAACAGGAUUAACAAAUCACUACAAUGGUGUGAACCCGUAAAUACAAACGUACCUGCCCCAUUUAUCUGUGAUAUAUUUUCUUAUUGGCCCACUCAAAUAAACAUCCGGAGAACCCUUGAGCAUCUGCAAUAGGGAAGCCUCGGUCUUAGUCGCAAACAGUGCAAAUAUAGUAUGCAUACAACGAGCAAUGAUGUUUUCAAAAUCAAUAAACCCAAGGGCAAACGCAACAGGAUCUUACAUUCUUUGGAUACUCAUCCAUGUACCACCCUUGGACAAAAAGCAAUCAGAGAAGCUUAUCUGUAAGAAGAAAUGAAGUUUGAGGUAAAAUAAAAAUUUGUAGGAACAGGGAUUGAAAUUCAACAAACAAGAAAAUAUGUUGUUUGUUGAAAUUCAACAAACAACAAACAAGGCUCCAUCAGGAUCAAGAAGUGCCUUUACAACAGGACUCAGCGCAAGAGCAAUAGCAUUUCUUGAUUUAUCAUAAGUCUGCACUUGAGCAAUAUACGAGGCAAAGUACAUCAAAAGAGAAUCCAAAAGAGGCAAGAAGCUUCAACAUGAAAAAAGGAGUACUGCCUCGUCAUACUGCUUUGCAAUCACAGUGCAAAAGAUAACAUCAACAAAAUCAAAAUCGAGCAUAAAUCCGUAUGCACUACCUUAAGCUGAUUUGUAGACAAAAAUGCACGAAUCCCAUGUAAUGGAGCUCCAAUCGGAAACCGGAAAUCAAGUUCUGGAGUUGAAAAUCAAAAUCAUGAAUCAAAUCAGAGUUAUUAUUGAAUUAGACAAUCCAUAAACCAAUAGAAGGUGAUGUCAAACCAUCAAGCAUAACUAUUAGUUGUUUUAAGUGAUCAAGAAAUAACUGUACCACCAAUUUCACCACCCUUAUUUACAAAUUUAUGAGUAUGAUCCUUCAUGAGUAAAUUUUCGUCCGCACCGACCUGUCGACAUCCAUGAAAAACUAUCAGAUCAUAAACACAUGUUCCAGUUAAAGAGGAUCUAUGAUUCUGAUCCAUCAUGUUAUUUGAACAACAUUUUCGGAUUUUCUUACAACCCUAAGCUAUUAUCAGUUAUCAUCGCUACAAAUGAUAUGGUCAAGAGGAAUGAUAGUUCUUGUUUCAAGAAUCUCAAAUCGUAAUUCUUUUGCAUGGCUUCUGUGCUUUUAUAAUCAUUCAAACACGCAUAUCCACAACUAAGCAAGCUUUACCUUUUUUGUCAAUCGGAACAGAUUAUUGCAGCAUCCAAAGAAAACGUGCAGGCUGAUUUCAAUAUGGUUUCCAUGUUUACCGACAAAUGAAGCCACUUUACCACCAAUAAAAGACCUCAACUCAUAUAUAUCCACCUGGAAGAAAGGAAAAUUUAAAAAAAAGGAACUUCUAAUUUCUUUCACCAUCAACAAAAUCAGAAAAACACAUACUAAUUCAAAAUGAAAUAAAGUUUGUGAAUUGAAAUAAUGCCAACUCCUAAGAAAAAUUAUGACUGCUGAUAUUUUUUCCGAAAUGCUGAUAAAAGCUUCUGCUAUUUACUUUGAAAAAAUUGAGGUUAGAAGCCUAUUUACUUGAAAUUUUGAGUUUAGGCAAGAGGAUGAAUGGUAAAAGUGAAACAUUUUAGGGAAAAAUGUACGUCAGUGGCCAAUGAAAGCAUUAAGAAGAUUGAAAUCUAAAUGAGCAAAACCUCAUGGCCUUGAUCCAACAAUUCCACUGCUGUUGACAUGCCUGCAAGCCCAGCUCCAAUAAUAGCCACUUUCAGCUUUGGUCCUCUAUAAUGUUCCGGUUCUGGUGGAAACAAUUAAACAAACCCUUGGGAGCUGCCAAGUAUACCAUCCAAUUAUCCACAGCGAUAAUGGAAAUAUAUAUGUGUUUGAAAGUACUAAAUUCCUAAACAUGACAUGUAUCCAAAAAGUGACGCAAAGCAGAAUUGCGGAAGCAUUUCAAUUCCCAAUAAAUUUCAAGAAUACAAAAUACUCGGUCUGUUCUUUCAAUUCCUUCAAUAAAAUUUCCACUAGAGGCUACGCAAGCCACUCAAUAACACUCCAAAGCCAGAUUUUAAACGUUAUCUUUAUCUUUAACUCCAAUCCAUAAACAAUUCUGCCACAAAUUCAAUCCAAAAUUGUUCAAGUGCACCGCCAAUUCUCCAUCAAUUCCCUCAAAAAUUCAUAAUUGGCAAACACUACAAACCCAAAAGAGCUUCCAGCAAUAAACGCAUAAAAAUCCACCAACCAACAUAAAACAAAAUACCCAGAAACCAGAAAAGCCAAAAGAUCAAUGCUUGGCAAACAAGCAAAUCAAAUAAAACAAAAAGAAGUGGAAUUUACCCUUAACGCUCAUAUCAGAAACAUUAGUGUCCAAAGAAGCCCGUACACGGAAUCUUGGACCCUUCACUUGAACCCGAGACCAUCUAACGCCAGUAACUGAAGUUGCAGGAAACAGAACUGAAGAACCCAUAUUGCAAAUCCUGAGCUGAAAUCAAAGAAAUUCAAUUGGAACUCAAUUCAGCUCAACCGAGCGGAGCUCUCUUUUGCUUCAAUAACAAAGUGUUUUUCUUUCAUAUCAACAAAGAUUUGUCAACAUCAACAAAAUUUAACUAAGAAACUAAAAUAAUGCGGUGUCUUUGAGUUUAAGAAUCUAACAAGAUGCUAAGGAAGAGAGUUUUGUCAGGGAACUGUUUCGGUGUGGUUGGCCAAGUGCUUCUUUGUUUGUUUUUUUUUUUUUUCUUUUUUUGCCCUUUUCAUUAAUACACAACAGUAGUACUCGUGAAGAGCACAAAAUGUUGGUGACUUUGUCACUACUCACUAACGAUACCAAAGUGGCGUGACCAGAGCAACCAACUAAAUUUUAAAGAGAGGGAAUGAUAAGUAAUAUUUUCUUUGGGUGAUUAAUUAAUUUAUUAUCAAAUAAUUUUAUUUAUUUAUUUAAACGACAUCCUUAUCUUUGUACAAGGCUGCUGAAAGAUGACGAUGUUGUGUUGUCACAUAUUUUUGGGCCGACCGUUUCUUGUUUCGGCUUAAAUGAGGCUUUUGUAAUUUUGUACUAAAAAGUGGCUUACCAUGCAGCAAUAUGAAUUUUAAGCUCUCUUUUCUUAUGUCCACCCAAGGCAUUGGCUGGAUGGCCAAACAGCAGAGUUCAAGUCUACAAUAGAGAAUCGAAAUUUUCCUUUGUAAAUGUUCGUAAGUAUUUACCACAGAUUUUUAAGUUAUUCUUGAUAGAUCCCCUACCACAUACGCUAUAAUAUUUCUCUCCUUUUAAUUUAAAAGUAAAUCAUGCAUAAUAACGGGUUUGUAAAGAAAUGAAAUUUCUGGUAAUUAACUGACAAAAUAAAAAAAAGAUGGAUUAAGCGAAAGAAGUUAUUAUAGAGUAAGUCGAGUACUUGACAAUCAAAGUAAUUUACUCGAGGUUGAGUAAGGAUAGUACGAUACUUUCUCAAGUUUUCUGAGGACAUUCAUGUGACAUUGGACUAUUGACUAUAGUUAGAGAGCAGUCCAAGGAUGUAAGUGAUGAUGAUAGAUUCACAAUUCUUUUGAAGAAAAUAUUUUAUAUAAACUUAAUUAUAUGGUAUAAAAUGAUUGGCCUUAAUAAAAUUAAAAAAUAAUACACGCCUGGGUCAUGCAAUAUUUUCAACCAACUAAUUUAUACGCAAAAUUAAACUUUAUGAGUACAUUUAAAAAAUAAUAAAAAUAAUACACCCCUGGGUCAUGCAAUAUUUUCAUGAAACAAUGUGCACAAAAUGCCUGUGAUAAUGAAACAAUGUGCCAUCCUUAAACUAAUAUUAUUAGAAACUAUAAGUGAAAGUUUUCAGAAAACACGCACGUGAUAAGUUUUUCUCGGAAUUUGUUUUCUCCUUUGUUUUGAUUUACGCGAGAGAUAGUUGUAAAGAUUGUUUUGAUAAGUUUUCGGAAAACAUGUGACGAAUCGUAGUAAAAAAUUUAUAUAUAAUAAUUGAAUGAGAUCCAUGGUUCACAAUUGCAAAUUAAAGGUUGGUUUUAUAAUAAAAAUCGUUUUGUACAUACCAAAUUAGAAAAGAUAAUAAGUAAAUUAAGAUUUUCAAAAUUUGACUAGUAUUAGAUUACGUACAUCAAUAUAAUAUAAAUUUCUUAUAUAUAUAUUUUACUCUGUAACCAAUGCUUUCAAAAACUUUGUACUUGUAUGUUUGAACAACUUUUUUCGCUUUCUAUUUAUAUACGAUCUCAUUUAUGUUUAUAUAAAUUUUCAUAUGUACCCAAAUUAAGCAUUAAAUAAACACACUUUGGUAAGACACAUUAAUUUCUAGUAUCAGACAAUGAUAUUAUAUUGAAUGUAAUGCUUCAAUGAAUUUUAUUACUAUAUACUAAAAUACUCAACGAUCUUCAUUAAAAUUAAAAAAAAAAAAGAAAUUGCAUGAUUAGAAUGAUUAAAGUUCAUUUAAUGACAAGUUUCAUCAUUGACUGUGUCGAAACACAACAGCAAUCCACAAUACACUUAACACGAGAGGCGCACACAAGCAUGAAUGAAUCUUCCACCAUUAAACCUGAAAUCAUAAAAUGAAAGAAACAAGGUGAGUGUUGUUUUACGGUCUGAAAGCCGAUUCGAAAUAAUAAUAAUAAUAGACCUCUGUUAAUAGUUACUACUAGUGGUCACUGCCUUGUCCAUCUUCCUUCUCUGUAUCAUCGUCCUCUUCCAAGCCGCUGUCAUCUGACCAAACCCCAGCAACCAUGGGAAAAAUCACCUACUUGUUUUAGGAGCAGGAGCAGGAGCAGGAGGAGGAAAUUAAGUUAGGGAUUUGGAGUGAUAGGGAAAAAGCUGAUUGUUGAGAAAUAUGUAUACCUUUUGUAUGGUUGUGUUAAGGUCGCCCUUCCAAGCCCAACGUGCUUCACUCCGCCGCUGCACUUCGUGUAAUUUGGGUGUACUUAAAUUUCCUUCAGAGAAAAUCUUCAUAUCGGGGCAAUCAUCCACCACUAAUCUUUCCAAAGAUGGGAACUUGAAAGCACAAUUGCCAGAGCAGAAGCUUGUCAAACUUUUUAAGUCUAAAAGCUUCAACUCCUUCAAUUCUUUGAAAGUAAUAACCUCAUCUUUUGCCACAACAUCAUCCACCAGUACUAUUUCUGUUAUCAUAACGCAUGAUUUUAUCUUCAUAUAUCUAAGUCGCACCAGAGACUUUGCAAUUGAGGAUGUUAAUACGAUUUUCAAUCUUUCGCAACUGAAUACCACCAGAUUUGUAAGAUUCUGAAAGGAUGUCGACGAUGGCACUAGAUUGACCAAACGGUCACACCCCUUUACACGUAGAAUAACCAAGUUGUUCGUAACAGAGGACUCCCUUAUCAAAAUGUUCUCCAGAUGAUAACAAUUAUUUGCUUCACUUAUUUCUACUGCCAUGCCAUUUUCAACCUUCUCUUUCGGCGACCGGCCACCAUAUCCUUGUAUUUGGAGGACUUUCAUUGUGUGAAGUCUCUGGAGGAAGUCAUCAAGUGAUACAAUAGUCGGCUCAUCAACCAACUCCACAAAAAGAUAUUUUAGUUUGCAAAGCAAGUCUUCAAAAAAUAGAUAUUUAUUUGUUCCUAUGUACUUUGCAUCAACUUUCAACUCUUCCAAAUUAGGGAAUACCUGGGAGAUCGAUCAGAACCAAAAAAAAAAAAAAAAUACAAGAUGAAUCAGUUGAUGAGAAUUAUAAGUUACCACUAAUUUAUACAAUAUAUUUUAUUCAAUAAAUCAAUAAAUACAAGAUAAACUUUCACAGUACAUACAUAAGAAUUGAAAAUUUGAUUAUAAAAUUCUUGUACGUACCCUUUCUGUCGAGAUAUUAGUAGUUUUUUCGUAUCUCACCAUGAAUUCAGGACAUGCAGAUAUCCAUAAUUCUUCCAAGGAUGGAAAUUCAAGAAUAUCAAUAUCUCCAGUGCAGAAGCUUGUGAACUUUUCAAGAUCAGACAUCCUCAGAGAUUGCAACUGGGGAAACGUUACAAUAUUAUUCUUCAUUUCUUCUUGGUUGUCCACGACUAUUAACUCUUCCAGGACAGGACAUUUGACUAUCAUAACGUGUUGGAGUCGAACAAAGCUACUAACUGUAGAAGAUGAAAAUAGACAUCUUAAAUUCAUACAGCUGUACAGGGUCAAGCGCGUUAAAUUCUGAAUACCACAAGACAUGACUGCAACUUGGUUCAGCCAAAUCCUCUCAACAUUUAUUGAAUACAACAUCAACUCCUCCAAAUUUGGUAAUGCAACCUGCACGAUCAAAAAAUUAACUUGUUAAUUACAAGCAACAAUGAUUUCUGUUGAUGGACAAAUCAAUAAAAUUACUCUUUCUCUGGUUAUAGUUCUUUUCAGUUUUUCAUACAAACAACCGUUAAUCAAGUUUACCAAAUUAUUCCUUACUAAAUUUUGGUUGAUUCGCAAUAGGACCUACUAUCCAGCGCGAGCAGUUCUCGGGGAUUUAACUACUGGCACCUCGAUUAUAUAAAAAUUUAGACGGCGGCUAAUAUAAUUUAUAUGUAUUCUAAUGACGUAUAUUAAAGAAAAUGAUUAACCAUAAUUUCAAUCAACUUAUUAGUCUAUAUAUAUAUAUAAUAUUCAGCGAUUACAACAUAUUUAGUAUUCCAUAACAUGAUGCUUAUAAUAAUAAUUAUUAUUAAUUCACUUAUUGUGUCCGAGUACCUUUUCUUUCUCUAAGAAUGUAUUUGUUACACCCUACUAUACUUCGGAUGAAAAAUUUAGAAUAAUUGUGAAAUAUAAUUAUUAAUCACUCUUUGCCAUAUUUGUUACCAAACAGGAAUAUAACAAAGAAAAAAAAACAAAAAUUAUAGAGAAUUAAUAAGACGAUUGACUUAUUAAUAACUGACCUUCUCAGGGAAAAGUGUAUUAUAAAUUUGGACAUUGUCCUCCAAAAUGAUUUCAUGUGACUGCAAAUCAUUAGCUGAUUCCUCUUGUCUCUGUUGACAUUGCAGGUGUCUUGAUUUUAGAGUGUAAACUUAAUUGUGAACACAAUCUUAAUUAAUGCAUAAAUACAAGAUCUUUAAAAAUUAGUACAAUAAACUUAGCACUAAAUCUAAAUUUGAUAUUUUGGAUUCCAUGAUUAAGAUUUUUUAAAUAAAAAUUUAAUAGAGUUAAUUUAAAAAUAAAAAUUAAAUAUGAAAAAUAAACUUGCAAUUAUGGAUUUAAUUUUAAUAAAUAAUGAAUGUUCUCUUUAUAUUUUUUUUAAAAGGUAAAAGAGCGUACAAAGCCCAAAUUCAUUUUUUUAAGUCCUUUACUCUCCCAUGAUUCAAACUUGGGUGGUUGUAAGAGGACUGAAAAUAUAUAAGACAGUUAACUUCACUUUUUUUUUCUUUUUUUUUUUUGUUGAGAGAAAAGAGAAGAAGGAUAUUACAAAGCAUGAAGCUCGUGCAAUAUAAGGGCAAUUAUGGUUUUUUCUUUAAAUUAAAAUGGUAAGAUUCUGAAGCUAAAAGAUUAAAAUAUUAAUUAAAUUGCAAACAUUAAAGAUUUUUUUUGCAAAUGGUUGCUUUUAAAAUGAGAAUAAUAUAAUAUUUGAAGACUUUUCAAAAUUAAUUACUGUGAUGCACUAGAAAUUUCUAGCUUUAGUCUAAUGUAUAAAUUGACAAAACGAUAUUCGAAUCCCAGGUGAAAAGAACCCUCUCAUACCAAUUAUUUAAAUUAGGAAUGAUCAUACCUCUGACUCUGCCGGAUUGAGGGCGAGCCAGAGACGCUUGAGAUGGGAAGAGCCCACUUUGACUAAUUCAUUACGAAAAUAAUCAACAUCUUGCUCUUGCAAUCCCCAUAACUCAAGGUCUUCAAUUCUCUGCAGUUGCACGAUCAGCGAAUCCUUCAAGCAAAUCUUGUUAUUUAGCUCGAGACUGAAUUCACGACACCCAAUGCCGGUGCUCUCCCAAUAGCCAUCAUCUCCAAUGCGUAUGCUGUACCUUUCCAGCUUCUCCAAGAGCAGGCCUCUGGGCAGAGUGCUGACGUCACGGGCGCGUAAUUCCAAAGAGGUCAAGUUGGGCAAAUGCUUCAACUCCUCAAGGCUUGCAUUCUUAACCCCUUCCACCUCCACCUCCCAUUUAUCAAAGCUUUUAGGACCUAUAUAUAGUUCUUCUAAACGGGAUAAUUUUGACAGUAUAUUUGGUGGAAUAACUUCUAGGUCCUCACAAUCUCUCAAAUCAAGCAACUUUAGCCAAGUCAAUUCACCUACUUCUACCGGCAACUUCUUAAUAUCAGAAUCUCUUAAGCAAAGGAUUUCUAGUUUCUUCAAGCCUCCUACAACACUUAGAUCAGGCAGGUAGCACCAACACAAACUCAGUGUUCGAAGGUUUGACAGGAGACCAAGUGAUGAAGGCAGUGACCGUAGAUCCAUGUCAGUCAAGUUUACAACUCUGACCUGUAUCAUGCUCUUGAAAAAGUUGUCUGGAAUUGUUACUCGUGAAUAUUCCCAAGGAUCAUCACUUAUAAAAAGAAGUUCGAGCUGAGGACAUUCCAGUACUUUAGGAAGCAAAUUAGUGUUGAUAUCAUGUAAGACGAUUGAAGUGCAAUGCUUUAUUGCACUUCCGUCCGACCAUUCCCUGCAACCAUCAACCUGCUCAUUUGUAGCAGUAAACACAUUUCGUUCAGUAGAUGCAAUUGAUAUGGCGACAUCGCGAACUACAUCAUGCAUAGAAAACAACUCUUUCUUCUGGCUUAUAUGGUCAAGCAACAUACAAGAAGCUUUGAGUGUGCGCACCAAUGUAUGUACUCGAUUUCGUGCUACUUCAAUCUUAUUCACACCUUGAAAUAAACCCAAUCCCAUACCACACAUUAACAAGUCUUCAAUAGAUGCUAUGGCUGUAUAUCCUAUUAGCAAAAAGAUGUUCUUGAGAUCAUCCCUUCCUAGUUUAUUGUAGCUCAACUCGAUAGCUUUAAAUGCGGCUGGCUGUACAUCCUUAAAAUUCGAUGAAGAAGGCCUUCUUAGCUGUUCCAAUGCAUCCUUCCAUUCACGUAUGCUCUUGUUCCUUAAUGCCCUUGCAACCGUCACAAUGGAAACUGGUAGACCUGCACAUUCCUUUGCCACAUCCCUUGCUACCUCUUUCAAUUCAUUACCUUCAACAUAAUCACCUGCCAUCUUCGUGAAUAGACUCCAAGCUUCAUCUUCUUUUAAAAAUCCAACUGGGAAAUUUUUUCGAGACUCCAUCUCUCCAGACAAUACUUCUUCACUCCUUGCCGUGAACAGCACUUUACAUCCCAUGUGAUCAUCUCCGUGAGGAAUUCCGACAUCCAACAAAUCAAGAUUUUCCCAAAUAUUAUCCAAGAUUACAAGGAUCCUCUUCUCUUUCUUCAGUCGAUCAUAGAGUCUUCUUGCCCUACCCGAUUCACUCUCCUCAUCAAAUUUUAGACCUAGUUUAUCCGCGAUUUCUCCUUGAAGCUUUCUUACGUCUCGACUCUCAGACACCUCAGAAAAAACCACCUGAUCGAAAAGCUUGUCACUCUCUGCUUUUCUAGCAACUUCUUUAGCUAGCGUCGUCUUUCCGAUUCCGCCCAUUCCAUAAAUCAAAAGCAUGUUGACAUUGGGAUUUUUUAAUGCAUCAAUUAUUUCAUUCAGAAUGGACGUUCUUGAUUCAAAGGCCUCGAAGUCUUUGUUAGGCAUAAGCAAGGUAUCCUCCGGAAUGAUGCUGUAGGAAAUACUAUUAACUGGUCUAGCGUCCCGGACUUUGACAACAGCCUCCUUCUGCCUCUCUGCUUCCUUGCUAAGUCGAGGGCGGGUCUUCAAAUUAGGACAUAACCCCUUGAAACAACGCUUAUUUGCAGUGGCUUCAUCUUCUGUAAAUUUAUCUGCCUCUUCAAUGACACUGUUGGCCGUUGCAAGCCAAUUCUCAACGUUCUCUUCAAUCUCUUCUCCUUUUCUUUUAGCCUCAUCAACCUGGUGCUCUGUACUCACCCUCUCAGACUUUAGUUUCGCAACUUCAGUGUUGAGAUUCUGUAAGUUGCUCGUGUACUUACUCUCACGCAAAUAGCUAAUUUGGCGAUAUGCGGGAGGAGCCAAGCACUUUACAACUUCUAAAACAAUAGUAAGAAUGAUUUCAGCCAUCUUCAGUCCUUUGUCCUUGUCUCUCUAUCUCUCUUUUUCUGAAUUUUGGAAAAACAAUUCAACAGGUGACCACAACAAGAUGGAACACAAGUGACUACAACAAGAUGGAACAAAAUAAAAAGGAAAAAAAUACAAAGAGUGGAUGGAGAAUAAAACAGAGACAGCGUCACAGCUAGACACAAUUAGAUAGAGAACAGAGGAAAACCAAAUAACAAGACUUAAGAUUACAACAAACAGAGGCCGAGGUGGAUAUAUAUACUUGGAGAAUAAAAUUCAAGAGCAAAGCGAGUGCUGGGCUGCAGUUUCUUAAGGAGAUUUAUAUAUCAUCCUCAAAAAUAAAUAUUUUAAGGUAGGUAUUUAGACUAUUUCAUCAUAAAAUAAAUGUAAUUAAUUUUCAUAAAUAUGUGAUAUCAAUAUUUAUUUAUUUUUUUAAUUACUGAUGGCCUUUGAAUAUACGAUACAUAUUACUAAUUCAAAAAAUAAAUUGUGAUUAUUUGUUAAUGUAUAUGAUUACUUGUGAUGGUAAACAAGGUAGAUAUGGUAUAUUUUGAAGUAGAAAAAAAAAAACAAAAGAAAAAACAGAGCUUUUACCAUUGCUUGCCUUAUCAUCUUUUAAAUUAAAGUUAUUAUUCUUUUAUUUUUCAAGUUGCCAACUCAUACGCAUUUUCUUUUAUUGAAUUUGAAGAUCAAUGAUUAUAAAUUUGUGUGAAAAUUUUAAGCCAAAAUUUUAAAUUAAAAUAAUCAUUAAGUUAUUAAAAAAUAAUAACUUAAUAUAACAAAUAUUAUAUCAUAUACUUUAUUGCUACAAGAUUACAAAACCUUAUAUUAUAUUAUGUUUCCAUAUUUCUCCUUUAUAGUGAAGACUCAUACUUUUUCUCUAGUAGAUGUUAAAGUAUUGGCUUAAACUUUUUAACCAGCACAGUAAACCCUUAAGCCUAUAUAUGCUAUAAUGUCCCUCUUCCCUCACAGAUCAAACACUAUUUUUCAAAAUAUUAUAUCUUUAGACUUAACAAAAUAUCUUUUAACCAUAUAUGUACAGUUUGUUUGAUCUCUUUUAAAUAUUGGAGAUUACAACAGAACAGAUGCGAAUUAGCAGUGACGCUGAGUUUAGAAGAUUGAAGUUAAGAAAAUUAAGGAAAGGGUAAGGAUGUAUUUUCAAAGUGAAUUAUUGAGAGAUCUUUGAAGAUUACUUCCGUCAAGAGCUGGGUCCUAUACUCUUAACCCUUUGUCCUCCAGUCAACCAUAAGACAAAUUAUUAUUGAGUGUGAGCAGACAUUAACCACCAAAUUUUCAAACUUGUGAUCCUUAUUGAAUCUGCAUUCCCCUUUACAAAAGUAAAAAAAAAAAGUGCAAAUAACGAAACAAAAUUCUGUUCCUUGACUGCAAGUGCUGUCGGCAUUUUCAGACUUGUAAGACCCUUCUACUUGCAAGAUACCACUGAAUUUGUCUUUUUUUUUUUAAAUUACACUAUAUUAUCUUAUAUUUUAUAAAAAAUUUAAUAAAUAUUAUAAAUUAUAAAUUUUUAUAUUUAAUAUUCUCAAAAUAAAUUAUCAAACAAAUGAUUCAUUUAUUAUUUUUUCUUUUAAAUUUUUGUUAUUAAGAAGAUUUUUGGAUAUUAAGCGUGAAGGGCUCCACUGAUCGCUAAUUUUGCAGCAAUUGCCCUUUUCUUUCUCCCCUAAUUGUUUUGAAAAAUAUCUAGUCUCAUUCAGCGAAGUAUCCAAGGCCAAAGGGCUAAAAGAUGGGACACCCACAUGUGCUUCUAAUUAAAAAGGGUUAUUUUUCGCUACCCCACAUGUUUUGAUAAAUCAUAUUGUGUACCCAUUUGUUUCAAUAAUCAUCAGUGUGCACCCAUUCUGUUAAAUUCAGCCGUUUAGUUUAACCAAUCAAGGGUAAAAUGGAUAUUGUACAAUAAAUGAAUAAAAAAUCAAGUUAAACUGUUUGCACAGAAGAAAGAGAACAAGGAGAAGUAAAAGAACAACAUCAUUUCUGAAAAAACAACUCCAUCUCUGCAAAUCGUACCAUCCAAGAGCAUAAAUCAAAGCAAAUAUGGAGGGAAAAUAUUAUGUGUUGGAGUUGAUGUUCUUAUAUCCCCAUCUAGAGUAAGAGGUUUUGACAUGGUAGCGUCUUAUGACACCAUUGUAUUACAAGUUAUCAUUGGUAGUUUUUUGGCUGAAGGCUGGAAGGAGUCAAGAUCAUGGAUGCAACCAAAACCAUUGUCUUCUUCUAUGCCAAAAUUCAUCCUAGAAGCAUCAGCAAUUGGAAGCCCACCAUCACAUGGAAACUUAAGUGAAUCAUCUGGUGGACCUGGAAGCCCUCUAAACCACAGCACCGAAGGAGGCUGCAGUAACAGCAAUCCGCCAAGCAUACUGAAAUUUAAUGAGUUGGUGUUGUGUGAUUCAGCAUCAGUUUUUAUUUUUUAACAUGCAUAUUAACAGUGACUGGUGGGAUUUUUGAAAUUUAAUGAUUUGAAAUUCAAAUUGGGGACAAAAUCACCAUUUCACAAAAUAAUUGUCAGAAUGGUUAAAAUAAACGGCUGAAUUUAACGAAAUGGGUGCGCGGUGAUAAUUGUUGAAAUAAGUGGGUUUACGGUAAAAUUUGUCAAAACAUGUGGGGGGUGGCCAAAAAUAACCGAAUUAAAAAAUCAAAAGUUAGGGGGACCAUAACUUACAUUUAAUAUAAUUUAUGAUAGGAGUCCACUUAUGUUACCACUGUACAACAGGUUUGGUCUUUUCUGACUCAGUUGCUGUAAAAGUUUGUUGAGCCCCUUGUACUCGAUAUUAUUUACUAUUUAUUUAUAAGUAUUAUAAAAAUUUCUGCUUACUUGUUAAAACAAACCUCUCGGCCCCACUCCCCUUGUGCUCGAUAUUUUUUACGCGUUUCUCUUUUCUCUCCCCCACGUGAACACUUUUGCCUUUUGCUGGUUCACGUGAAAGUCAGUUUAGAAUUUUGAUCUUAUUUCACAGAGCUAAUUUUUUAUCACAAGCAGGAGAGAAACGGCAUUUCUUAGCAGUAGUUCAUCACUGUAGUAGCGAGCGAGUGAGGAACAAAAUUACCAACAAUUCUCAAAAAAUAAUUAUAAAAAAUGAUCACAUGCUAUAAUUAAUCAUGACACUUUGACAACAUUACUCCCACCGAGCAAAAGUUAACAGCAUCUUCUCCCACAUUUUUAAAAAAAAAAUUGUAUUAUAUAACCCACCAAAAGUAUAAAGAGUCUUUUCUUAUUAAAAUUAAUAAAUUACUCUUUAUAUUGAGAAAUUAAAAUUUAAAAUGAGAAUGAUGGGCGAUGUUCAUUUCUUAAAAUAAAAAUAAAAUUUAUGAAGUUUAUCUAUUUUUAGAAUUAAAGAAUAAGAACUUAAUUUCUUAUGGGGAGUGUUGGAAAUCAAGUUCUUAUUCCUUAAACUCUCAAUUUUACCUCACAAAAAUUUAUAAGUUCACUUUUAUCUUUAAUUAAAAUAUUAUUAUGUUAUUAUUAUGGUUAUUAUUCUUAUUUUUGUAGUAGUUGCUGUUGUUUUUGUUGAUGAUGAUGAUAAUAGUUGAUAAUAAAAUUAAUAAUAAUAAUGAAAAUAUAACUAUAAUUUUAACAGCUACAAUAAUAAUCAUUAAUAUUAUCGUUGUUGUUCUUAUUAUUAUUAUUAUUAUUAUUAUUACUACUACUACUAUCCUAUUAUAUUAUUAUUAUUAAAUAAUUAUUUUGAAUAAUAAUAAUCUCAAUUAUUAUAACAAACAACGACAAUAAUGAACUAAUGUCAUUUUCAUAACUUAUAACAAUUUAUUUUUUAUUUCAAGACAAAAUAAACAUAUUAAUAAUAAUACAGGUCAUUUCGAUUAUGAUUCUUACAGGUAAAAUAAAUAAUUUAUUAUGAUUUUCACAUCAUAAUCAUAAUUCUUAUAGUAUUAUCUUUAUUUUAAAAUACUUUUUUAUUUAUAUUUAUUAUAAAUUAAUUAAAUUAUACCAAUGAAAAUUAAAUAAAAAUUUAAGUAAUAAAAAUGAGAAAAUAUAUGUUUCCGUUUGAAUAAAAAAUUAAUAAUAAAAUAUUUUUCUUAUUUUUUAAUAUUUUUAUUAUGAAGAAAAUAUAUUUUUCUUUUUUUAAUUAUUUUGAAAAAAUAUCCAGACUCAUUCUGCAAAGUACCCGAGGCCAAAGCGCCGAAAGAUAGGACACCCACAUGUGCUUUUAUUUACAAAAUCUAAAGUUAGGGUGGGUGUCCGAAACUUAAAUUUAAUAUAAUUUAUAAUUAGGUAAAAUUCUUUGAUUGACCCAUUAAAUUUUAUUAUUCUACUACUUAUUUUUAUAUUAAAAAAUUAGUAAUGUAGAAAAAUUCUUAAAAGUUAAUGGAGAAGGAAAAGAAAAAGUGUAAAUGAACUGUAUUCACCUAAGUUUCAAACACGUGGUUCAAUCUGAAUUCGCUUUUUUCAAAAGUAAAUACAAAAGAAAAUAUACAGAAAAAAAAAUUAAACGAGACAAAAAUCUGUGGCGUGGGUCAUUCAUAUCUUUUGUCAUUUCUUUUUUAGAGGUACAUGGGGUGGAUAUUUUGAAGUGACAAGCAGAGCCUUUACUGUUGCUUGCCUUAUCAUCUUUUAAAAUUAGAGUUACUAUUCUUUUAUUUUUAAGUAGCCAACGGAUGGUAGCCAACUCAUCCAUGUUCUCUAUUAUUGAAUUUAAAGAUCAAUGAUUUAUGUUAAUAAAUAUUUUGUUAACUAUCAAAGUUUUUAUUUCAAAAUUACUGUUAUAAUUCAUUAAUUUUUCAAUUUUUCCUUUUUCUAUUCACACAACAGAUUGAUUUGCCCUCCAAAAAAAUGUAUUAGAUUGUUUAAUAUUGUAACAUCAAGAAACUUAUAAUAAAUUUUUAAAGAGAUAACUAGAGAAUGUCAGCCUCGCAUCUACUCAAAAUUAAUAAAUAUACCACUAAUUCCUUAUUAUUUUUAUAAAACUAAUAACUUUCUUGGUAGUAUAAUUUUAUAGUAUUAUCCUUAUUUAUAAGUACAUUUUUAUUCAUAUUUAUUAUAAAUUAAUUAAAUCAUAUCAAUAAAAAUUAAAAUAGAAUAAUAUGUUUUGGUGUAAAUAAAAGAUUGAAAAUAAAAAUAUUUUUCUUAUAUUUUUUGUCAUUUUUAAAUGUUUUUCUUAUAAUAAAUGUACAUUUUAUAUUAUUAAGAUGAAUUUUGAGUAAUGACUCAUUUACUCACUUUUUCUUUAAAUUUUUGUUAUUAGGAGGAUUUUUAGAUAUAAUGAAAAUUGUAAGGUAGGAAGUAAUAUAUAAUAAUUUUAAUAAAGAAAAAUAAAAAAUCUCUUAUUUUAAAAUAUAAGGAGAAAAAUAAUUAAUUUUAAAAAAUUUUAGAAGAUAUUUCAAUAUGCGGUGGGAUCACACCCUCGAGUCUUUGUCGUCUCAGUCAACUAAAAGGACAGAAUAUUGAGCGUGAAGGCUCAACUGAUUGUUAAUUUCACAACAAUUACCUUUUUUUUCUUCUUUUUUUCCUAAUUAUUUUGAAAUGGUAGGUAGCAAUUGCUUACAUCAAAAUAUUUAGACUCACUCGGCAAAGUAUCCGAGGCCAAAAUGACAAAAGGUGGGACACCCACAUGUGCAUCUAAUUACAAAGUCUAAAGUUAAUGAAAAGAAAAAGAAAAAGUAUAAAUGAACGAUAUUCAUUCAAACAUCUAGUUCAAUAUGAAUUUCUUUUUACCAAAAGUAAAUUUGGGCGAGACUUUGCGAGGGGCCUCGGUGUGCCCGCGGGGAGUCUUCGGCUGAGCGCUGCCCAAAAAUAAGCAUCCGAAGGUCGUAUGCUCGCGUGUGAGGCUGCCCCCGCUCGCGCGGCAACGUAGAGUACGCUCACGCACGAGGCUGCCCACGCCCAGUCGCAAGUAGGGCAGCGCGCGCGACAAGUGGUUGCCCACUCUCGCGCACAAAACAAGCUUAUAAUAGAGCAACUCCAGGCAUAUGAGGCAGUAGCCAUAAGACAUAAUUUUGAGAAUGGUGAGUGUGGAAACAGGGAGGAAUUUCAUAAGGUCAAAAAUGGGAUAUUGGCGGGCGAGUCUUUGCGAGGGGCCUCGGUGUGCCCGCAGGGAGUCGCGGGCACAGCCGCGCCCAAAAACAAUGCCCCAAGGUCGGGGUGACAAAAAGGCCCCAGGGCCCCGAGACGGGUGUGCUAUAGCCUUGGUGGGGGGCGCGGGCGAAGUUCGUCCACCAGCGCGGCCGUGCCUGCAACGCUAAACGAGAGCCCUCGGGUGCGCGGGCGAUGCUCGUCUGCCGGACUCGGAAUGGGGCGAGACUUUGCGAGGGGCCUCGGUGUGCCCGCGAGGAGUCACGGUGCCAAAAAGGCCCCAGGGGGCCCGAGUCGGGUGGGCUAUAGUCUUGGUGGGGGGCGCAGGCAAAGUUCGUCCGCCGGACUUGGAAUGGGGCGAGGUUUUGCGAGGGACCUCGAUGAGCCCGCGGGGAGUCGGCGGCCGAGGACCAUCUUGAAGUCAUCCAUGAGGACGAUGGAGAAAUCAAGCUUUCCGCUCCAUGUACCGAGUGUUAAGUGCACGCCUUGUGCAAUUCCCGCAAUUGACUUGGCGGGUGAGUUUACCGCUUUCAUCGUGCCUCUUUCCAUCCCGAUUCCCGAGGCCCGCUGGUCCCAUUGGACGAAACGGAACCACAAUCGGAUGCCCCGAUCAUGAGUUACGGCCGAAACCGGUAAAAACAACCCCGAUCUUACCCCCCGCUGGCGAUCGAAACCCGCUAACGCACUAGCGGAAAAAGGCCCCGAGACGGGUGGGCUUUAGCCUUGGUGGGGGGCAUAGGCGAAGUUCGUCCGCCGGACUCGGAAUGGGGCGAGGCUUUGCGAGGGGCCUCAGUGUGCCUGCGGGGAGUCGUGGGCACCCUGCCCUUCGGGGCCCAAAAAUAAGCGCCCGAAGGUUGGGGUAGCAAAGGCCCCAACGAAAAAAGGCCCCGAGACGGGUGGGCUAUAGCCUUGGUGGGGGGCGCCGCCGCACAAUUCAUCCUCCGCGGCCCUUUCCCCACUCCCCGGUGGGUCCGAGGUGUCCCGGAGAGUUGCGAACUUGACGUGAUAAGUUGUAUAUUUCACGUGAAGUGUUACAUCCUUACUUCUUCAGCUUCCUUGUACGUUCACUUCUUAAGAAUCUGGUUAUGUUUUUUUAAUUUUGGGUAUUUUUAGUGUUGAAAUUUGGCUUGUAGUUGGGCUUAAUGAGUAGUGUAAAGAUUGUAGAUCAAUGAUUAAUGUGCUUGUUGCUGAUUUAUUUCUGUUUUUGUUUCAGAUUGGUGAGUGUCGCCUUGGUGGGGGGUGAGGGCGAAGUUCGUCCGCCGGACUCGGAAUGGGGCGAGGCUUUGCGAGGGACCUCGCGGAUGCAGCCCAGCCUCGCAUGCCAGCAGCACAUGCUCGCGGGCAAGGAUGGGCGCUCGCGCGGGGCAUACAGCAGGCAGUCGCGCGGUAAACUGCCCACGCUCGCGAGGCAAGCAGCGCCUAGUCGGGCAAGGCAGUGCGCGCUCGCCACCAAGGCAAGUAGCCCAAGCUUGCGCGAGGAAGUCAGGCCAGGCUUGUGCGCGCGCGUGGGGCGAGGCUUCGCAAGGGGCCUCAGUGUGCCCGCGGGGAGUCGUGGGCAUAGCCGCACCCAAAAAUAGUGCCCCUAAGGUGGUGGGGGGCACGGGCGAAGUUCGUUCGCCGGGCUCUGAAUGGGGCGAGGCUUUGCGAGAGGCCUCGUUGUGCCCACGGGGAGUCGCGGGCAUAGUCGCGCCCAAAAAUAGUGCCCCAAAGUCGGGGGGCCAUUGACUGGGGUACCACGAUCAUAUUUAACUGUUGUAUGCAUGAAUCCUUGUGACAUGACAUAUAGCCAAUUAAAUUCUGACAUGCGUGCAAUAAAGACUGUAAAGUGACUGGUUAUUCCGGUUGAAUUCACAAGAACUCUUGUUUGUGUGUUUAUGUUCCAAGUUGUGUACUCUUUGUUACGAGUUCUCUAAUUAGUCUGAUAUUAUCGCAACUGAUGCUCAAUAAUGUUACAUGUUUUAUAAUAUAUGUCACUGGUACGAUCGUUGUCACAAAUUUUGAACGAAAAGUUCCUAAUAAAACAAGUUAUUUAAUUAAUUAAAUAAGAAUAAAAUGAAUUUGUGAAAAAAAAUUUAAUUUAAUUUUGAAUUAUUUUAACCAAAAUUUAAGUUUUUUUUAAUUUGUUUAAGAAAAUGCGUUUUAAUUGUCUUGUAUUAAUUGGAAAAUCAAUGAAAAAAUUUAUGUAACAGAAAAAAAAAAAAGCAAAACGUUUUGUUUUGGAUGGAGGCCAUAGAUUCCAAUAUUUCCUUCACGAAAACUACAAAAGAUUAUCAAAGGCAUCAAUUUCUGCACUCUCACCGAGCAAUACUCUUAACCCAGAAGAAAGUGUAUAAACCAACCCCAAUCAGUCCAUCAAUGUCGUCAACCUCAUACAAUAUAAAAAAAAUCCGUCCAUUAAACCGCCAUUUAAACCGUCUUUAUUGAGCCAUUAGACUAUUCGUGUCAUCUUCCCAUCUCGUUGUAGUAUUUUGCCGUUCAAAUCUAGUUAUCAAUUGGGGAAAAUGGGGACCAAUCUGCAAGUCUUUAAAAUAGAUAGGAACUUUAAUUGGGCAGUAUGUUCACAGUGGUGGACCCAGCAGCAUUAAUAUUUAAGGUGGAGCUAUUUGUAUCUUAAAAAUGAUUUUAAAUAUUUUAAUUUCAAUAAGAAUAUACACCCUAGAGCCCCAGACGACCGAAGAUCCGUGCAGGGAUAUAUNNNNNNNNNNNNNNNNNNNNNNNNNNNNNNNNNNNNNNNNNNNNNNNNNNNNNNNNNNNNNNNNNNNNNNNNNNNNNNNNNNNNNNNNNNNNNNNNNNNNAAAUAUAAAAUUUUUUAUUUCCCAACAUCUUAAUAAAAUAUGUAGAUGAAUAAUAAGGAAAUUAACUUGAGAAAAAAAUUAAAUACAAAAUAUGUGUAAUACUUUAAAAAUAAAAUAAAACAAAAGUAUUGCACAAGAUUUUUUAUGGGGGGGGGGGGGGGGGGGGCUUUGGCCAUUCUUCUUCUUCUCCUUCUCUCUCUCUCUUUUUUUUUUUGGGUAGUAUUUAUGGAACAUUUUCUAUUGUUAUGUUCUCAUCACAAGUUAUUUUGGGUGUAAUAUUCAAUAUUGAAAAUAAAUUAAAUGAAAAAUUAGUAACGAAAAUUAUGUUAAAUUAUUUUUUUAUAACUUAAUUUUUAAUUAUAUUAUUGUGAGUAUAUGCUAAAUCUCUUAAAAAUAGAGUGUUGAAUAAUUUUAUUAGUUUUUUUUAAAUAAAUAAAGUUAAGUAACUUAAAAAGUUUAAGUAAGGAUAUUUUUUAAUUUUAAUUAGUGUACAAAGUAAAGUUUAAUUUUUUUUAUAAUUAAAUUAUAAACGUGAAAAAUAAUAGAAUGUUCAAAAUAAUAUUUAGAGUAUUAAUAAUCCUACCUUAAUCUUUAUCAUCACAUUAUUUUUCAUAAAAAGUUUACAAUUACCUCUUUAUUGGAUAAUUUUGUUCCCUCUCUUACCUUAUGUUCCCUUACAUUCUCAUUUCUGCAUCACCAUUUAAAUUGUAAUCAUAACGUUAAUCUUUAUCCAUCACAUAUUUUGCCAAAUUUAUUCGCACCGCAAAGCUCUUUCCUUUUUUUUUUUUUUCCUCCGUUAAGUUUGCUAUAAUGUACGUGAAGAAUAGUUAAAGAGCUCUUUCGUGUCCUUACCCUUUUUUUUGGGUUUACUUUUGCUGCCUUUUUACGUUUCUCCAUAAUUCACUUCAACAUCACUGGCGCAUUUUCUUCUUUCUCACUGCAACAUCAACUGGGCCACCACCUCUUGCCUCUCCCGGUUCCCCUCAAUUUUCGUAUUCAAUGUCCACAGUUGAUUGUACAUUUAUUAAAAUUCUGUGGUUAUUGUUUUUUUGCAUACAUUUAAUUCCACACGGUCUAUCAAUAGAGCAGGUGCAUCGUAGUUGUGGCCUUAACUGUUAUUGGUAACUCAAUAGCUAAUUCUAAUGUUUCAUCAAGCAGUUUAGAGAUAACCUCUCUCGCUGAACACCCUGGAGUAACGCAAUCCAGUUUUUUCCAAUGCAAUCAUCAGACAGUUGAACAGCUUCUGAAUUCCCUUUGCUUUUCUUGUUUUCUUUUCCAUGUAAAGGGAGCUCAGGCUUCAAUAUAUCUGGGGAUUGAUUACUAAUGAUAAAGACAACAUACGGUAGAGGACACAAAUUGUUAUCAAAGAAUGACGCACUUUUCAACUGAGUACAGUAAAGCAAGAAUGGGUAAUUAGUUUUACCUGCAACGUGAAAAUCUAGACUCCCGAUGGUAACCGAUCUUUGGUGAAGCAAAUAAAGAAGAAGGCGAAGUAAAAUUCACUGAGUUGAAUGAGCGAUCAUUGCGUAUGGACUUGAUUUGUUCAAUGGGUGAAAGACUGCUGAUAUAAUUAAAGACUGGAGAAUCCUGCACGUUGACAAGCAUCAUUUUUAAUCUAACAUAGAGUCUUAAAAACCUUGUCAGUGGCAAAUGAUCACGACAAGAAAUCUGAAGUAGAAACAGCAGAGCUCAACAAAUCACUAAGAGAAAAUAAGACCAAUAACCAAGCAGAUAAAAGAAAAGCAAAAUAACCCAUCUCAAAAUCACCACAUGCACAAUUUAAGGGGUUUGUGACAUGGGUUUAAACAUGAUUUAACAAGUGCCACCUGUGAAUUGUCAGAGAUUGUAUUUUCAUACACAUGUCAAAUUUUCAAGUCCAACAAAUUGUUAUCUUUCUAAAGAGGCUAAUAUUAUUAUUAUCUAUGCAUAGCAUGCUAUAAACAAUUCAUAUUCUGUACACAACAUAUGGACAGAGGAACAAAUCCUUGAGCUAAAAUCAUCAUAUUCCAAAAUAUUCUACCCAAAUCAACACCACAAAACGCGAACGCUAAACAGAAUUGGAGCAAUUUACCAAAGCUAUUUGUCACGCAAAGCACUAGUACCUCAGAACCCAAUUUGCAAAAAAACACCAAAAAUGAAAAAUAACAAAUGCCCAGAUGAAAAAUCAGGAAAAAAAAGCUAAAUCCAAAUUACAACCCCAUAAGCUGAGUCGUUCUCUUCGAACUGAAUUAAAAAAAAUUAAAUAGGGAGAUUGACCUCAAACUUUGGAAACAGAAGCGACAGCGAUCUGUUUCUUGUCUGGAGUGUCCAUUUCUAUAAUCUACUUUGUCCGUUUUCAGUCGCUCUGCCACAGAGCUUCUUCCCUCUGAAGCUGAAGCUCACACACACUUGCAAAACGAAAGCAUUUUUUAUUGAUUGAGAGGCGGGAAGGCGGGAAAAUGAGAGAAAUUUGCAUUUGUUUUCUCUUGGUUCGGUCAUACCUGUGCGGGCCCCAGCUUCACAAGCGGUAUUAUUACUAUUUGUAUAAUUUACAUGAAGCAUGUCACGCAAUGACGAUAAAAAAAAAAUAUAUAUAUAUAUAUUGUUAAUUUUUCACUUAACAUUGAAAUAUCAUAUAAUUUUUCCAAUUUUUUGGUUAUUUUCUCGCCCUUAUGCCACAUUCUUUUGAUCAAAUAAUACAGUAAAACUUUUCUAUAAUCAUAAUAUUAGAGCCAAAUUAACUUUGUUUCUGUAAAGAGGCUAUAGCUUAAUAAAGGUAAAAUUAUAAAAAUUAUUAUUUUGACUCAAUUAUCUUUAGUGCAAGUGAUAUAAAGUAUAAAUAUAUGAUAAUUAAUUAAUGAACUAUGUCAAAUACAAUAUGCUGACAAUGAUUAAAAAGAUAGACAUAAUUUCAAGAAACUAAUACAUAUAUUUAUAUAGUGUUGGGAUUAUACAAAAUUAUCUUAAAAGUGUAAAGAGUAAAGUAUUAUUCUGAUUAAUUUUAAAAAAUUAUUUUAUCUUAAUCUUUAAUGCAACAUAGCUUUUUUUUUUUCUUAGCAACAAAUCAUUGUUCCAAAUAAUUAUUAUUGGAUUCAAAUCAUGUCCUAGGCACUUUUUCUUCUAGUCGUCUUAAACUUUUAAUGAUUUAUGUCAUUAAUGAAAUUAAAUAACUAAGACUUUGUUUUAAUUAACGUUUACAUAAAUAGACAUCAAAACUCACGUGUGAUUCUUAUCAAUUUUUUUCCUGCAAAUUCUUUUCCUCUCAACAAUUCAUAUUUUGACAUUAAUUUCCAGCAAAUUAUAAAAAAAAAAGAAGCGUAAAAUGGAGAAAAGUUAUUGACAACAAGGUUUGCAUCUUAAUUUCAAAAUUUUCCUUUCUUUGCUAUUUUUGUGGGUUCUACAAUUGUUGUUUUCACUCUCAGCUGCAGUUCAAUGAACUCUAUUAAUAACCAUGAAGCUUAAUGUAUCAAUUCCAGUACGAGAAGUCCUUCUACGCAUGUUACAACACUUUUUGGUCAUUAUAGGUUGCAAAUGUUCCGUAAUGUACUCAUUCAUAUAACGGAAACGCUAUUAUCAAUAAUGAAAGUUGACUAAGUUUGUAAAUUCUAUUUAACGAAAAAGUAACAUAAAUUUAGUUGAACAAGAGGUAAUCAAUAUGUAAUCUAUGAAACUAGGGUGUGACUAAGUUACAUAGUAAUGUAACUUACAUGAACACAAAAAUAAUUAGUUUUUAAACUACAAGUAGCUUUGGAACAGCUCUUAAAUUGAUAUAAGUUCUAUUAUUAUGUAACUUAGCAUAUUUUAAUAAUAGCACAUCACUAUUGUUUCAUGUGAAUGAUGCAAUUGGAUUAGCCAAUACAUACUGUCAUCCCCGGGGGAUGCUAUGGCAAUAGCUUACUCUACCGUGCCAAUGUCAUUAGUAUUAAUCUGUUGAACCUAAGACCAGAUCUAAGCUGAUCUAGAUUCCCCAAGAUCGCACACCACACAGUGAUUAAUGAAUCAAGAACAAUAAACCAUCAAAGAAUCGCAAACUUACAUGUCGGGUUACAUGUAAUAAAUGUUUUAAUUAUUAGAUGAUUCAUAAUGUUAGACCACUUUUUGUAUGUUUUGUAAUCUACGUUUGAUAAUUUAAUUAGCUGAUAAACACUUGAAUAAUAUUAUUUCAUUAACUAUGUCAUUGAUCCCAAGGAAAAAAAAAAAAACCCAAUUUGGGAUGUUAUACAUUACUUUUUAAUUACUUCCCAUUUUAGAUUAAUAUUUAUCACAUAUAUUCUUAGUAACUUGUAACCCUUUUUGCUAAGGGUGAAAUGUGUUUGUUACCCCUUCUAUUUCUGAGAUUGUCCUUACAAUAAGGAUGCCGGCCCCAAUGUCAAAAACUGCUAUCUCUAGGUGUAAAUUCCUUAUAAAAUUCUUUUUUAAUUGAAGAUAAAUUAAUUUUUUAUUUCAUUAAAAUAAAAAAAAAUCAAUUAAACACUUAAAUAAGCUAUCCUUUUAAUUUUUUUUUUACACCCAUCCAGUUUCAUAAUUUAUAUUUAUAGUUUAAAUUUUAAUGGAAAAUAUUUUUUUGAAAAACUUUAAGAAUUAAGAAUUAUGGGGAUAAAAAUUAUGUAAUAAGAACAAAAUAAUUUAAAAUUUUAAAAUUUGCAUGUAUUAUAAACAAAAACUUGAAAGAAAUACUCUUUUCAGGGUGAAAUUUAAUGAGAAAAAGAUUAAUUUUAAUUUAUGAAUUAGUAUUUUAUAAGUUAAACUGAGGUAUUUCAAGAAAUAGAAUUCAAAAGGCAUGGGAACGAGGGCCUUGGGUUUCAUUUUGUUUUGUAUGAAUUGGGAAAAAUACACGGACAGACAAAGGGAGCAGUCAUUAUAAUGCUGUGAAGCUGGUCGGAGAUACCCUGCCCAUUUGUAGCUUAGACUCCUGGGGUUUUGUUCAUGUCUUUUCUGUAUCCCAGUUUCUCAUGCAGCAGAUGUACAUAUGAUGAGAUGAAAACAACAGCAAAAAUUGCUGUCUCAUAAGAGAAAUAGUCAUACAUAUAGUGGGUUAGGCCUCCUAUCCAUUAACUUAAUAAUGAAUUUUAUGAAAAUUGAUUAUCUCAUUGGAAUUACAUAGAUACUGGAAAACAUUACUCCAGCCCCACCAUCCCAACCAUUUACUUAGUUCAUCAGUAAAAGCUGGAUUUUCCAUUUGUUCUUGAGAUUCAAAUUAAGGCGGCAAGUUGCUCAUUCUAUAUUAUUUAUGUAAUUCUGUAAAAGUGAAGGGCGUUUAGAUGUGGAAAAACCUUACUCCUGCCGCAACACCUCAAACAGAUUGUGAUCAGACAAGACUUAGUUCAUCAUUAGUAGUAGUUGGAGCUUCCAUUUGUUCUAGAGAUUUAAAGGCAGCAAGCUGCUUCCUCAGUGCUACUAAUUCUUCCCCGGCAAUGCAUGUGUAGCCUGAGGCUUGUCUACCAGACAAAGUUGCUCCUUCCAUACUAUCUAUGUAAUCCAGUGAGAGUGAAACCAUUUAGAAGACGUAUCUCUUUCUUUCCAAUAUUUAGAAUGAAACAAUUAUAUAUACAGUUACCUGUUUUGUAUAUGAGCCGGCGAGGAAGAAGUUCUUCACUGGUGUCUUUUGAUCACGUCUGACGGGGUCUUUACCAGGUCCCUCACCGCACAAAGAUUGCCCAAUUUUGACGAAAGAUGACCAAAUAACUUCUAAACCUUGGGAUGAUGGAAAUAGAGCUAAAACCUAAUAAAAGGAACCGUGAAUGGAUAGUAUGGACUCAUGUAUAUUAUCCAGAAAGUUGCAUGACCUUUUGUGGUACUCAGGUCACUAAAAAAUGUGAGAUAAACAUCUAGGAUAAGAAAAGCAAAAAAGCAUAACCUAAUACGUAUUAUAUGAAUUGAAGGUGUCACUGAACGCUACCAACCUGUUUUGCCACUCUCCUUAUGAUUUCAUCAUUUGGUAAGGGCAUAUAAGGAUCUCCAGGCGUCAAAACGCAUCUGAAAUAUAAUAUGGCUAUAGUAAGCAACACGGAAUACAAAGACACUUAGCAAAAGGAAGUCAAUCAGAUUCCAUGCACAAAAAAUAACUAAUAAUGACGAGGAUAAGAAAUUUUUCUUACUGGAGCAAUGAACCUUGCCCUUCUCUGUAGUAGUCUUCUGGUGAAGUGAGUGCUAGAUCUGCAAAGCAAGAGAAAUCUGCAUCUGGAGUAUAUGAAAUGUUAUCUAACCCCAUAGCUUGCCUCAAUUGUCUAUGUUGAUGCGAGAUUCCGGUUCUCCUCGUUCUACGACCAGGAUCUCUGCUCGAUCAACUUCGUCACGACCAGGAGGUCUCCUCGCUAGGCUUCUUCUCCAGAGGUUCCUGCGUACACAGACAAGUCAGAGUACGCCGGUUGUUUUCCCGGCGCAAACCCUCCGACGCUCAAGUCAGAUAUGAAGGUUCGGGGAAUGCUUGCCACAGAUCUUAUGGCUUUUUUGUGGUUUUCUCUUCUUUUUUAUUUCUUUUCUAAUCUCAAAAAUGCCAACCCUUUUACCUCGUUGGCUACCUUUUUAUAGGCUUCGAAUCCCAGUUUUCCACUUUUUUCGAGACGGUAUGGGACUCUGACUCCUGCGUUAUGGGCAAACGUGGGAUCUUGCGUGUUACGCCACGGUUCUGGGGAAAGCGUGGCUGUCGUGGUUCUGUGAGAUCUUGCGUGUUACGCCACGGUUCCGGGGAAAGCGUGGCUGUCGUGGUUCUGUGAGAUCUUGCGUGUUACGCCAUGGUUCUGGGGAAAGCGUGGCUGUCGUGCCUAGAUUCUCGGGCUGGAGAUCAUGUCUUGCCAACUGCCGUCGACCGGGUCUCCUCGCCUCUCGACCUCUAGCCGGAAUGAUCUUAUGCCUCUUACAGGAAAUUGGCCUCGCGGAUGACGUGCUCGUGGACGAGCAGGAUAUUUCUGCUCCUGUUCCCCCGCGCAUCAGGCUUUUACGGAACACACCGGCUCGCAGAACUCUGCCACCAGAUAUCUGCUCACCAUGCCUGGUCUCGUCGACGUAUUUCUCCCAAACACCGGUCCCCCAGUUUCUGGUGUUGGGUAAUGUAGUGGACCAGCAGUAGAAACUCGAUAGUACUCGCUCGCGUGGGAUUGGAAAAGGCUGCCAAGAGUCAUGUCGCAUUUAAUUGCGGACGAGGUGACGUGGCAGAAAUCCCCCCCCUCCAUUUGAAUUUCAAACCGACGGUUAUGAGGCCCUCGGGAUUCGGCGCUGUUAAAUGCUGGCAACCCAAGAGUCCGUCCUCAUUAGGAAAACCAAAUCCUCUCGAACGGCAUAUUCAUCAUCCACUCCGUCUCCGUCUCUGUCUCUCCGGCAAAGAAGUUCCGGCAUAAAAGUCCUCCAUCUCUGAUUUUCACCGACUGAACCAUUACUUCAGGUAUUUCUUCUAUCUCCUUGGUCUCGGAUAGUUGUAGAUAAUUUCUCUUCUCUUCUGUUUGGGUAGUAGUUGGUGGUGUUGUGGUUAGAGCUUAGGGAAUGUCGAAAGGCAAAGAGAAGGUCAUUGAGGUCGAUGACGACGAGUUGGACUUCCUGCCUAGUCUGCUCACCGAUCCUGCUUUUGACCCUGGGAUUCCCUUAGAACCCAUUAGGUCUAGUGUCGGGACUAGUGCUAGGAGGAUGUCUCCCCAAACAACCUCUACGAGCAGAAGUAAUGGUGAGGAGAGAUCUUCUGGCUCUGAGGAUACGUUGAGUGAGAAUGGCGAAGGUGACUCUGGUGAGGUGUCUCCAUCUGGAACAUCACGACCAGAAGAACGGGGUACAGUAGGAGGCAGGGCCUUGUCGCGCGAUUAUGCCAUUGAUUACAUGACGUGCACGACCUCGUUUGACGAGCUCAAUGACCUCCGGCUUAGGUAUAGCAUUCCUGGUGAGAUACCUCUCAAGGUCCCAGGAAAGAAGGAUGCUCCCAGCCGGCCUCCUAGGGGAUAUGUUACCCUGUAUCUGGACAGCUUUAAGUACGGACUGAGGUGUCCCUUGCAACCUUACUUUGCCCGGAUACUUAACGGGCUAAAUCUAGCUCCUGGUCAGCUGAAUCCCAAUGGGUGGAGAGUGCUCUCUGGUCUGUUCAUAUUGUGGGACAGAUGUUGCCAAAGCGAGCCCACGGUUGAUGAGGUGAAGCACCUGUACCAGCUAAAGAGCAGCCCCAAAGAUGCCGGCUGGUACUACUUCCAGUCUAGCACCAAGAGCAGGAAACCUAUAACCGACCUCCCUACUGGUGGUGGUGGGAAUUGGAAGAGAAAGUUCUUUUUUGCUGGGGGUCCUUGGGGUCAGGUUGCACAAAUGGACGGGAAGGAUUAUCGGGUCCCACCCCGUUUCACGGUCCCGGGUUGCCUGCUCGCUUUAGAUGUCUUGUAUCCAUAAUUGUUCUUGCUUUAUUGGCUUGUCUCUAACCAAGAGUCUGUUUGUGUUGUAGUUUCUUGGGGUGUUCACUUCCCGCUCCCACCUGACCAGCUCAAACGGGUCGAGGCUGUGCUCGCCAAUUCCUGCUCGAGCCGAGAACUGCUAACUAUAUACAACUUGCUCGAGUCUCGCUUGGUACUUCCUGGCCAUAGGAUGGAGGACGCUGUGAUUGGGGCUCUGACCCGAAAACGUUCUCGACCUCCAACCACGAAGAGGGACCAGAGUAAGGAUGCCCCUACUGCAAAGCGGGUCAACAUCGUGCAGCAAGUCUCACCCCUGAAGACUUUGCCUCCUGCUCCUGUAAAAGUCGGGGAAGCUAGUGGGGCAGCCACAGAUCAUGCUUCCUCUUCUCCUCCUGUCGGGCUCGAUCUCGUUUACCUGACAGCCGAGCAGAACACCUGGUCCUCUACCUCAAUGAGUUGUCUAAACUCGUGAGCAAGAAAGACCUGGAGGACUUCGACGGCUGCACCUUGGGUGAGUUGGUGGGGGCCAUGCAGCAUAGCGCUUUCCACCUCAGCUGCAUGACCACUUAUUACAAGGCUAAGGUUGGUCGCUACGACCGGAAAAUGAAGGGGGAUAUUCAAUCGGCGACGACCAGAGCUGACGUUGCCGAGAAGAAAGCAGGGGAGCUGAAUCUCGAGAAUCUGAAGCUGAUAGAGCAAGAAUCACUUGCUCAAGCAAAGACUAUUACCCUCGAGGAGGAGCUUACCAAGGUCAAGGAGGAUCUGCAAAGGCAGAAGGCUAUGUAUGAGGCCCAGCUCGAAUCUCUCCGCGACUCCAACCGAGCUCAGGUCGAGAACUGGGAGAGGGAGGCCGAGAAUCAGUAUGACCAGGGACUUCGGCAUUCUUAUCGUUGCAUCAUGGCCGUCAUCGGGAAGCAACACCCUGAUCUGAAGAUGGAUGACCUUGCAGCUGGUGUUGCCCAACAUAUGGACGAGGAGGCGGCCAAGGAAGAUGCUGAAGGGGUAGAGCCGGUCGUGAUCGAGGAGGAAAGUUCUCCCCCUCGUGCAGUCCCUGCUGAUGUUGGUGAGGCGAGCACCCCUCCGGACGCAACUGGUGAUACCCCCCCCGCACCUGAGGAGGUCCAGCCAACCGAUGCUGCUCGGCUUACUGAUUUACCAUCUUUUUGAUAUAUUUCUUUUUGUAUUGUAAUGAACAACGUUUAUGAAAUUUAUCCCCUCUGUUAGCCAUUAACACAUUAAUAAAAAUGUUUUUUGAUUACUUUCUCGUCUUGUAAUCAUCACUUAUUUUCCGUUUGGGAAUCUGCUCGUCUCGUCUGGUCGAGGAGGUUCUGGUUUGGCAUAUGGUUUUGCAACAUGCCUUAGAAAUUUUUUUUUUUUUUUUUUUUUGCUUGGGGAUUCUGCUUGCCUUCGCGUGGUCGAGCAGGUCCUGGCACGCUUGGCUUCAGUCUCGCCAUAAACAGGCUUUGAGACUUGGUGAGGCCUUUGCAUGCCUUAGAAAACUUUUUCGAUGCUUGGGGAUUCUGCUCGACUUCGCUCGGUCGAGCAGAUCCUGGCAUGCUUGGCUUCUGUCUCGCCAUAAGACAGGCUUUGAGACUUUGUCGAGCCUUCGCAUGCCUUAGGAAUUUCUUCAAAGCUUGGGAUUCUGCUGCCUUCUCGUGGCCGAGCAGACCCUGGCAUGCUUGGCUUCUGUCUCGCCGUAAGACAGGCUUUGAGACUUUGUCGAGCCUUCGCAUGCCUUAGGAAUUUCUUCAAAGCUUGGGAUUCUGCUGCCUUCUCGUGGCCGAGCAGAUCCUGGCAUGCUUGGCUUCUGUCUCGCCAUAAGACAGGCUUUGAGACUUUGUCGAGCCUUCGCAUGCCUUAGGAAUUUCUUCAAAGCUUGGGAUUCUGCUGCCUUCUCGUGGCCGAGCAGAUCCUGGCAUGCUUGGCUUCUAUCUCGCCAUAAGAUAGGCUUUGAGACUUUGUCGAGCCUUCGCAUGCCUUAGGAAUUUCUUCAAAGCUUGGGAUUCUGCUGCCUUCUCGUGGCCGAGCAGAUCCUGGCAUGCUUGGCUUCUGUCUCGCCAUAAGACAGGCUUUGAGACUUUGUCGAGCCUUCGCAUGCCUUAGGAAUUUCUUCAAAGCUUGGGAUUCUGCUGCCUUCUCGUGGCCGAGCAGACCCUGGCAUGCUUGGCUUCUGUCUCGCCGUAAGACAAGCUUUGAGACUUUGUCGAGCCUUCGCAUGCCUUAGGAAUUUCUUCAAAGCUUGGGAUUCUGCUGCCUUCUCGUGGCCGAGCAGAUCCUGGCAUGCUUGGCUUCUGUCUCGCCAUAAGACAGGCUUUGAGACUUUGUCGAGCCUUUGCAUGCCUUGGAAACUUUCUCGGUUUCAAGCGAAAGAAAUUCUUCGACGUUGCAUUAAUGGCAGGAUUCGACUUACAUGAAAUUGUUUGGACAUAAAACGUGAAAGAUAAAUGAUAAUGAACAUGAGCAAAAACAGCUUUCAAAUGCGAACAAGUCUUACUGGAAGUAUUUUCGGAGGUGUGCUGCGUUCCAUGGGCGUUUCACCUCGUGGCCGUCCGUGCGAACCAGCUUGUAAGCUCCGGGUCCCGCUAUCUGCUUGACUCUAUAUGGCCCUUCCCAGUUCGGUCCCAGCACUCCUUGAGUCGAAUCUCUGGUGCUCUGAUUCACUCUUCUUAGUACCCAGUCUCCGACCCUGAAUUACCGUAUGUUCACCUUCUGGUUGUAAUACCGAGUAACCCUCUGUUGGUAAACGACUGAUCGCUCGGCUGCUUGCUCCCUUCUUUCCGUUAGCAGAUCAAGAUUCAAACAUAUCUGCUCGUCAUUCUCCUGCUCAUUGAAAUGAUCUGUCCGGUGUGUGGUCGUUCCUAUCUCAGCCGGCACGACCGCUUCAUGUCCGAAAGCCAAAGCGAACGGUGUCUCCCCAGUUGCGGUUUUGUGGGUUGUUCUGUAUGCCCAUAGCACACCUGACAGCUCGUCAACCCACGCACCCUUUUUUGCUCCAAGCCUGGUUUUCAAAAGCCUCUUGAUGGUCUUGUUGGCUGCUUCUACUUGUCCAUUCGAUUGAGGGUGAGCAGGCGAGCAAUACUUCAGCUCUAUCCCGAGGUUCUGGCAGAAAUCCCUGAAGCUGUGAUUAUCGAACUGCCUGCCAUUAUCCGUUACCAAGGCAUACGGGAUCCCGUAUCGACAGACCAGGUUUCUCCACACGAAGUCUGUUGUUUUCUUCUCAGUGAUCCUGCUAAGGGCUUCUACCUCUAUCCACUUCGUGAAGUAAUCUAUAGCAACUAUUGCAUGUGUUGCUGCUCCUCGUCCCUUUGGCAAUGGGCCGAUCAGAUCAAUUCCCCAUUGAGCAAAUGGCCAAGGGGAGGCCAUGGAGGUGAGCUUCUCUGGUGGUUGGUUAGAGAAAUUUGCAAAACUUUGGCAGCUUACACAACUCCUGGUCUUCUCUUGCGCAUCCUGGUGCAUUGUCGGCCAGAAAUAUCCCUGCCUUAGAACCUUGUGGGCCAGGGACCUCCCGCCAGAAUGAUUUCCGCAAAUUCCUUCAUGUACUUCUCUCAGUACGUAAUCCGCGUCGUCCUCAUCCAAACACCGAAGGAAAGGUAGUGUAUAUCCUCGCCGAUACAGUACCCCAUCAAUCAUCGUGUAUCUCGAGGCCUGGGCUCUAAUCUUGCGAGCUCGCAGCUUAUUUGGUGGUAAUACCCCGUCUCUAAGGUAUGAAACUAUCGGGUCCCUCCACGAGCAUUUUUGUUCUAUCCGCAACACCCCCAAAUUCUGAUCGAUACUUGGGCUGGACUUCACCUCCAGAGGGACCGACUUUGGCAUUUUUGGGUCGGCUACUGCUGCCAUCCUCGCCAAAAUGUCUGCUCGAGUAUUCUGCUCCCUGGGGAUUUGUAUCACCUCCACUGCCUCGAACUUCCCCAUCAGCUGCCUGACUAUCUUCAGGUACUGCUCCAUCUUCUCCUCUCUUGGUUGGAAUCUUUCACUGACAUGAUUCGCAACCAGCUGGGAAUCAGUUCUGAUCUUAACUCUGUCUGCUUUCACGGCCUUAGCCAAUUCCAGACCUGCUAUCAAGGCUUCAUACUCUGCCUGGUUAUUUGUGGCUGCAAAUUCCAACUUUACAGCAUAAGAGAUCUCCUCCCCCUCUAGACCUUCCAAGACAAUCCCUGCUCCUGAACCCCGCUCCCCUGAUGACCAAUCCACAGACAUCUGCCAUACUUGAGUUUCGUCAUUGCCUAUAACUGCAUCUUGUUGAUCUAAGCAUACUUCGGGCUCUGUGAAUUCAGCUACGAAAUCGGCCAUUGCCUGGGCUUUUAUCGCUGCGCGGGGUUUAUAGUCUAUGUCGAACUCGCUCAGCUCUACAGCCCACUUGACGAGCCGACCAGAGGCAUCUGGCUUGUGAAGAGUUUGACGCAAUGGCUGGUUUGUUAUUACCGAGACCGGGAAUGCUUGAAAAUAUGGCCUCAACUUCCGAGCAGCAACCACAAGGGCAAGUGCCCAUUUCUCCAACGGUGGGUAUCUGGUCUCAGCGUCGAGCAGGGCCUUGCUGGUGUAGUAUAUCGGAUAUUGAACUCCUUCUUCCUCUCUCACCAGAACAGAACUGGCGGCCCGAUCCGAUACCGCCAAAUACAGAUACAACUUGUCCCCAUCCCUCGGUGUGGACAGCAGCGGAGCUUGCUGCAAGUAUUGCUUCAAGUUCCGGAAGGCUUCCUCGCAUUCUGGGGUCCAUUCUGUUUUCUUCCCCCUCCUUAUCACUUGAAAGAAUGGCUGACACUUAUCUGUAGCCUUGGAUAUGAAUCUGCUCAACGCCGCCAACCUCCCCGUGAGGCUAUGCAUCUCCUUCAGGUUACGAGGAGACGUCAUCUGCACAAUCGCCUGGAUUUUCUCGGGAUUUGCUUCAAUCCCCCUAUGGCUCACCAUGAAUCCAAGGAAUUUCCCUGACUCGACCCCGAAAGCACACUUCUCCGGGUUGAGCUUCAUCUUAUACUUCCUCAAAAGCUCGAAUGUCUCCUCGAGGUGUCCGACAUGUUCCUUUGGGAUUUUGGACUUGGUGAUCAUGUCAUCCACGUACACCUCCAUGGUUUUCCCAAUCAACGGCUUAAAGACUUUGUUCACCAGCCUUUGAUAGGUGGCCCCAGCAUUUUUGAGACCGAAUGGCAUUACCCUGUAACAGAACAAACCUUGGUUAGUGAUGAAAGCCGUGCUCUCCUCAUCCUGCUCGUACAUGGGGAUCUGGUUGUAUCCCGAGAACGCGUCCAUGAAGCUGAGCAGACCAUGUCCAGCCGUUGAAUCUACUAGUUGAUCGAUCUUUGGUAAAGGGAAGCUGUCUUUUGGGCACGCCUUAUUGAGGUCUGUGAAAUCCACACACAUCCUCCACUUGCCGUUUGCCUUCUUUACCAACACCACAUUCGAUAUCCACUCAGGGUAACUGACUUCCCGAAUAAACCCUGCUCUCAAGAGCUUCUCCACCUCGCCAUUUAUAGCCUCAUACCUCUCCUGGUUGAAGCACCUCCUCUUCUGCCUUACUGCCCGAGCACCUUUCUUUAUUGCCAGCUUAUGACAUGCUACCUCAGGGUCAAUCCCUGGCAUGUCUUCAUGUGUCCAAGCAAACACAUCAGCAUGAGCCUGUAAGCAUUUCACCAACUCCUGCUUUUGCUCUCCCUUAAGUCUCGACCCGAUUCUGAUCGUCUUUCCCGGGUUCUCUGGUCCCAGGCUUACUGUUUCCAGAUCCUCUACAGGUUCUUGUCUGCCAUUCUUGUUUUCCACUCGGGUAUCGAGGGAUGUUAUCUGCAUUGCUUCCCUUGCUGCCGAGGAGUAGCAGCUUCUUGCAAUCCUCUGGUCUCCUCGUACCACACCUACUACCUCAUUCACCCGGUACUUCAGAGCCAGAUAAUGGUUGGACAACACCGCUUUGCUCAUCCUUAAAAAUGGCCGACCUAGGAUCAUCUGGUAAGGACCUUCCUCAUCCACUACGACAAAGUCCAGUAUCAUUGUUCUUUCUGUCGGGGAGCUCCCAAUUGUGAUAGGCAGCUCGACCACGCCCAGAGGGACCAGCUUCCCUCCUCCGAACCCCUUCAAGGAGGUAUUGGUGUAUUCCAACUUCCGGUCGGCUAUUCCCAUCUCUUCCAGGGUUGACUUAAAUAACACAUCAACUGAGCUCCCUGUAUCAAUCAGUAUCCGGUCAAACUUCUUGCUAGCGACAGUAGCCUUGAUGACUAAAGCAUCCUCGUGGGGGUAUAGAAUCCCUUCCUCAUCCUCAUCCGUCCACAUGAUUGGCACUUGCCCGACCCUUGCUCGUUUGGCUGCUGGGGUGUUGAAGAGUACCUCUUUACUGGUCAUGGCGUAUCUAGCAUAAUUUUUUCUCGAUCUGUUGGAAUCUCCGGCCAAUGUUGGGCCCCCAGCUAUCACCCUUACUGCGGGUUGCUCGCGCCUCAAGUUUCUACCACUCUGCUCCCCUUCAUCUGUUGUGGCCACCAUCGGGAAAGUCCCAUCCAUAAACUCGUCCAGGUACCGAUUUCUCACAAAAUCUUCGACCUGGGUCUUGAGAUCUCUACACUCUGCUGUGGUAUGGCCAUGGGUGCCAUGGAACUUACAAUAACGUCCUCUAUCCCUCCUGUUGGGUAGCUUUGUUAUUGGUGUAGGGAGGUGCAGCAGCCCUCGAUCCUUUAUGGCCUCGUACACCUCAUCCAGGGACAUCUUCAAGGAAGUGUACCGCCCAUAGUCCUGGUUCUGGUCGAUCAGGUGCACUGCUCUUUCUCUGUUCUGCUCGUUCUGCUACUGUGGGAAUGUUGAUGAAGACCACCAGAUGCCGAAUCAUGCAUUCUCCAAGGCUCCCUAGCUGGGGAACGAGGAGGUUGCGCCCCGCUGCGCUGAUACUGCGGUGGCCUCUGAUGAGGCUGGUAAGCGGUUACCCGGCCUCCUGCUCCACUACCGGAGGCCUGGUGAUCCCUCCUCCUGAUCGGCCCAUUCCCCGGUAAUGCUUUCUUCUCUUUCCUCCCCAACCCUUCUAACUGGUCUGUCUUGAUCCGUGCAGCCUUCUCCUCUUCAAUCUCGAUGUCUCUCUUAGCCUGUUCGUAUGCGGCUGCAUACGUUUGAAUAGCUGGGCUUCUCAAAUUGUACCACAGCCUUCCUAUCUUCACCCAUUCUUUCAAUCCCCUUAACGCCUGAGGGUGGUUGAAGGCUCCCAAGUCGAGGACAGCCCGAUGAAACCUCUUGAUGAAUUCCCGAAGGGUUUCUUGCUCCCCCUGUUUCAUGCUUUUCAGCUCCAUCAUGUCGUCUUCCGGUGCCAUUGCCCCACUAAACUGCUCCGCGAAUUCCUGGCACAUCUGCUCGAAGGUUUUAAUGCUGCCCCGAGGAAGUUUCCUGUACCAUUCUCGUGCACGUCCCUCAAGGGAUAGUGGGAACACCCUGCACCUUUGGGAUUGAGAUAAUCCUUGUACCCCAGUUAUGUCGUUGAAGCGCUCUAUGUGCACCAGCGGAUCAGUUCUUCCCGAGUAUCUGAGGUCUGGGAGGCGGAAAUCUCUCGGAAUAACUGCCCUCAUGAUCUCUGCUGCGAGCGGUGAUUCUCCGUCCAGCAUUAUCCUCCAACCAGGGGCUCUGUUCCUUCCUUGCAUGUCGUCAAUUAUCUGCGCUAGUCUGCGCAAUUCCUCCUCCAGCAACCCUGCACGACCAGGGUCACGUGCUGCAACUUGAUCCCGCUCUUGCUCUACAUCAUGCAAGUGUUGCCUCAACUCUGUUUCCUCUGCAUUCACCUCCCCGUCGUCCUCGUCACAAGUCUGUCUUGCCGGGGACUGCUCUCUUUCUCUAUGAAAUUCUCCCCGUGGAGGUACGUUACCUCUCUCACCACCAAAUCUCCCUGUGGUUUGACUUCUCCCCGCACUAUCGGGACCUGGUGCCACUCCACCGCCUCUCACCCUUCCCUCUUGGGUUACCCUUCGCUCGCUCCGCAGCUCAUGCAGGAUGGUUGUCAAGGUCUCCAUCUGCUUUUCCAUCCGUUCCAUCCGGUCGAACAUGACUUUUUCCUGUGCUUCACUGACUAUCUCCCUCAGCGUCACGGAAUCGUUAAGCCUCCUAUCACCCCCUUGUGCACUACUUCCUCCUGUCUCCAUCGCUUUUCACUCGCCUCACCCCUCUUCUUGCUAUCAACAGAAGCUUUUUGCUUCGGUCUCCACAGACGGCGCCAAAAUGUUGAUGCGAGAUUCCGGUUCUCCUCGUUCUACGACCAGGAUCUCUGCUCGAUCAACUUCGUCACGACCAGGAGGUCUCCUCGCUAGGCUUCUUCUCCAGAGGUUCCUGCGUACACAGACAAGUCAGAGUACGCCGGUUGUUUUCCCGGCGCAAACCCUCCGACGCUCAAGUCAGAUAUGAAGGUUCGGGGAAUGCUUGCCACAGAUCUUAUGGCUUUUUUGUGGUUUUCUCUUCUUUUUUAUUUCUUUUCUAAUCUCAAAAAUGCCAACCCUUUUACCUCGUUGGCUACCUUUUUAUAGGCUUCGAAUCCCAGUUUUUCGCUUUUUUCGAGACGGUAUGGGACUCUGACUCCUGCGUUAUGGGCAAACGUGGGAUCUUGCGUGUUACGCCACGGUUCUGGGGAAAGCGUGUCUGUCGUGGUUCUGUGAGAUCUUGCGUGUUACGCCACGGUUCCGGGGAAAGCGUGGCUGUCGUGGUUCUGUGAGAUCUUGCGUGUUACGCCAUGGUUCUGGGGAAAGCGUGGCUGUCGUGCCUAGAUUCUCGGGCUGGAGAUCAUGUCUUGCCAACUGCCGUCGACCGGGUCUCCUCGCCUCUCGACCUCUAGCCGGAAUGAUCUUAUGCCUCUUACAGGAAAUUGGCCUCGCGGAUGACGUGCUCGUGGACGAGCAGGAUAUUUUUGCUCCUGUUCCCCCGCGCAUCAGGCUUUUACGGAACACACCGGCUCGCAGAACUCUGCCACCAGAUAUCUGCUCACCAUGCCUGGUCUCGUCGACGUAUUUCUCCCAAACAGUCUACAUGUUCAAAACAAGGAUCUGUUAAAAAAUGGAAAUUUCUUCAAUGCAUUAGUAAAGGGAAGUGAAGUGAAAGCUGAUUUCUUAGGCCUUCACAGAGUUAGGCCUUCACAGAGCAUCAUGUGUUUGAAUUCCGGUAACCUCACAAAAGAUUAGAGCAUCACCUUGACGGUUCUAGGUCUUGCAACUCAGUAACCCAACCAUUGUAUCUAAGCUGCACUGUGACAACAGGAACUCCAACUAGCUCAUAAAUAUUGUUGAAAAUUUUCAUUUCCCUCAACGAUGAUGGAAGCAAUCUUUUAAUUCCAGGGACAUCACAUGCGGCCAUUAAAUAAGAAGUUGAAUAAAGAAAAAUCGUUCAACUAAAUGAUUCAGGAGUUAAAAAAAAAUUGUAGAAGUAGAAAUAAAUAACGAAGAUUUAACCAUGAACCUGCAACAUAUGCAUCAGCUUGCACAACCUUCUUGUCAGUGGCCUGAAAUAGAAUGAGAAAUUGAAAGACAGUAAGCAUUAAAGAAUAAACUCAAAGAAGCUGCUUCUAACAGAUGAUAUAAACAAUAAAUUUACAAAUGUCAGUGUUAAGCAAAUAAAAGCACCAGGUCGGCCAUGAUACUAUUUCCACCCCGGCAUGAAUCACCUCAGCCAAAUGGUACGAGCAGAACAGGGGGUAACAUGAGCCGAUCCGAGACGAAUACUGACCAGAGCCAUAUACCGAGCCGGUACCCGUCCCCCAAAAAGUGGAAACACGAUCUCACAGAAUCACGGUAGUUGCGUUUUCCCAGAACCGUUGCGGGAGACGCGAGAUCCCAUGUUUGCCCAUAAUGCAGCAGUUAGAGUCCCAUGAGAGGCUACCACUACCCGAAAAAGGUGGGAUGAAGGGCAAACGGGAACGUGGGGACAGCGGCUAUAAAAGAAGAAGAAAUCGAUGAAGAAGGGGACAGAAAAAUGAAGAGAGGGAAAACGCUGCCAAAUUGCAAUUAGGCAUUUUUUACAAACUUCGAAACAAGUUAGAAACCAUUCUUGAAUCCAAAUUACAUUGUUUUCCCGUAAACACCUUGUGCUAACUUAGGCAUCGGAGGGUUUACGCCGGCAAAACCACCGGCGUCUCUGAUCCGUUUUUGGUGAACGCAGGUCUAGUAGGAGAGAGGAGGGUGAUUCCAACCCCAGUGGUUCGAGCAACAGUUAAUAACACGAACGUUGGUGGAGGAAUUUGGUCGGCCAAAAGGCGAGCAGAUUUAAGCAUCAACAUUUUGGCGCCGUCUGUGGGGAGCUGGAUAAAAAGCUACCACCGAAUUAGUAGUUACCGGAGAAACAGCGAACGAUUAGACAUGGAUUUGCCAAGGAAGGACGCUUUGAGGGAGGAUAACGAAUCGGGGGAGACAAUCACCCUUCGGGAAAUUGCAAAUGAAGCCCGAGAGAGGGUGAUGCAGGAUCGGUUGGAACGAAUGGAGAAGCAAAUGGAGACUCUCGCUACCAUACUGAAUGAGCUGAGAGAUGAGCGGAGAAGGGAUUGCGAAAUCCCCGUGGGGAGAGAUGAUAUUGGAGCAGAACUCAACCUCCGGAGGCGUAGAGUCGAGGAAAUCCCUCUGCCGGCGGACCAACCUUAUGGGGUGCAUCCCCACAGAAGCACUGGUCGGGUUCUUGGAGAACAAGUAGAUGAAGGGAGGAACCAACCUCGCCCCAGGCGAGUACCGGAAGCUGAUGACCGAGGGGCCAGUGCUGAUGAAGGAGAGUUAAGACAGCGGUUGCAGAAUGUCGAGCAGGAGCGAGAUCAGAUAGCUGCACAUGAUCCUGACCGUGCUGUAGAAUUGGAGGGAGAGGUGCGCAGAUUAGCGAAAGUGAUAGAGGAGAUACAGGGUAAGAGGAAGCCCCCAAGCUGGAGGAUAAUGCUAGAUGAAAAAUCUCCACUAUCAACUGAGAUCAUGGGUACCAUAAUCCCAAGAUAUUUUCGCUUCCCUGACCUCAAAUACCCCGGGCGAAGUGACCCGCUGGUGCACAUUGAGCGUUUCAACGACAUGACGGGUGUGCAGGGGCUGACACCAGCUCAGAGGUGCAGGGUGUUCCCGUUGACAUUAGAGGGACGAGCCCGAGAAUGGUACCGCAAGCUGCCCCGAGGAAGUAUAAAGGGGUAUGAGCAAAUGUGCCAGGAGUUGGCCGAGCAGUUCCGAGGGGCAGUGGCCCCAGAGGACGACAUGAUGGAACUGAUGGGGAUGAAACAGGAAGAGCAUGAAUCCCUUCGAGAUUUCGUAAAACGAUAUCACCGAGCCGUGCUGGAUCUGGGAGCUUUUAAUCACCCGCAGGCGUUGAGGGGAUUAAAAGAAGGUGUAAAAAUCGGCCGGCUGUGGUAUAACUUAAGAAGCCCCCUUGUACAGAAUUACUCGUCGGGGUAUGAGCAGGCGAGGCGAGAUAUAGAAAUCGAAGAGGAGAAAUCGGCAAGAAUAAAAAGUGAACAGCUGGACGAGCUGAGGCGAAAGGAACGGAGAGCCCCGACAGGGAGCGGGUCGGGAAAACGAGUUGGAGAAUCUUCAGUGAUGGGCGGAAUAUCGGCUCGGUCCCGCCCUUACCCCAUAGCUCCGAGGUCACAGCAGUUCCAGCACAACCGGGCUCAACCUCCGCGUCCCCCAUUUCCGGAUCGGCAACGAGAAUUCCGGCAGAUGGCUGCCCACCCCUAUCACAACACUCCCAGAGCAUCACAUGCAACCAAUUCCAGGGCUAGUCAACCAGAUCAGUUAGCGACUGUGCCAGCCCGAGGUGACAUUCAUGAUAGCCGAGCAGUUCAGCUGAUAGACCAGAGCUUGGCGUAUAGACAGUACACUCCAUUAAAGAUCUCCAUGGAGGAAUUGUAUGAGAGGAUCGAGGGACGAGGUCUGCUGUACCCUCCAGCCCCUAUAACAAAACCGGCUCACCGACGGGAAAAGAGCAAAUUCUGCAAAUUCCACGACACUCAUGGUCACACUAUCAGCCAAUGUCGUGACCUGAAAAUUCAGGUGGAGGAUUUGGUGAGAAACUGUUAUUUGGACGAAUAUGUAGAUGGAAUGUCCCCCGUCAUUGAAUCACAAUACACGCGGGAUGAAGGAGCUGAGAUGGGCCUGGAACGUGAACAGCCGACUAUCUGUGUAAUAGCAGGGGGGCCAACAUUGGCUGGGGAUUCGAACAGGGCACGGAAGAACUAUGGGAGAUAUGCCCUGACUAGCAAAGAAGUGCUUUUCAAUUUGCCGGCAACCAAGAAGGCAAAAGUGCGGCAAGUUCCCAUUAUGUGGACAGAUGACGAUGAGGAGGGUAUCUUAUAUCCGCAUAAGGAUGCAUUGGUGAUCAAGGCAAUGGUGGCCGGUACAGAAUUGCGAUGAAUACUAGUAGACACAGGCAGCUCGGUUGACAUCCUGUUUAAGUCGGCUCUAGAUGAUAUGGGGAUUGCAGACUUGAAAUUGGAGCGGACAAAUACAUCCUUAAAGGGAUUUGGAGGGGGACGGUUAACUCCCAUGGGGAUCAUCGAACUCCCAAUUACUAUGGGGACAAAGCCAUUUGAAAGAACAAUGAUGCUGGAUUUUGUCGUGGUAGAGGAAAGAAGCCCUUACCAGGUGAUACUAGGGAGACCAUUCAUGAGGAUAAGCCAAUGCGUUGUAUCCACGCAUUACUUGGCACUGAAAUACAGAGUAAAUGGGGUGGUUGGCGUAGUAAAAGGCGACCAGAGGAUGGCAAGGAGUUGUUAUGCUACAGCGGCCAAGGAGACACUGCAGGUUACUUCUCUAGAUAAUCGAGGAGAGUCUAAAAAGGGCCGCCAAGAGCCUGUUGAGAAACUGGAGGAAGUUGCGGUAAGCAAAAGCAACCCGAGCAGAGUAGUGAAGAUCGGGUCAGGAUUGGUUGGGGCAGUAAAAGGCGAGCUGAUAAAUUGCCUACAGUCUCAUGCGGAUAUAUUCGCCUGGUCUCAUGAAGAUAUGCCCGGAAUUGAUCGCGGGGUAGCUUGCCACAAGUUGGCAAUCAAGAAGGGGGCAAGGCCGGUGAGACAGAAGAGGAGAUGCUUCAACCAAGAAAGGUACGAGGCCAUAAACGCCGAGGUGGAGAAGCUGUUGAAAGCAGGAUUUAUAAGGGAAGCCAAGUACCCAGAAUGGAUUUCAAAUGUAGUCCUGGUAAAAAAGGCCAACGGGAAGUGGAGAAUGUGUGUGGACUUCACGGACCUCAAUAAGGCAUGCCCAAAGGACAGCUUUCCCCUACCCAAAAUAGAUCAGCUGGUGGACUCAACAGCAGGUCACAGUCUGCUGAGUUUCAUGGAUGCCUUUUCUGGAUACAACCAAAUACCCAUGGACGAGCAGGAUGAGGAAAGCACUGCCUUUAUAACUAACAUGGGUUUGUUUUGCUACAGGGUAAUGCCUUUCGGCCUAAAAAAUGCAGGAGCCACCUAUCAAAGGUUGGUAAACAAGAUCUUCCAACCGUUGAUUGGACACACUAUGGAGGUAUAUGUGGAUGAUAUGGUUACAAAGUCCAAAGAGCCGAGGGAUCAUGUGAAGCAUCUAGAAGAGACCUUUGAAUUACUGAGGAAGUAUGAGAUGAAACUAAACCCGGAGAAAUGUGCAUUUGGGGUCAGCUCGGGCAAGUUUAUGGGAUUCCUGGUAAGCCACCGAGGGAUUGAGGCCAACCCCGAAAAAAUACGAGCGGUUACAAAUAUGAGAUCUCCGCGGACAGUUAAAGAGGUGCAGAGCCUUAUAGGGAAGUUGGCAGCAUUGAACCGAUUCAUCUCGCGAACCACAGAUAAAUGCCACCAUUUCUUCCAAAUCAUAAAGAAAGGGAGAAAGAUGAAAUGGACAUCAGAGUGCGAGCAAGCAUUUGGGCAGCUAAAGGAAUAUCUGGCCCGUGCACCGUUACUGUCAACUCCGAGAGAGGGUGACCAGCUGCUUUUGUACUUGGCAAUCUCCAAGCAGGCUACCAGCUCGGUCUUAGUCAGGGAAGAAGAAUGGAAGCAACACCCGGUAUACUACAUGAGCAAGGCCCUGGUGGACGCAGAAACCAGAUAUCCACUAAUGGAGAAGUGGGCGCUGGCUCUGAUAACGGCAGCACGCAAACUCCGACCAUAUUUCCAAGCCCACCAGAUAGUUGUGAUGACUGACCAGCCCCUUCGGCAAGUGCUUCAAAAACCAGAUGCGUCUGGUCGGUUAGUAAAAUGGUCAGUGGAGCUGAGUGAAUUUGACCUGACCUACAGGCCCCGAGGAGCAAUCAAGGCCCAAGCCCUGGUAGAAUUUAUGGUAGACCGAGCUGAGCCAGGGGAAAGAGAUCGGGAGGAGCAACCGUUAGAGCAGGAGAAAACAGAAGGGGUGUGGUUAGUAAUGGUUGACGGAUCCUGUAGUGAGCAAGGAUCCGGAGCNNNNNNNNNNNNNNNNNNNNNNNNNNNNNNNNNNNNNNNNNNNNNNNNNNNNNNNNNNNNNNNNNNNNNNNNNNNNNNNNNNNNNNNNNNNNNNNNNNNNNNNNNNNNNNNNNNNNNNNNNNNNNNNNNNNNNNNNNNNNNNNNNNNNNNNNNNNNNNNNNNNNNNNNNNNNNNNNNNNNNNNNNNNNNNNNNNNNNNNNNNNNNNNNNNNNNNNNNNNNNNNNNNNNNNNNNNNNNNNNNNNNNNNNNNNNNNNNNNNNNNNNNNNNNNNNNNNNNNNNNNNNNNNNNNNNNNNNNNNNNNNNNNNNNNNNNNNNNNNNNNNNNNNNNNNNNNNNNNNNNNNNNNNNNNNNNNNNNNNNNNNNNNNNNNNNNNNNNNNNNNNNNNNNNNNNNNNNNNNNNNNNNNNNNNNNNNNNNNNNNNNNNNNNNNNNNNNNNNNNNNNNNNNNNNNNNNNNNNNNNNNNNNNNNNNNNNNNNNNNNNNNNNNNNNNNNNNNNNNNNNNNNNNNNNNNNNNNNNNNNNNNNNNNNNNNNNNNNNNNNNNNNNNNNNNNNNNNNNNNNNNNNNNNNNNNNNNNNNNNNNNNNNNNNNNNNNNNNNNNNNNNNNNNNNNNNNNNNNNNNNNNNNNNNNNNNNNNNNNNNNNNNNNNNNNNNNNNNNNNNNNNNNNNNNNNNNNNNNNNNNNNNNNNNNNNNNNNNNNNNNNNNNNNNNNNNNNNNNNNNNNNNNNNNNNNNNNNNNNNNNNNCCAAAGCUUCUCCGAAGUUCCUGUUCAAUCCUCAGAAAAGCUGACCACAAUGACAUCCCCAUGGCCUUUUGCCCAAUGGGGAAUCGACCUGAUUGGCCCAUUACCGAAAGGCUGAGGAGCGGCAACCCAUGCAAUUGUAGCAGUAGACUACUUCACCAAGUGGAUAGAGGUGGGGGGUCCUUAGGCAAAUCACGGAGAGAAAGACAACGGAUUUUAUCUGGAAGAACAUCAUCUGCCGAUAUGGGAUCCCCUAUGCCAUCAUUACAGACAAUGGGAGACAGUUUGACAACAGCAACUUCAGAGAGUUUUGCCGAAAUUUGGGGGUGGACCUGAAGUUCUGCACCCCCGCACACCCCCAGGCAAACGGACAAGUGGAAGCAGCCAACAAAGUGAUAAAGAAGCUCUUGAAAACCAGAUUGGGAGAGAAGAAGGGAGCUUGGGUUGACGAGUUACCAGGGGUAUUGUGGGCUUACCGGACAACUCACAGAACUGCUACAGGGGAAACCCCGUUCGCUUUAGCUUUUGGUCAUGAGGCAGUAGUCCCAGCAGAGAUUGGAGUGGGGACACAUCGAACGGAAUAUUUCGCUGAGGAACAAAAUGACGAGCAGAUCUGCCUAAGCCUGGACCUACUUGAGGAGAAAAGGGAAGGGACCUCACAGAAAGUGGCCCAGUGUCAGCAAAGGGUCACGCGUUAUUACAACAAGAAUGUACACGUGAGGUAGUUCCGAGCAGGAGAUUGGGUACUUAGGAAGGUGAAUCAAAACACUAGGGAUCCCAACCAUGGAGCUCUUGGCCCAAAAUGGGAAGGCCCGUAUAGAGUAAUACGAGCAACGGGACCAGGAGCUUAUAAGCUAGCAUACCCAGAUGGGCGAGACGUGAAGAGGUCGUGGAACGCCGAGCACUUAAAGAAGUAUUUCCAGUAAGCAAAAUACUCUACUAAAUCUUCAAUUUGAUAAGUUAUAUUUGUCAAAUGCAUGGUGGCUUGGUGCACAUGCAUAUAUUUUGUAUUUUUGUAACGCAUUCAAAUUUCAAUAAAGAUGAAUUCAGCAUGAAAUCCCCCGGCUAAUAAGCCCAUCAAAAAUUUACCAAGGCAAGUAAGUGCCUGCUUCUGCUCGGUCAACGAAAGACCAGCAGCUAAUUCUACAAAAAAUCUUACUAAGGCAAGUAAAUGCCUACUUCUGCUCGGUCAACGAAAGACCAGCAGCUAAAUUUAUGAAGAUUCUACUAAGGCAAGUAAGUGCCUACUUCUGCUCGGUCAACGAAAGACCAGCAGCUAAUUCUACAAAAAAUCUUACUAAGGCAAGUAAGUGCCUACUUCUGCUCGGUCAACGAAAGACUAGCAGCUAAAUUUACGAAGAUUCUACUAAGGCAAGUAAGUGCCUACUUCUGCUUGGUCAACGAAGGACCAGCAGCUAAUCCUACAAAAAUCCUACUAAGGCAAGUAAGUGCCUAGUUCGGCUCGGUCAACGAAAGACCAGCAGCUAAAUUUACGAAGAUUCUACUAAGGCAAGUAAGUGCCUACUUCUGCUUGGUCAACGAAGGACCAGCAGCUAAUCCUACGAAAAUCCUACUAAGGCAAGUAAGUGCCUAGUUCGGCUCGGUCAAGGAAGACUAGCAACCAGUUUUACGGAAAUUUUACUAAGGCAAGUAAAUGCCUACUCCUGCUCAGUCCACUAAGGAACCAGCAGGCAAAAUCAGAUAAGUUGUCCAAUUGUUUUUCAGAAACAAUCUAUGAGCAAAAACCGGACAAGAAAGCAAAUAAAGAGCAUCUAAAAAUUUAUAAAUGUUCAAUUGUUUACAAAACAAAUGCAAAUCUAGAGUUUAUACAAAAAUAGGCUCAAAGCUUAGCAGAGUCAACGGCUCCAGCAGCUGAAGGAUCAGCGAGCUCAGGAAGUAAGGGAUUAGCAACAUUAGGAGGUGGGAGAUCAGCAAUGCCGGGAGGAGGAGGCAUGGACCCUUGACCCACUUCGAAAGUGCGUCCCCCAACUUCCCCCUCUUGCACCCCAUCCAAAGGAGCCUCCACCUGAUCCUGCUCACCCUGCUCCUUGUCCGCCUGGCCGACCUCUGCCAUAUACCGCUGCACUCCAGCCUCUAACUUGCUCAUGUCCAGCUCGGGAUAUUCCCCCUGAAGCACAUACAUGAUACACUUAUAGGAGAAAGCAACCCCCGAGUCAUACUCGGCAUCCAACCGAUCGCCCACAUCAGCGGAUUUGCCUUUCUCCUCAGCCAGCUGCUCAUUCAGGGAUUUGAUUUCUCCCUCAAGGGCGGUCCUCAAAGUAUCUCUUUCACUUUGAGUUACCUGAAGGUCCGACUUCAGGCCACCCAACUCACCCUCAAACUUGGAGGCAGUAGACUCAGCAACUGCAACUUUCUCCUCCAGCUCCGUAAUCUGCUUGUUCAGCUCGGCUAGUUUCUCCCUGGAGCGGUCAGCAGAUUCAGCUUUCUUUUUCAACUCCUGAUUAUCAGCUUGAAGCUUCUUCUCAUGACGCGCGGACUUGGUCUUGUAGCACGAGACCAUUGUGGCCAGCCUGAAGGAGACUCUCUGAACAGAAGCAGCUAACUCAGAGAGGCUCAUGCUCUCGAUGUCCUUCACCAUCUUGGGCCCAACCGAUUUUUUAUAAUCCUUCUGAUAUGGGCUCAGGUAGUCACCUUGAUCCCGAGAUGGGAGAGGAGAAGAUCGGUCCCCAGACUGCAAGCUGACCUCAGGACUCUUGUCGGAGGUUUUCUCCCCACCACUCUUAUGAGGUGGAGGAGGGGGCAGAGCAGGAACAGGCGCCUUGGAAGGACCGACGCUGGGUUUCUUUGGAGGAGGAGGAAGGUUGCUGGAGCUACUCGGAGCCCGACCACGCUUCCUGCUCAUCGCGCUGAGGAUCUUGUUAUCCAUUCCAGCGGCUAUGUCCACUAGGCCCGAACCGACCAGGUUUGUUGGCGACAGGAGGUCUUGGCAGGUAGACGCGUUCAACAGAGCAGUUUCCACCUGAAGCAAAGGUCGAUCUUCAAGCCCCCCGAUCAAACCCCACGACUCUGAAAUAGCAAAAGAGGUUAAAGAACUCGAUAAGUGACAAUUUGAGAAAGAAUAUAGGCAAAAAAUGAACGACCUGGGGUGACAAACUGCGUUGGAAGGUAAAUAUCACCACCCAACGAACGGAGUGCUGAACACCACUUUCCCCCAGCAAAGAAGAAUUUGUUCUUCCAAUUUUUGCACGAGGAGGGGAAACCAGUGAUUGGCUUUCUCUUCGCAGAACUAGACAUGAAGUAGUACCAGCCCGCCUCCUUUGGGUUGCUCCGCAGCUGAUACAGAUGUUUCACUUCAACAAGGGAAGGCUCCUCCGACCCGCACCUCUCCCACAAUACAAACAUUACCGAGAGAACCCUCCACCCGUUCGGGUGUAGCUGACCUGGGGCCAGGUGCAUACCCCCCAAUAUUUUGGCAAAAUAACGCUGAAGGGGCAGCCGAGCUCCUAGUUUGAAACUCUCUAGGUGCAUUGUCACAUACCCCCGCGGAGGCGGACUAGGAACGUCACCCUUCCCAGGAACUACAAGGAGAACCUCCUCAGGAAUGUCGUAGAGGUUCCUAAGCUUGAAUAAGUCAGUUUGGGUGGUGGCACAAGCUAUGUAAUCAAUAGGGUAGGAAUCAGCCUCCACCCUAUGGCCAAGAUUCCUUUUCUUAGUAGGUCCGCUCGGUCCGGAACUGCUCCCCUCACCAUCGCCAACUCCUUCAGGGAUCCCAACCCCACCAGAGCUGUGGUUCUCACCAGAUCCCGACGCAGGUCCACCUCUAUUCCCUACAAGCUCUAGUUCGGGAGAGAAAGAGACAACCAAGGGGCGUGGGUACUCAAGGGUAUCCCUGCCAUGGGGAGGACCUACACUACUGGAGGGACCUAAGAAAUCGGUGGGUAUUGACAAGUUGAGGCCUAAAUCCCCUGAUUCUUCAUCACCCUCAUCAACAAUUAACUUUCUUUUCCGGUUUGACAUAUCGGAACCCCAAAAGAAAACAAAGAAAACUCGAAUAUACGGGUACAAAAGGGGGCAACACGGAACCCAAUCAACAACAACCAGAGAAGAGAUUAAAAGCAGUACCUGAAAUGAACUGGCCCUGAUAGCGCUGCCGUGACAGAGAAAAAACCAGCAAGUAGAAACUCCGGACACAGGAAGUGUGAGUAAAGUUCAGAAAGGGGGUAGGUUAACGACGGAGAGACGAGUAACAAAACGAUGACGAUGUAAGUCUAGGGAUUUGAAACGGAAAGGGGGAAAUGAAAGCAUUUAAGUGAUGGAGACGCCAGCUCACUCACCGUACAUCGAGGACAGAUAGUCCGUCGUUUCAAAUUUCAAAUACGAAGAAUCUGGAGAUGCCACGUCACCAACCGUUACAAGAGGCCAGGCUAGAUGCAAGCCCAGAUACGCAAUGAACAUGCUCAUUUAGGCCCACGCCCAGAUCAAAAUCUCCCCUGAAGAAAAAUGAUACCUCAGGUCCGUCCCGGUAGACAGAAGACCAGAGGAGAAACCCCCGGAUUGGUAAGAGCCGACUAUCAGUUUCUACUCUUGACUCAUUUCACUCACAAGACCAGAAACUGGGGGACUGGUGUUAAGCAAAUAAAAGCACCAGGUCGGCCAUGAUACUAUUUCCACCCCAGCAUGAAUCACCUCAGCCAAAUGGUACGAGCAGAACAGGGGGUAACAUGAGCCGAUCAGAGACGAAUACUGACCAGAGCCAUAUACCGAGCCGGUACCCGUCCCCCAAAAAGCGGAAACACGAUCUCACAGAAUCACGGUAGUUGCGCUUUCCCAGAACCGCUGCGGGAGACGCGAGAUCCCACAUUUGCCCAUAAUGCAGCAGUUAGAGUCCUAUGAGAGGCUACCACUACCCGAAAAAGGUGGGAUGAAGGGCAAACGGGAACGUGGGGACAGCGGCUAUAAAAGAAGAAGAAAUCGAUGAAGAAGGGGACAGAAAAAUGAAGAGAGGGAAAACGCUGCCAAAUUGCAAUUAGGCCUUUUUUACAAACUUCGAAACAAGUUAGAAACCAUUCUUGAAUCCAAAUUACAUUGUUUUCCCGUAAAUACCUUGUGCUAACUUAGGCAUCGGAGGGUUUACGCCGGCAAAACCACCGGCGUCUCUGAUCCGUUUUUGGUGAACGCAGGUCUAGUAGGAGAGAUGAGGGUGAUUCCAACCCCAGUGGUUCGAGCAACAGUUAAUAACACGAACGUUGGUGGAGGAAUCUGGUCGGCCAAAAGGCGAGCAGAUUUAAGCAUCAACAGUCAGAUCAUUGCAUUAGCUCUAUGCCUCCAUCAGAGGGAAUAUUAAUAGAUGCAUAAAAAAAUAAUUAGAACCAUGUGAGAAACAAUUACCUUAGACAUGGCAACUCCUUUGACAUAUGUUUCUCCAUUAGCAGAUUUAUCAUAAAGUAUCUCUCUGCAUCCCCACCUAAGAUGGAACCUGUUCUAGCAAAAACAGACCCCAAGGUUAGGAAAAUCAGUUCAUCAUAGGAGAAAACAAACAAGAUUAACAAAUCACUGCAAUGAUGUGAACCUGUAAAUAGAAAUUUACCUGCCCCCUUUAUCUGUGAUAUGUUUUCGUAUGGGCCCACUCAAAUAAACGUCUGGAGAACCCUUGAGCAUCCGCAAUAGGGAAGCCUCAGUCUUAGUCGCAAACAGUGCGAAUAUAGUGAGCAUACAACAAGCACUGAUGUUAUCACAGUCAAUAAACCCAAGGGCAUAAGCAACAGGAUCCCACAUUCUCUGAAUACUCGUCCGUGUCCCACCUUUGGACAAAAACCAAUCAGAGAAGCUUAUCUGUAAGAAGAAAUGAAGUUUUAGGUAAGAUAACAAUUUGUAGGAACAAGGAUUGAUAUUAAAACAAACUAGAAAAUAAGAUGUCAUUCUUACACUAUCAACGAGUGCCUUUACAACAGGACUCAGAGCAAGAGCAAGAGCAUUUCUUGCUUUAUCAUAAGUCUGCACUUGAGCAAUACAUGAGGCAAAGUACAUCAAAAGAGAAUCCAAAAGAAGCAAGAAGUUUCAACAUGAAAGAAGAAAUAUUGUCUCAUCAUACUGCUGACUAAUCAGAUUGCAAAAGAUUACAUCAACAUAAUCAAAAUGGAAGAUAAAUCCAUAUGCACUACCUUAAGCUAAUUUGUAGACAAAAAUGCAUGAAUCCCAUGUACGGGAGCUCCGACCGGAAACCGAAAAUCAAGUUCUGGAGUUAAAAAUCAAAAUCAUGAACUGAAUCAGAGAUAUUAUUGGACCAGAGAAUCCAUAAACCAAUUUCAGAGUGUCCAACCACCAAACAAACUAUCAGUAGUCUUAAGUGAUCAAGAAAUAACCAUACCACCAAUUUCACCACCCUUAUUCACAAGUGUACGAGUAUGAUCCUUCAUGAGUAAAUUUUUGUCCGCGCUGACCUGUAGACAUCCAUGAAAAACUAUCAGAAUAUAAACACAGGGUCAAUUUAAAGAGGAGCUAUGAUUAUGAUCCAUCGUGAUAUUUGAAGAACAUUUUCAUAUUUUCCUACAACAAGUAAACUAUAACCAGUUAUCAUCACUAUAGAUGGCAUGGUCAAGAGGAAUUAUAGUUCUUGUUUCAAGAAUCUCAAAUCAUAAUUCCUUUGCAUGGCUAGUGUGCUUUUUAUAAUCAUUCAAACACACAUAUCCACAACUAAGCAAGCUUUACCUUUUUCAUCAAUCGGAACAGAUUAUUGUAGCAUCCAAAGAAAAUGUGCAGGCCCAUUUCAAUAUGGUUUCCAUGUUUAUCAAUAAAAGAACCCACUUUACCACCAAUGAAAGACCUUGACUCAUAUAUAUCCACCUGGAAGAGGGGGGCGGGGCCAUCAAUAAAAUCAGUAAAACACAAACUAAUUCAAAAUGAAAUAAACUUUGUGAAUUGAAAUAAUGCCUGCCCUAAAGAAAAUGAUAACUGCUAUUCAUUUUUCUGAACUGCUGAUAAAAGCUUCUGUGUACUAAUUCAAAAUGAAAUAAACUUUACCUAAAAAAAAUGCAUGAUUAGAAUGAUUAAAGAUCAUUUGAUGAGGAGUUUCAUCAUUAACUGUGUCGAAACACAGCAGCAAUCCACAAUACACUUAACACGAGAGGGGCACACAAGCAUGCAUGAAUCUUCCACCAUUAAACCUGAAAUCAUAAAAUAAAAGAAACAAGAUGAGUGUUGUUUUACGGUCUGAAAGCCGAUUCCAAAUAAUAAUAAUAAUAGUAAUAGUAAUAGUAAUAGACCUUUGUUAAUAAUUUCUACUAGUUGUCUCUGCCUUUUGCAUCUUCCUCCUUUGUAUCAUCGUCCUCUUCCAAUCACACGGCUAGACCAGUAUGUCUCGAGAAUCUCUACUGCCUUCUCAGAGAUGCCGUUGUCGUCAUGACUUCGUAGAUUUUCAAUCUUUUCUAAUCCCUCAGCCUCCUCAACCAACUGGGCAUAUUGAUUAAAAUCUCCAACGGUACCCGUAUUCAUUUCAGCUACCCCGACCUUCAAAAUGUUCUCUAAUCCUUCUACGCAAACAGUGGCGAUCUUUGGAUCAGCGCAUAGAAGCAGAUCACACAAUGGUUUUAUACACCCCUCUCUCACGAGGUACUUGAUUUGCUCAUGAGUGCCACCUGAGAUGGCAUUUGAAAUUACCCAAGCGGCCUUCUCCUUUGUAUCAAAUUCAGCAUUUUGAAGUAGAUUGACAGUGGGACCAAUUAAGCCGGAAUCAAUUACCGCCUGAAUCUGCUCCCCGUUUCCAGCUGUAAUAUUUGAAAUAAUCCAGCUGACUUCCUUCUUGAUGCUCUCUUCAUGCUUAUGGACCAACAUGUCCAAAAGGUAUGGCAGUGCACCACAGUUAAUUAUACACUGAGUCUGGAAAUCGUUCCCCAUCACAAUAUUUCCAACAGUCCGCAGGGCAGGGGUAAGCACUGAGGAUGAUGGAUGACCAAGGAGCUCAACAAGUCGUCGACAGACACCUGCCUCGAUCACAGCUUGAAUUUUGUCAUUCGUACCAUCAGAAAGAUAGGAGAGUGUCCAACAGGCGUCACUCAACACCUCUUCAUCAUCUAAAUGAAUAAGCUGUGCAAGUGCCGGAAGAGCUGGCCUUACCUGAUCAAAUGGUGGUUCUGGCUUGCCCUUGCAUAAAUUAGACAAUGUCCUUGCGGCAAUUCUCAGCAUUGAAAGCUUAGCAUGCUCAUUUAACUCUGCCAGCAAUGGAAUCAAAGCUCCUUCACCAAGCACUAGAUCACGGCAUCCAGAUGAGUCACCAGCAACAUUUCCCAAUGCCCAAACAGCCUGCUCGCGGACAUCAUCACUUGGGGAAGCAAGCAGCUUCACAAAUAUUGGAACGGCACCGUGGUCAAUCACCACCUUAAUGUUCUCUGAAGUUCCAGAAGCAAUGUUUGAAAGAGCCCAAGCAGCCUCAUACUGAAGUUGCGGAUAGUCUUCCCUCAUAAGAAACUCAACAAAGCGCGGGACAACGCCAGAUUGUAUGACUUUAUCAAUUUGUGGACUCCUCUCAAUCGAAAGCAGUUUGCUGAACUGAGUAGUUGCUUCCAGCUGCAAGCCGCUGUCAUCUGACCAAACCCCAGCAACCAUCCCGGGUAAACUCGCAUACUUAUUUUAGGAGCAGGAGCAAGAGGAGGAAAUUAAGUUAGGGAUUUGGAGUGAGAGUGAAAGUGGAGAAAAAGCAAGAGAGGGAAAAAGCUAAUUGUUGAGAAAUAUAUACCUUUCGUAUGGUUGUGUUAAGGUCGUCCUUCCAAUCCCAACAUGCUUCACCCCGCCGCUGCACUUUGUGUAAUUUGGGUGUACUUAAUUUUCCUUCAGAGAAAAUUUUCAUAUUGGGGCAAUUAUCCACCACUAAUCUUUCCAAAAAUGGGAACUUGAAAGCACAAUUGCCAGAGCAGAAGCUUGUCAGGUAUUUUAAGUCUAAAAGCUUCAACUCCUUCAAUUCUCUGAAAGUAAUAACCUCAUCUUGUGCUACAACAUCAUCCACCAGUACUAUUUCUGUUAUCUCAUCGCAUGAUUCUAUCUCCAUAUAUCUAAGUCGCACCAGAGUCUUUGCAAUUGAGGGUGUUAAUACGAUUUUCAAGCCUUCGCAACAAUACGAUUUUCAAGCCUUCGCAACACGAUACCACCAGAUUUGCAAGAUUCUGAAAGGAUGUCGAGGAUGGCACUAGAUUGACCAAACGGUCACACCCCAUUACGCGUAGAAAAACCAAGUUGUUCGUAACAGAAGACUCCUCUAUCAAAAUGUUCUCCAGAUCAUAACAAUUAUAUGCUUCGCUUAUUUCUACCCUCAUCCCAUUUUCAACCUUCUCUUCCGGCAACCAAGCACCAUGUCCUCCUAUUUGGAGGACUUUCAUUGUGUGAAGUCUCUGGAGGAAGUCACCAAGUGAUAAAAUAGUCCGCUCAUCACCUAACUCCACAGAAAGAUAUUUUAGUUUGCAAAGCAAGCCUUCAGAAAAUAGAUACUUAUUUGUUACUACGUGCUUUGCAUCAACUUCCAACUUUUCCAAAUUAGGGAAUACCUGGGAGAUCAAUCAGAACCCCAAAAAAAAAAAAAAGAAAUACAAGAUGAAUCAAUUGAUGAGAAAUAUAAGUUACCACUAAUUUAUAAAAUAUAUUUUAUUCAAUAAAUCUUAACCUUUAAAAAAAAUAGUAAUAAUAGUACGCCUAACAUCUAGAAUAAUUAUGAAUGAAUACCAUACACUAAUCUGUAAGAGAGUUACGUAGCUGACAAUUUGACUUUUAGUAAGAAACCAAGCAAUGAAGGCAAAGGCAAUAUAACUCUAAGCUAUAUGAUAUAAACUUUCACAGUACAUACAUAAGAAUUGAAAAUUUGAUUAUAAAAUUCUUGUACGUACCCUUUCCGUCAAGAUAUUAGUAGUUCUUUUGUAUCUCGCCAUGAAUUCAGGACAUGCAGAUAUCCAUAAUCCUUUCAAGGAUGGAAAUUCAAGAAUAUCAAGAUCUCCAGUGCAGAAGCUUGUGAACUUUUCAAGACCAGACAUCUUCAGAUAUUGCAACUGGGGAAACGUUACAAUAUUAUUCGUCAUUUCUUCUUGGUUGUCCACGACUAUUAACUCUUCCAAGACGGGACAUCUGACUAUCUCAAUGCUUUGGAGUCGAACAAAGCUACUAACAGUAGAAGAUGAAAAUAUACAUCUUAAAUUCAUACAUCCGUGCAGGAUCAAGUGUGUUAAAUUCUUAAUACCACAAGACAUGGCUGUAACUUGGUUUUGCCAAAUCCUUCCAACGUUUAUUGAAUACAACUCCAAGUUCUCCAAAUUUGGUAAUGCAACCUGUUCGAUCAAAAAGUUAACUUGUUAAUUACAAGCAACAAUGAUUUCUGUUGAUGGACAAAUCAAUAAAAUUACUCUUUCUCUGGUUAUAGUUCUUUUCAGUUUUUCAUACAAACAACCGUUAAUCAAGUUUUCCAAAUUAUUCCUUACAAAAUGUAUAGAUUUAGAGGGCGGAUAAUAUAAUUCAUAUUGCAAAAAUUCUUUGAUUGUAACGAAUUUUGUAAAAUUAAAUUUUGGUUGAUUCGCAAUAGGACCUACUAUCCAGCGCGAGCAGUUCUCGGGGAUUUAACUACUGGCACCUCGAUUAUAUAAAAAUUUGGAAUAUUUUCAAAGGAAAUCACAUAAUUCCCCCUUGCAAAUAGUAAUUAUCAUCAAUUGCCGCGGGUUCACAUAUAAUUCUAAGAAAUUAGGCGAGAAGAGUCUCAUCAACAAUCAAUCAGCAGAUAUCACGUUUGGCAGAUCAUCAUGAUUUCCUCAGAUGCUAGAGAAUCAACGUGAUUUCCGCUCAUGCAGGAGUGGACACAUUAUCUUAGAGCAUCCCUCACUGAGAUCUUUUAAAAAAUUUAUAUUAUAAAGUGAACAACAUAUUUAGUAUAGAUUUAGACGGCGGCUAAUAUAAUUUAUAUGUAUUCUAAUGACGUAUAUUAAAGAAAAUGACUAACCAUAAUUUCAAUCAACUUAUAUAUAUAUAUAUAUAAUAUUCAGUGAUUACAACAUAUUUAGUAUUUUGUAACAUGAUGUUUAUAAUAAUAAUUAUUAUUAAUUCACUUAUUGUGUCGAGUACCUUUUCUUUCUCUAAGAAUGUAUUUGUUACACCCUACUAUACUUCGGAUGAAAAAUUUAGAAUAAUUGUGAAAUAUGAUUAUUAAUCACUCUUUGCCAUAUUUGCUACCAAACAAGAAUGCAACAAAGAAAAAAAAAACAAAAAUUAUAGAGAAUUAAUAAGACCAUUGACUUAUCAAUAAUUGACCUUGUCAGCGAAAAGUGUAUUAGAAAUUUGGACAUUGUCCUCCAAAAUGAUUUCAUGUGACCGCAAAUCAUUAGCUGAUUCCUCCUGUCUCUGCUAACAUUGCAGGUGUAUUGAUUUUAGAGUGUAAGCUUAAUUGUGAGCACAACCUUAAUGCAUAGAUACAAGAUCUUUAAAAAUUAGUACAAUAAACUUAGCACUAAAUCUAAAUUUGAUAUUUUGGAUUCUAUGAUUAAGAUUUUUUUUAAAUGAAAAUUUAAUAGAGUUAAUUUAAAAAUAAAAAUUAAAUAUGAAAAAUUAGACUUGCAAUUAUGGAUUUAAUUUUGAUAAAUAAUGAAUGUUCUCUUAAUAUUUUUUUUAAAAGGUAAAAGAGCGUACAAAGCCCAAAUUCAUUUUUUUAGUCCCUUACUCUCCCAUGAUUCAAACUUGGGUGGUUGUAGGACUGAAAAUAUAUAAGACAGUUAACUUUACUUUUUUUUUCUUUUUUGUUUAGAGAAAAGAGAAGAAGGAUAUUACAAAGCAUGAAGCUCGUGCAAUAUAAGGGCAAUUAUGGUUUUUUCUUUAAAUUAAAAUGGUAAGAUUCUGAAGCUAAAAGAUUAAAAUAUUAAUUAAAUUACAAACAUUAAAGAUUUUUUUUUUUCAAAUGGUUGCUUUGAAAAUGAGAAUAAUAUAAUAUUUGAAGACUUUUCAAAAUUAAUUACUGUGAUGCACUAGAAAUUUCUAGCUUUAGUCUAAUGUAUAAAUUGACAAAACGAUAUUAGAAUCCCAGGAGAAAAGAACCCUCUCAUACCAAUUAUUUAAAUUAGGAAUGAUCAUACCUUUGACUCUGCCGGAUUGAGGGCGAGGUCUGAACCCUCCAGACGGAGACGCUUGAGAUGGGAAGAGCCCACUUUGACUAAUUCAUUACGAAAAUAAUCGACAUCUUGCUCUUGCAAUUCACUUAACUCAAGGUCUUCAAUUCUCUGCAGUUGCACGAUCAGCGAAUCCUUCAAGCAAAUCUUGUUAUUUAGCUCGACUCUGAAUUGACGACACCAAAUGCCGGUUUUCCUCGAAAAAUAACGUCGAAUAUAUAUGCUGUACCUUUCCAGCUUCUCCAAGAGCAGGCCUCUGGGCAGACUGCUGACGUCACGGACGUGUACUUCCAAAGAGGUCAAGUUGGGCAAAUGCUUCAAUUCCUCAAGGCUUGCAUUCUUAACCCCUUCCACCUCCUCCUCCCAAUCAACAAAGCUUUCACGACCUAUAUAUAGUUCUUCUAAAUGUGAUAAUUUUGACAGUAUAUUUGGUGGAAUAACUUUCAGAAAACAACAAUCCCUCAAAUCAAGCAACUUUAGCCAAGUCAAUUCACCUACUUCUACUGGCAACUUCACAAUAUCAGAACCUCUUAAGCAAAGGAUUUCUAGUUUCUUCAAGUAUCCUACAAAACUUAUAUCAGGCAAGCCGCAGCUACACAAACUCAGUGUUCGAAGGUUUGACAGGAGACCAAGUGAUGAAGGCAGUAUCAUGUCAGUCAAGUUUACAACUCUGACCUCGAUCAUGCUCUUGAAAAAGUUGUCUGGAAUUGUUACUGGUGAAGUUUCCCAAGGAUCAUCACGACCACCACCACGUAUAAAAAGAAGUUCGAGUUGAGGACAUUCCAGUACUUCAGGAAGCAAAUUAGGCUUAAUACCAUGUAAGACGAUUGAAGUGAAAUGCUUUAUUGUACUUCCGUCUGACCAUUCCCUGCAACCAUCAACCUGCUCAUUUGUAGCAGUAAACACAUUUCGUUUAGUAGAUGCAAUUGAUAUGGCGACAUGGCGAACUACAUCAUGCAUAGAAAACAACUCUUCCUUCUCGCUUUCAUGGUCAAGCAACAUACAAGAAGCUUUGAGUGUGCGCACCAAUGCAUGUACUCGAUUUCGUGCUGCUUCCAUCUUAUUCACACCUUGAAAUAAACCCAAUCCCAUACCACACAUUAACAAGUCAUCAAUAGAUGCUAUGGCUGUAUAUCCUAUUAGCAAAAAGAUGUUCUUGAGAUCAUCCCUUCCUAGUUUAUUGUAGCUCAACUCGAUAGCUUUAUAUGCAGCUGGCUGUACAUCCUUAAAAUGGAACACAAGUGACCACAACAAGAUGGAACAAAAUAAAAAGGAAAAAAAUACAAAGAGUGGAUGGAGAAUAAAACAGAGACAGCGGCACAGCUGGACACAACUAGAUAGAGAACAGAGCAAAACCAAAUAACAAGACUUAAGAUUACAACAAACUGUGAAGAUAGCUCAUUAUGGAGAAAGAAGCAAUGGAAAGCAGAAGAAGGAAAAGCUUAAGUUGAAGCAGGAUACAGAGUAUAGUAGCAGCUCAGUUGCCAGCUCAGCAUAGUUAGUUUCAGUUCGUUAGAAGUGCAAAAUGUAUUGUGAUGAGUAUUAGCUAAUAACUUCCUUAAUUAGUUACAUUGAUUGUGAUUAACUAGAUGUUAGUAUAAAUACUCACGAAUUGUAUUACUCUGUAAUUAAGGAAAAUAACAAACUCUGCUCAAGAGUAUUUCAGAAUCCUUCGUUUAAUAUUUUCUCUAGAAACAAACAACUCUCUUUUAUAAUUCUUUUAUGGUAUCAGAGCCACUCAUGGCUAGUUCAAGCAAUACAAUCUUCAAUCCAAAUCAUAUUACUUCAAAUCAAUCAACUCAGAUAUCAUUUUCCUUUAGUUCUCCAGUCAAGCUAGAUAGAUCGAAUUUUAUGCUAUGGCGCAAGCAAGUUCUUACUUCGAUUAGAGGAAAUCGACUUGAGCAUCUAAUUUCUGAUAAUCAAGUGACACCAGAUCGUUACAUUACUCACACGGAAGUUGAUGGAUCUAUACAGAAAGUAGAAAAUCCAGCUUUUGUUCAUUGGAGAGCACAGGAUCAAACUCUUCUUGGCUGGAUCUUAUCCUCAAUUAGCGAAGGUAUUCUCAGCUCAAUUCUUAACUGUGAUAGUGCAUUUGAAGCUUGGAAAUGCAUUGAAAAACAAUUUGGAGUUCAAUCUGAAGCUAAGCUCAUGCAACUUCGUUAUGAACUAAAUAUUCUUAGGAAAGAAAAUAUGACUGUUGAGGAAUACUGCUUGAAGGUUAAAGCACUUGCUGAUAAACUCGCAUGUUCUGGAAGUCCUAUUUCUGAAAAAGAUCUACUGAUACAAAUCUUGAAUGGAUUAGGUCCAGGAUACUUAGAUCUUGCAUCAAUAAUUACUGCUAAUAAAAUGUCAUAUGAUGAUGCAUAUGCACUGCUAUUAACGCAUGAAGCUAGAAUGGAACAAAGUCAAAAUGCUAAGAGUGUGUUUAAUGCCAAUUAUGGCAUGAUGAAUGGGAAUUAUCCUCAAACUAAGGGCUAUAAUAGAAGAGGAGGUUAUAAUGGAUAUCAGGGACACUUCAAUGCUGGAAAUAGAAAUUUUGGUGCAGGAAGGGGAAUAAUGUUUACAAAUUCAAGAGGAUUUGUCAAUGGUGGUCAUGGUCCUGGUGCUUAUAAUUCUGGUAGGGGACAACUAAUGCACAUGCAGGCAUAUAGACCAACCACUUAUAAUAGAAACAUCUCUAAUGCUAACCUUGGUGCUGAAAAUGGAUCUGGAGAUAAUGUAUUAAUAUGUCAAAUUUGUCAUAAGUCUGGGCACACUGCAGAUGCUUGUUGGUAUAGGUUUGAGAAUUAUGUGCCUCCACCCAGAAACUUUGGAAGAGGGAGAGGUCAAAGGUCAGCAUAUAUGGCAAAUUUUGAAUCAUGUCCAAGUGCUGCUGGAUAUCCAAGUGCUGCUGGACCUUUUGAAACACAAUAUUAUCCAGACUACUCUAGUCAUCAGAUGUCUGAUUUGAAUUCAAUGAAUCACUCACUGGACUCUUUCUCUGCUCCUGGAGCUGCCUAUGUUGCUAACUAUGAAAGACCAGCUGAUGAGGGUUGGUAUUUAGACAGUGGAGCCACACAUCAUUUGACAAACAACAUGGCAAAUAUGCACAUCAGGGAGCAAUUCAGUGGAUCAGAUCAACUCAUUAUUGGCAAUGGACAAGGUCUGAAUAUAACUCAUAUUGGUGAUGCUUUUCUCAAUUUCAAAAGUUCAAAUGACAAACACAAACACACACCCAUAGCACUAAAAGACAUAUUGCUUGUUCCUUCAAUUACUAAGAACCUUUUGAGCAUUUCUAAACUUACUGCUGAUAAUAACCUGUCUGUUGAAUUUCUUGGAAAUAUCUGUGUUGUGAAGGAUACUCUGAAGGGGCAAAUACUGAUGCAGGGCCUUGCUGAGAGAGGAUUAUACAGGCUGUUAAUAAAUUCAUCUUCUUCAAAUACUCAGUCAUCUUCUUCUUUUCAUUCCCAUAUGUCUUCUAAUAAACCACUUUCAAUGUUGUCCUUUUAUCAUUCUGAUUCUGCUGGUCACACUGAUGUCGUUAGUGGAACUGCAAAUUUGAAAACUUGUUAUCAGACUGCUGUAUUACAUUAUACUAAAUCAAUCAAUAAAGCUUUACUUUUUCAUAGAAGAUUUGGUCAUCCUAGUGUUCAAGUGCUAUUACAUAUGCUCAAAAUUAACAAGUACAUUUCCAUUCCUACAUAUCAAAUUCAUCAAAUGCAUCAAACAACAUGUGAAGCAUGUCAAAAGGGCAAAGUUCAUAGGCUUCAUUUUCCCUGCACAGACACUAAAACUACCCAAGUUCUUGAGCUCAUACACACAGACUUAUGGGGACCCUCACCCACUCUAUCUAGGGAUGGAUAUCGAUAUUAUAUAAGCUUUGUUGAUGACUUCAGCAGAUAUACCUGGAUAUACCUUUUAAAAGUUAAGUCAGAUGCAUUAGAAGUUUUCAAACUCUUCAAGUUGCAAGUGGAAAAUCAGUUUACCACCACCAUUAAAACUCUGCAAUCUGACUGGGGAGGGGAGUAUAGAUCUUUUACAGAAUUUCUAAACCAAUCUGGUAUUAUCUUUAGGCAUUCAUGUCCUUAUACACAUCAUCAAAAUGGAUUGGUUGAGAGGAAACAUAGGCAUAUUGUAGAAUCAGGAUUAACUCUGCUGGCUCAAGCUCAUUUACCUUUUCAAUUCUGGUGGGAUGCCUUCCAUACAGCAGUUUACCUUAUCAACAGAUUGCCAUCACCUGUUCUGAAAUUUUCAAACCCAUAUGAAAAGAUUUUCAAGCAUAAGCCUAAUUAUGAUAUGCUCAGAUGCUUUGGCUGCACAUGUUACCCUUAUUUAAGAGAUUACAACAAACAUAAAUUUGCCUAUCACUCUAGCAAAUGUGUAUUCAUUGGGUAUAGUCCAUCACAUAAGGGUUAUAAGUGCUUACAUGCUUCAGGAAAAAUUUAUAUUGCCAGACAUGUUGUCUUUGAUGAGUUCACUUUUCCAUAUACCACAGACUCUUCUUUUCUUAAACAUUCAGCCUCUGAUUCUCAGUCUUCAUAUUCUAUUACUCCUCAACAAGUUCAUCAUCUUUCUACUUCACCUAUCCUACCAAUAUUUCUCAAUGACAACACUAAUAAUGCAAUCUCAGUGAGUUCAGAAAGCAUUGGUACAAGCACUUCAGUUCAUCCUACACAGCAAGAAGUUAAUCUAGAAUCACAGCAAGGUACGAUCAGUAACUCUUCACCUGUUCUUAUGUGUCCAUCCUCAGUUUAUGAACCUGUACCUAAUUCAUCACUUCCCCAUACUCACAACUCCCCUCAACAACAGUUCAAUAAUCCCAUUACACAUUCUCAUACACCUCAGAAUACACACCAAAUGAUAACUAGGGGAAAAGCUGGUAUCUUCAAACCCAAAGUGUAUAUUGCUGAUCUUGUUCACAAAGAACCAGACACUAUACAUGAAGCAUUAAAUGACUCAAAAUGGCUACAAGCCAUGAAGGAGGAGUUUGAUGCUUUAAUAAAAAAUGAUACAUGGACAUUGGUUCCAAGAGCAGCUAAUCAGCAAGUUGUUGAGAAUAAAUGGAUUUACAUAAUUAAGUACAAUACUGAUGGAAGUGUGGCUAAAUACAAGGCACGGCUAGUUGCUAAAGGAUUCCAACAAAUAGCAGGUGUAAACUAAUUUGAAACCUUCAGUCCUGUUAUUAAACCAGCAACUGUCAAAGUGGUAUUUGUUGAGUGUUAGAAAAUGUAUAUUUAUAAAGGAGAAAACCGUCAUUUUACAUUUCAAGUCUUACUAACAACCCUUACUUUUAUGUAUUUAACCUCCUUGUGAUUUAAUUACAUGUGUUUUAUUUUAAUUAAGUAUUUUAUGUAUUUUAGGGGCAUUAUAGUCAUUUCACAAUAAAGGAGAGAUCAGACGGCAAAACGGACAUCACUUUUGAACUCAGGACGAUCGAAAACCUUAGGAGGAGCAUAAAAGGAAAAAUGGCACUAUUCACAUGUACGGUACUAUUCACGUGUACGGUACUGUAUACGUUACUGUUCACGACACUGUUCACAUAGACGGACGAUGACGUGGCAUUGACCGAUGAUGUGGCAUUGACUGAUGAGGUGUCACGAUCCUGUUGGGCUAAAAUUCUUAUGUACUGUUGAUGCUGACGUGGCAGCAUAUCAGUGGAUGAAAAAUCUCGCGUACGGUACAUACAUCACACAGGAUUAUUUUCAAUCAAACCGCAUUACUGUUCAUCCGGGUCAAACCGUGUUACUGUUCAUCCGCGUGGUCAAACCGUGGACUGUUGACUGAUGACGUGGCGCAAUCCUGAGCGUUCAAACUGUUUUUAAUCCGAUGGCCAUGAUUUACUCCAUGUAUCUAUAAAAAGGGGGCCUCUCCCCCCUAAUUUGAUAUCUCUGAAUCCAUUUUUGGGAUCCAUUUUCUGUAAUUCCCUCUCCAUCUUGUAUUUUCUUCGUAUUUUAAUAAAUUCCCAUUUUGCCCCUAGUUCAAUUAUGAGUAGCUAAUUUCCUUUCAAGCUUGGGUUGAAGGUGAAGUCUCAACAUAUGCCAUGGGCUUAAUUUGGUAAAUUUAUUUUCUCUUCCCCUCUAGUUUUUGUGGAUGUUUUGACUUCUCGUCGACAAAUAAUACUAAUCUUAUCUAGUACCGCCUUGGUUUCACCGGCCCUCUAGUACAAGGUUAUUAUUAUUUGGCACGAUAAGCCCUUAGCACCAUAUUGAUUAGAGUGUGGUUCAUGAGGUGUGGAUUUCCCCCUCAUGAUUUAAUUGGUAUUAAUAAGGAAUAUUUAGCCCAUGGUGCAUGUUGAUACGGAUCCGGAUACCCAAGUGCUUCAUUUCAAUAGAUCUAUCUUCAAUUUAUUCUCGCCAUUACAAUUCCAAUUUUAGAAUUUAUUCUCGCCAUUUUAAUUUAAGUUUUAGCAUAUUCCAAAUCAUUUCCACCACAAAUCCAAUCCCCGAUUUACAAAAUUAAUUCUAUACACAAUUAAAAUCCACCUCCUCGUGGGAUCGACACUCGUCACCAUUAGUCUAUACUACAAUAGAUUUGUGCGCUUGCGAGUACAUUAAAAUUUGCACAACAAGUUUUUGGCGCCGUUGCCGGGGAGGUAAGUAAUUUUAAUUCAUAAAAUUAAUUUUUGUGAAUAAUUUCUUUUAUUUGUUUUCUUGUAUUUUUUAUUAAAAAAAAAAGUAAAUCUACAUUUAAAGGUUAGUAUUUCUUUUCUUUUUCUCUUCUUUAAAAUUCUGUAAUUUAAUUUUCAAUUUAUUUUUUCUUUGUAAUUUUUGUUUAUUUUAUUAAUUUAAUUUUUAGUUAAUUUAUUUCACGUAUUUGUUUUUGUGUAUUUUUAUAGAAAGGUUGUAAUAGCGCAAUAAGGUUAGUAUCGUAAUUUCUCCCUCUUCUUUAUUUUUAUUUGUUUUGUUCCCAUCUUUAUUUUUAUUUUAUUUGUUUUGCAUGCAUGGUCGUAGGUCAUUAUUACCUAAUCUUAAACCUAUAGACCUUGAAUUAGAAAAAACACUUCGCACACAAAAGCACAUUAAUAAAUUUGGAAUGGAUUUACAAGCACCACAGGAGAGGUCAUUCAAGGACUAUUUUAGUCCUUUAGCUAAUUUGAGCACAUCAUGUAUAAGAUACCCAAAUGUAGCUACUAGGAGUUUUGAAUUAAAACCUAGUGUGCUAAAUUGUCUCCCCACAUUUUAUGGCCUAGAAAAUGAGGACCCAUAUAAUCAUCUGAAUGAUUUUCAUGCCAUUUGUCAAACUUUUAAAUAUGAAAAUUUUUCAGACGAUGAUGUUAAACUUAGAUUAUUCCCAUUUUCUUUAAAGGAUAGAGCUCGUUCAUGGUUAAAUACUUUGCCUGCUAAUAGCAUUGCAUCAUGGGAACAAAUGGUAACUAAAUUUUUGAAUAAAUAUUUCCCAGUGCAUAAAACCAAUGCUAUUCGCAGGGAAAUCUCAGAGUUUACUCAGAGAGAGGACGAGCAGUUUUUCGAGACAUGGGAGCGAUUCAAUGGGCUACUCUUGAAGUGUCCACAUCAUGGGUACGAGAAAUGGCAUCAAUGCCAAUACUUUUUGGAGGGAUUAUUGCCGAAUGUGCAAGAAUGGCUAAUGGCAACAAGUGGAGGAGAGCUAAUAUCAAAAAGUGCAUCAGAGAUUUGGGAAUUCUUCCAGCGACAAGCGGAUAAUUCCCAACAACGGAGUCGAUCACUCAGGAAUACUAGAAGAAUUAAGGGAGUAAAUGAGGUUCAAAUUGGCGAGUCAACUUCGGGAAUCAAAGAAGUCAAGGAGAUGGUUGAAGGUCUUGCUCGACAAAUAGCAUCGUUGUCGACUGCUAAAUCAACAGAACCACAUGACCAUGACUCAUACUCCGAUCAAGCCAAUGCCAUAGGUGUAAUCAGAAAACCAUCGAAUUACAACCCAUACUCCAACACAUAUAACCCUGGAUGGAGAGACCAUCCCAAUUUUUCAUGGUCUCAAGGAUUCCAACAGAAUGGACCAGCAGCUCCAGCUCCGCCAAUUCCUCAAGUUCCUCAAGCCUCUCAGCCCCCAUUUAGACCAUACAAUCAGAACCAGAACUACUCUCAACCUAGACCAUGGGAGGAUUCAUUCCAGAAUCUCAAGAAUCUUACUCACUCUACGAUUGAGCAACAGAACCGCACCAUUGAUGGACUACGAAAUGAGUUGAGAGCGGGCUUCAACUCACAAGCCCAAUCAGUUUCAAGCCUCGAGAAGAUGGUGGGACAACUUGCUUCUUCAGUUCAGACCUUGGCAAUGACUGUUGAUAAAGGUAAAUUUCCAAGUCAACCAGUGCCUAAUCCUAAAGGAGUACAUGAAGCAAGUACUAGUUCACCACAGCAGCAUGGAGAGGUCAAAGCAAUCAUGACCUUGCGAAAAGGAAAGGAAGUCGACAACAAAGUGGAGAUGCCUGUGACAAAAGAAAAUCAAAUUGUACCUGUGAAUGUUGAAGACUCACCACCGGAGGAGAAAGAAGAAACCAACCCACGAGAAUACGUUCCGAAAGCUCCAUUUCCUCAGAGGUUAGCGAAAGGAAAGAAGGGAAAAUCCACAGGUGAGAUUCUUGAAAUCUUCAAACAGGUAAGUGUUAACAUCCCUUUGCUUGAUGCUAUUAAACAAGUUCCAUCUUAUGCCAAGUUUCUUAAAGACCUUUGUACUAAAAAGAGAAACAUGCAUGUUCAAAAGAAGGCAUUUUUAACAGAAAACGUUAAUUCUAUACUCCAACAUAAAAUUCCUUUAAAAUGCAAAGACCCAGGCUCCCCCACUAUCUCAUAUAGUAUAGGGAACCACACAAUUGAGAAUGCUUUGUUGGAUUUAGGAGCUAGUGUAAAUCUGUUGCCUUACUCAGUAUUUUUGAAACUUGGACUGGGAGAAUUACACCCAACUCCAGUGGUGUUACAGCUUGCAGAUCGGUCCACGAAAAUACCUCGUGGUAUUGUGGAGGACGUGCUUAUCCAGGUAGACAAGUUUUAUUUUCCUGUUGAUUUCAUUGUAAUUGACACUCAACCAAUACAGGAUUCAAGGAAGCACAUCCCCAUUAUCCUAGGCCGACCUUUCUUGGCAACUGCGGAUGCUCACAUUCAAUGCAGGACUGGAAAUAUGCAGUUGUCCUUCGGCAACAUGACUAUGGAGCUAAAUAUUUUCAACAUUGCCAAACAACCUCACAGUGCAGAUGAUGGAAUUGUUGAUGUGGAUUUAAUUGAAGCAUUAGUUGAUGACACUUUUAUUUCAAACCUUAGUGAUGAUCCUUUACAGACAUGCUUAACUCACUUUGGUUUUGAUUUUGAUAUUGACAGAUCGGUUGAUGAGGUCAACGCUCUACUUGACUCAACACCAUCCAUGGACACUAAUAAAUGGAAGUCAAGAGUUGAACAACUAGCACCAUCAGAAAAGAAACUCAUCCCAUCAUCAGAAUCACCACCGAAACUCGAGCUCAAACCAUUGCCCAACACUCUGGAAUAUGCAUUUUUGGGAGAAGAAAGUACUCUGCCGGUAAUCAUCUCAUCAUCCCUAAAUGACGAACAAAAAGGUAAGUUGUUGGAUGUUUUAAAAGAGCAUAAAGGAGCAUUAGGAUGGACCAUAGCAGACAUAAAAGGUAUAAACCCCGUAGACUGCAUGCAUUACAUUCACCUUGAUGAAAAUGCUAAAUCUACUAGGGAAAUGCAACGUCGGUUAAAUCCUAAUAUGAAAGAAGUUGUUAGAACUGAAGUCCUUAAGCUAUUAGACGCAGGUAUCAUUUACCCAAUUUCUGAUAGUUCAUGGGUCAGUCCUGUACAAGUUGUCCCCAAAAAGUCAGGAGUCACAGUAGUUACCAAUGCUGAUAAUGAAUUGAUACCAACUAGAGUAACUACAGGAUGGCUUGUAUGCAUUGAUUAUAGAAAGUUGAAUUCUGUCACACGUAAAGACCAUUUUCCUUUACCAUUUAUUGAUCAAAUGCUUGAUAGAUUAGCAGGCCAUGAAUUUUAUUGCUUUCUAGAUGGCUACUCAGGAUAUAAUCAGAUUCCCAUAGCACCAAAAGAUCAGGAGAAAACUACUUUCACUUGCCCUUUUGGCACUUUUGCAUAUAGGAGAAUGCCAUUUGGAUUAUGUAAUGCACCUGCUACAUUCCAACGAUGCAUGUUGAGCAUUUUUUCUGAUAUGGUUGAACGAUUCCUUGAAGUCUUUAUGGAUGAUUUUUCUGUCUUUGGUGACUCGUUUGAUCAAUGUUUACAUCAUCUAACACUAGUUCUGCAGAGAUGUAUUGAGAAGAACUUAGUCUUAAAUUGGGAGAAGUGCCAUUUUAUGGUAAAACAAGGUAUUGUUCUCGGUCACAUCAUUUCGAGCAAAGGUAUUGAGGUUGACAAAGCCAAGGUGGAUCUCAUUUCUAAUCUUCCUCCACCUAAAACAGUCAGAGAAGUAAGAUCUUUCCUUGGACAUGCUGGUUUCUAUAGACGUUUCAUUAAAGAUUUUAGCAAAGUUUCUAGACCCUUAUGCAAUUUACUUGCUAAGGAUGUACCUUUUAUCUUUAAUGAUUCAUGUCUCAUGGCGUUUGAAAAAUUAAAGCAGUUGUUGACAUCAUCACCCAUCAUUCAGGCCCCAAACUGGAGCUUACCAUUUGAGCUCAUGUGUGAUGCAUCUGAUUAUGCAGUAGGAGCAGUAUUAGGACAAAGAGUUGAUCGAAUUCCGCAUGUUAUUUACUAUGCUAGUAUGACAUUGAAUGAUGCACAGUUGAAUUAUUCAACUACUGAAAAAGAAAUGCUAGCAGUAGUGUUUGCAUUAGAGAAAUUUCGAUCUUAUCUCAUUGGUUGUAAAAUAAUUAUAUUCACAGAUCAUGCUGCUCUUAAAUAUCUUCUCACAAAGAAAGAUGCAAAAGCUAGACUAAUUCGUUGGGUGUUACUUUUGCAGGAAUUUGACUUGGAAUUCAAAGAUAAGAAAGGGACAGAAAAUGUUGUGGCGGACCAUCUCUCUCGUCUCCAUUUUGACACAAUUACAGAGCCAUUAAUAUUGAAUGAGUCAUUCCCAGAUGAACAAUUAAUGAAUGUGGAAGUAUUACCUUGGUAUGCUGAUAUAGUUAAUUAUCUUGUUACAGGUAAACUUCCAGAGCAUUGGACCAAGCAAGACAAGGCUAAAUUCUUUGCAGAAAUAAAGAAUUUCUUUUGGGAUGACCCGUAUUUGUUCAAGUAUUGUGCAGACCAAAUUGUUAGACGAUGUGUCCCAGAAAGUGAAAUUCAGAAUAUCCUUUCAUUCUGCCAUGAACAAGCUUGUGGAGGCCAUUUCAGUGCUAAGAAAACAACGACUAAAGUUUUAAAAUGUGGUUUCUAUUGGCCAACUAUAUUUCGAGAUGCUUACACUUUUUGUUCUUCAUGUGAUAGGUGUCAACGAAUGGGGAGUAUUACACGAAGGAACAUGAUGCCACUAAAUCCAAUUUUAGUGGUUGAGAUUUUUGACGUAUGGGGUAUCGACUUCAUGGGACCCUUUCCCCCUUCUUUUGGCCAUCAAUACAUAUUGGUUGGUGUUGACUACGUCUCAAAAUGGGUAGAAGCAAUUCCAUGUAGAACCAAUGAUCACAAGGUGGUGAUAGGAUUUUUGAAAAGCAACAUUGUUUCGCGCUUUGGAUUCCCUCGAGCAAUAAUCAGUGAUGGUGGUGCCCACUUUUGUAACAAAGCAUUCAAAGCUCUUUUGACAAAGUAUUCAAUCACACACAAAGUGGUGACCCCGUAUCAUCCGCAAACCAGUGGCCAAGUUGAGAUAUCCAAUCGAGAAAUAAAGCACAUAUUAGAAAAAACGGUGAGGCCAGACAGGAAAGAUUGGUCAUUAAGACUUGAUGAUGCAUUAUGGGCAUACAGAACGGCUUUCAAGACCCCGAUUGGGAUGUCACCCUACAGGCUAGUGUAUGGAAAAGCUUGCCACCUACCUGUGGAACUCGAGCAUCGUGCGUAUUGGGCCAUCAAGAAAUUCAACUUUGACAUGCAGCAAGUCAGCUCAGAAAGAAGAUUACAACUGGCAGAACUUGAAGAAAUUCGCAAUGACGCAUACGAAAAUGCCAAGAUUUACAAGCAACAGAUGAAAAUCUUUCAUGACAAGCAAAUUAUGAGAAAAUCGUUCACUCCAGGUCAGAAAGUGCUUUUAUUCAAUUCUCGUUUGCACCUAUUCCCAGGUAAGCUACGCUCUCGAUGGUCUGGUCCCUUUAUUGUUCAUACUGUUUUUCCACAUGGGGCAAUUGAAAUUAAGGACCCAAAGAACGGUGUCACGUUUAAAGUUAAUGGUCAAAGAUUAAAGCCAUAUCUAGAGUACCAACCACAUGGAGAAGACACCGAAAUAAAUUUGAGUGACCCACCAGAUUUGAAUUGAUUUUUUCUUUUUAUUGAUUUGAUUUUUCUUUCUUUCUUUUUAUUGUUCUUUUGCUAAUUGAAAUUAUUUUUGCAUAAGUGUGUUUGUUUUACCAUUAAGUUUUUUUUUCUUAUCAUUGUUAAUCAUGAGUACCAUACUUAGACCGUUCCUCCUGAACAUUCUUAAACCACUUCAGCGUGUCAAAACUCAUCUCAAAAAGCAGAUUCAAUUUUGUAAAACACAACGCAUUUGGGCUUUACAACCACCAGAGUUAGUAGCCUAUGUUGAGGGUUUAGAACGCCAACUCAGAGACAUUGAGAGAAGUGUUUACGACAUCCAAUUGGAGCUUGAGGUAAAUUCAAUAAGAGGACGAUUUUAAUUUUCUUUGUGUGUUUUAAUUUGUUUUUCUGUUUGUGUGCUUUAGUUUGUUACCCCGGUGAAGUGGCGGAUAACGGUACUCUGUGACAAUCAAGUCGGUUACUUCAGUUUCCCAUAAUAACUGACAUUCUGAGGCAAAAGUAUGGACAGAAACGAGAUUCUAGCGAAGCUUCACAAGCGAUUCCCUUCACUUCCUCAGAAUGCCCUCCUUAUGAUCUAUAAAGCUCGGUCCGAACGCAUGCGAUUGCUCAUGAGGAAUAACAUACCUGCUGAUAUCCGUUGGUUAAUCGAGGCGAAAGUACGAUCGGCAGGUGAGUUACCUCCAAAAUUUAUUGCAUACAUGUCUGGUUGUGGUAAAGGAAAUUAUGCAAGAAAACGACGAGCUCGACGAAUUUCUGUUGCUUGUCAUAAGUGUGCCAGAAUGAGUUGCAAUAAAAACCCAUGUUCUUUAGGAAUGAUGUCUGAUAACAGGGAAGACAAGAUUCAAUUCAUUAGGGAUGGCUUGAAUAAGGAGUCAUUGGAUGAUAUCCUUUUGUCUCUUGAAACGCAUCCCAGUGGAUAUGUGCAAGGAGCGAUUCUCCAGUUAUGGCUAUUAUUCCAGAAAGAGCAUGCACGAUACAGUCUCGGGAAUCUGACUAUAAACGACCAUGUUUGCCAGUUUGUAAGAAAACUGGAUAGGAAGCCUAUCCUCGACUCAUAGAGGGCGUUCAAGCCGUUUCUGGACGUAAAACCAGAGGAAGAUGUGAGCCACAGUCGCAACUACGUGUAAAUAUCCUUUUACUUUACUGUACUUUUUCCUCCUUACUGUUUGCUUUUUUCCUUAUUACUAUUUGCUUUUUCCUUUUUACUGUUUCCUUUUUGACUCGCGAUCCACGUGCUUUACGCAUUAUUUGACACUGACAUGUUACCUCAUACACCACUAUGACCCACUAUCACCAAGACUCUUAAAUGUGAUUUCUUUUUUGUCAAGCACUCACAAAUUGUUUUUGAGAAGUAUCACAAUGGCCGCUACUCCCAAUAGACAAUUCAAGAACAUUUGUGUGCUUUCUGGAUUUACCUAUGGCAAACAUAAAGAGUUCGUGGAGGCAGCCAUAGAUCUUGGUCGAAGCAUAGCAGCGAGAAAAUUACACUUGGUGUAUGGAGGAGGUAACCGAGGGUUAUAAAAAAUGGUCUCAGAAGCAGCUUUUAUCAGAGGAAGUCAAGUGUUAGGCAUCAUCCCAAGAGUCCUAAAACCAUUGGGCAGUUCGUCUGACUCAUCAACUGGAGAAGAGUUAGUUGUCUCAGGUAUGCAAGAAAGAAUAACUGAAAUGCUUAAUCAUGCUGAUGCUUUUAUUUUCCUUCCAGGAGAUCUUGCAACACUAGAGGCACUUAUCACACUAGCAUCCUGGGCCCAUCUGCACAUCCACCAGAAACUCAUCGGUUUGUUAAAUGUCAAUAACUUUUAUGAUGGCUUUAUCGCAUUUCUUAACCAUGCAAUAAAAAACUACUUCAUUCCUUCCCAUGCGAAAAAACUUUUUAUUUGUGCUCACACUGCUAAUGAGCUACUUGAUCUGUUACAAGCUUAUAGACCGGAGCCAGACCCCUGGACCUUUGUGUUGGAGCGCCCAAAUAAUGAUGGUAACAGUAGCCGCAGUAAGAAGUACAAAUUAGAUUUAACUCUCCGCUUGUGAAUAUUUUCUUUUGUGUUGCACCACCCAGGUGAUGUCUUCUAAACUCUACUUCUUUCCUUUAAAACAUUGAGGACAAUGUUUCGUUCUGGUUGGGGGGAGGGAAUAGUCGACAAUUGUGGAAUCUUGGUUAAGUUUUUACUGAUUUUUUUUGUUGUAGAAACUAACUAUUGCUAACUUUUUGUGUUGAAGAAGGCUGAAUAUGGAGUGUAGUGACUCUAGAAACGCAUCUUCUUCACAGAGAUCAACGAUGCGUACUGUCUUCUAACAGAGGAUGGAGAGCCUCCAACUUUUCAUGAAGCUUUAAACAGUUCAGAUGUUGCUUUGUGGAAGACAGCAAUGCAGGAAGAAAUUGAAGCUCUAUACAAGAACAAGACAUGGGAACUUGUACCACUACCACACGGAAGAAAAUCCAUUGGAAACAAAUGGGUCUACAAGAUCAAACGUGAUGGUAAUGAUCAAGUGGAGCGGUAUCGUGCAAGACUGGUGGUGAAAGGAUAUGCUCAGAAAGAAGGUAUUGACUUCAACGAGAUAUUUUCUCCGGUGGUUCGACUCACAACAGUCAGAAUAGUCUUGGCAAUGUGUGCUACAUUUGACCUACAUCUAGAGCAGUUAGAUGUUAAAACUGCAUUUCUUCAUGGAGAACUUGAAGAAGAAAUUUAUAUGCUCCAACCAGAAGGUUUUGCAGAAACAGGAAAAGAGAACUUGGUUUGCAGGUUGAACAAAUCUCUAUACGGUCUCAAACAGGCACCGAUGUGUUGGUAUAAGAGAUUUGAUUCCUUCAUUAUGAGCCUUGGAUACAACAGACUCAGUUCAGACCAUUGUGCAUAUUACAAGAGGUUUAAAGAUAAUGAUUUCAUCAUUUUGCUGUUGUAUGUGGAUGACAUGUUGGUAGCAGGUCCCAACAAAGAUCGAAUCCAAGAAUUGAAGGCACAAUUGGCUAGGGAGUUUGAAAUGAAGGACUUGGGACCAGCAAACAAGAUUCUAGGGAUGCAAAUUCACCGAGACAUAAAUAACAGGAAGAUUUGGCUUUCGUAGAAGAAUUAUUUGAAGAAAAUCUUGCGGCGCUUCAACAUGCAAGAUUGUAAGUCAAUUUCUACCCCACUUCCUGUUAAUUUCAAAUUAUCCUCAAGUAUGUGUCCUAGCAAUGAAGCAGAGAGGAAGGAGAUGUCUCGAGUACCGUAUGCAUCAGCAGUGGGAAGUUUGAUAUUCGCUAUGAUAUGUACAAGACCGGACAUUGCACAAGCAGUGGGAGCAGUCAGUCGAUACAUGGUGAAUCCUGGUGGAGAGCAUUGGAUAGCUGUGAAGAUGAUUCUGAGAUACAUCAGAGGAACCUCAGAUGUUGCAUUAUGUUAUGGAGGAUCAGAGUUUACUGUCAGGGGCUAUGUGGAUUCAGAUUUUACAGGAGACCUUGAUAAAAGGAAAUCCACUACUGGUUAUGUGUUUACACUUGCGGGAGCAGCUGUAAGCUGGGUUUCGAAACUGCAGACAGUUGUGGCUUUAUCUACAACAGAAGCAUAGUACAUGGCAGCUACACAAGCUUGCAAGGAAGCUAUUUGGAUACAAAGAUUAUUGGAGGAGCUCGGGCACAAACAACAGAAAAUUCUUGUGUUUUGUGACAGUCAGAGUGCCUUGCACAUUGCAAGGAAUCCAGCCUUUCAUUCCAGGACAAAGCACAUAGGAGUUCAGUAUCAUUUCGUUCGAGAAGUAGUGGAAGAUGGAAGUGUGGAUUUACAGAAAAUCCAUACGAAGGAGAACCUAGCAGAUGUUUUGACCAAGCCGAUAAAUACUGAUAAGUUUGUCUGGAGUAGAUCAUCUUGUGGCCUAGCAGAAACGUAGGCAACAUGAUUAUGGCGAAGCAGAAAGGACGGUGUGGAGAUUGAUUGUUUUUCAAUCUAAUCUCCAAGUGGGAGAAAUGUUGAAUAUGGGGCACCACUCUUCUAGAAAUGUUGAAAAUGGGCCCUCUUCUAGAAAUGUUGAAAAUGGGCCGAAAUGCUUGAAGAGGAAAAUGGAAAAAGAAAUGUUUGAAGAAGAAAAUGAGGAACACGGUUUUGACUUUCUUGGCCAUCAUUUUGCUAUAAAUAGAAGUGCAAAUGAAGAGCUUAAGUAUUCCAUUCUGAGAGUAAUUUAGCAGUUGAGAGAGAGUUUAGAGAGCUUGAAUUUAUAAGCUCUUGUUAUAGUGAUUUUGAGAGUUUGGGUGUAUUGGAGUUUUGGGAAGUGAGCUAAAAUACUACAAUACUUGUAACUCCUUUUCACUAGUAAAAUAUUUCCUUCUGUCUUCGCCCGUGGAUGUAGGCUAAAAGCCGAACCACGUAAUUUCUGGUGUCCUCUAGUGUGCUUGUUCUUUAUUUUCUUCCAAUUUUAUUUUAUCUGCGUGUAUGCUUCACCCACCAAUUUCCUAGCAGUGGUAUCAGAGCUAUUGGUUGUAUUUUUUGGAGUCAGGAACUAUUCACGUAAUGGGUACUAUUCACGUAUAUGGCACUAUACACGUACACGAUACUAUUCACGUAUACGGUACUGUUCACGUAUACGGUACUAUUCACGUGAAACGGUGGAAGCGAUCCAAGAAUUUUGCGGUGCAAAGCAGGGAAUAGUGGUGUGAGUAAAGCAACUGUGUGGUUUUGUACAUGUCUAGGAAAGUUCUGUCACAAAGGCGAUAAGAGCUUAAGGAGUCUGGGUUUUAAGUGGGACCAUUGUGACCCCUCAAGUCUUUCCUGGGAACUUUCCUGGUGUGCAUUCUCACACAUACUCACAACUAUUCAAGGUGGUAUACUAGCUUGUGUGCAGUAUUUAUCAACAAAAUAGCGGCAAAGUAUGAAAUUGAGAAAUUUAACGGAAAUAAUUUUUCGUUGUGGAAAAUGAAGAUGAAAGCUGUAUUGAGGAAAAAUAAUUGCUUGGCAGCAAUUGGAGAAAGGCCCAUGGAGAUAACUGAUGACAAGUGGAACGAGAUAGAUGGCAACGCCAUUUCUGAUAUACACUUGGCACUUGCAGAUGGAGUAUUAUCUAGUGUGGCAGAGAAAAACACAGCGAAGGAAAUAUGGGAUACUCUUACAAAAUUGUACGAGGCCAAAUCACUACACAACAAAAUCUUCUUGAAGAGAAAACUCUAUACUCUUCGAAUGGUGGAAUCUACAAUGGUGACCGACCACAUCAACACCUUGAAGACUCUAUUUUCACAACUCACAACGUUGGGUCAUAAUAUAGAGGAAAAUGAACGUGCAGAGCUUCUACUUCAAAGUCUACCAGAUUCAUAUGAUCAACUCAUUAUCAACCUGACGAACAACAAUCCAGUGGACAGUCUAGUUUUCGACGAUGUUGCAGCCUCCAUAUUAAAUGAGGAAAGCAGGCGGAAAAAUAAGGAAAACAGACAAGCAAGUUCGCAGCAAGCGGAGGCGCUAUCAGUGACGAGAGGGAGAUCAACGGAACGUGGCCCCAGUGGGAGUCAAAAUCAUGGUAGAUCAAAAUCCAGAAGUAAGAAGAAUGUUAAAUGCUACAACUGUGGCAAGAAAGGGCACGUAAAAAUGGAGUGUUGAAGUAACCAGAAGAGAAGAGAGGGUAAAGAACCUGAGUCAUCAAAUGCUCAGGGGUGUGUAGCAAGUACCUCAGAUGAUGGCGAAAUACUCUACAGCGAGGCAACAACUGUUUCAGAAGGCAGAAAAUGACUUUCUGAUGUCUGGCUUAUAGACUCAUGAGCUACCUGGCACAUGACCUCUAGGAGAGAAUGGUUCCACACAUAUGAACCUAUCUCAGGAGGAUCUGUAUAUAUGGGUAACGAUCAUGCAUUGGAGAUCGCUGGUAUUGGUACUAUCAAAAUAAAAAUGUUUGAUGGUACAAUUCGCACAAUUGGGGAGGUACGACAUGUCAACGGCCUGAAGAAAAAUCUAUUGUCUUUGGGACAAAUAGACAAUCAUGGGUGCAAAACUCAUGUGGAGAAUGGAAUUAUGAAGAUCGUUAAAGGAGCACUUGUAUUGAUGAAGGCAGAAAAGAUCGGUGCUAAUCUAUUCAUGCUUAAAGGAGAAACACUACAGGAGGCUGAUACGUGUGUCGCAUCAAAUGGAGAAGAGUCAACGAUGAUGUGGCAUCUCAAACUUGGCCACAUGUCAGAACAAGGUUUGAAGAUUCUCUCUGAGAGAAAAUUGCUUCCGGGGCUCAAAUCGGUAAGUUUACCAUUUUGCGAGCAUUGUGUUACAAGUAAGCAGCAUAGAUUAAAAUUCAGUAGAUCUAUUGCUAGAAGUAAAUGCAUUCUAGACUUGAUUCAUUCUGAUGUUUGGGAAUCACCGGAUAUAUCCAUGGGAGGUGCAAAGUACAUGGUGACUUUCAUUGAUGAUUAUUCCAGAAGAUGUUGGGUAUAUCAAAUUAAGAAAAAGUCAGAUGUAUUUCUAGUGUUUAAAGAAUACAAAGCGCGGUUGGAACUUGAAUCUGGUAAAAAGAUCAAGUGCUUGAGGACGGAUAAUGGUGGAGAGUAUACAGAUGGCGAGUUUCUUGCUUUCUGUAAGCAAAAAGGUAUUCAGAGGCAGUUCACGGUGGCAUACACUCUUCAACAAAACGGAGUGGCGGAGCGGAUGAACAGAACUCUUACAGAAAGAAUAAGAGCUAUGUUGAGGACUGCUGGUCUACCCAAUUCAUUCUGGGAAGAAGCAGCCAAAACUGCCUGUUAUAUAGUAAAUCGAUCGCCAUCUACAGCUAUUGGGCUGAAGACAGCGAUGGAGAUGUGGACUAGAAAGCUAGCUGAUUAUUCUUACCUACAUGCAUUUGGAUGUCCUGUGUACAUAAUGUACAAUGCCCAAGAAAGAACAAAGCUGGAUCCAAAAUCUAGAAGAUGUAUCUUCUUGGGGUAUGCUGAUGGAGUAAAGGGGUAUCGUCUGUGGGACCCCACUGCCCACAAGAUCGUCAUCAGCAGAGAUGCUAUCUUUGUAAAAGAUCAACUGCAAAGGAGAGAUGAGGAUGAUGGCACUACAAAAGAAAAGUCAGAGACUGUUCCAGUAUAUGUGGAAAAUAAUCUAGAAGAUUCAGAUUCUUCUGAAGUAGCACCAGAGCACGAGGAACAAGAACCAGUCGACUCCGAGACUCCAGAAGUUUGUCGGUCAACUCGUGAGAGACGACCGCCAACGUGGCACUCAGAGUAUGUCACAGAGAUCAACGUUGCGUACUGUCUUCUAACAGAGGAUGGAGAGCCUCCAACUUUUCAUGAAGCUUUAAACAGUUCAGAUGUUGCUUUGUGGAAGACAACAAUGCAGGAAGAAAUUGAAGCUCUAUACAAGAACAAGACAUGGGAACUUGUACCACUACCACACGGAAGAAAAUCCAUUGGAAACAAAUGGGUCUACAAGAUCAAACGUGAUGGUAAUGAUCAAGUGGAGCGGUAUCGUGCAAGACUGGUGGUGAAAGGAUAUGCUCAGAAAGAAGGUAUUGACUUCAACGAGAUAUUUUCUCCGGUGGUUCGACUCACAACAGUCAGAAUAAUCUUGGCAAUGUGUGCUACAUUUGACCUACAUCUAGAGCAGUUAGAUGUUAAAACUGCAUUUCUUCAUGGAGAACUUGAAGAAGAAAUUUAUAUGCUCCAACCAGAAGGUUUUGCAGAAACAGGAAAAGAGAACUUGGUUUGCAGGUUGAACAAAUCUCUAUACGGUCUCAAACAGGCACCGAUGUGUUGGUAUAAGAGAUUUGAUUCCUUCAUUAUGAGCCUUGGAUACAACAGACUCAGUUCAGACCAUUGUGCAUAUUACAAGAGGUUUAAAGAUAAUGAUUUCAUCAUUUUGCUGUUGUAUGUGGAUGACAUGUUGGUAGCAGGUCCCAACAAAGAUCGAAUCCAAGAAUUGAAGGCACAAUUGGCUAGGGAGUUUGAAAUGAAGGACUUGGGACCAGCAAACAAGAUUCUAGGGAUGCAAAUUCACCGAGACAUAAAUAACAGGAAGAUUUGGCUUUCGUAGAAGAAUUAUUUGAAGAAAAUCUUGCGGCGCUUCAACAUGCAAGAUUGUAAGUCAAUUUCUACCCCACUUCCUGUUAAUUUCAAAUUAUCCUCAAGUAUGUGUCCUAGCAAUGAAGCAGAGAGGAAGGAGAUGUCUCGAGUACCGUAUGCAUCAGCAGUGGGAAGUUUGAUAUUCGCUAUGAUAUGUACAAGACCGGACAUUGCACAAGCAGUGGGAGCAGUCAGUCGAUACAUGGUGAAUCCUGGUGGAGAGCAUUGGAUAGCUGUGAAGAUGAUUCUGAGAUACAUCAGAGGAACCUCAGAUGUUGCAUUAUGUUAUGGAGGAUCAGAGUUUACUGUCAGGGACUAUGUGGAUUCAGAUUUUACAGGAGACCUUGAUAAAAGGAAAUCCACUACUGGUUAUGUGUUUACACUUGCGGGAGCAGCUGUAAGCUGGGUUUCGAAACUGCAGACAGUUGUGGCUUUAUCUACAACAGAAGCAUAGUACAUGGCAGCUACACAAGCUUGCAAGGAAGCUAUUUGGAUACAAAGAUUAUUGGAGGAGCUCGGGCACAAACAACAGAAAAUUCUUGUGUUUUGUGACAGUCAGAGUGCCUUGCACAUUGCAAGGAAUCCAGCCUUUCAUUCCAGGACAAAGCACAUAGGAGUUCAGUAUCAUUUCGUUCGAGAAGUAGUGGAAGAUGGAAGUGUGGAUUUACAGAAAAUCCAUACGAAGGAGAAUCUAGCAGAUGUUUUGACCAAGCCGAUAAAUACUGAUAAGUUUGUCUGGAGUAGAUCAUCUUGUGGCCUAGCAGAAACGUAGGCAACAUGAUUAUGGCGAAGCAGAAAGGACGGUGUGGAGAUUGAUUGUUUUUCAAUCUAAUCUCCAAGUGGGAGAAAUGUUGAAUAUGGGGCACCACUCUUCUAGAAAUGUUGAAAAUGGGCCCUCUUCUAGAAAUGUUGAAAAUGGGCCGAAAUGCUUGAAGAGGAAAAUGGAAAAAGAAAUGUUUGAAGAAGAAAAUGAGGAACACGGUUUUGACUUUCUUAGCCAUCAUUUUGCUAUAAAUAGAAGUGCAAAUGAAGAGCUUAAGUAUUCCAUUCUGAGAGUAAUUUAGCAGUUGAGAGAGAGUUUAGAGAGCUUGAAUUUAUAAGCUCUUGUUAUAGUGAUUUUGAGAGUUUGGGUGUAUUGGAGUUUUGGGAAGUGAGCUAAAAUACUACAAUACUUGUAACUCCUUUUCACUAGUAAAAUAUUUCCUUCUGUCUUCGCCCGUGGAUGUAGGCUAAAAGCCGAACCACGUAAUUUCUGGUGUCCUCUAGUGUGCUUGUUCUUUAUUUUCUUCCAAUUUUAUUUUAUCUGCGUGUCUGCUUCACCCACCAAUUUCCUAGCAUUAACUAAAUAUUUUUUAACCAUAUAUGUAUAGUUGGAUUAAAUAGUGGAGAUUACAACAAAACAUAUGCGAAUUAGUUGUGAUGUUGAGUUCAGAAGAUUGAAGUUAAAAAAAUUAAAGGUUUCUUGAUCAAGGGAAAUUUCAAAAGAGUGAAGCGUCUUCUAGAUCAAGACGAAAAUAAGGAAAGGGUAAGGGUGUAUUUUCAAAGUGAUUCUAUUGAAAGAUCUUUGAAGAUUACUUUCGUUAAGAGCAGGAUCCCACACUCUUGAGCCUUUGUCGUCCCAGUCAACUAUAAAGACACAUUAUUAUUGAGUAUGAACAUUGCGACUUAUAGAUCACCAAAUUUUCAAACUUAUGAUCUUCGUUGAAUCUGCAAUCCCUUUUGAAAAAAAAAAAAAAAAAAAAGGAAAACUGCAAAUAAUGAAACAAAAUUCUGUUCCUUGAUAGAGUUACGCGGCUUCAACUUGCAAGUGCUGUCGGCAUUUUCAAACUUGUAAGACCCUUCAACUUGCUUUCCAAGAUAGCUAUAAUCAAUAAUGACAACCGAAGACGGCUACGUUUGCGGUACAAAAGUUGCACCAUAUUAGACGUUCUUUUUAGGGAUGGCAAUGGGGCGGGGUGGGGGUGGGGAUGCCUACCCCAUUCCCCACCCCAUUAAAAUUUUUUGCCUCCAUUCCCCACCCCAUUCCCCAAUAAAUUUAGUGGGUUGGGGAUGGGGAAUCCCCACGUGGGGAAUGAUUCCCCCAUCCCCACCCCAUUCCCCAUUUACAUAUUUUAUAGUAAAUAUAAAAAUAUGAUUUCAGUAAAUUAAAAAUUAGAGACUUAAGAUAAAAUCAUCACAAUAUUAUAAAGUAUUUAAUUUUAAAAAAAAAUCUCUAAAAAUUUGAAACAAUAUCUUAAAAUGAUAUUAAAAGUGAAAAAUAUUUAAAGAAAGCAGCACCUUAAAAGAGAAAAGAAAAUAUAUUAAUGUUUUAAAGUUGAAAAAUAUUGUAGAAUUUUCUUUUAUUCAUAUUCUAUUUAUAUUACAUAAAAAUUAAAAAAAAAUUAUUAAUUGACAUUAUAGUUGAUAAAAUACAAAUUAUUAAAUAAGAAUUAAAAACAUAUUUAUAUAUAAUGGGGAUUGGGGUGGGGGUGGGGUGGGGAGUGCAAUACCAAACCCCACCCCGUUAACAAUUUGGGGAUUACUUUUCUCCCACUCCCCACCCCAUUCCCCAAAAAUUAUUAAAAAAUUUCCCCAUUUGGGGUGGGGCUCCAUGGGGCCCCAACCCGUGGAGGAUUUUGCCAUCCCUAGUUCUUUUUUGUUCUUAUCCGAAGUAACCGUUGGAUUCAAAGGAAAGUGAUCAGACAUUCAAUAGCUUCACACGUGGACAUUAUAGGAUACCGGUCAAAUCGGUUAGUGCUCCUCCACAUCAAACUCACAAGCAUGGCUAUCAUCGUAUCAGCUUGGAAACUUGUUACAAGUGACGAAGAGCAACAGGGUCCGCUCCUCUAGAGUCGGUUAGUGCUCAAUAAUGUUACAGGUUUUAUAAUCUAUGUAACUGGUACGAUCGCUGUCUCAAGUGGUAAACUUUUGAGGCACAAAUUUAGAACGAAAAGUUUCCAAUAAAAUAAGUUAUUUAAUUAAUUAAAUAAGAAUAAAAUGAAUUUGUAAAAAAAUUUUAAAUUUAAUUUUGAAUUAUUUUGACCAAAAUUUAAGUUUUUUUUUUUAAUUUGUUUAAGAAAAUGUGUUGUAAUUGUCUUGUUUUAAUUGGAAAAUCAAUGAAAAAAUUAUGUAAAAAAAAAAAAAAGCAAAACGCUUUGUUUUGGAUGGAGGCCAUAGAUUCCAAUAUUUCCUUAACGAAAACUACAAAAAAAUUAUCAAAGGCAUCAAUUUCUACACUCUCACCGAGCAAUACUCUUAUGCUGUGUUUACUUGCUGGAGUGGGAGUGAGGAGUGUGGAUUCCUCCCACUCCAGCGUUUACUUACUCAAAAUGGGGAGGGAUUAGGAAUCUCACUCCGUGGGCCCCAUCCAUUUUUGAAGUGGGGAGUGGGAGUGGGACUCCGAUUGGGGGAGGUGGGAGUGGGAAUCCACCCCCACCUCUCCCAUUUCUACCCUUUUUUUUAAUUUUAUGUUUUAUAAUUAAUAAAAUAAAAUAAAUAAUAUUAUAUUUAUUUGAAUAAUAUUAUUAUAUUUAUUUGAAUAAUAAUAUUAUAUUUAACUAAAUAAUAAUUUACAUUGAUUCUAAGUUAAAAUUAUUUUAAAAUAAUAUUAUUAUAUUAAUAGAGAAUUAAUAAAUAUAAUAUUAUUAUAUUUAUUUUAAAAAUAAUAGUACUAUAUUUAUUUAAUAUUAAUAAUAAUAAAUAGUUUAUUCUAAGAAAAUAUUAAUUUUGUACUAAAUAAUAUUAUUUUAUUAUUUUAUAUAAUAAUAAAUUUAAUAUAAUUAUAUUAAAUAAAAUAAAAUAACAUUUCAUUUUAUAUUAAAAUUAAAAUUAAUAAUUUAUUGUUCAUAAUUAAGAAUAUUAAUAAUUAUAAUAAAUUUACAAAUAUAAUAAAAUAAAUAUUAUUCAUUAAAUAUAUUUUUUAUUAGUUUUGUAAUUAAAAACUAUAAUUCUUUAAAUAAGGAUAAAAUUGUAAUUUGAAACUAUUUACUCCCAAUCCAAGACAAAGUAAACACAUAAAUUGAAUUCUGAUCUCCAUUCCAUACUUCUAUUCAAGUGUAAGUAAACAACCUACUCUCACUCCCACUCCACACUCUCAAUCCUAGGAUUCCCACUCCUCAGGAUUCCCAAUCCAAUCCAAAAAAUAAACGCUACCUUAACCCAGAAGGAAGUGUAUAAACCAACCCCAAUCAGUCCAUCAAUGUCGUCAACCUCAUACAGCAUAAAAAAAAUAUGUGUCCAUUAAACCGCCAUUUUUUUUUUUUGGUUAAACCACGAGGUAUCCUGGUAGGGCCCCAACUGUGGGAGGCACCUUUAAGCCCGUACCACAACCCAGACUAUAGCUCCCCGCUCGCACGUUGUGGCUAGUGCUCCCAACAAAUGCGACUUCUCUGCGACUCGAACUGGGGAGCAAACCCAGUCAAACCACUUAAGGGGGCUCCAGUUGCCAGAGGAGCCAACACUUUGUUGGUAUUAAACCGCCAUUUAAACUGACUUUAUUGAGUCAUUAGACUAUUGGUGUCAUCUUCCCAUCUCGUUGUAGCAUUUUACCGUUCAAAUCUAGUUAUCAAUUGUGGAAAAUGGGGACCAAUCUGCAAGUCUUUAAAAUAGAAAGAAACUUUAAUUGGGCACUAUGUUCACGGUAGUGGACACAGCAGCAGCUAUUUGUGCUUUAAAAAUUAUUUUACACUCUAAUUUUAAUAAAAAUAUAUAUUACAAAAUUACUUAUCAUAUAAGUUACUGGAUAAUAUAUUAUAAGUCAACAUUAUAUAAUUACUUUGAACACUUAUAUAGCCCAAUCCUAAUUCAAUUUAUUAUUCUCAUAACUUAAAUAUAAGUCAACAAUAUAAGGGGGUUGUGACAUGGGUUUAAACAUGAUUUAACAAGUGCCACCUGUGAAUUGUCAGAGAUUGUAUUUUCAUACACAUGUCAAAUUUUCAAGUCCAACAAAUUGUUAUCUUUCUAAAGAGGCUAAUAUUAUUAUUAUCUAUGCAUAGCAUGCUAUAAACAAUUCAUAUUCUGUACACAACAUAUGGACAGAGGAACAAAUCCCUGAGCUAAAAUCAUCAUAUUCUAAAAUAUUCUAUUAAAUCAACACCACAAAACGCGAACGCUAAACAGAAUUGGAGCAAUUUACCAAAGCUAUUUGUCACGCAAAGCACUAGUACCUCAGAACCCAAUUUGCAAAAAAGCACCAAAAAUGAAAAAUAACAAAUGCCCAGAUGAAAAAUCAGGAAAAAAAAAAAUGCUCAAAUCCAAAUUACAACCCCAUAAGCUGAGUUGUUCUCUUCGAACUGAAUUAAAAAAAAAUUAAAUAGGGAGAUUGACCUCAAACUUUGGAAACAGAAGCGACAGCGAUCUGUUUCUUGUCUGGAGUGUCCAUUUCUAUAAUCUACUUUGUCCGCUUUCAGUCGCUCUGCCACAGAGCUUCUUCCCUCUGAAGCUGAAGCUCACACACACUUGCAAAACGAAAGCAUUUUUUAUUGAUUGAGAGGCGGGAAGGCGGGAAAAUGAGAGAAAUUUGCAUUUGUUUUCUCUUGGUUUGGUCAUACCUGUGCGGGCCCCAGCUUGACAAGCGGUAUUAUUAUUAUUUGUAUAAUUUACAUGACGCGUGUCACGCAAUGACGAUAAAAAAUAUAUAUAUAUAUUGUUAAUUUUUCACUUAACAUUGAAAUAUCAUAUAAUUUUUCCAAUUUUAUGGUUAUUUUCUCGCCCUUAUGCCACAUUCUUUUGAUCAAAUAAUACAGUAAAACUUUUCUAUAAUCAUAAUAUUAAAGCCAAAUUAGCUUUAUUUAUGUAAAGAGGCUAUAGCUUAAUAAAGGUAAAAUUAUAAAAAUUAUUAUUUUGACUCAGUUAUCUUUAGUGUAAGUGAUAUAAAGUAUAAAUAUAUGAUAAUUAAUUAAUGAACUAUGUCAAAUACAAUAUGCUGACAAUGAUAAAAAAGAUAGACAUAAUUUCAAGAAACUAAUACAUAUAUUUAUGUAGUGCUGGGAUUAUACAAAAUCAUCUUAAAAGUGUAAAGUAUUAUUCUGAUUAAUUUAAAAUAAUUAUUAUUGGAUUCAAAUCAUGUCCUAGGCAUUUUUUCUUCUAGUUGGAGCUUCCAUUUGUUCUAGAGAUUCAAAGGCAGCAAGCUGCUUCCCCAGUGCUACUAAUUCUUCCCCGGCAUUGCAUGUGUAGCCUGAGGCUUGUCUACCAGACAAAGUUGCUCCUUCCAUACUAUCUAUGUAAUCCUGUGAGAGUGAAACCAUUUAGAAGACAUAUCUCUUUUUUUCCAAUAUUUGGAAUGAAACAAUUAUAUACAGUUACCUGUUUUGUAUAUGAGCUGGCGAGGAAGAAGUUCUUCACUGGUAUCUUUUGAUCAGGUCUGAAGGGGUCUUUACCAGGUCCCUCACCUCACAAAGAUUGCCGGAUUUUGACGACAGAUAACCAAAUAACUUCUAAACCUUGGGAUGAUGGAAAUAGAGCUAAAACCUAAUAAAAGGAACCGUGAAUGGAUAGUAUGGAUUCAUGUAUAUUAUCCAGAAAGUUGCAUGACCUUUUGUGGUACUCAGGUCACUAAAAAACGUGAGAUAAACAUCUAGGAUAAGAAAAGCAAAAAAGCAUAACCUAAUACGUAUUAUAUGAAUUGAAGGUGUCACUGAACACUACUAACCUGCUUUGCCACUCUCCUUAUGAUUUCAUCAUUUGAUAAGGGCAUAUAAGGAUCUCCAGGCGUCAAAACGCAUCUGAAAGAUAAUAUGGUUAUAGGAAGCAAGAUGGAAUACAAAGACACUUGGCAAAAGGAAGUCAAUCAGAUUCCAUGCACAAAAAAUAACUAAUAAUGACGAGGAUAAGAAAUGUUUCUUACUGGAGAAAUGAACCUUGCCCUUCUCUGUAGUAGUAUUCUGGUGAAGUGAGUGCUAGAUCUGCAAAGCAAGGGAAAUCUGCAUCUGGAGUAUAUAAAAGGUUAUCUAGCCCCACAGCUUGCUUCUAUUGCCUACAUGUUCAAUACAAGGAUCCGUUAAAAAAUGGAAAUUUCUUCAAUGCAUUAGUAAAGGGGAGUGAAGUGAAAGCUGAUUUCUUAGGCCUUCACAGAGCAUCUUGUGUUUGACAGCAAGCACUAAAGAAUAAACUCAAAGUCAGUGCUUCUAACAGAUGAUAUAAACAACAAAUUUACAAAUAUCAGGUCAUUGCAUUAGCUCCAUGCCUCCAUCAGAGCGAACAUUAAUAGAUGCGUAAAAAAAAAAUAAGAGCCAUAUGUGAAACAAUUUACCUUAGACAUGGCAAGUCCUUUGACAAAUGUUUCCCCGUUAGCAAAUUUAUCAUAAUGCAUCUCUCUGCAUCCCCACCUAAGAUGGAACCUGUUCUCACAAGAACAGACUCCAAGGUUGGGAAAAUCAAUUGAUCAUCGGAGAAAACAAACAGGAUUAACAAAUCACUACAAUGGUGUGAACCCGUAAAUACAAAUGUACCUGCCCCCUUUAUUUGCGAUAUAUUUUCUUAUUGGCCCAAUCAAAUAAACAUCCGGAGAACCCUUGAGCAUCUGUAAUAGGGAAGCCUCGGUCUUAGUCGCAAACAGUGCAAAUAUAGUAUGCAUACAACGAGCAAUGAUGUUAUCACAAUCAAUAAACCCAAGGGCAAACGCAACAGAAUCUUACAUUCUUUGGAUACUCAUCCAUGUACCACCCUUGGACAAAAACCAAUCAGAGAAGCUUAUCUGUAAGAAGAAAUGAAGUUUUAGGUAAAAUAAAAAUUUGUAGGAACAGGGAUUGAAAUUCAACAAACAAGAGCAAUAGCAUUUCUUGAUUUAUCAUAAGUCUGCACUUGAAAUUCAAGAAGUGCCUUUACAACAGGACUCAGCGCAAGAGCAAUAGCAUUUCUUGAUUUAUCAUAAGUCUGCACUUGAGCAAUAUACGAGGCAAAGUACAUCAAAAGAGAAUCCAAAAGAGGCAAGAAGCUUCAACAUGAAAAAAGGAGUACUGCCUCGUCAUACUGCUUUGCAAUCACAGUGCAAAAGAUAACAUCAACAAAAUCAAAAUCGAGCAUAAAUCCGUAUGCACUACCUUAAGCUGAUUUGUAGACAAAAAUGCAUGAAUCCCAUGUAAUGGAGCUCUAAUCGGAAACCGGAAAUCAAGUUCUGGAGUUGAAAAUCAAAAUCAUGAAUCAAAUCAGAGUUGUUAUUGAAUUAGACAAUCCAUAAACCAAUAGAAGGUGAUGUCAAACCAUCAAGCAUAACUAUUAGUUGUUUUAAGUGAUCAAGAAAUAACUAUACCACCAAUUUCACCACCCUUAUUUACAAAUUUAUGAGUAUGAUCCUUCAUGAGUAAAUUUUCGUCCGCACCGACCUGUCGACAUCCAUGAAAAACUAUCAGAUCAUAAACACAGGUUCCAGUUAAAGAGGAUCUAUGAUUCUGAUCCAUCAUGUUAUUUGAACAACAUAUUCGGAUUUUCUUACAACCCUAAGCUUUUAUCAGUUAUCAUCGCUACAAAUGAUAUGGUCAAGAGGAAUGAUAGUUCUUGUUUCAAGAAUCUCAAAUCGUAAUUCUUUUGCAUGGCUUCUGUGCUUUUAUAAUCAUUCAAACACGCAUAUCCACAACUAAGCAAGCUUUACCUUUUUUGUCAAUCGGAACAGAUUAUUGUAGCAUCCAAAGAAAACGUGCAGGCUGAUUUCAAUAUGGUUUCCACGUUUACAGACAAAUGAAGCCACUUUACCACCAAUAAAAGACCUCAACUCAUAUAUAUCCACCUGGAAGAAAGGAAAAGUUUAAAAAAAAGGAAUAAAAAUUCUUCUAAUUUCUUUCACCAUCAACAAAAUCAGAAAAACACAUACUAAUUCAAAAUGAAAUAAAGUUUGUGAAUUGAAAUAAUGCCAACUCCUAAGAAAAAUUAUGACUGCUGAUAUUUUUUCCGAAAUGCUGAUAAAAGCUUCUGCUAUUUACUUCGAAAAAAUUGAGGUUAGAAGCCUAUUUACUUGAAAUUUUGAGUUUAGGCAAGAGGAUGAAUGGUAAAAGUGAAACAUUUUAGGGAAAAAUGUACGUCAGAGGCCAAUGAAAGCAUUCAGAAGAUUGAAAUCUAAAUGAGCAAAACCCCGUGGCCUUGAUCCAACAAAUCCACUGCUGUUGACAUGCCUGCAAGCCCAGCUCCAAUAAUAGCCACUCUCAGCUUUGGUCCUCUAUAAUGUUCCGGUUCUGGUAGAAACAAACCCUUGGGAGCUGCCAAGUAUACCAUCCAAUUAUCCACAGCGAUAAUGGAAAUAUAUAUGUGUUUAAAGGUACUAAAUUCCUAAACAUGAAAUGUAUCCAAAGAGAGACACAAAGCAGAAUUGUGAAAGCAUUUCAAUUCCCAAUAAAUUUUAAGAAUACAAAAUACUCGGUCUGUUCCUCAAUUCCUUUAAUAAAAUUUCCACUAGAGGCUACGGAAGCCACUCAAUAACACUCCAAAGCCAGAUUUUAAACGUUAUCUUUAUCUUUAACUCCAAUCCAUAAACAAUUCUGCCACAAAUUCAAUCCAAAAUUGUUCAAGUGCACCGCCAAUUCUCCGUCAAUUCCCUCAAAAAUUCAUAAUUGGCAAACACUACAAACCCAAAAGAGCUUCCAGCAAUAAACGCAUAAAAAUCCACCAAGCAACAGAAAACAAAAUACCCAGAAACCAGAAAAGCCAAAAGAUCAAUGCUUGGCAAACAAGCAAAUCAAAUAAAACAAAAAGAAGAGAAAUUUACCAUUAACGCUCAUAUCAGAAACAUUAGCGUCCAAAGAAGCCCGUACACGGAAUCUUGGACCCUUCACUUGAACCCGAGACCAUGUAACGCCAGUAACUGAAGUUGCAGGAAACAGAACUGAAGAACCCAUAUUGCAAAUCCUGAGCUGAAAUCAAAGAAAUUCAAUUGGAACUCAAUUCAGCUCAACCGAGCGGCGCUCUCUUUUGCUUCAAUAACAAAGUAUUUUUCUUUCAUAUCAACAAAGAUUUGUCAACAUCAACAAAAUUUAACUAAGAAACUAAAAUAAUGAGGUAUCUUUGAGUUUAAGAAUCUAACAAGAUGCUAAGGAAGAGAGUUUUGUCAGGGAACUGUUUCGGAGAGGUUGGCCAAGUGGUUCUUUGUUUUUUUCUUCUUUUUUGGCCCUUUUCAUUAAUACACAACAGUAGUACUCGUGAAGAGCACAAAAUGUUGGUGACUUUGUCACUAACGAUACCAAAGUGGAGUGACCAGAGCAACCAACUAAAUUUUAAAGAGAGGGAGUGAUAAGUAAUAUUUUCUUUGGGUGAUUAAUUAAUUUAUUAUCAAAUAAUUUUAUUUAUUUAAUUAAACGACAUCCUUAUCUUUGUACAAGGCUGAUGAAAGACGACGAUGUUGUGUUGUCACAUAUUUUUGGGCCGACCGUUUCUUGUUUCGGCUUAAAUGAGGCUUUUGUAAUUUUGUGCUGUUUUUUAACUGAGUAUUUUGUGCUAAAUUACGCCAAAGAAAAAGUGUAAUUGUUAAAAGAUCUGCUGACACUCAUAACCUCUUAAGCGGAAUUUAUAAUGUGACAGUAUUGAUAUCUAAGUUCAUAAUAUCUAUGGGAGUGAUAAAACGAAUAAAUGAAUCGAAUCGUAAAUGAAUUUAGUUAAAAUUUAAUGGAUUUGAAUUCGAUGUGUUAUCAAGCGAAUCAUAAUUUUAAGAUUCAAACUCAAUUCAUUUAUUUAAUGGAUAUCUAUUUAAUUCGUUUAUUGUAAAAACUUAAACAAAUUGAGUUGAAUUUGGAUUCGUUUACAAUUUGUUUAAUUCAUUUAUGCAAAAUUAAUAAUAAAUCAAUCAAAUGUGGAUUUGUUUAAAAAAUAAUAAUAAUUAAUAAAAAAAAUAAAGUAAAAUAAAAUAUAAAAAAUCAUAAAAUUAACAACCUACAAAAUACAAACAAAUUAGUGACCCCAAACUCGGAUUCGAUUCAUUUAUUUAAUGAAUUGAAUUGAAUUCACUUAUUUGUUAAUGAAUUAUUUUUUUAAAAUUCAGACCUAUUUAAUUUGAAUCUAAUAAACAAAUCCUAACCUAAAUUGCCAUCUCUAAAUAUGAUGGACCUACUUAAAAUAUAUGAAUACCAAAAUGUGUGGGCUAAAAAGUGGUUUACCAUGCAGCAAUAAGAAUUUUAAGCUCUCUUUUCUUAUGUCACCCAAGGCAUUGGCUGGAUGGCCAAACAGCAGAGUUCAAGUCUACAAUAGAGAAUCGAAAUUUUCCUUUGUAAAUGUUCGUAAGUAUUUAGCAUAGAUUUUUAAGUUAUUCUUGAUAGAUCCCCUACCACAUACGCUAUAAUAUUUCUCUUCUUUUAAUUUAAAAGUAAAUCAUGCAUAAUAACGGGUUUGUAAAGAAAUGAAAUUUCUGGUAAUUAACUGUCAAAAAAAAAGGAUGGAUUAAGCGAAAGAAGUUAAUAUAGAGUUAAGUCGAGUACUUGACAAUAGGGGUGUUCGCGGAUCGGAUUUUACAGAUUAGACAUCAAUCUAUAUCUGAUCCAUAAUUUUACGGAUUAUAAUUUUUCAAUCCAAUCCAAUCCACAGAUUGAUAUAAUUCAAUUCAAAUCCAAUCCAUACAUCUGCAGAUCGGAUGCGAAUUUGACUCAAUCCAUAUCCAAUCCAUAAGUCUGCGGAUCGGAUGCGGAUUUGACUCAAUCCAUAUCCAAUCCACCAUUUUGCGCAUUAGUUUUCGAAUUAAAAAUUUUUAGUUCUCUCCAACUAAUGAAAUAAAAAAAAAAUCUAAUAUAAAAAUAAUUUUGCUACCAAUUAAAUUUAAAAUUGAAUAAAAUUUAAAUAAAUUAAUUGUUUAAAUAAAGCUAAAAAAAUACAUUUAAAAUUUUAAAAUAUAACACAUCGAGACUAAUUAUUCAAAUAAAGCUACAAUAAUACGUUCAAAGUUUCAAAAUAUAAUACACCAAGCUUAAUUGUUCAAAUAAAGUUACAAUAAUACGUUAAUAUAACACCGAAAUUAAUUAUUGAAAUAAAGCCACAAUUAAUUGAAAUGACGAAGCUUCGGAAACCAAACACAGUCUAAUCCUUUACCAGGGCUGUUGCGCUUGUCGAAAAGUGGUGAUUACGGAGCCGUCCACGAUGGGAACUAGGAGAAGUCGUCGAGUGGCAAUCUUGAAGGUUGUGAUAAUGAAAUUGUUCAGCUGGAACCAGUGAAUGUGAAGUGGCUCGGUGGACUUGGGAAAGAAGAUGGCUUGCUCUCGCUGUAAUCGCGCGGCCGAUGUCCUUCAAAUCCGUGUCGAGAGUGUAUCCAACCAGUAUUGAAUGUUGCUAGUGUGUGUCAUGGCGGGGAAGCUUAGGGUUUUUUGUUUGCAAAUUAUUUGUGACUUAGCGUCAUGUUACUUUACUUUUGGGUGACUUUGCAAAUUGUUGGUGAUUUGGCGUUAUGUUACUUUGCUUUUGCUAAUGUGUGUGACUUUGCUUUUAUUUUGUUUUACAAUGUCUACAAGUUAUAUUUGUAUAUUUGAUUAUUUAAUUAUUUUUUAUUUUAUAUUAUUAUUGGGUAAUGGCUAAGAUAUGUUAUAGUGUUUAUGUAACUAUGUAAUGUCACAUUUAUAAUUUUUUUAAUUAAAUUUAUAAUAAUUUUUUAAUUAUAUAUAAAUAUAUAUAAUUAAAAAAUUAUUAUAAAUAUAUAUAAUAUUAUUAGAAACUAUUAACAACGGCACAAAAUGCCUGUGAUAAUGAAACAAUGUGCCAUCCUUAAACUAAUAUUAUUAGAAACUAUAAGUGAAAGUUUUCAGAAAACACGCACGUGAUAAGUUUUCUCCUUUGUUUUGAUUUACGCGAGAGAUAGUUGUAAAGCGUAAAAUUUUAAAAUCCGUAACAAAACAAAAACUUACAUGGGUUGGGCGCACCAUGUGCAUACCAAAUUAGAAUAAUUGACGAAUCGUAAUAAAAAAUUUAUAUAUAAGAAUUGAAUGAGAUCCAUGGUUCACAAUUGCAAAUUAAAGGUUGGUUUUAUAAUAAAAAUCUUUUUGUGCAUACCAAAUUAGAAAAGAUUAUAAGUAAAUUAAGAUUUUCAAAAUUUGACUAGUAUUAUAUUACGUUCAUCAAUAAAAUAUAAAUUUGUUAUAUAUAUAUUUUAUUCUGUAACCAAUGCUUUCAAAAACUUUAUACUUAUAUGUUUGAACAACUUUUUUCGUUUUCUAUUUAUAUACGAUAUCAUUUAUGUUUACAUAAAUUUUCAUAUGUACCCAAAUUAAGCAUUAAAUACACACACUUUGGUAAGACACAUUAAUUUCUAGUAUCAGACAAUGAUAUUAUAUUGAAUGUAAUGCUUCAAUGAAUUUUAUUACUAUAUACUAAAAUACUCAACGAUCUCCAUUAAAAAAAGAAAAGAAAUUGCAUGAUUAGAAUGAUUAAAGAUCAUUUGAUGAGGAGUUUCAUCAUUAACUGUGUCGAAACACAGCAGCAAUCCACAAUACACUUAACAGGAGAGGGGCACACAAGCAUGCAUGAAUCUUCCACCAUUAAACCUGAAAUCAUAAAAUAAAAGAAACAAGAUGAGUGUUGUUUUACGGUCUGAAAGCCGAUUCCAAUUAAUAAUAAUAAUAGUAAUAGUAAUAAACCUUUGUUAAUAAUUACUACUAGUUGUCUCUGCCUUUUGCAUCUUCCUCCUUUGUAUCAUCGUCCUCUUCCAAUCACACGGCUAGACCAGUAUGUCUCGAGAAUCUUUACUGCCUUCUCAGAGAUCCCGUUGACGUCACGACUUCGUAGAUUUUCAAUCUUUUCUAAUCCCUCAGCCUCCUCAACCAACUGGGCAUAUUGAUUAAAAUCUCCAACGGCGGUACCCGUAUUCAUUUCAGCUACCCCGACCUUCAAAAUGUUCUCUAAUCCUUCUAAGCAAACAGUGACGAUCUUUGGAUCAGCACAUUGAAGGAGACCACACAAUGGUUUUAUACACCCCGUUCUCACGAGGUACUUGAUUUGAUCAUGAGUGCCACGCGAGCUGGCAUUCGAAAUUGCCCAAGCAGCCUCCUUCUUUGUAUCAAAUUCAGCAUUUUGAAGUAGAUUGACAAUGGGACCAAUUAAGCCGGAAUCAAUUACCGCCUGAAUCUGCUCCCUGUUUCCAGCUGUAAUAUUUGAAAUAAUCCAGCUAAUCUUCUUCUUGAUGAUCUCUUCAUGAUUAUGGACUAAAAUGUCCAAAAAGUAUGGCAGUGCACCACAGUUAAUUAUAUACUGAGUCUGGAAAUCAUCUCCCGUCACAAUAUUUCCAACAGUCCCCAGGGCAGGGGCAAGCACUGAGGAUGAUGAGUGACCAAGGAGCUCAACAAGUCGUGGACAGACACCUGCCUCGAUCACAGCUUGAAUUUUGUCAUUCGUACCAUCAGCAAGAUACGCGAGUGUCCAACAGGCAUAUGUCAAGACCUCUUCAUCGUUUGAACGAAUAAGCUGUGCAAGCGCCGGGAGAGCUGGCCUUACCUGAUCAAAUGGUGGCUGUGGCAUGCCCCUGCAUAAAUUAGACAAUGUCCAUGUGGCAGUUCUCAGCAUUGAAAGCUUAGUGUGGUCCUUUAAUUGCUCCAGCACUGGAAUCAAAGCUUCUUCGCGAAGCACAAGAUUACGGCAUCCAAGUGAGUCACCACCAAUAUUUCCCAUUGCCCAAACAGCCUGCUCGCGGACAUCCUCACUUGGAGAAGCAAGUAGUUUCACAAAUAUUGGAACAGCACCGUCGUCAAUCACCACCUUAGUGUUCUCUGAAGUUCCAGAAGCAAUGUUUGUAAGAGCCCAAGCAGCCUGAAAAUGAAGUUGCGGAUAGUCUACCCUCAUAAGAAACUCAACAAAGCGCGGGACAACGCCAGAUUGUAUGACUUCAUCAAUUUGUGGACUCCUCUCAAUCGAAAGUAGAUUUCGGAACCAAGUAGUUGCUUCCAGCUGCAAGCCGCUGUCAUCUGACCAAACCCCAGCAACCAUCCUGUGAAAACUCGCGUACUUGUUUUAGGAGCAGGAGCAGGAGGAGGAAAUUAAGUUAGGGAUUUGGAGUGAGAGUGAAGGUGGAGAAAAAGCAAGAGAGGGAAAAAGUUGAUUGUUGAGAAAUAUAUACCUUUCGUAUGGUUGUGUUAAGGUCGUCCUUCCAAUCCCAACAUGCUUCACCCCGCCGCUCCACUUUGUGUAAUUUGGGUGUACUUAAUUUUCCUUCAGAGAAAAUCUUCAUAUCGGGGCAAUCAUCCACCACUAAUCUUUCCAAAGAUGGGAAAUUGAAAGCACAAUUGCCAGAGCAGAAGCUUGUCAGACUUUCUAAGAGUAAAAGCUUCAACUCCUUCAAUUCUCUGAAAGUAAUAACCUCAUCUUGUGCUACAACAUCAUCCCCCAGUACUAUUUCUUUUAUCUUAUCGCAUGAUGCUAUCUCCAUAUAUCUAAGUCUCACCAGAGUCUUUGCAACUGAGGAUGUUAUUACGAUUUUCAAGUUGUUGCAACGCGAUACCACCAGAUUUGUAAGAUUCUGAAAGGAUGUCGACGAUGGCACUAGAUUGACCAAACGGUCACACCCCUUUACACGUAGAAUAACCAAGUUGUUCGUAACAGAGGACUCCUCUAUCAAAAUGUGCUCCAGUUGAUAUUUUGCUUCUAUUAUUUCUACCCUCAUCCCAUUUUCAACCUUCUCUUCCGGCAACCAAGCAUCAAGUCCUCCUAUUUGGAGGAGUUUCAUUGUGUGAAGUCUCUGGAGGAAGUCACCAAGCGAUAAAAUAGUCCGCUCAUCAUCCAACUCCACAAAAAUAUAUUUUAGUUUGCAAAGCAAGUCUUCAGAAAAUAGAUAUUUAUUUGUUACUACGUGCUUUGCAUCAACUUUCAACUCUUCCAAAUUAGGGAAUACCUGGGAGAUUGAUCAGAGCCCAAAAAAAAAAAAAUACAAGAUGAAUCAAUUGAUGAGAAUUAUAAGUUACCACUAAUUUAUAAAAUAUAUUUUAUAAAUUAGAAUAAUUAUGAAUGAAUACUAUACACUAAUCUAGAAUAAUUAUGAAUGAAUACUAUACACUAAUCUGUAAGAGAGUUACGUUGCUAACAAUUUGACUUUUAGUAAGAAACCAAGCGAUAAAGGCAAAGGCAAUAUAACUCUAAACUCUAUGAUAUAAACUCUCACAGAAUAAGAAUUGAAAAAUUGAUUAUAAAAUUCUUGUACGUACCCUUUCCGUGAAGAUACUAGUAGUUCUUUUGUAUCUCGCCAUGAAUUCAGGACAUGCAGAUAUCCAUAAUUCUUUCAAGGAUGGAAAUUCAAGAAUAUCAAGAUCUCCAGUGCAGAAGCUUGUGAUCUUUUCAAGAUCAGACAUCUCCAGAUAUUGCAACAGAGGAAACAUUACAAUAUUAUUCUUCCUUUCUUCUUGGUUGUCCACGACUAUUAACUCUUCCAGGACAGGACAUUUACUUAUCUCAAUGCUUUGGAGUCGAACAAAGCUACUAACAGUAGAAGAUGAAAAUAGACAUCUUAAAUUCAUACAUCCGUGUAGGAUCAAGCGUGUUAAAUUCUGAUUACCACAAGACAUGACUGUAACUGGGCUCAGCCGAAUCCUCCCAACAUUUAUUGAAUCCAACGUCAACUUCUCUAACUCUGGUAACCGAACCUGCUCGAACAAAAAAUUAACUUGUUAAUUGCAAGUAAACGAUCAUUGAUUAUAAAAUUCUUGUACGUACCCUUUCCGUGAAGAUACUAGUAGUUCUUUUGUAUCUCGCCAUGAAUUCAGGACAUGCAUAUAUCCAUAAUUCUUUCAAGGAUGGAAAUUCAAGAAUAUCAAGAUCUCCAGUGCAGAAGCUUGUGAUCUUUUCAAGAUCAGACAUCCCCAGAUAUUGCAACUGAGGAAACAUUACAAUAUUUUUCUUCCUUUCUUCUUGGUUGUCCAAGACUAUUAACUCUUCCAGGACAGGACAUUUACUUAUCUCAAUGCUUUGGAGUCGAACAAAGCUACUAACAGUAGAAGAUGAAAAUAGACAUCUUAAAUUCAUACAUCCGUGCAGGUCCAAGUGUGUUAAAUUCUGAAUACCACAAGACAUGACUGUAACUUGGCUCGGCCAAAUCCUCUCAACAUUUAUUGACACCAACUCCAACUUCUCUAACUCUGGUAAUGCAACCUGCACGAUCAAAAAAUUAACUUGUUAAUUACAAGCAACAAUGAUUUCUGUUGAUGGACAAAUCAAUAAAAUUACUCUUUCUCUGGUUAUAGUUCUUUUCAGUUUUUCAUACAAACAACCGUUAAUCAAGUUUUCCAAAUUAUUCCUUACUAAAUGUAUAGAUUUAGACGGCGGCUAAUAUAAUUCAUAUUGCAAAUAUUUUUUGAUUGUAACGAAUUUUGUAAUAUUAAAUUUUGGUUGAUUAACAAUAGGACCUACUGUCCAGCGCGAGCAGUUCUCGGGAUUUAACUACUGGCACCUCGAUUAUAUAAAAAUUUGGAAUAUUUUCAAAGGAAAUCACAUAAUUCCCCCUUGCAAAUAGUAAUUUCAUUAAUUGCCGCGGGUUCACAUAUAAUUCUAAGAAAUUAGGCGAGAAGAGUCUCAUCAACAAUCAAUCAGCAGAUAUCACGUUUGGCAGAUCAUCAUGAUUUCCUCAGAUGCUAGAGAAUCAAAGUGAUUUCCGCUCAUGCAGGAGUGGACACAUUAUCUUAGAGCAUACCUCACUGAGAUCUUUUAAAAAAUUUAUAUUAUAAAGUGAACAACAUAUUUAGUAUAGAUUUAGACGGCGGCUAAUAUAAGUUAUAUGUAUUCUAAUGACGUAUAUUAAAGAAAAUGACUAACCAUAAUUUCAAUCAACUUAUUAGUCUAUAUAUAUAUAUAUAAUAUAUAUUCAGCGAUUACAACAUAUUUAGUAUUCCAUAACAUGAUGUUUAUAAUAAUAAUUAUUAUUAAUUCACUUAUUGUGUCAGAGUACCUUUUCUUUCUCUAAGAAUGUAUUUGUUACACCCCACUAUACUUCGGAUGAAAAAUUUAGAAUAAUUGUGAAAUAUAAUUAUUAAUCACUCUUUGCCAUAUUUGUUACCAAACAGGAAUAUAACAAAGAAAAAAAACAAAAAUUAUAGAGAAUUAAUAAGACGAUUGACUUAUUAAUAACUGACCUUCUCAGGGAAAAGCGUAUUAGAAAUUUGGACAUUGUCCUCCAAAAUGAUUUCAUGUGACUGCAAAUCAUUAGCUGAUUCCUCUUGUCUCUGUUGACAUUGCAGGUGUCUUGAUUUAAGAGUGUAAACUUAAUUGUGAACACAAUCUUAAUUAAUGCACUUGUCUCUGUUUUACAUUGCAGAUGUCUUGAUUUUAGAGCGUAAACUUAAUUGUGAGCACAAUCUUAAUGCAUAGAUAUAAAAUCUUUAAAAAUGAGUACAAUCAACUUAGCACUAAAUCCAAAUUUGAUAUUUUGGAUUCCAUGAUUAAGAUUUUUUAAAUAAAAAUUUAAUAGAGUUAAUUUAAAAAUAAAAAUUAAAUGUGAAAAAUAAACUUGCAAUUAUGGAUUUAAUUUUGAUAAAUAAUGAGGUUCCGCCUAUGUUGCAACAGUUGCAACAUACCACUUCUUUUGUCAUUUUGUAAUUUAGCCAUUGGAUCCAAGACAAGAAUGGUAAAAGCAAAUCUAACGGCAGAGUGUAUUUAUUUAGGUUAUUUUCAUUGUAAUCCCUCUUGUUUUCUGAAAUGUCAGGAAAAAACAUAAUUAUUAUUUUUUUAUUUAUUGGCUUAGUUGUUAAAUGAUAUGAAUAAGAAGUAGGAAAUUUAAGAGGACUUUUAUUAUUGAUAUUAUGUAAUUACAAUGCAUGAUUCAAUACUAGUUUAUAAGAGUCACAACUUGUUAAAUAUAAAAUAAAGUUUAUGUUUGCAUCCUAACUUCAAAAAGAUAAAUACGUUUAUUUAUUCCACAAAUUAAUAAAUAUUUCAUAUUUUUUUAAUUAUUACUAUCAUUUCUAGAUCUACUCUCAUUAUGUAAAUUUAUUAAAAAUUAUAUUUAAUUAUUAUUUUAUAUUAAUUAUUAAUAUAUAAAUAUAAUAUGAUAUAAUAAAAUAAUAUUAUAAUAUAAUUUAUUUUUAAUAUUUUAAUUAUUAUAGUAAAAAUAAAAAUAUAAUAAAAAUAUAUUUUUAAUAUUUCAAUUAAGAAAAAUUUUAGCACAUUGUAGUGAAUUAUAUAAUUGACCACAAUCUAACUUUUAAAACUUCCAAACAUAGGUAAGUAAUAAAUUAAUGUGAACAAUAUUAUAACAAUAUACAAUACUGUGUUCUAAACACAUUCUAAUGGUGCGUUUAUUAAAUAAGAAUCGAAAUGAGCUAGAAUCAUAAUAAGGAAUCGGAAUGAACAACAUUCCCAUUGAUGUGUUUACUUUUUUUUAUAAUUGGAAUAAACUAUUAUAAGUUAUUAAAAUGCCCUUUGAUAAUUGUGUCCCUAAUAUUAUUUGUAUCUAUUAUAAUUAAAACAAUAAUAAUAAUAAUAAAACUAAAAAUAAUAAUUAUGAAAAUAAUGUUAAUUAAAACAAAAAAUUAAUAAAAUUUAACAACAAUAAUAAUAACAACAACAACAAAAUUAACUGAAAUAAUAAUAUUAAUAAUGAUAAUAAUAAUUAUUAUUAAUAAGUUUUAAUAAUAAUAUUAUUAAUAAAAAUAAUAACAACAUUAAUUAAUAAUAAUGAAAAUAAAAAAGUUAAUAUAUUUUAAUAAUAACAUUAAUUUUAAUCAUAACAAGAUAAAUAUUAAUAAUAAUGAAUUAAUUACAGUAUAAUAGCAAUUAAAAUAAUAAAAGUAAUAAAUUUUAAUAAUAAUAAUAAUGACAAUAAUAAUCAUAAAUAAUAAUAAUUAAAAUAAUAAAAUUUAAUAGCAAUAUAACUCUUAAGCUUUAUGAUUUAAACUUUCACAGUACAUACAUAAGAAUUGAAAAAAUGAUUAUAAAAUUCUUGUACGUACCCUUUCCGUCAAGAUAUUAGUAGUUCUUUUGUAUCUCGCCAUGAAUUCAGGACAUGCAGAUAUCCAUAAUUCUUUCAAGGAUGGAAAUUCAAGAAUAUCAAGAUCUCCAGUGCAGAAGCUUGUGAUCUUUUCAAGAUCAGACAUCUCCAGAUAUUGCAACUGAGGAAACAUUACAAUAUUAUUCUUCCUUUCUUCUUGGUUGUCCACGACUAUUAACUCUUCCAGGACAGGACAUUUACUUAUCUCAAUGCUUUGGAGUCGAACAAAGCUACUAACAGUAGAAGAUGAAAAUAGACAUCUUAAAUUCAUACAUCCGUGCAGGAUCAAGCGUGUUAAAUUCUGAUUACCACAAGACAUGACUGUAACUUGGCUCGGCCAAAUCCUCUCAACAUUUAUUGACACCAACUCCAACUUCUCUAACUCUGGUAAUGCAACCUGCACGAUCAAAAAAUUAACUUGUUAAUUACAAGCAACAAUGAUUUCUGUUGAUGGACAAAUCAAUAAAAUUACUCUUUCUCUGGUUAUAGUUCUUUUCAGUUUUUCAUACAAACAACCGUUAAUCAAGUUUUCCAAAUUAUUCCUUACUAAAUGUAUAGAUUUAGACGGCGGCUAAUAUAAUUCAUAUUGCAAAUAUUUUUUGAUUGUAACGAAUUUUGUAAUAUUAAAUUUUGGUUGAUUAACAAUAGGACCUAGUGUCCAGCGCGAGCAGUUCUCGGGAUUUAACUACUGGCACCUCGAUUAUAUAAAAAUUUGGAAUAUUUUCAAAGGAAAUCACAUAAUUGCCCCUUGCAAAUAGUAAUUAUCAUUAAUUGCCGCGGGUUCACAUAUAAUUCUAAGAAAUUAGGCGAGAAGAGUCUCAUCAACAAUCAAUCAGCAGAUAUCACGUUUGGCAGAUCAUCAUGAUUUCCUCAGAUGCUAGAGAAUCAACGUGAUUUCCGCUCAUGCAGGAGUGGACACAUUAUCUUAGAGCAUCCCUCACUGAGAUCUUUUAAAAAAUUUAUAUUAUAAAGUGAACAACAUAUUUAGUAUAGAUUUAGACGGCGGCUAAUAUAAUUUAUAUGUGUUCUAAUGAUGUAUAUUAAAGAAAAUGACUAACCAUAAUUUCAAUCAACUUAUUAGUCUAUAUAUAUAUAUAUAUAAUAUAUAUUCAGCGAUUACAACAUAUUUAGUAUUCCAUAACAUGAUGUUUAUAAUAAUAAUUAUUAUUAAUUCACUUAUUGUGUCAGAGUACCUUUUCUUUCUCUAAGAAUGUAUUUGUUACACCCCACUAUACUUCGGAUGAAAAAUUUAGAAUAAUUGUGAAAUAUAAUUAUUAAUCACUCUUUGCCAUAUUUGUUACCAAACAGGAAUAUAACAAAGAAAAAAAACAAAAAUUAUAGAGAAUUAAUAAGACGAUUGACUUAUUAAUAACUGACCUUCUCAGGGAAAAGCGUAUUAGAAAUUUGGACAUUGUCCUCCAAAAUGAUUUCAUGUGACUGCAAAUCAUUAGCUGAUUCCUCUUGUCUCUGUUGACAUUGCAGGUGUCUUGAUUUAAGAGUGUAAACUUAAUUGUGAACACAAUCUUAAUUAAUGCAUAGAUACAAGAUGUUUAAAAAUUAGUAUAAUAAACUUAGCACUAAAUCCAAAUUUGAUAUUUCGGAUUCCAUGAUUAAGAUUUUUUAAAUAAAAAUUUAAUAGAGUUAAUUUAAAAAUAAAAAUUAAAUAUGAAAAAUAAACUUGCAAUUAUGGAUUUAAUUUUGAUAAAUAAUGAAUGUUCUCUUUAUAUAUUUUUUUAAAAGGUAAAAGAGCGUACAAAACCCAAAUUCAUUUUUUUAGUCCCUUACUCUCCCAUGAUUCAAACUUCACUUUUUUUUUCUUUUUCUUUUUUUUCUUUUUUUGUUGAGAGAAAAGAGAAGAAGGAUAUUACAAAGCAUGAAGCUCGUGCAAUAUAAGGGCAAUUAUGGUUUUUUCUUUAAAUUAAAAUGGUAAGAUUCUGAAGCUAAAAGAUUAAAAUAUUAAUUAAAUUGCAAACAUUAAAGAUUUUUUUUCCAAAAUUGGUUGCUUUGAAAAUGAGAAUAAUAUAAUAUUUGAAGACUUUUUCAAAAUUAAUUACUGUGAUGCACUAGAAAUUUAUAGCUUUAGUCUAAUGUAUAAAUUGACAAAACGAUAUUAGAAUCCCAGGUGAAAAGAACCCUCUCAUACCAUUUUCUUAAAUUAGGAAUGAUCAUACCUCUGACUCUGCCGGACUGAGGGCGAGGCGUGAACCCCUCAUACGGAGACGCUUGAGAUGGGAAGAGCCUACUUUGACUAACUCGUUACGAAAAUAAUCGACAUCUUGCUCUUGCAAUCUACGUAAUUCAAGGUCUUCAAUUCUCUGCAGUUGCACGAUCAGCGAAUCCUUCAAGCGAAUCUUGUCAUUUAGCUCGAGUCUGAAUUCACGACACCAAAUGCCAGUGCUCUCCCAAUAUUCCCAACCCUCAUCCUCAUCCUCAUCCUCAUCAUCUCCAAUGCGGAUGAUAUGUAUGCUGUACCUUUCCAGCUUCUCCAAGAGCAGGCCUCUGGGCAGAGUGCCGACGUCAUAGACGUGUAAUUCCAAAGAGGUCAAGUUGGGUAAAUGCUUCAACUCCUCAAGGCUUGCAUUCUUAACCCCUUCCACCUCCACCUCCCAAUCGGCAAAGUCAAAGAGUUCACUAGCUAUAUAUAGUUCUUCUAAAUGGGAUAAUUUUGACAGUAUAUUUGGUGGAAUAACUUUUAGUGCAAAACAAUCUCUCAAAUCAAGCAACUUUAGCCAAGUCAAUUCACCUACUUCUACCGGCAACUUCUUAAUAUAAGAACCUCUUAAGCAAAGGAUUUCUAGUUUCUUCAAGUCUCCUACAACACUUAUAUCAGGCAAACUGCAGCGACACAAACUCAGUGUUCGAAGGUUUGACAGGAGACCAAGUGAUGGAGGCAGUGACCGUAUGUAAGUCAAGUUUACAACUCUGACCUCGAUCAUGCUCUUGAAAAGGUUGUCUGGAAUUGUUACUGGUGAGGUUUCGCAAGGAUCAUCACUAAUAAAAAGAAGUUCGAGCUGAGGACAUUCCAGUACUUUAGGAAGCAAAUUAGGCUUGAUAUCAUGUAUGACGAUUGAAGUGCAAUGCUUUAUUGCACUUCCGUCUGACCAUUCCCUGCAACCAUCAACCUGCUCAUUUGUAGCAGUAAACACAUUUCGUUCAGUAGAUGCAAUUGAUAUGGCGACAUCGCGAACUACAUCAUGCAUAGAAAACAACUCUUUCUUCUGGCUUAUAUGGUCAAGCAACAUACAAGAAGCUUUGAGUGUGCGCACCAAUGUAUGUACUCGAUUUCGUGCUGCUUCCAUCUUAUUCACACCUUGAAAUAAACUCAAUCCCAUACCACACAUUAACAGUUCGUCAAUAGAUGCUAUGGCUGUAUAUCCUAUUAGCAAAAAGAUGUUCUUCAGCUCCUCCCCUACCAAUUUGUCGUAACUCAACUUUAUGGCUUUAUAUGCAUCUGGCUGUACAUGCUUAAAAUUCGAUGAAGAGGGCCUUCCUAGUUUUUCCAAUGCAUCCUUCCAUUCCUGUAUGUUCUUGUUCCUUAAUGCCCUUGCAACCGUCACAAUGGAAACUGGCAGACCUGCACAUCCCUUUGCCACAUCCCUUGCUACCGAUUGGAAUUCACUACCUUCAAUAUAAUCACCUGCCAUCUUCUUGAAUAGAUUCCAAGCUUCUUCUUUGUUUAAAACACCAAUUGAGAAAUUUGUUCGACAAUCCAUCUUCUCAGACAAUACAUUUAGACUUCUGGCCGUCAACAAUACUUUACAACCAUCUCCAAGAGGAAUUCGGACACUCCCCAAAUUAAGAUUUUCCCAAAUGUUGUCUAAAACUAUCAGGAUCUUCUUCACUUUUUUUAUACCUUCAUAUAAGCUGCCUGCCCUUCCUUCAUCACUUUCCUCAUGCAACUUCAGGCCUAAUUUAUCUGCGAUUACUCCUUGAAUCUUUCGUAUGUCUUGAUUCUGAGACACCUCAACAAAAACCACCUGAUCAAAGAGUUUGUCACUCUUGACUUUCCUAGCAACUUCUUCGGCCAGCAUCGUCUUUCCGAUGCCACCCAUUCCAUAAAUCCCAAGCAUGUUGACAUCGCGAUCUUCUAGUGCACUGAGUAUACUCCUCAAAGUGGACAUUCUUGAUUCAAAGGGCUCGUAGUCUUUGUUAGGGAUAAGCCGAAUAUCCUCUGGAGCAGUACGGUAGGAAAUUCUAUCAAAUCUUCUAGCGUCCAGGACUUUGACAACAGCCUCCUUCUGCCUCUCUGCUUCCUUGCUAAGUCGACGGCGGGUCUUCAAAUUAGGUAUUAACCCCUUGAAACAACGCUUAUUUUCAAUGGCUUCAUCGUCUGUAAAUUUAUCUGCCUUAACAAUGACAUCAUUUGCCCCUUCGAGCCAAUUCUCAACGUUCUCUUCAAUCGCUUCCCCUUUUGUUUUAGCCUCAGCAACCCGGUGCUCUAUACUAACCUUCUCAGACUUCAGAUUGUCAACUUCAGUCUUGAGAUUGUCUAAGAUGCUCGUGUACUUACUCUCACGCAAAUAGCUAAUUUGGCGAUAUGCGGGAGGAGCCAAGCACUUCACAACUUCUACAACAAUAGUAAGAAUGAUUUCAGCCAUCUUCAAUCCUUUGUCCUUGUCUCUCUAUCUCUCUUUUUUCUGAAUUUGUGAAAAACAAUUGAUCCAGUUAGGAAGCACACUGAGUGAUUGAACACAAGUGACCACAACAAGAUGGAACAAAAUUAAAAGGAAAAAAAUAGAAAGAGUGGAUGGAGAAUAAAACAGAGACAGCGGCACAGCUGGACACAACUAGAUAGAGAACAGAGGAAAACCAAAUAACAAGACUUAAGAUUACAACAAACAGAGGCCAAGUAUUGUUGAGAUCAGAAGAUGGAAAAUUCAAAAGAGUUGAUGACAGAUGCUGAAUAACAGAACAACAAUGAACGCAAUAAACAGAAGCAAAGUGUGGUUGUGAUCGACAGACGGAAGUAAGGAAAAGCGGUUGUCGAUUGAAAAUGAAUGAAUGCAAGGAAAGACUGAUAUUGAAAAUUGACGUCAAUAGCGAAGGAAUAAUUGAACUUUCGCUUAAUUAUUGUUUGUGGCCUUGUUUUACUUUUUAUUUGUGGGUCAUGUCUUUUGGAACUAAUCAUCUUAGCUUAUGCUUUACAGCUUUAAGGCCAGUAACCGGUGUCCGUUGGAUAAGCAUAUAGAAAUCCAACGGUGGAUAUAUAUCCUUGGGAAUAAAAUUCAAGAGCAAAGGGAGUGCUGGGCUGCAGUUUCUUAAGGAGAUUUAUAUAUCCUCCUCAAAAAUAAAUGUUUUAAGGUAGAUAUUUAGACUAUUUCAUCAUAAAAUGAAUGUAAUUAAUUUUCAAUAAAUAUCUUAUAUAAAUAUUUAUUUAUUUUUUUAAUUACUAAUGACCUUUGAAUAUACAUAUAUACAUAUCACUAAUUCAAAAAUAAAUUGUGAUUAUUUGUUAAUAUAUGCGAUUACUUGUGAUGGUAAACAAAGUAGAUAUGGUAUAUUUUGAAGUUAAAUUAAAAAAAAAAAAAACAGAGCUUUUACCAUUACUUGCCUUAUCAUCUUUUAAAUUAGAAUUAUUAUUCUUUUAUUUUUCAAGUUGCCAACUCAUCCGCAUUCUCUUGUAUUGAAUUUGAAGAUCAAUGAUUAUAAAUUUGUGUGAAAAUUUUAAGUCAAAACUUUAAAUUAAAAUAAUCUUUAAGUUAUUGGGAAAUAAUACCUUAGUAUAACAAAUAUUAUAUCCUAUACUUUAUUGCUACAAAAUUACGAAACCUUAUAUUAUAUUAUGUUUCCAUAUUUCUCCUUUAUAGUGAAGACUCGUACUUCUUCUCUAAUAAAUGCUAAAGUAUUGGCUUAAAUUUUUUAACCGGCACAGUAGACCCUUAAGCUAUAUAUACUAUAAUGUCCCUCUUCUCUCACAGAUUAAACCAAUCUGAUCUCAGAGUGAGUUGAUACCAUGACUUUGCAUCAUUCGUGAUCAAAGGAGCAUCAUUACUAACUAAUAUAGGCUCGAUCAAUAGGCAUGAUAAUAAUUUUUUUUUAUCUACAAACACUAUUUUUCAAAAUAUUUUAUCUUAAGACUAACUAAAUAUUUUUUAACUAUGUAGAUAUAGGUUGUUUGAUCUCUUUUAAAUAGUGGAGAUUACAAACAAACGGAUGCGAAUUAGUAGUGAUGUUGAGUUCAGAAGAUUGAAGUUAAGAAAAUUAAGGGUUUCUUGAUCUAGGGAAAUUUCAAAAGAGUGAAGCGUCCUCAAAAUCGGAAGACGAAAAAUAAGGAAAGGGUAAGGGUGUAUUUUCAAAGUAAUUCUAUUAGUAGAUCUUUGAAGUAGGGGUGGGCAAAUCAGGUUAGUUCGGUUUAAAACGGAUUGAAACAAUUUAAUCCAAAAAUUCUACCAACAACCACUUAAAAUCCAAAAAUCUUAAUUCCAAACAUCCUUAAUAACAAAUAUCAACUACAAACCAUCAUUAACAAUAUUUCAACAAUAACAAUAACAAUAAUAACAACAACAACAACAAUAAUAAUAACAACUAUGAAUUAGCAAUUCAGCAUAUUGCCAUAUUCUAAAUUUAAAAAAAAAACACAAAUUAAUUAAUUAACAAUCUCCAAUUUAAUUUAUAAUAACAGCAAAAAUCCUCCCCAAUUUAAUUAAUAUCAGUCUCCAAUUAUUCAAUUAUCAGUCAAUAGCAACAAACCCACUCCAAUAUAAUUAUAACAAUCUCCAAUUGUUCAAUUAUCAGUCAACAACAACAAAUCCUCUCCAAUUUGUCACGAACAGCCUCUAAUUGUUUAAUUUUCAGUCAACAACAACAAACUCACUCCAAAUAAUUGAACAAUUGUUAAUUAAUUAAUUAAAAAUAUCCAAUUUAAUUAAUAACAACACCCAAGAGCAAGUCAGCAAUAAACCCACUCCAAAAUCCAAAUAUCAGUAUAAACUAAGUGUCAAACCUUGAUCGGUGGGAAGCUACAACGUCGGCAAAGCGUGACCAUGUGGGGCUGAGUGAGACCGUCGACCGAGGGUGUGUGAAGGGAGAAGAGGGAGCAGGGAGGUAACGUGGUGUGUGUGAGUUUAUAUAUAUAUAUUAAAAGCUAAAACUUAAAAAAAAAAAUUUAACUCAAUCCAAACGCACACCUAGAUUACUUCCGUUAAGAGCUGAAUCCCACACUCUUGAGCCUUUGUCGUUCCAGUCAACUAUAAAAACAAAUCAUUAUUGAGUGUGAACAGACUUAUUGAUCACCAAAUUUUCAAACUUGUCAUCCUUAUUGAAUCUGCGUUCCCUUUUAAUAAAAUUUAAAAAAGUACAAAUAAUGAAACAAAGUUAUGUUCCUUCAACAGUUGAUAGAGUUACGCGGCUUCAACUUGCAAGUCCAGUCGGCAUUUUCAAACUUGUAAUACCCUUACAACUUGCUUUCCAAGAUAGCUAUAAUUAAUAAUGACAAUAGUCUCCCCUAUAGCGACUAGUGAGCAACUUGUUUCGUGAAAUUAACGGCAUCUUCUCUCGCAUUUUAAAAAAAAAUUGAAUUAUAUAACCCACCAAAACUAUAAAAGAAUUGUUAGUUUUUCUUCAUUAAAAUUAAUAUAUUGCUCCUCAUAUUGAAAAAUCAAAAUUCAGAAUAAGAAUGAUUGAUACUUUUUAUUUACUAAAAUGAAAAUAAAAUAUAUGAAGCCUACAUAUUUUUUAAAUUAAAAAAUAAGAACUUUAUUUUCUACGGGGAGUGUUGGGAAUCAAGUUCUCAUUAUUUAAACUCUCAAUUGUACUUCAUCGAAAUUUCAUAAUUUCACUUUUGUUCUCAAUUAAAAUAUUAUUGUAGUUAUUAUUCUUAUUUUUAUAGUUGUUGUUGAUGAUGAUGGUGAUAAUGAUGAUGAUGAUGAUACAAGAUAAUAAAAUUAAUGAUAAUUAAACCAAUUUGAAUUCAGAGUGAGUGAGUACCAUUACUUCGCAUCAUUUGAUAUCAAAGGAGCAUCAUUACUAACUAAUAUAGGCUCGAUCGAAUUCAUUAUGCGAAGUAUAUUAUCGGCUGUAGGUAUGGAAAUAAAUUUUGUAUCCACAAACACUAUUUUUCAAAAUAUUUUAAGACUUGACUUAGCAUUUUUUAACCAUAUAUGUAUAGGUUGUUUGACCUAUUUUAAAUAGUGGAGAUUACAACAAAUGAACAGAUGUGGAUUUGUAGAGUUGUUGAGUUCAGAAGAUUGAAGUUAACAAAGGGUUUCUUUAUCUAGAGAAAAUUCGAAAGAGCGAAGUGUCUUCGAGAUCAAAAGACGAAAUAAGGAAAGGGUAAGGUUAUACUUUCAAAAUGAAUCUGUUGAGAGAACUUUAAAGAUUACUUCCGUUAAGAGCUGGAUCCCACACUUGAGUCUUCGUCGUCUCAGUCAGUCAACUAUAAGGACAAAUUAAUUUUGAGUGUGAAAGGACACAAUUGAUCACCAAAUUUUCAAACUAGUGAUCCUUAUUGAAUCUACAUUCCCAUUUGAAAAACAAUAAAAGAUUAACAUUAAUUUAACUUCAUCUAAAUUCCCAUUUGAAUCUGCAUUCCCAUUCCCUUGUUCUCUGGGAAUGCACAUAAUCAAACAAAAUCCUAUCCGCAUUUUCAAACUCGUGACCCUUCAAGCUUUCUAUGACAACUAUAAUGAAUAAUUACAACAAUGCUACCUAAUAGUGAGAACUUGUUUGAUGAAAUUAACAGCUUCUUUUCUCUCAUGUAUUUUAAAAAAAAUUAAAUUAUCAAAGUUUUUAUUUCAAAAUUAGUGCUAUAGUUCAUUAAUUUUUCAAAUUUUCCUUUUUCUUUCCACACAACAGAUUGAUUUGCCCUCCAAAAAAUGUAUUAUAUUGUUUAAUAUUGUAACUUCAAGAAACUUAUAAUAAAUUUUUAAAGAGAUAAAUAGAGAAUAUCAGUCUCCCAUCUACUCAAAAUUAAUAUAUAUCAUUAACUCUUGAUUAUUUUUAUAAAAACUAAUAACUUUUUUUGCAGCAUAAUUUUACAGUAUCAUCCUUGUUAGUAAGUAUAUUUUUAUUCAUAUUUAUUAUAAAUUAAUUAAAUCAUAUCAAUGAAAAUUGAAAUAAAAAUUGAAGUACUACAAAUUAAAAAAAUAUGUUUUGGUGUGAAUAAAAAAUUGAAAAUAAAAAUAUUUUUCUUAUAUUUUUUGUUAUUUUUAAAUUUUUCUUAUAAUAAAUGUAUAUUUUAUGUGCUCAACUUUUUCUUUAAAUUUUUGUUAUUAGGAGGAUUUUUAGAUAUAAUGAAAAUUGUAAAGUAGUAAGUAAUAUAUAAUAAUUUUAAUAGAGAAAAGUAAAAAAUCUCUUAUUUUAAAAUACAAGGAGAAAAAUAAUUAAUUUCAAGACAUUUUAGAAGAUAUUUCAAUAUGCGGUGGACCACAAACUCGAGUCUUUGUCAUCUCAGUCAAACUAAAAGGACAGAAUAUUGAGGGCAUGGCUAACGUGCAGAAGCUACAAGUAACAGCUUCGAACUUUCCCAUUUCCAUCACCUUGCAUUGGGAGUUUGGGACCUCUUUCUCUCUCCUCUAGCAGCCGUGGAAGUUCCCCAUUGGCUACUGUUACUUACAGAAGCUGUAACAUAGACUUCUCCGAAUAUUGACCGCGAAGGGCUCAAGUGAUUGUUCAUUUCACAGCAAUUGCCUUUUUUCUUUUUUUCUAAUUAUUGGGAAAUAAGAACUUAGUAUAACAAAUAUUAUAUCCUAUACUUUAUUGCUAAAAAAUUACAAAACCUUAUAUUAUAUUAUGUUUCCAUAUUUCUCCUUUAUAGUGAAGACUCAUACUUCUUCUCUAGUAAACGCUAAAGCAUUGGCUUAAACUUUUUAACCAGCACAGUAGACCCUUAAGCUAUAUAUACUAUAAUGUCUCUCUUCCCUCACAGAUUAAACCAAUCUAUCUCAUAGUAAGUUUGCAUCAAAGGAGUAUCAUUACUAACUAAUAUAGGCUCGAUCAAUAGAGAUGACAAUAAUUUUUUUAUCUACGAACAUUAUUUUUUCAAAAUAUUAUAUCUUUAGACAUAACUAAAUAUUUUUUAACCAUAUAUGUAUAGUUUGAUUAAAUAGUGGACAUUACAACAAAACAUAUGCGAAUUAGUUGUGAUGUUGAUUUCAGAAGAUUGAAGUUAAAAAAAUAAAGGGUUUCUUGAUCUAGGGAAAUUUCAAAAGAGUGAAGCGUCUUUUAGAUCAUGACGAAAAAAAAGAAAGGGUAAGGGUGUAUUUUCAAAGUGAUUCUAUUGAAAGAUCUUUAAAGAUUACUUUCGUUAAGAGCUGUAUUCCACACUCUUGAGCCUUUGUCGUCUCAGUCAACUAUAAAGAUACAUUAUUAUUGAGUGUGAACAUUCCGACUUAUAGAUCACCAAAUUUUCAAACUUGUGAUCUUCGUUGAAUCUGCAAUCCCUUUUGAAAAAAAAAAAAAAAAAAGGGGAAAACUGCAAAUAAUGAAACAAAAUUCUGUUCCUUGAUAGAGUUACGCGGCUUCAACUUGCAAGUGCUGUCGGCAUUUUCAAACUUGUAUGACCCUUCAACUUGCUUUCCAAGAUGGCUAUAAUUAAUAAUGACAACCGAAGACGGCUACGUUUGCGGUACAAAAGUUGCACCAUAUUAGACGUUCUUUUUUGUUCUUAUCCGAAGUAACCGUUGGAUUCAAAGGAAAGUGAUCAGACAUUCAAUAGCUUCACACGUGGACAUUAUAGGAUACCGGUCAAAUCGGUUAGUGCUCCUCCUCAAUCAAACUCACAAGCAUGGCUAUCAUCGUAUCAGCUUGGAAACUUGUUACAAGUGACUAAGAGCAACAGGGUCCGCUCCUCUAGAGUCGGUUAGUGCUCAAUAAUGUUACAGGUUUUAUAAUCUAUGUAACUGGUACGAUCGCUGUCUCAAGUGGUAAACUUUUGAGGCACAAAUUUAGAACGAAAAGUUCCCAAUAAAAUAAGUUAUUUAAUUAAUUAAAUAAGAAUAAAAUGAAUUUGUGAAAAAAAAUUUAAAUUUAAUUUUGAAUUAUUUUGACCAAAAUUUAAGUUUUUUUUUUUAAUUUGUUUAAGAAAAUGCGUUGUAAUUGUCUUGUUUUAAUUGGAAAAUCAAUGAAAAAAUUAUGUAAAAAAAAAAAGCAAAACGCUUUGUUUUGGAUGGAGGCCAUAGAUUCCAAUAUUUCCUUCACGAAAACUACAAAAAAAUUAUCAAAGGCAUCAAUUUCUACACUCUCACCGAGCAAUACUCUUAACCCAGAAGAAAGUGUAUAAACCAACCCCAAUCAGUCCAUCAAUGUCGUCAACCUCAUACAGCAUAAAAAAAAUAUGUGUCCAUUAAACCGUCUUUAUUGAGCCAUUAGACUAUUCGUAUCAUCUUCCCGUCUCGUUGUAGUAUUUUGCCGUUCAAAACUAGUUAUCAAUUGGGGAAAAUGGGGACCAAUCUGCAAGUCUUUAAAAUAGAAAGAAACUUUAAUUGGGCACUAUGUUCACGGUGGCAGACCCAGCAGCAGCUAUUUGUGCUUUAAAAAUAAUUUUACACAUUCUAAUUUUAAUAAAAAUAUAUAUUACAAAAUUACUUAUCAUAUAAGUUACUGGACAAUAUAUUAUAAGUCAACAUUAUAUAAUUACUUUGAACACUUAUAUAGCCCAAUCCUAAUUCAAUUUAUUAUUCUCAUAACUUAAAUAUAAAAAUUUUUAUUUCCAACUUCUUAAUUAAUAUGUAGAUGAAUAAUAAGGAAAUUAACUUUGAGAAAAAAUUAAAUACAAAAUAUGUGUAAUACUUUCAAAAAAAAUAAACAAAAGUAUUGCACAAGAUAAUUUUUUUUGGGGGGGGGGGGGCUUUGGCCAUUCUUCUUCUUCUCCUUCUCUCUCUCUUUUUUUUUUUUUGUAGUAUUUAUGGAACAUUUUCUAUUGUUAUGUUCUCAUUGCAAGUUAUUUUGGGUGUAAAAUUCAACAUUGAAAAUAAAUUAAAUAAAAAAAUUAGUAACUAAAAUUAUGUUAAAUUAUUUUUUAACUUAAUUUUUAAUUAUAUUAUUAGUAUAUGUUAGAUCUCUUAAAAAUCGAGUGUUGAAUAAUUUUAUUAGUUUUUUAAACAAAUAAAGUUAAAUAACUUAAAAAAUUUAAGUAAGGAUAUUUUUAAAUUUUUAAACAGUAUACAAAGUAAAGUUUAUUUUCUUGUCAGUGGCAAAUGAUCACGACAAGAAAUCUAAAGUAGAAACAGCAGAGCUCAACAAAUCACUAAGAGAAAAUAAGACCAAUAACCAAGCAGAUAAAAGAAAAGCAAAAUAACCCAUCUCAAAUCACCACAUGCACAAUUUAAGGGGUUUGUGACAUGGGUUUAAGCAUGAUUUAACAAGUGCCACCUGUGAAUUGUCAGAGAUUGUAUUUUCAUACACAUGUCUAGGGGUGGGCAUAUUUUAACCGAACCGAUCCAAACCGAUCCAAACCGACCAUUUGGUCGGUUUGGAUCGGUUUCAUUAGUAAAAAAACUGGUUUCGGUUUAUUGGAUUGCAAACCGACAUCACUCGGUUUGGAUUUCGGUUUGGAAUGAUUCCAAACCGAUUCAAACCGAUCCAAUCCAAAAAUAUUAUAUAAUUACAUUAUAUUUUAAGUUAAGCAAUCUAACUAAUUAUAUUUAUCAUUUUAUGCAGAUUUUGACAAAUCAAAACUAAUUAGGCCAUAAGUUUUGACGGACAAGAUGCACAAUAUUUUAAUUGUCAAAUGUUGUUCAAGUUUAUUUUAAUUUUGUGAGUUUGUUUUGAAUGAAUAUGUUAAGAACUUCUUUAUUAGGAUGUAUUAUACCGUAAACUUGUAUGGAUGUAUCUUUAAAUUGUUAUGUAGAUGUCAAAGUAGAUAUGAAUAAUAUAAAAGAGGUAUCAAUUUGGAUUACGGACACAAAAAAAUAACAAAUAAUUUAGGUAAAAUAAUAAAAAAAGUGGGCUUUUAGCUAAUAAACUCAAACUGAGAAUCCAAACCGAUCCAAACCGAUCCAGUCGGUUUGGAUCGGUUCGGUUUGAAAAAUUUUUAAGUUGAUAUCGGUUUGAAAAUAUUUCAAACCGAUAAGUUUGGAUCGGUUUGAGAAUAUGUCUCAAACCGAUCCAAACCGACUUUGCCCACCCCUACACAUGUCAAAUUUUCAAGUCCAACAAAUUGUUAUCUUUCUAAAGAGGCUAAUAUUAUUAUUAUCUAUGCAUAGCAUGCUAUAAACAAUUCAUAUUACUGGGCCUUUGUUUUGUGUACACAACAUAUGGACAGAGGAACAAAUGCCUGAGCUAAAAUCAUCAUAUUCCAAAAUAUUCUAUUAAAUCAGCACCACAAAACGCGAACGCUAAACAGAAUUGGAGCAAUUUACCAAAGCUAUUUGUCACGCAAAGCACUAGUACCUCAGAACCCAAUUUGCAAAAAAGCACCAAAAAUGAAAAAUAACAAAUGCCCAGAUGAAAAAUCAGGAAAAAAAAAAUGCUCAAAUCCAAAUUACAACCCCAUAAGUUGAGUCGUUCUCUUCGAACUGAAUUAAAAAUAAAUAAAAAAAUUAAAAUGGGGAGAUUGACCUCAAACUUUGGAAACAGAAGCGACAGCGAUCUGUUUCUUGUCUGGAGUGUCCAUUUCUAUAAUCUACUUUGUCCGUUUUCAGUUGCUCUGCCACAGAGCUUCUUCCCUCUGAAGCUGAAGCUCACACACACUCGCAAAACGAAAGCAUUUUUUAUUGAUUGAGAGGCGGGAAGGCGGGAAAAUGAGAGAAAUUUGCAUUUGUUUUCUCUUGGUUUGGUCAUACUUGUGCGGGCCCCAGCUUGACAAGCGGUAUUAUUACUAUUUGUAUAAUUUACAUGACGCGUGUCACGCAAUGACGAUAAAAAAUAUAUAUAUAUUGUUAAUUUUUCACUUAACAUUGAAAUAUCAUAUAAUUUUUCCAAUUUUAUGGUUAUUUUCUCGCCCUUAUGCCACAUUCUUUUGAUCAAAUAAUACAGUAAAACUUUUCUAUAAUCAUAAUAUUAGAGCCAAAUUAACUUUAUUUCUGUAAAGAGGCUAUAGCUUAAUAAAGGUAAAAUUAUAAAAAAAAUAUUAUUUUGACUCAGUUAUCUUUAGUGCAAGUGAUAUAAAGUACAAAUAUAUGAUAAUUAAUUAAUGAACUAUGUCAAAUACAAUAUGCUAACAAUGAUAAAAAAAGAUAGACAUAAUUUCAAGAAACUAUGUAUUUAUGUAGUGCUGGGAUUAUACAAAAUUAUCUUAAAAGUGUAAAGAGUAAAGUAUUAUUCUGAUUAAUUUAUAAAAAAAUUAUUUUAUCUUAAUCUUUAAUGCAACAUAGCUUUUUCUUUUCUUAACAACAAAGCAUUGUUUCAAAUAAUAAUUAUUGGAUUCAAAUCAUGUCCUAGGCAUUUUUUCUUCUAGUCGUCUUAAACUUUUAAUGAUUUAUUGGGAUGUGUCAAUCAUUAAUGAAAUUAAAUAACUAAGACUUUGUUUUAAUUAACGUUUACAUAAAUAGACAUCAAAACUCAAGUGUGAUUCUUAUCAAUUUUUUCCUGCAAAUUCUUUUCCUCUCAACUAUUCAUAUUUUGACAUUAAUUUCCAGCAAAUUAUUAAAAAAAAAAAGAAGCGUAAAAUGGAGAAAAGUGAUUGACAACAAGGUUUGCAUCUUAAUUUCAAAAUUUUCCUUUCUUUGCUAUUUUUGUGAGUUCUACAAUUGUUGUUUUCACUCUCAGCUGCAGUUCAAUGAACUCUAUUAAUAACCAUGAAGCUUAAUGUAUCAAUUCCAGUACGAGAAGUCCUUCUACGCAUGUUACAACACUUUUUGGUCAUUAUAGGUUGCAAAUGUUCCGUAAUGUACUCAUUCAUAUAACGGAAACGCUAUUAUCAAUAAUGAAAGUUGACUAAGUUUGUAAAUUCUAUUUAACGAAAAAGUAACAUAAAUUUAGUUGAACAAGAGGUAAUCAAUAUGUAAUCUAUGAAACUAGGGUGUGACUAAGUUACAUAGUAAUGUAACUUACAUGAACACAAAAAUAAUUAGUUUUUAAACUACAAGUAAUUUUGGAACUGCUCUUAAAUUGAUAUAAGUUUUAUUAUUAUGUAACUUAGCAAGGUCAGGUAUUUUAAUAAUAGCACAUCACUAUUGUUUCAUGUGAAUGAUGCAAUUGGAUUAGCCAAUACAUACUGUCAUCCCCGGGAGAUGCUAUGGCAAUAGCUUACUCUACCGUGCCAAUGUCAUUAGUAUUAAUCUGUUGAGCCUAAGACCAGAUCUAAGCUGAUCUAGAUUCCCCAAGAUCGCACACCACACAGUGAUUAAUGAAUCAAGAACAAUAAACCAUCAAAGAAUCGCAAACUUACAUGUCGGGUUACAUGUAAUAAAUGUUUUAAUUAUUAGAUGAUUCAUAAUGUUAGACCAUUUUUUGUAUGUUUUGUAAUCUACGUUUGAUAAUUUAAUUAGCUGAUAAACAUUUGAAUAAUAUUAUUUCAUUAGCUAUGUCAUUGAUCCCCAGGAAAAAAAAAAAAAAAAAACCCAAUUUGGGAUGUUAUACAUUACUUUUUCAUUACUUCCCAUUUUAGAUUAAUAUUUAUCACAUAUAUUCUUAGCAACUUGUAACCCUUUUUGCUAAGGGUGAAAUGUGUUUGUUACCCCUUCUAUUUCUGAGAUUGUCCUUACAAUAAGGAUGCCGGCCCCAAUGUCAAAAACUGCUAUCUCUAGGUGUAAAUUCCUUAUAAAAUUCUUUUUUAAUUGAAAUUACUUAAAUAAUUGAAGAUAAAUUAAUUUUUUAUUUCAUUCAAAUAAAAAAAAAUAAUUAAACACUUAAAUAAGCUAUCCUUUUAAUUUUUUUUUUUACACCCAUCCAGUUUCAUAAUUUAUAUUUAUAAUUUAAAUUUUAAUGGAAAAUAUUUUUUUGAAAAAUUUUAAGAAUUAAGAAUUAUGGGGAUAAAAAUUAUGUAAUAAGAACAAAAUAAUUUAAAAUUUUAAAAUUUGCAUGUAUUAUGAACAAAAACUUGAAAGAAAUACUCUUUUCAGGGUGAGAUUUAAUCAGAAAAAGAUUAAUUUUCAUUUAUGGAUCAGUAUUUUAUAAAUUAAACAGAGGUAUUUUAAGAAAUAGAAUUCAAAAGGCAUGGGAACAAGGGCAUUGGGUUUCCUUUUGUUUUGUAUGGAUUGGGAAAAAUACACGGACAGACAAAGGGAACAGUCAUUAUAAUGCUGCGGAGCUUGUCGGAGAUUCCCUGCCCAUUUGUAGCUUAGACUCCUGGGGUUUUGUUCAUGUCUUUUCUGUAUCCCACUUUCUCAUGCAGCAGAUGUACAUAUGAUGAGAUGAAAACAACAGCAAAAAUUGCUGUCUCAUAAGAGAAAUAGUCAUACAUAGUUGGUUAGGCCUCCAGUCCAUUAACUUAAUAAUGAAUUUUACGAAAAUUGAUUAUCUCAUUGGAAUUACAUAGAUAUUGGAAAUCAUUACUCCAGCCCCACCAUGCCAACCAUUUACUUAGUUCAUCAGUAAAAGCUGGAUUUUCCAUUUGUUCUUGAGAUUCAAAUUAAGGCAACAAGUUGCUCAUUCUAUAUUAUCUAUGUAAUCCUGUAAAAGUGAAGGGCGUUUAGAUGUGGAAAAACCUUACUCCUGCCGCAACACCUCAAACAGAUUGUGAUCAGACAAGACUUAGUUCAUCAUUAGUAGUAGUUGGAGCUUCCAUUUGUUCUAGAGAUUUAAAGGCAGCAAGCUGCUUCCUCAGUGCUACUAAUUCUUCCCCGGCAUUGCAUAUGUAGCCUGAGGCUUGUCUACCAGACAAAGUUGCUCCUUCCAUACUAUCUAUGUAAUCCAGUGAGAGUGAAACCAUUUAGAAGACGUAUCUCUUUCUUUCCAAUAUUUAGAAUGAAACAAUUAUAUACAGUUACCUGUUUUGCAUAUGAGCCGGUGAGGAAGAAGUUCUUCACUGGUGUCUUUUGAUCACGUCUGAAGGGGUCUUUACCAGGUCCCUCACCGCACAUAGAUUGCCCGAUUUUGACGAAAGAUGACCAAAUAACUUCCAAACCUUGGGAUGAUGGAAAUGGAGCUAAAACCUAAUAAAAGGAACCGUGAAUGGAUAGUAUGGACUCAUGUAUAUUAUCCAGAAAGUUGCAUGACCUUUUGUGGUACUCAGGUCACUAAAAAACGUGAGAUAAACAUCUAGGAUAAGAAAAGCAAAAAAGCAUAACCUAAUACGUAUUAUAUGAAUUGAAGGUGUCACUGAACGCUACCAACCUGCUUUGCCACUCUCCUUAUGAUUUCAUCAUUUGGUAAGGGCAUAUAAGGAUCUCCAGGCGUCAAAACGCGUCUGAAAGAUAAUAUGGUUAUAGUAAACAACAUGGAAUACAAAGACACUUGGCAAAAGGAAGUCAAUCAGAUUCCAUGCACAAAAAAUAACUAAUAAUGACGACGAUAAGAAAUUUUUCACACCGGAGCCUUCUCUAUAGUAGUCUUCUGGUGAAGUAAGUGCUAGAUCUGCAAAGCAAGAGAAAUCUGCAUCUGGAGUAUAUAAAAGGUUAUCUAACCCCACAGCUUGCCUCAAUUGCCUACAUGUUCAAAACAAGGAUCUAUUAAAAAAUGGAAAUUUCUUCAAUGCAUUAGUGAAGGGAAGUGAAGUGAAAGCGGAUUUCUUAAGCCUUCACAGAGCAUCUUGUGUUUGAAUUCCGGUAACCUCACAAAAGAUUAGAGCAUCACCUUGACCGUUCUAGGUCUUGCAACUCAGUAACCCAACCAUUGUAUCUAAGCUGCACUGUGACAACAUGAACUCCAACGAGCUCAUAAAUAUUGUUGAAAAAUUUCAUUUCCCUCCAGCCUCCACAAUGAUGAAAGCAAUCUUUUAAUUCCAGGGACAUCACAUGCUGCCAUUAAAUAAGAAGUUGAAUAAAGAAAAAUCGUUCAACUAAAUGAUUCAGGAGUUAAAAAAAAAUGUAGAAGUAGAAAUAAAUAACAAAGAUUUAACCAUAAACCUGCAACAUUUGCAUCAGCUUGCACAACCUUCUUGUCAGUGGCCUGAAAUAGAAUGAGAACUUGAAAGACAGUAAGCAUAAAAGAAUAAACUCAAAGAAGCUGCUUCUUACAGAUGAUAUAAACAACAAAUUUACAAAUGUCAGGUCAUUGCAUUAGCUCCAUGCCUCCAUCAGAGGGAAUAUUAGUAGAUGCAUAAAAAAAUAAUUAGAGCCACAUGUGAAACAAUUUACCUUAGACAUGGCAAGUGCUUUAACAAAUGUUUCCCCGUUAGCAGAUUUAUCAUAAAGUAUCUCUCUGCAUCCCCACCUAAGAUGGAACCUGUUCUCACAAGAACAGAUCCCAAGGUUGGGAAAAUCAGUUCAUCAUAGGAGAAAACAAAUAAGAUUAACAAAUCACUACAAUGGUGUGAACCCGUAAAUACAAACGUACCUGCCCCCUUUUUCUGUGAUAUAUUUUCUUAUGGGCCCACUCAAAUAAACAUCCGGAGAACCCGAGCAUCAGCAAUAGGGAAGCCUCGGUCUUAGUCGCAAAUAGUGCAAGUAUGGUAAGCGUACAAUGAGCACUGAUGUUAUCACAAUCAAUAAACCCAAGGGCAUACGCAACAGGAUCCCACAUUCUUUGGAUACUUGUCCGUGUACCACCCUUGGACAAAAACCAAUCAGAGAAGCUUAUGUGUAAGAAGAAAUGAAGUUUUAGGUAAAAUAACAAUUUGUAGGAACAGGGAUUGAAAUUCAACAGACAAGGAAAUAUGAUAUCAUUCUUACACUAUCCAAAUCUCAUAUGUCCUUCAAGGCUCCAUCAGGAUCAACAAGUGCCUUUACAACAGGACUCAGAGCAAGAGCAAGAGCAUUUCUUGCUUUAUCUUAAGUCUGCACUUGAGCAAUAUACCAGGCAAAGUACAUCAAAAGAGAAUCCAAAAGAGGCAAGAAGCUUCAACAUGAAAAAAGGAGUACUGCCUCAUCAUACUGCUUUGCAAUCACAGUGCAAAAGAUAACAUCAACAAAUCAAAAUCGACCAAAAAUCCAUAUGCACUACCUUAAGCUGAUUUGUAGACAAAAAUGUGCGAAUCCCAUGUAACGGAGCUCCAAUCAGAAACCGGAAAUCAAGUUCUGGAGUUGAAAAUCAAAAUCAUGAACCAAAUCAGAGUUAUUAUUGAAUUUGACAAUCCAUAAACCAAUAGAAGGUGAUGUCAAACCAUCAAGCAUAACUACCCACCAAGCAAAACUAUUAGUAGUUUUAAGUGAUCAAGAAAUAACCAUACCACCAAUUUCACCACCCUUAUUUACAAAUGUAUGAGUAUGAUCCUUCAUGAGUAAAUUUUUGUCCACACCUACCUGUCGAAAUGCUUGAAAAACUAUCAGAUCAUAAACACAGGCUCCAGUUAAAGAGGAUCUAUGAUUCUGAUCCAUCAUGUUAUUUGAACAACAUUUUCGAAUUUUGGUACAACCCUAAGCUAUAAUCAGUUGUAGUGGUACAACCCUAAGCUAUAAUCAGUUAUCAUCACUACAAAUGAUAUGGUCAAGAGGAAUGAUAGUUCUUGUUUCAAGUAUCUCAAAUCAUAAUUCUUUUGCAUGGCUUGUGUGCUUUUAUAAUCAUUCAAAUACGCAUAUCCACAACUAAGCAAGCUUUACCAUUUUCAUCAAUCGGAAGAGAUUAUUGUAGCAUCCAAAGAAAACGUGCAGGCCCAUUUCAAUAUGGUUUUCACGUUUAUCGACAAAUGAACCCACUUUACCACCAAUAAAAGACCUCGACUCAUAUAUAUCCACCUGGAAGAAAGGAAAAGUUAAAAAAAAAAAGUGUUGAGAAUUAUGUUUGAUUAAACUUAAUUCUUUCCCCAAGAAAUCUCCACACACUGAUCUUAUUGAAACAAGAAUGAAUACCCAAGAUAGUAAUCAGAAAUAAAGCAAGAGUGUUUAGACAGAAAUAGAGAUUAAAAGCAUAGAAUAAACCGGACACAAGGAGAAUUAUAGAGGUUCGGCUGGGUAGCCUACAUCCUCUUGAGAAACAGAAGCCAUAGCUUUUCUUUGAUGCUUAACAGAUUACAAGACUUAGAGAGUUUGUUACAAAGAACGUUGGUUAUCUAAACUUGGCCUUGGAGACCUUAUAUACAGCUCUCGAAGGAUCCAGAUAAGUGUGCUGCUUGCCAGCUCUUGUUCUGGGUUUGUUGAAACAAACCCAGAAAGUUCCCGCCAAGGCUAACCGUUGAUAACAGCCUUUUAAUUAGAAACGACACUUGCUGCUGCCGUUUAACUAAAGCUUGAAUCCGUAGAUGCUCGUGCAAUUCACGUGCAUUACUUAAGCUAUUCGUGUGACAGGAUAUGGUUGUCAUAUGCACAGCAUUAUCUGUCUGAUUGCUUUGUCGUUACUUGAUUAAUCCUAGACACGACAAAGUCAUCUUCUCCGUAAGCUCUUAAUUCAGGUUCACAAUUAACAAAAAGGAAUAAAAAUUCUUCUAAUUUCUUACACCAUCAACAAAAUCAGAAUAACACAUACUAGUUCAAAAUGAAAUAAAGUUUGUGAAUUGAAAUAAUGCCAACUCCUAAGAAAAAUUAUGACUGCUGAUAUUUUUUCCGAAACGCUGAUAAAAGCCUCUGCUAUUUACUUUGAAAAAAUUGAGGUUAGAAGCCAAUUUACUUGAAAUUUUUGAGUUUAGGCAAGAGGAUGAAUGGUAAAACUGAAACAUAUUAGGGAAAAAUGUACUUCAGAGGCCAAUGAAAGCAUUCAGAAGAUUGAAAACUAAAUGAGCAAAACCUCGUGGCCAUGAUCCAACAAUUCCACUGCUGUUGACAUGCCUGCAAGCCCAGCUCCAAUAAUAGCCACUUUCAGCUUUGGUCCUCUAUAAUGUUCCGGUUCUGGUAGAAACAAACCCUUGGGAGCUGCCAAGUAUACCAUCCAAUUAUCCACAGUGAUAAUGGAAAUAUAUAUUUGUUUAAAGGUACUAAAUUCCUAAACAUGAAAUGUAUCCAAAAAGAGACACAAAGCAGAAUUGAGUAAGCAUUUCAAUUCCCAAUAAAUUUCAAGAAUACAAAAUACUCGGUCUGUUCUUCAAUUCCUUUAAUAAAAUUUCCACUAGAGGCUACGCAAGCCACUCAAUAACACGCCAAAGCCAGAUUUUAAACGUUAUCUUUAUCUUUAACUCCAAUCCAUAAACAAUUCUGCCACAAAUUCAAUCCAAAAUUGUUCAACUGCACCGCCAAUUCUCCAUCAAUUCCCUCAAAAAUUCAUAAUUGCCAAACACUGCAAACCAAAAAGAGCUUCCAGCAAUAAACGCAUAAAAAUCCGCCAAACAACAUAAAACAAAAUACCUAGAAACCAGAAAAGCCAAAAGAUCAAUGCUUGGCAAACAAGCAAAUCAAAUAAAACAAAAAGAAGAGAAAUUUACCAUUAACGCUCAUAUCAGAAACAUUCGUGUCCAAAGAAGCCCGUACGUGGAAUCGUGGACCCUUCACUUGAACCCGAGACCAUUUAACGCCAGUAACUGAAGUUGCAGGAAGCAGAAGUGAAGAACCCAUAUUGCAAAUCCUGAGCUGAAAUCAAGAAAUUCAAUUGGAACUCAAUUCAACUCAACCCAGCUGAGCUCUCUUUUGCUUCAAUAACAAAGUGUUUUUCUUUUAUAUCAACAAAGAUUUGUCAACAUCAACAAAAUUUAACUAAGAAACUAAAAUAAUAAAAGAGGGCACCUUUGAGUUUAAGAAUCUAACAAGAUGCUAAGGAAGAGAGUUUUGUCAGGGAACUGUUUCGGAGAGGUUGGCCAAGUGCUUUUUUGUUUGUUUGUUUGUUUUUUUUUUUUUUUUUUUUUAUCAUUUUGGCCCUUUUCAUUAAUACACAACAUUAGUACUCGCGAAGAGCACAAAAUGUUGGUGACUUUGUCACUAACGAUAAUGGAUGGAGCGACCAAAGCAACCAACUAAAUUUUAAAGAGAGGGAAUGACAAGCAAUAUUUUAAUUGGGUGAUUAAUUAAUGUAUUAUCAAGCAAUUGCAUUUAUUUAUUUAAACGAGGGUUUGGCUACAAUGCCGUUGGCAUUGUAGCCGGCACCAUGCCGGGCUCUCAAAAAGAGAGCCCGGCUGUCUUUGGCUGCCAUCUGGCAGCCAAAGACUUGGUGCAGCCAGUUAACAAACCGGUUGCACCAUAUUUUUUUAAAAAAUAUAUUAAAAAUAUAAUAUAAAAAUAAAAAAAUUAAAUAAAAUGUCAAAAAUAAUUUUUUAUAAUAUAAUUAAUAGCAAAAGAUAAAGAAAUUAAAUAAUAUAAUACAAACCCUAUAAUACAAUAUAAUAUAAUUAAAUAAAAUGGCAAAAAAUAAAGAAAUUGAAAAUGAAAAAAAUAGUAUUUCAGGUUUAACGUCAGUUGUUGCAUGUCCGAUGUCUCGAUUGCAUGUUUGACGUAAGAUGUUGCAUGUGUUGAAUAAAGCCAAAAUAAAGAAUAUUCUCGAAUAUUCUCGUCCGUUUCAUGUUUGACGUCGAAGUUGCGAACUUUACGUGAUAAGUUGUAUAUUUCGCGUGAAGUGUUGUAAGUUUCAUGUUUAACGUCCGUUGUUGCAUGUCGGACGUCACGGUUGCAUGUUUGACGUAAGCUGUUGCAUGUCUUGAAUAAAGACAAAAUAAAGAAUAUUCCCGAAUAUUCUCGUCCGUUUCAUGUUUGACGUCGAAGUUGCGAACUUUACGUGAUAAGUUGCAUAUUUCGCGUGAAGUGUUGCAAGUUUCAUAUUUAACGUCAGUUGUUGCAUGUUCGACGGUUGGAUUUCAUGUUUGACAUACGAUGUUGCAUGUUUUGAAUAAAACCAAAAUAAAGAAUAUUCCCAAAUAUUCUCGUCCGUUUCAUGUUUGACUUCAAAGUUGCAAACUUUACGUGAUAAGUUGCAUAUUUCACGUGCAGUGUUACAGGUUGCAUGUUUAACGUCCGUUGUUGCAUGUCGAACGUCACGGUUGCAUGUUUGACGUAAGCUGUUGCAUGUCUUGAAUAAAGCCAAAAUAAAGAAUAUUCCCGAAUAUUCUCGUCUGUUUCAUGUUUGAUGUCGAAGUUGCGAACUUUACGUGAUAAGUUGCAUAUUUCUCGUGAAGUGUUGCAAGUUUCAUAUUUAACGUUAGUUGUUGCAUGUUCGACGGUCGGAUUUCAUGUUUGAUGUAAGCUGUUGCAUGUCUUGAAUAAAGUCAAAAUAAAGAAUAUUCUCGAAUAUUCUCGUCUGUUUCAUGUUUGACGUCGAAGUUGCAAACUUUACGUGAUAAGUUGCAUAUUUCACGUGCAGUGUUGCAGGUUGCAUGUUUAACGUCCGUUAUUGCAUGUCGGACGUCCUGCUUGCAUGUUUGACGUUCGAUGUUGCAUGUUUUGGAUAAAGCCAAAAUAAAGAAUAUUCUCGAAUAUUCUCGUCCGUUUCAUGUUUGACGUCGAAGUUGCAAACUUUACGUAAUAAGUUGCAUAUUUCGCGUGAAGUGUUGCAAGUUUCAUAUUUAACGUCAGUUGUUGUAUGUUCGACGGUUGGAUUUCAUGUUUGACGUAAGCUGUUGCAUGUCUUGAAUAAAGCCAAAAUAAAGAAUAUUCUCGAAUAUUCUCAUCCGUUUCAUGUUUGACGUCGAAGUUGCAAACUUUACGUGAUAAGUUGCAUAUUUCACGUGCAGUGUUGCAGGUUGCAUGUUUAACGUCCGUUGUUGCAUGUCGGACGUCACGGUUGCAUGUUUGACGUAAGCUAUUGCAUGUCUUGAAUAAAGCCAAAAUAAAGAAUAUUCCCGAAUAUUCUCGUCUGUUUCAUAUUUGACGUCGAAGUUGCGAACUUUACGUGAUAAGUUGCAUAUUUCGCGUGAAGUGUUGCAAGUUUUAUAUUUAACGUAAGUUGUUGCAUGUUCGACGGUUGGAUUUCAUGUUUGACAUAUGAUGUUGCAUGUUUUGAAUAAAGCCAAAAUAAAGAAUAUUCCCGAAUAUUCUCGUCCGUUUCAUGUUUGACGUCAAAGUUGCAUAAUUUACGUGAUAAAUUGCAUAUUUAACGUGACUUGUUGCGGGUUUCAUGUUUUACGUCUAUUGUUGCAUGUUGGACGUCACGGUUGCAUGUUUGACAUUAGAUGUUGCAUGUCUUGAAUCAAGCCAAAAUAAAGAAUAUUUCCGAAUAUUCUCGCUUGUUUUAUAUUUGACAUCAAAGUUGCAUACUUUACGUGAUAGGUUGCAUGUUUGACGUAAAAUAUUGUAGGGUAGGUUUAUAUAAAAUAACUAAUUAUAAAAUGAGAGUGCAUUUCAAAAUUCCUUGACAAAUCAAGUGAUAAUUUAUAACUAAACUUAUUUUUUUCAAAUUUUUUAUUAUUAAUUAAGUUUAAUUAAGCCAAUCUAUUAAGAAACAAAUGAAAAUAUAUUAAAAUUAAAUUAAAUGCAACUUUUACCCAAUAAAUAUAUUUAGGAAUAUAUCUAAUUAAAUUGGUACACAAAUUACAAAUGUUUUCAAGAAAUUACACACAUAAGUUUAAUAGUCUAACUAUUUUUUAUAUGAUUGAUAAAAUGAUGGCUUUGGAAAGAACUUGUGAUUUGAAAAGAAAAAUCUAGUUAAUUAUAAUAAAAUUACAUAUCUAAUCCAACCUUUUUUCCUUAUUUUAGUCAGAUAAUAGUUUUGAAAAUAAUUUGAUAAUUCAAGUGAUAAUGUCUAUUCUUAUUUGUUGUAUAAUAUUUUUUUAGGUGCAUUUCAUUUUAUUUUUAUUUUUUUAGAGAAUCUAAUCAUGGUGGAUAUUUUAAAUUACUAAGUCAUGAAAAUUUUGAAUUCAAUUGAAAUUUACAAUCUUUUAUGAAUGAAAAUAUACAGCAAGACAAAAAAAUUGAGAGAUAAAAAGAAAAUGUGGUAGAAAGAAAAGGCAACAUCAAUAUGAUCAUUUUCUAAGAAAAAUUAAGGCAAAAUCUUCCAAGUAAUAUGGUCAAUUUCAAUAAAAUUACAACUUACUAGAGUAAAUCCAUCUACUAAACAUCCAAAGUUCACAACAUAAUAUUUGAAUAUCACCAAUAACAUCCCCAAUCCUAAAGAUUGCAACAAAUUCAUGUAACAUUUGAGGGUAUUGUUUGGGGGUAAAAAUAACGUGACCAAGUACACAUAAGUAGAACGUGCACCCCUCAGUCGGCCUAAGGCGACUCCUUGAGGAAAGUCUUCCCCGAUGAGUUGAGCAUUGGAGGGUUUAUGUUAGAAAAAUCUCCGACAUCCCCUAACUAGUUGUUAUGAACGCAAGCAUCCUUGGAGAAAGAGCUUGAGGUCCCAAGAGCCUAUUCGAUAAGAAAGAUAGAAGUACAAACCGACUCCCCAACAACUACUAAUUUAAGUGUUGGCGUGGUUGUCUGGUCGCUUCACAGCUCGACGAGAAUUCAACAUCAACAAAUAUUUUAGAACCUAGUGUAUCUUCAAUCAUUUUGGAUUAAAUUCUAUGACACUUUUUUCUUUUCUUCUCUUUUUUUGUGAAAACAAAUUUUAGUACACUUAUUUUAAAAGAAAUUUGUUAAUGAAAAACAAAAUAAUGACAAUGAAGAGCACUCAUUUAUAAAAAUAAGCUACAAAUAGAAAAACAAAAUUCAUAUAAGUAGAAUCUCCCAAAAACUAAAAGCAUUGUCGAAUUGAGUUACAAACUAAUAAUAAUUUCAUCAAAGUUUGUAAACCAAAGAUUGUCCUAAUAUCAAAAAGUUUCCAAUAAAACACUCCAACUGAAUUCUCCCCUGGAAAUAAUUAAAAUUUUCAAGUUAGUCAAUAAGAAAAAACAGCCAUCAAUCAUAAUAAGAAGCAACAGCAAAUUACACUAAAAAAAUGGCAGAAAAAAGCACCAAAACAACAAAUAUAAACAAGAAACAACAAUUAAAAAAAACCCAAAAAUGGCAUAAAAAGAUGCUCAAAGCAGCAAUAAAUUUAUAAAAAAUACCCUAAAAUAGCAGUGAAAAGUGCUUUAAAAAGCAUUAAAAAAUCCAAAAACAAUAGUAAACAUGCCUAGAAACAGUAGAAAAAACCCCCUAAAAUAGCAAGAAAACUGCCUAAAACUAGAAAAAAAAUCUAACAGCAAAAUCUUCCAUUGCCAGAUAAAGCUACGAAAGAAAAGAAAUAAAAUUCAUAAAGAGUCAAAGCUAACAUACUGACCACUUGCUAGAAAUUAAGCUAUAAAUCCCAAAUUUUUACACAAAUUAGUAUCUGAAACAAGAUUGGUUUGAUAUAUGAUAGUCAAGUAAAAUACCUAUAAAGUAGUACAAAUUCAGCAAACCUAAUGGCUUCACUCCACUGAUUUUCUUAAGACUCCAGUGAUGAGAAGCUGCCAACAGAAUGAUAAAUUGAGGUUUGACAGGAAGCACACAAACUAAACAAGAUACAUAACAACUUUGUUAUCCAUGUUACACCCUAGAACCAUUUCUAGGAAUAUUUGUUAGAAUAGCCACCAUAACAGUUGAUGAGCAACAUAAAACAGAGACAACAACAAAACCAGCAACCUGCAAAGUGCCAAUUCUUCCAUAAUUAAAUCAGAUACACAAUAGAAAUAAUUUACUAUUAAAAUCCCAAAUUCAUUUUAUCUUCUUCCUGCAUUUUCUCAUCAAUCAAACAUAAAAGAGAGCUCCUAUCGACACAUGCAAACAGCACCCACCAUCUUGUCGCAUUCAAACACAACCCAAGAUCACAAAAGUUAAUUUUCUAGAUUUAGUUAACCAAAGAAAAUAUACCAUCAACUGGAUCACCUUAUAAAUCAAAUACAAUUCCACAAUAUUACCAACCUCCCAAAAAAAAAAGGCACAAACUUUAAAAUGAAAACAACAACACCAUGAAAAAUAAGCAAAAGUGGGUAUUUAAAUCAAACAUGAUAGAAUGCAACAAAAGCAAAAAAGCUUUCGAUAGAAGCCAAAGCUAGAUGGGGUACAAGCAAGCUAGGAGGUACCAAUUAAAGAUGCUUCAUUCAAGAACAGAAAAGCUACCAGAAUGAUAAAAGUAGAAAAAAUGAAACAAUAAACAGAAAAUUGGGUGAAAGCUGCAACAAUAGUUUCAAUCACUUAACAGUACCAGCAAACUUAUAGUAAACUUUAAGAACUAGAUGUUUAAGCCACAGAUAAUGGGGACGUACCCAUGAGGAUAAAGACACAAGCGUGAGACCAGUAAAGCCGCCCAUCCUUAACUUGUGCAGGAAACAAAGUCGAAUGAAAAAGGAGGCAACGACGGUAGCGACGAAAACAGCUGGAUCGGAAGCGAACAGCUCAAGAUGAAAGCAACAAGUUAAUGGAUUGGAUUGUGUGCGCGAGAUGUGGCUUCGAUUUUAUUUGAUUAGUCAAGAAAUCGAAGAGAGAAAUUUGAGAGAAAUUUGUGAUUUCUGAGAGAGAGGCAAGAAAUUGAGAGAGAUUGGGCACGGUUGAAACACCUAAAUUAUAAAAAUAUAAAUUUUGCAGCCUUUGGGAACUGGUUGCUUCGGUUGCCCUUUUUUUGUUUUUUUUUUUAUUUCUUUUCAAUGUCAGCCGUUGGAUUCAUUUUACUUGAAUCCAACGACUGCAUUUACAAGCCAGCACAAUGCCGGGCCUCAAUGCCCGGCAUUGUAGCUUUAGCCUUUAAACGAUGUCCUUAUCGUUGGACAAGGUUGAGGAAAGACAGCGAUGUUGUGUUGUCACGUAUUUUUGGGCCGACCGUUUCCAGUUCCGGCUUAAAUGAGGCUUUUGUAUUUUUGUGCCCUUUUUUUUACUGAGUAUUUUGUCCUAAAUUACACCAAAGAAAAUGUGGACUUUAGAAUGUGACAGUAUUGAUAUCUAAGUUCAUAAUAUCAUGAUAAAACAAAUAAAUGAAUAGAAAUGUAAAUAAAUUUGGUUAAAAUUUAAUGGCUUCGAAUUCGGUAUGUUAUCAAACAAAUCAUACUCUUAGGAUUUGGAUUCAAUUCAUUUAUUAAUUGGAUGUCUAUUUAAUUCGUUUAUUAUACAAAAUUAAAUGAAUUGAAUUGAAUUUAGAUUCAUUUACAAUUUGUUUAAUUUAUUUAUGUAAAAUUAAUAAUAAAUCAAUCAAAUGUGGAUUUGUUUAAAAAAUAAUAAUAAUUAAUAACAAAAAUCAAGCAAAGUAAAAUAGAAAAAAAAUCAUAAAAUUAACAACCUACAAAAUAAAAACGAAUUAGUGACCGCAAACUUGAAUUCAAUUCAUUUAUUUAACGAAUUGAAUUGAAUUCACUUAUUUGUUAAUGAAUCAAUUUUUUUUUUAAAAUUCAAACCUAUUUAACUUGAAUCAAAUAAACACAUCCUAAUCUAAAUUGUCACCUCUAAAUAUGAUGGACCUAUUUAAAAUAUAUGAAUACCAAAAUGUGUGGGCUAAAAAGUGGUUUACCAUGCAACAAUACAAAGUUUAAGCUCUCUUUUCUUAUGUCAUCCAAGGCAUUGCCUAGAUCGCCAAACACUAGAGUUCAAGUCUACAAUAAAGAAUCGAAAUUUUCCUUUGUAUAUGUUCGUAAGUAUUUAGCAUAGAUUUUUUAGUUAUACUUGAUAGAUCCCCUACCAUAUUUGCUAUAAUAUUUCUCUUCUAUUUAAAAGUAAAUAAUGCAUAAUAACGGAUUUGUAAAGAAAUGAAAUUUCCAGUAAUUAUCUGAAAAAAAAAAGAUGGAUUAAGCGAAAGAAGUUAAUAUAGAGUAAGUCGAGUACUUGACAAUUAAAGUAAUUUUACUCGAGGUUGAGUAAGGAUAGUAGGAUACUUUCCCAAGUUUUCCGAGGACAUUCAUGUAACAUUGGACUAUUGACUAUAGUUAGAGAGAAGUCCUAGGAUGUAAGUGAUGAUGAUAGAUUCACAAUUCUUUUGAAGAAAAUAUUUUAUAUAAACUUAAUUAUAUGGUAUAAAAUGAUUGGCCUUAAUAAAAUUAAAAAAUAAUAAAAAUAAUACACGCCUGGGUCAUGCAAUAUUUUCAACCAACUAAUUUACACGCAAAAUUAAACCUUAUGAGUGAGAACAUUAUGGUACAUUUAUUUGCUAGCAAAAACUCCGCAAAAAUUUUCCGAAGUGUGAAAAUGAACACUUUUAACAAUGGCACAAAAUUCCCACCCCCCAUGAUUAAUUCUCUUAUCUGGAAUAUUAGGGGGCUUCCCCUGCGGAAAUUAGUUCGAUUACAUCGAUUGUCUUUGAUUUGUGUGUUGGAGCCAUUUAUUUCCGUUGAUCGUUUAGAGGCUCUUCGGGUGCGACUUGGGAUGGAUCAUGCUUUAUCUUCCCAAUCUGGGAAGAUUUGGGUUUUCUGGUCCGCACCUUUCUCGGUGGAGCUUUUGCAUGACAUGGGCAAGGUGAUUUAUUAUCGGGUUAGUCACUCUUUUUUUCCUGAUCCUGUGUAAGUUUCAUAUGUGUACUCUAGUUGUUAUAUGGAUGUGCGAGAGAAUUUAUGGGAUGCUCUUAAGACCUUUGUGGAUAGUCAUGACCUACCUUGAAUCGUGGGGGGAGAUUUUAAUAUGAUUCAGGCGGUCUCGGAGAUUUCUGGCUGGCAUCUACAGACUCGGGGAGCUAUUGAUGCCUUUAAUUUAGCGUUGCUUGAUUGUGGGUAGGAGGAUGCUAGCUUUGUUGGCAGUCCUUUUACUUGGACUAAUGGGCGCCCAUGGAGGCAGCUUGAUAGGGUGGUCUGCAACACUCACUAGUAUGCUUUCUUCUCAGUAUUUCGGGUCUCUCAUCUGAAUCGUACUGCCUCAUAUCAUUCUCCUUUGCUUUUUUUUUGGUGAUCGGGACGCUGUUAAAGGACCUUUACGGUUUAAAUUUCUUCAUGUGUGGCUCAUGCAUCCAGGUUUUCUUGAUACUGUGCGGCAGUCUUGGGGUGCUCCGGUGGUUGGUUUUGGAAUGAGAGCCUUUCAACAAAAACUCACUCGGUUAAAGUUCUGCCCAAAAGCUUGGAACAAAAAUGUCUUUGGUAACGUUUUUUAUCGGGUCCAACAAGCAGAGGAGGACGUGGCUCAGAAGGAGAGAUUGUAUGAUAUUUCUGGCUCCGCCGAUUACAGAGCUAAUUUUUCUGAGGCCAGGGCCUGGUUGCAGCAUGCUUUGCUUCGUGAGGAGAUUUUUUUUUGCGUCAGCAGUCCUGUGUUCGAUGGGUUCGAGAGGGCAAUACUAAUACCUAUUUUUUCCAUGCGAUGAUCCGGAAAAAGCGCCAGUUGUUUUAUAUUCACAGGAUUCGAGUUGAUUGUUUCUCAGAGUGGAUUUCUGAGCCCUCCGCCAUUGUAGAUUAUGAUGUCGAUUAUUUUCAAGAUUUAUUAACGGGAGAUGCCAGUCAAUUUCAGCAGACGGACUUCGAAGUUAUUCCAUCUCUUGUGUCUGUAGAGGAUGAUGUAGAGUUAUGUAGAGAGCCGUAUAUGGAUGAGAUUAGACAUGCGGUAUUUUUUAUUGAUCCAGAUAGUGCUCCUGGACCGGAUGGUUUUUGUAGCAGAUUCUAUCAGUCGUGUUGGGACAUCAUUUGCCAUGACUUGUUAAAUGUUGUCCUCGAUUAUUUUAGAGGUUCGGCAUGCCCAGAGGUUUCCAAAGUACUUUAUUGGUCUUUCUGCCUAAGAAGGCUUCUCCGGCUUCUUGGGCUGAUUUCCGUCCAAUUAGUCUUUGUAAUGUGAGCAACAAGGUCCUUACUAAGUUGCUUGUCCCAUCUCCUGCCUCACAUUAUUUCUCCUACUUAGAGUGGUUUUAUUCCUGGUCGAGUGAUUCAUGAUAACAUGCUCCUGGCUCAGGAGUUCGUUCACGAUCUCAAUCGCCAUACUCGAGGGAACAAUGUGGUUCUGAAAUUAGAUAUGGCGCAGGCAUACGACGUAUGUCAUGGCCUUUUAUUAUUAAGAUGAUUCACUGUUUUAAGUUCUCGAAGCGUUGGAUUGCUUUGAUUUGGCGAGCGAUUUACGGUCCUUAGUUUUCAGUGCUUAUGAACGGGGUCAGUAACAUAUAUUUCCAGUCCCAGAGUGGUCUUUAGCAGGGUGAUCCCCUUUCCCUUUGCUUAUUUAUUAUUGCUGCAGAAUUUUUAUCUCCAGGCUUAGAUCAUUUGUAUUCUCAAUAUCCCUCUGUUCGGUAUUGUUAUACUGCACCUACUUCUAUCUCCCACUUGAGUUUUGCGGAUGGUAUUGUUAUUUUUGCAAAUGAGAGCCGAUCUAACUUACAGUGGCUUGUGGAUUUCUUACACCAUUAUAAGGCGAUCUCAGGGCAGUUGAUUAGCGAGGACAAGAGUAACUUCUACAUUGGGAAGCCAGCUUCGACCUCCCGCCAGGCCAUUGUUCACUCUGUGCUUUCAGUGACGUCAGCUUCCGUUUACUUAUCUUGGGUGCCUGAUCUUUACAGGGCACCUCAAGAUCUCCUAUUUUGAUGACAUGGUCCGGAAGGUCAAGGAUAAGAUUUCUGGCUGGGCUAACCGUCUGCUUUCCUUUGGUGGGAAUCUCGUCCUCAUUCGCCAUGUGUUAUCCUCUAUGGCCCUGCACUUAUUUCACGUCCUCCGUCCUUUUAUAACGGUAGUUUAACGCCUAGAGCGAUUAUUCACCCGAUUCCUAUGCGGUGAUUUUGAGGGAAGACACCGGAUCCACUAGUGUAGAUGGCCAAAGGUUUAUUAUCCAGUUGACGAGGGUGGCCUCGAUAUACGAUCUUUUGAUGAUAUGGCGGAGGCUUUUGAGAUUAAACUUUGGUGGCGGUUUUGUUAGCAGAGUUCCUAUAUGAAGUCUAAGUAUUGCAGAUCUACGCAACCAAGCCUUAUCCAGUUUCGCUAUCUUGCCUCUCCUUUAUGGAGACACCUUUAUAAGAUUCGUUGCACGACUAAACCUCAUGUGCGUUGGCUCGUUAGGAGUGGAGAUUGUAGCUUCUGAUAUGAUUGUUGGCUGAGUUCUUGCCCUUUAUUUUUUUAUAACCCUACAACGGCUUUGUCGGUGUCGGUCUAGUUCUUUUGGCAGGGUACAAUCUGGGACAAAGGCAAACUAAAGGAUGUCUUGCCUUCAUCUAUUGUUGAGCAGAUCCUAUUAGUGCCUAUUUCUAGUGGGAAUCCAGACCUGAUUCGUUGGGACCUUGCCCCCGAUGGCACGUUUAACUUGCGGACUGCUUGGGAGCUUGUACGGUGCUCGAGGCCGAGGGAUGAGCUUUUCUCGAUGAUUUGGUAGAGGCAUAUCCUGUCACGAGUUUCCUUUUUUCUCUGGCAGCUACUUCACGGAUUCCUAGCUACUGAUGAUGCCUUAUACUUGAGGGGUUUCUACAUGGUUUCUCGAUGUAUUUGUCAGCGGGUUGCUGAGACUUCUCGGCAACUUUUUAUGGAUUGCCCGCGGGCCCAUCAUAUUUGGGUUCAUUACUAGCGGAUCAUGGGGAUGCGUGAGCUUUAUUUUCUGUCUCCCCGUACUUUGCUUUUAUUUUGGAAACAUUGUGCCCCUUCUCAGAAUCAUCAUCGGGUCCUUCUGCCUUACUUCAUUUUGUGGCAAAUUUGGAAGGCCCUAAAUGCUUUCUGGUUUCAUUCACAAUCUUUCUCCACUGAUGCGGUUAUCUUUCAGGUCGACUCUGAUCUCAGGCUUGCUAGUUCUGCUUUUGGAUUCAAGCCUCCCCAACUGAGGGGAGUCUUGGGUUCUCGUAUUGCGGAGAGCUUGCGAGUGACGGCUCCCCGUAGGAGGUCGAUUCGUCUAGUUGCUUGGAUGAGGCCAACUUCAGGGGUGGCUAAGCUGACUGUGGAUGGUUGCUCUAGGGGCAACCUUGGGAUGGCUGCUUCCGGGGGUAUUCUUCGGGAUCACCGGGGCGUGGUUUUAACGGCUUUUGGAUCCUUUUUGGUUUACAAGCCGAUCUUAUAUGCUGAGCUCAUGGUGGUGUGCGAGGGUUUGGAGCUUGCCAUUCAGCUUGGGUACUCAGUGCUCGAGGUUGAGUCAGACUCGGCUAUAGUGAUGUCAUGGAUUCACACCUCAGGGUCCUGUUCGAUGGGAAUGUUUUUAUUCUCUGCGCUGGGUGUGCCGUCUGGUAACGUCAUUCCCCAUUCAGGUGAGACAUGUUCUUCGCGAGGCUACUUAUGCUGCUGAUGUUCUAGCCAACUGGGCACGCACUCAUCGGACUAGCUGAUGUUUCUUAUCUCCUCGAGAGCUUCCCAAAGGCUUAUCUGGUAUUCUUUACUUAGAUGCCCACGCAAUCCCCCAUGUCAAACGUUAGGAUUUUAUCUUUUUCUUAUAUCUCAUUUUCUCUAGGAGGUUUUGGCUUAUAUCCCCUCCUUUGUAUCUAAUUCAUUUUCAGAUUUAUAUUAUAGGUAAGGGUUCCGUCUAACCCCACCACUCUGGUGGUUUAAAAAAAAAAAAAAACAAUGGCACAAAAUGCCUGUGAUAAUGAAACAAUGUGCCAUCCUUAAACUAAUAUCAUUACAAACUACAAGUGAAAGUUUUUGGAAAACAUGUGAUAAGUUUUUCUCGGAAUUUGUUUUCUUCUUUGUUUUGAUUUAAGUGUAAAAUUUUAAAAUCCGUAACAAAACAAAAAUUUACAUGGGUUGGGUGCACCUUGUGGUUCGUGCAUGCUUUCGUCUAAUAGUAUUUGAUACAUACAUAUUCAUUUUAAAAUUGACGAAUCGUAAUAAAAAAAUUUAUAUAUAAUAAUUGAAUGAGAUCCAUGGUUCACAAUUGCAAAUUAACGGUUGGUUUUAUAAUAAAAAUCUUUAUGUACAUACCAAAUUAAAAAAAGUUAUAAGUGAAUUAAGAUUUUCAAAAUUUGACUCGUAUUAUAUUGUGUACGUCAAUAUAAUAUAAAUUUGUUAUAUAUAUAUAUAUAUAUAUAUAUAUAUAAUCCAGUGCUUUGAAAAACUUUAUACUUGUUUGAACAGUUUUUUUGCUUUCUAUUUAUAUACGGUAUCAUUUAUGUUUACAUAAAUUUUCAUAUGUACCCAAAUUAAGCAUUAAAUACACAAACACUUUGUUAGGGCACAUGUAUAAUUAAUCUUAAUAAUUCUUAUACAAUCCUCUAUUUAACACCAGCAACGUCACCCAUUAUAAUUUAUCACUAAAUAUUGUAAAACUAUUGGUUUUCACGAAUAACUAAUAAAAAUUAUUUUUUUUAAAAGAAAAAUACUGCGAUUCCUUUCACUGUUGUAGUAGUAUAGUUAUCGUGGACGAUGAAUUUCUAGUAUUGUACAAUGAUAUUUAUGUUGAAUAUAACGCUUCAAUGAAUUUUAUUACUAUAUACUACAAUACUCAACCAUCUUCAUUAAAAAAAAAAAAAUUGCAUGAUUAGAAUGAUUAAAGUUCAUCUAAUGACGAGUUUCAUCAUUGACUGUGUCCAAACACAGCAGCAAUCCAGAAUACAUUUAACACGAGAGGCGCACACAAACAUGCAUGAUGAAUCUUCCACCAUUAAACCUGAAAUCAUAAAAUGAAAGAAACAAGAUGAGUGUUGUUUGUCUGAAAGCCGAUUCGAGAAAAAAUAAUAAUAAUAAUAGACCUUUGUUAAUAAUUAAUACUAGUUGUCACUACCUUGUGCAUCUUCCUCCUCUGUAUCAUCGUCCUCUUCCAAUCACACCGCAAGACCAGUAUAUCUCGAGAAUCUUUACUGCCUUCUCACAGAUCCCAUUGCUGUCAUGUCUUUUGAGAUCUUCAAUCUUUUUGAAUCCCUCAGCCGCCUCCACCAACCGUGCAUAAUGAUUAAAAUAUCUAUUGGCGGUACCCGUAUUCAUUUCAGCUUCCCCGACCUUCAAAAUGUUCUCUAAUCCUUUUAAGCAAAUAGUGACGAUCUCUGGAUCAGCGUAUAGAAGGAGAUCACACAAUGGUUUUAUACACCCCUUUCUCACGAGGUACUUGAUUUGCUCAUGAGUACCACCUGAGAUGGCAUUUGAAAUUGCCCGAGCGGCCUCCUUCUUUGUAAAAAAUUCAGCAUUUUGAAGCAGAUCGACAAGGGGACCAAUUACGCCAGCAUCAAUUACCACCUGAAUCUGUUCCCUGUUACCAGCUGUAAUAUUUGAAAUAGUCCUGCAUGCCUCUUUCGCAAUGCCUGUACACUGAGUCAGGAAACCAUCUCCCUUCACAAUAUAUCUGACAGUCCACAGGGGAGGAGUGAGCCCGAAGGGGAAGGGUAAUGGAUGAAGAAGGAGCUUAACAAGUCGUGGACAGACAUCUGCCUCGAUCACAGCUUGAAUUUUGUCAUUCGUACCAUCAGAUAGACAGGAUAGUGCCUCGCAGGCAUAUCUCAAGACAUCGUUGUCAUUUGAAUGAACAAGUUGUGCAAGCGCAGGAAGAGCUGGCCUCACCUGAUCAAAUGGUGGCUCUGGCUUGCCCUGGCAAAAACGAGACAAUGUCUUUGUGGCAUUUCUUAGCAUUGAAGGCUUAGCAUGCUUAUUUAACUGUGCCAGCAACGGAAUCAAAGCUUUUUCACUGAGCACAAGAUCACGGUCUCUAGGUGAGCUACGAGCAAUAUUUCCCAGUGCCCAAACAGCCUUCUCUCGGACAUCAUCACUUGGAGAAGAAAGUAGCUUCACAAAUAUUGGAACAGCACCGCCGUCGAUCACCACAUUAGUAUUCUCAGAAGCAAUGUUUGUAAGAGCCCGAGCAGCUUCCAACUGAAGCUGCGGAUUGUCUUCCCUAGUAAGAAACUCAACAAAGCGCGCGACAACGCCAGAUUGUAUGACUUUCUCACUUGGUGGUAGGAGCAGUUUUCGGAACCAAGUAGUUGCUUCCAGCUGCAAGCCACUGUCAUCUGACCAAACCCCAGCAAGCAUCCCAGGUAAACUCACCAACUUAUUUUAGGAGCAGGAGCAGGAGGAGGAAAUUAAGUUAGGGAUUUAGAGUGAGAGUGAAGGUGGAGAAAAAGCAAGAGAGGGAAAAAGCUUAUUGUUGAGAAAUAUGUACCUUUUGUAUGGUUGUGUUAAGGUCGUCCUUCCAAGCCCAACAUGCUUCACCAUGCCGCUCCACUUUGUGUAAUUUGGGUGUACUUAAUUUUCCUUCAGAGAAAAUCUUCAUAUCGGGGCAAUCAUCCACCACUAAUCUUUCUAAAGAUGGGAACUUGAAAGCACAAUUGCCAGAGCAGAAGCUUGUCAGGCGUUCUAAGUCUACAAGCUUCAACUCCUUCAAUUCUCUGAAAGUAAUAACCUCAUCUUUUGCUACAACAUCAUCCCCCUGUACUAUUUCUGUUAUCCUAUCGCAUGAUUUUAUCUUCAUAUAUCUAAGUCGCACCAGAGUCUUUGCAAUUAAGGAUGUUAAUACGAUUUUCAAGUUGUUGCAACGCGAUACCACCAUAUUUGUAAGAUUCUGAAAGGAUGUCGACGGUGGCACUAGAUUGACUAAAUGGUCACACCCCUUUACACGUAGAAUAACCAAGUUGUUCGUAACAGAGGACUCCCUUAUCAAAAUGUGCUCCAGAUGAAAUGCUUCUCUUAUUUCUACCCACAUCCCAUUUUCAACCUUCUCAUACGGCAACGAGGCACUAUAUCCUCCUAUUUGGAGGACUUUCAUUGUGUGAAGUCUCUGGAGGAAGUCACCAAGUGAUAAAAUCGUCCGCUCAUCACCCAAGUGAUAUUUAUUUGUCACUACGUGCUUUGCAUCAACUUUCAACUUUUCCAAAUUAGGGAAUACCUGGGAGAUCGAUCACAACCCCAAAAAAAAGAAAAAAAAGAAAUACAAGAUGAAUCAAUUGAUAAGAAAUAUAAGUUACCACUAAUUUAUACAAUAUAUUUUAUUCAAUAAAUCUUAACCUUUAAAAAAAAUAGUAAUAAUAGUAUGCCUAACAUCUAGAAUAAUUAUGAAUGAAUACUAUACACUAAUCCGUAAGAGAGUUACGUUGCUGACAAUUUGAGUUUUAGUAAGAAACCAAGCGAUGAAGGCAAAGGCAAUAUAACUCUAAACUCUAUGAUAUAAACUCUCACAGUGCAUACAUAAGAAUUGAAAAAUUGAUUAUAAAAUUCUUGUACCUACCCUUUCCGUGAAGAUACUAGUAGUUCUCACCAUGAAUUCAGGACAUUUAGAUAUCCGUAAUUCUUUCAAGGAUGGAAAUUCAAGAAUAUCAAGAUCUCCAGUGCAGAAGCUUGUGAACUUUUCAAGAUCAGACAUCUUCAGAUAUUGCAACUGAGGAAACAUUACAAUAUUUUUCUUCCUUUCUUCUUGGUUGUCCAUAACUAUUAACUCUUCCAAGACAGGACAUCCGACUAUCUCAAUGCAUUGGAGUUGAACAAAGCUACUAACGGUAGAAGAUGAAAAUAGACAUCUUAAAUUCAUACAGCAGGACAGGGUCAAGCGCGUUAAAUUCUGAAUACCACAAGACAUGACUGCAACUUGGUUUUGCCAAAUCCUUUCAACAUUUAUUGAAAGCAAAUGCAACUUCUCUAACUCUGGUAACCGAACCUGCUCGAUCAAAAAAUUAACUCGUUAAUUACAAGCAACAAUGAUUUCUGUUGAUGGACAAAUCAAUAAAAUUACUCUUUCUCUGGUUAUAGUUCUUUUCAGUUUUUCAUACAAACAACCGUUAAUCAAGUUUUCCAAAUUAUUCCUUACUAAAUGUAUAGAUUUAGACGGCGGCUAAUAUAAUUCAUAUUGCAAAUAUUCUUUGAUUGUAACGAAUUUUGUAAUAUUAAAUUUUGGUUGAUUCGCAAUAGGACCUACUAUCCAGCGGGAGCAGUUCCUUGGGAUUUAACUACUGGCACCUCGAUUAUAUAAAAAUUUGGAAUAUUUUCAAAGGAAAUCACAUAAUUUCCCCUUGCAAAUAGUAAUUAUCAUUAAUUGCCACGGGUUGACAUAUAAUUCUAAGAAAUUAGGCGAGAAGAGUCUCAUCAACAAUCAAUCAGCAGAUAUCACGUUUGGCAGAUCAUCAUGAUUUCCUCAUAUGCUAGAGAAUCAACGUGAUUUCCGCUCAUGCAGGAGCAGGAGUGGACACAUUAUCUUAGAGCAUCCCUCACUGAGAUCUUUUAAAAAAUUUAUAUUAUAAAGUGAACAACAUAUUAAGUAUAGAUUUAGACGGCGGCUAAUAUAAUUUAUAUGUAUUCUAAUGACGUAUAUUAAAGAAAAUGACUAACCAUAAUUUCAAUCAACUUAUUAGUCUAUAUAUAUAUAUAUAAUAUAUAAUAUAUUCAGUGAUUACAACAUAUUUAGUAUUCCAUAACAUGAAGUUUAUAAUAAUAAUUAUUAUUAAUUCACUUAUUGUGUCAAGAACAUUUUCUUUCUCUAAGAAUGAAUUUGUUACACCCUACUAUACUACGGAUGAAAAAUUUAGAAUCAUUGUGAAAUAUAAUUAUUAAUCACUCUUUGCCAUAUUUGCGACCAAAGAAGAAUAUAACAAAGAAAAGAAACAAAAAUUAUAGAGAAUUAAUGAGACCAUUGACGUAUUAAUAACUGACCUUCCCAGUGAAAAGCGUAUUAGAAAUUUGGAUAUUGUCCUCCAAAAUGAUUUCAUGUGACUGCAAAUCAUUAGCUGAUUCCUGUUGUCUCUGUUGACAUUGAGUGUAAACUUAAUUGUGAGCACAAUCUUAAUGCAUAGAUACAAGAUCUCUAAAAAUUAGUAUAAUAAACUUAGCACAAAAUCUAAAUUUGAUAUUUCGGAUUCCAUGAUUAAGAUUUUUUAAAUAAAAAUUUAAUAUAGUUAAUUUAAAAAUAAAAAUUAAAUAUGAAAAAUUAGAUUUGCAAUUAUGGAUUUAAUUUUGAUAAAUAAUGAAUGUUCUCUUUAUAUUUUUUUUUAAAGGUAAAACAGCGUACAAAGCCCAAAUUCAUUUUUUUAGUCCCUUACUCUCCCAUGAUUCAAACUUGGGUGGUUGUAGGGGGACUGAAAAUAUGUAAGACAGUUAACUUCACUUUUUUUUUUUUUUGAGAGAGAAAAGAGAAGAAGGAUAUUACAAAGCACGAAGCUCGUGCAAUAUAAGGGCAAUUAUGGUUUUUUCUUUAAAUUAAAAUGGUAAGAUUCUGAAGCUAAAAGAUUAAAAUAUUAAUUAAAUUGCAAACAUUAAAGAUUUUUUUUCCAAAAUUGGUUGCUUUGAAAAUGAGAAUAAUAUAAUGUUUGAAGACUUUUCAAAAUUAAUUACUGUGAUGCACUAGAAAUUUCUAGCUUUAGUCUAAUGUAUAAAUUGACAAAACGAUAUUAGAAUCCCAGGUGAAAAGAACCCUCUCAUACCAAUUAUUUAAAUUAGGAAUGAUCAUACCUCUGACUCUGCCGAACUGAGGGCGGGGUCUAAACCCCUCAUACGGAGACGCUUGAGAUGGGAAGAGCCCACUUUGACUAAUUCAUUACGAAUAUAAUCGACAUCUUGCUCUUGCAAUCCACGUAAUUCAAGGUCUUCAAUUCUCUGCAGUUGCACGAUCAGCGAAUCCUUCAAGCAAAUCUUGUCAUUGAGGUCGAGACUGAAUUCACGACACCAACUGCCGUUGCUCUCCUCAUCAUCUCCAAUGCGUAUGCUGUACCUUUCCAGCUUCUCCAAGAGCAGGCCUCUGGGCAGAGUGCUGACGUCAUAGACGUGUAAUUCCAAAGAGGUCAAGUUGGGCAAAUGCUUCAACUCCUCAAGGCUUGCAUUCUUAACCCCUCCCACCUCCAUCUCCCAGUAACGAAAGCUUUGAUCUAUAUAUAGUUCUUCUAAAUGUGAUAAUUUUGACAGUAUAUUUGGUGGAAUAACUUCUAGAUAGCAACAAUCCCUCAAAUCAAGCAACUUUAGCCAAGUCAAUUCACCUACUUCUACCGGCAACUUCUUAAUAUAAGAACCUCUUAAGCAAAGGAUUUCUAGUUUCUUCAAGCCUCCUACAACACUUAUAUCGGGCAAGAUGAAGCCGCACAAACUCAGUGUUCGAAGGUUUGACAGGAGACCAAGUGAUGAAGGCAGUGACCGUAGAAACAUGCCAGUCAAGUUGACAACUCUGACCUGCAUCAUCCUCUCGAAAAAGUUGUUUGGAAUUGUUAAUGAUGAAAAUUCCCAACGAUCAGCACGUAUAAAAAGAAGUUCGAGCUGAGGACAUUCCAGUACUUCAGGAAGCAAAUUAUUCUUGAUACCAUGUAAGACGAUUGAAGUGCAAUGCUUUAUUGCACUUCCAUCUGACCAUUCCCUGCAACCAUCAACCUGCUCAUUUGUAGCAGUAAACACAUUUCGUUCAGUAGAUGCAAUUGAUACGGCGACAUCGCGAACUACAUCAUGCAUAGAAAACAACUCUUUCUUCUGGCUUAUAUGGUCAAGCAACAUACAAGAAGCUUUGAGUGUGCGCACCAAUGUAUGUACUCGAUUUCGUGCUACUUCAAUCUUAUUCACACCUUGAAAUAAACCCAAUCCCAUACCACACAUUAACAAGUCAUCAAUAGAUGCUAUGGCUGUAUAUCCUAUUAGCAAAAAGAUGUUCUUGAGAUCAUCCCUUCCUAGUUUAUUGUAGCUCAACUCGAUAGCUUUAAAUGCGGCUGGCUGUACAUCCUUAAAAUUCGAUGAAGAAGGCCUUCUUAGCUGUUCCAAUGCAUCCUUCCAUUCACGUAUGCUCUUGCUCCUUAAUGCCCUUGCAACCGUCACAAUGGAAACUGGUAGACCUGCACAUUCCUUUGCCACAUCCCUUGCUACCUCUUUCAAUUCAUUAUCUUCAACAUAAUCACCUGCCAUCUUCGUGAAUAGACUCCAAGCUUCAUCUUCUUUUAAAAAUCCAACUGGGAAAUUUUUUCGAGACUCCAUCUCUCCAGACAAUACUUCUUCACUCCUUGCCGUGAACAGCACUUUACAUCCCAUGUGAUCAUCUCCGUGAGGAAUUCCGACAUCCAACAAAUCAAGAUUUUCCCAAAUAUUAUCCAAGAUUACAAGGAUCCUCUUCUCUUUCUUCAGUCGAUCAUAGAGUCUUCUUGCCCUACCCGAUUCACUCUCCUCAUCAAAUUUUAGACCUAGUUUAUCCGCGAUUUCUCCUUGAAGCUUUCUUACGUCUCGACUCUCAGACACCUCAGAAAAAACCACCUGAUCGAAAAGCUUGUCACUCUCUGCUUUUCUAGCAACUUCUUUAGCUAGCGUCGUCUUUCCGAUUCCGCCCAUUCCAUAAAUCAAAAGCAUGUUGACAUUGGGAUUUUUUAAUGCAUCAAUUAUUUCAUUCAGAAUGGACGUUCUUGAUUCAAAGGCCUCGAAGUCUUUGUUAGGCAUAAGCAAGGUAUCCUCCGGAAUGAUGCUGUAGGAAAUACUAUUAACUGGUCUAGCGUCCAGGACUUUGACAACAGCCUCCUUCUGCCUCUCUGCUUCCUUGCUAAGUCGAGGGCGGGUCUUCAAAUUAGGACAUAACCCCUUGAAACAACGCUUAUUUGCAGUGGCUUCAUCUUCUGUAAAUUUAUCUGCCUCUUCAAUGACACUGUUGGCCGUUGCAAGCCAAUUCUCAACGUUCUCUUCAAUCUCUUCUCCUUUUCUUUUAGCCUCAUCAACCUGGUGCUCUGUAUUCACCCUCUCAGACUUUAGUUUCACAACUUCAGUGUUGAGAUUCUGUAAGUUGCUCGUGUACUUACUCUCACGCAAAUAGCUAAUUUGGCGAUAUGCGUGAGGAGCCAAGCACUUUGCAACUUCUAAAGCAAUAGUAAGAAUGAUUUCAGCCAUCUUCAGUCCUUUGUCCUUGUCUCUCUAUCUCUCUUUUUCUGAAUUUUGGAAAAACAAUUCAACAAGUGACCACAACAAGAUGGAACAAAAUAAAAAGGAAAAAAAUACAAAGAGUGGAUGGAGAAUAAAACAGAGACAGCGGCACAGCUAGACACAACUAGAUAGAGAACAGAGGAAAACCAAAUAACAAGACUUAAGAUUACAACAAACAGAGGCCAAGUAUUAUUGUUGAGAUCAGAAGAUGGAAAAUUCCAAAGAGUUGAUGGCAGAUGCUGAAUAACAGAACAACAAUGAACACAAUAAACAGAAGCAAAGUGUGUUUGUGAUCGACAGACGGAAGUAAGGAAAGCGGUUGUUGAUUGAAAAUGAAUGAAUGCAAAGAAAGACUGAUGUUAAAAAUUGAUGUCAAGGAAUAAUUGAACUUUCGCUGAAUUAUUGUUUGUGGCUUCUUUUACUGUUUAUUUGUGGGUCAUGUCUUUUGGAACUAAUCUUGUCCAAAAAAUGUUGUUUAUUUGUGGGUCAUGUUAUUCAGCAUCUGCCAUCAACUCUUUUGUUUAUUUAUUCAAAAAAUAAAUUGUGAUUAUUUGUUAAUGUAUGCGAUUACUUGUGAUGGUAAACAAAGUAGAUAUGGUAUAUUUUGAAGUUAAAUUAAAAAAAAAAAAAACAGAACUUUUACCGUUACUUGCCUUAUCAUCUUUUAAAUUAGAGUUAUUAUUCUUUUAUUUUUCAAGUUGCCAACUCAUCAGUGUAUUCUUUUAUUGAAUUUAAAGAUCAAUGAUUAUAAAUUUUUGUGAAAAUUUUAAGUCAAAACUUUAAAUUAAAAUAAUCUUUAAGUUAUAGGGAAAUAAUAACUUAGUAUAACAAAUAUUAUAUCCUAUACUUUAUUGCUACAAAAUUACGAAACCUUAUAGUUUCAAAAACAAAAAUUACGAAACCUUAUAUUAUAUUAUGUUUCCAUAUUUCUCCUUUAUAGUGAAGACUCAUACUUCUUAUCUAAUAAAUGCUAAAGUAUUGGCUUAAAUUUUUUAACCAGCAUAGUAGACCCUUAAGCUAUAUAUACUAUAAUGUCCCUCUUCUCUCACAGAGUAAACCAAUCUGAUCUCAGAGUGAGUUGAUACCAUGACUUCGCAUCAUUUGUGAUCAAAGGAGUAUCAUUACUAACUAAUAUAGGCUCCAUCAAUAGGCAUGAUAAUAAUUUUUUUUUUUAUCUACAAACGCUGUUUUUCAAAAUAUUAUAUCUUAAGACUUAACUAAAUAUUUUUUAACUAUGUAGAUAUAGUUUGUUUGAUCUCUUUUAAAUAGUGGAGAUUACAAACAAACAUAUGUGAAUUAGUAGUGAUGUUGAGUUCAGAAGCUUGAAGUUAAAAAAAUUAAGGGUUUCUUGAUCUAGAGAAAUUUCAAAUGAGUGAAGCGUCCUCGAAAUCGGAAGACGAAAAUAAGGAAAGGGUAAGGGUGUAUUUUCAAAGUGAUUCUAUUAAGAGAUCUUUGAAGUAGGGGUGGGCAAGUCGGGUUUUGGUUCGGGUUGUUCAAAUUUCGGUUUGGGUUUUAACCCAAUCGGGUUUGAGAAUUAAACUCAAUCGGGUUGAAAACGCCAAUCCAAACUAAACCGAACCAAAUUUAAUUCAGUUCGGGUUCAUAAUUCGGAUCGGACUGGGUUGAUAAUUCAUGUUAAAAUUUCGAUUCGGGUUAAUUUGGGUUAGAAUAAUUCAAUCUAAAAUUUUGGGUUAGUUCGGUUUAAAACGGGUUGGAACUAUUUAAUCCAAAAAUUCUACCAACAACCACUUAAAAUCUAAAAAUCUCAAUUCCAAACAUCCUUAACAACAAAUAUCAACUACAAACCAUCCUUUACAACAUUUCAACAAUAACAAUAGCAAUAAUAACAACAACAACAAUAAUAAUAAUAAUACCAACAACUAUGAAUCAGCAAUUCAACAUAUUGCCAUAUUCUAAAUUUAAAAAAACACACAAAUUAUUUAAUUAAUUAAUUAAUUAACAAUCUCCAAUUUAAUUUAUAAUAACAACAAAAAUCCUCUCCAAUUUAAUUAAUAACAGUCUCCAAUUGUUUAAUUAUCAGUCAACAGCAACAAACCCAAUCUAAUUUAAUCAUAACAAUCUCCAAUUGUUCAAUUAUCAGUUAACAGCAACAAAUCAUCUCCAAUUUGUCACGAACAGCCUCUAAUUGUUUAAUUAUCAGUCAACAACAACAAACACACUCCAAAUAAUUGAACAAUUAUUAAUUAAUUAAUUAAAAAUACCCAAUUUAAUUAAUAACAACACCCAGGAGCAAGUCAGCAAUAAACCCACUACAAAAUCCAAAUAUCAGUGUAAACUAAGUGUCAAACCUUGAUCGGUGGGAAGCUACAGCGUCGGCAAAGCGUGACCGUGUGGGGCUGAGUGAGACCGUCGACCGAGGGUGUGAGAAGGGAGAAGAGGGAGCUGGGAGGUAACAUGGUGUGUGUGAGUUUAUAUAUAUAUAUAAUUUUUAAAAGCCAAAACUUAAAAAAAAAAAAAUUUAACCCAAUCCAAACGCGCACCUCAGAUUACUUCCGUGUUAAGAGAUGAAUCCCACACUCUUGAGCCUUUGUCGUCCUAGUCAACUAUCAAAACAAAUCAUUAUUGAAUGUGAACAGAAUUAUUGAUCACCCAAUUUUCAAACUUGUCAUCCUUAUUGAAUCUGCAUUCCCUUUUAAAAUUUUUUAAAAAAGUACAAAUAAUGAAACAAAGUGUUGUUCCUUCAACAGUUGAUAGAGUUACGCGGCUUCAACUUGCAAGUGCUGUCGGCAUUUUCAAACUUGCAAUACCCUUCAACUUGCUUUCCAAGAUAGCUAUAAUUAAUAAUGACAACAAUCUCCCUUGUAGUGACUAGUGAGCAACUUGUUUCGUGAAAUUAACGGCAUCUUCUCUCACAUUUAAAAAAAAAAAAUUGAAUUAUAAAACCCACCAAAACUAUAAAAGAAUUGUUAGUUUUUCUUCAUUAAAAUUAAUAGAUUGCUCCUCAUAUUGAAAAAUCAAAAUUCAGAAUAAGAAUGAUUGAUACUCUUUAUUUACUAAAAUGAAAAUAAAAUAUAUGAAGCCUACAUAUUUUUGAAAUAAAAAAAAAGAACUUUAUUUUUCAUGAGGAGUGUUGGGAAUCAAGUUCUCAUUAUUUAAACUCUCAAUUGUACCAUUAUUUAAACUCUCAAUUGCACCUCACCGAAAUUUCAUAAUUUCACUUUUGUUCUCAAUUAAAAUAUUAUUAUAGUUAUUAUUCUUAUAAAUGUUGAUGAUGAUGAUACAAGAUAAUAAAAUUAAUGAUAAUUAAACCAAUUUGAAUUCAGAGUGAGUGAGUACCAUUACUUCGCAUUAUUUGAUAUCAAAGGAGCAUCAUAACUAACUAAUAUAGGCUCGAUCGAAUUCAUCAUGCGAAGUAUAUUAUCGGCUGUAGGUAUGGAAAUAAAUUUUGUAUCCACAAACACUAUUUUUCAAAAUAUUUUAAGACUUGACUUAGCAUUUUUUAACCAUAUAUGUAUAGGUUGUUUGACCUAUUUUAAAUAGUGGAGAUUACAACAAAUGAACAGAUGUGGAUUUGUAGAGUUGUUGAGUUCAGAAGAUUGAAGUUAACAAAGGGUUUCUUUAUCUAGAGAAAAUUCGAAAGAGCGAAGUGUCUUCGAGAUCAAAAGACGAAAUAAGGAAAGGGUAAGGUUAUACUUUCAAAAUGAAUCUGUUGAGAGAACUUUAAAGAUUACUUUCGUUAAGAGCUGGAUCCCACACUUGAGUCUUCGUCGUCUCAGUCAGUCAGCUAUAAAGACAAAUUAAUUUUGAGCGUGAAAGGACACAAUUGAUCACCAAAUUUUCAAACUCGUGAUCCUUAUUGAAUCUGUAUUCUCAUUUGAAAAACAAUAAAAGAUUAACAUUAAUUUAACUUCAUCUAGAUUCCCAUUUGAAUCUGCAUUCCCAUCCCGUUGUUCUCUGGGAAUGCACAUAAUCAAAAAAAAUCCUAUCCGCAUUUUCAAACUUGUGACCCUUCAAGCUUUCUAUGACAACUAUAACGAAUAAUUACAACAGUGCUACCUAAUAGUGAGCAACUUGUUUGAUGAAAUUAACAACUUCUUUUCUCUCAUAUAUUUUUAAAAAAUUGAAUUAUCAAAGUUUUUAUUUCAAAAUUAGUGCUAUAGUUCAUUAAUUUUUCAAAUUUUCCUUUUUCUUUCCACACAACAGAUUGAUUUGCCCUCCAAAAAAUGUAUUAUAUUGUUUAAUAUUGUAACUUCAAGAAACUUAUAAUAAAUUUUUAAAGAGAUAAAUAGAGAAUGUCAGUCUCCCAUCUACUCAAAAUUAAUAUAUAUCAUUAACUCUUGAUUAUUUUUAUAACAACUAAUAACUUUCUUGGCAGCAUAAUUUUACAGUAUCAUCCUUGUUUGUAAGUAUAUUUUUAUUCAUAUUUAUUAUAAAUUAAUUAAAUCAUAUCAAUGAAAAUUGAAAUAAAAAUUGAAGUACUAAAAAUUAAAAAAAUAUAUUUUGGUGUGAAUAAAAAAUUGAAAAUAAAAAUAUUUUUCUUAUAUUUUUUGUUAUUUUUAAAUUUUUUCUUAUAAUAAAUGUAUAUUUUAUAUGCUCAACUUUUUCUUUUAAUUUUUGUUAUUAGGAGGAUUUUUAGAUAUAAUGAAAUUUGUAAGGUAGUAAGUAAUAUAUAAUAAUUUUAAUAGAGAAAAGUAAAAAAUCUCUUAUUUUAAAAUAUAAGGAGAAAAAUAAUUAAUUUCAAGACAUUUUAGAAGAUAUUUCAAUACGCGGUGGACCACAAACUCGAGUCUUUGUCAUCUCAGUCAAACUAAAAGGACAGAAUAUUGAGGGCAUGGCUAAGGUGCAGAAGCUGCAAGUAACAGCUUCGAACUUUCCCAUUUCCAUCACCUUGCAUUGGGACCUCUUUCUUUGUCCUCUAGCACCCGUGGAAGUUCCCCAUUGGCCACUGUUAGGAGCUGUAACAUAGACUUCUCCGAAAAUUGAGCGCGAAGGGCUCAAGUGAUUGUUAAUUUCACAGCAAUUGCCUUUUUUCUUUCUUUUUUUUUUUCUAAUUAUUGGAAAAUAUAAUUUAGUAUAACAAAUAUUAUAUCCUUUCCUUUAGUGCUGCAAAAAUUCCGAAACCUUAUAUUAUAUAAAGUUUUCAUAUUUCUCCUUUAUAGUGAAGACUCAUACUUAUUCUCUAGUAAAUGCUAAAGCAUUGGCUUAAACUUUUUAACCAGCACAGUAGACCCUUAAGCUAUAUAUACUAUAAUGUCCCUCUUCCCUCACAGAUUAAAGCCAAUAUGAUCUCAGAGUAAGUUUGCUUCAAAGGAGUAUCCUUACUAACUAAUAUAGGCUCGAUCAAUAGGGAUGAUAAUAAUUUUUUUUUAUCUACGAACAUUAUUUUUUCAAAAUAUUAUAUCUUUAGACUUAACUAAAUAUUUUUUAACCAUAUAUGUAUAGUUCGAUUAAAUAGUGGAGAUUACAACAAAACAGAUGCGAAUUAGUAGUGAUGUUGAGUUCAGAAGAUUGAAGUUAAAAAAAUAAAGGGUUUCUUGAUUUAGGGAAAUUUCAAAAGAGUGAAGCGUCUUCUAAAUCAAGACGAAAAUAAGAAAAGGGUAAUGGUGUAUUUUCGAAGUGAUUCUAUUGAAAGAUCUUUGAAGAUUACUUUCGUUAAGAGCUGGAUCCCACACUCUUGAGCCUUUGUCGUCCCAGUCAACUAUAAAGACACGUUAUUAUUGAGUGUGAAUAUUCCGAGUUAUAAAUCACCAAAUUUUCAAACUUGUGAUCUUCAUUGAAUCUGCAAUCCCUUUUGAAAAAAAAAAAAGAAAAAGAAAGGAAAACUGCAAAUAAUGAAACAAAAUUCUGAUCCUUGAUAGAGUUACGCGGCUUCAACUUGCAAGUGCUGUCGGCAUUUUCAAACUUGUGAGACCCUUCAACUUGCUUUCCAAGAUAGCUAUAAUUAAUAAUGACAACCGAAGACGGCCACGUUUGCGGUACAAAAGUUGCACCAUAUUAGACGUUCUUUUUUGUUCUUAUCCGAAGUAACCGUUGGAUUCAAAGGAAAGUGAUCAGACAUUCAAUAGCUUCACACGUGGACAUUAUAGGAUACCGGUCAAAUCGGUUAGCGCUCCUCCACAUCAAACUCACAAGCAUGGCAAUCAUCGUAUUCGUAUCAGCUUGGAAACUUGUUACAAGUAACGAAGAGCAACAGAGUCCGCUCCUCUAGAGUCGGCAACAGAGUUUUAAUUAACGGCAUCUUCUCUCACAUUUUUUUUUAAAAAUUGAAUUAUAUAACCCACCAAAACUAUAAAGAAUUGUUAUUCUUCAUUAAAAUUAAUAUACUGUUCCUCAUAUUAAAAAAUCAAAAUUCAGAAUAAGAAUAAUUGAUACUGUUUAUUUACUAAAAUGAAAAUGAGAAUAAAAAUAAAAUAUAUGGAGCCUAUAUAUUUUUUAAAUUAAAAAAUAAGAACUUUUCAUGAGGAGUGUUGAGAAUCAAGUUCUCAUUAUUUAAACUCUCAAUUGUACCUUACCAAAAUUUCAUAAUUUCACUUUUGUUCUCAAUUAAAAUAUUAUUACAGUUAUUAUUCUUAUUUUUGUAGUUGUUGUUGUUGAUGAUGAUGAUUAUGAUGAUACAUGAUAAUAAAAUUAAUGAUAAUAAUAAUGAUAAUGAUAAUGAUAAUAAUAAUAAUGAUAUGAUAAUGAUGAUAAUAAUUUGAACAACAACAACAACAAUAAAUAAUAAUAAUAAUAAUGAAAAUAAUAACUAUAAUUUUAACAACAAUAAUAAUCAUUAAUAUUAUUAUUGUUAAAAUUAUUAUUAUUAUUAGAUAAUUAUUUUGAAUAAUAAUAAUCACAAGUCUAUUCUGAUUCCAGUUUAUUCCGAUUAUCGAUUAGAAAAUGCAUCAUUACUGUUUUAAUAAUAACUAAUAAUUCUCUUGACAUCAUAAUCGUAAUUCUUAUACUAUUAUCCUUAUUUUAAAAUCCACUACCAUGAGCUUGCAUCAUUUGAAAUGGUAGGUACUAGGUAGCAAUUGCUUACAUCAAAAUAUCUAGACUCACUCGGCAAAGUAUCCGAGGCCAAAACGCCAAAAGAUGGGACACCCACAUGUGCAUCUAAUUACAAAAUCUAAAGUUAAUGAAAAAGAAAAAAGAAAAAGUAUAAAUGAACGGUAUUGGCUGUAGGACAAGGGGAGGGGAAAAAGGACCAUUUUGUUUUCUUUGCUAAUUCACAUGGGGAAGGGAAAAAAAGAAAAAGACAGUUUUGAUUAAAAAACACAGAAUAUUCAAUUCACAAGCCACCAAUGCUUGUGGACCAAUGGUCGAUAUAUGAAAGUUAGAGAUUCUGGCAAAAUGAGCAAAUAUUUUGAGUUGAUUAAUGGAUUUGUUUGUAAUGCAAUACAAGAUAGCAUUUUAAAGCUGGCAAGAAAGAAAGAAAUAAGUCAAUAAUUGAGAUAUUUAAAGAAGCUCAAGUGGUCAUGAAAUCUCUCCUUAAAAACUAUACAAGAUAAUGUUAAUGAUAAAGUUAGCCAACCAAGUCGUUCAAUCAUUGCUAGAAGCAAGCAGCCAUUGAAGUUGAUAGAAGCUAAUGCAUGGAAAAAGGUUCGUUACAUAAAGGAGAUAAUGAGAAAAUUGAUGAACCCCUAUCAUCCAUGUUUUGUUUCAAUCAAAAGGUUUGAAUUUUAAGGCCGAUAUUUUGGACUGAAUCCCCCUGUCUGCUUCCAAAGGGGAGGAUGUGCAUGUAGUUGAUUGGGCCGAUGAUUGUGAUGGGAGGGAACUUUUAGCUUGGAAAUGGACCUAGCAAGCCCAUGUUUGAUUCGGUAAGUUGUGACUUCUCAUGGGCAUUUGAAAUUUUUAAAUGGCCUUUUAUAACCUUUGUCAAGAUUCUCAGAAAUCGAAUCAUUCGGUGAUUACUUGCAAAUUCGGAAAGGAAAUUGGAAUCAAACUGGGGUUCUAAUUAAAAAAAAAAAGGGUUCAGAAUCAGAAUUUUGUUCUUUUGACUGACUAAACUACCCUCAUUUAAUUUUCAAAAUGCCCAAAUUUUUAUCAUGCUCACUUGGCGUUAUCUCGUCUUGUGGGAGCUGUAGGACAGUUGAGAUAAAAGAUAUUGCUCCAGUAUCUACUGUUUUCUCAUCCUGAUCUUCAGAGUUAUUCUCAACAAUGGACAAAUUUGAGUUUAGAACAGCAUCAGAAACCAAUGACACCCAGUCGCAUCCAGCUACUUCUUCACUUUGCUCAAUUCGACAGAUUUUACGCAAAUUUGUUUUGUUCUCAAAAUAGUCUGCUGCUCCCGGAUUGUCCUCAUUACAUUGAACGAAUGAUGACGACGCUCUGUCCGUUUCUGGCUCUCUGCUUUUCUCUUUCACAUCACGAGACACCUCGUUUCUAACUGGGGUACCACCAUCACAUUUAACUGUUAUUGGCAACUCAAUAGCUAAUUCCAAUGUUUCCUCAAGCAGUUUAGAGAUAAACUCUCUCGCUGAACUCCCUGGAGUAACACAAUCCAGUUUUCCAGUGCAAUCAUCAAACAGUUGAACAGCUCCUGAAUUCCCUUUGCUUUUCUUGUUUUCUUUUCCAUGUAAAGGGAGCUCAGGCUUCAAUAUAUCUGGGGAUUGAUUACUAAUGAUAAAGACAACAUGCUGUAGAGGACACAAAUUGUUAUUAAACAACGAUGCACUUUUCAUUUUUCAACUGAGUACGGUAAAGCAAGAAUGGGUAAUUAGUUUUACCUGCUAAGCGAAAAUCUACACUCCCGAAGGUAACCGAUCUUGGGUGAAGCAAAUAAAGACGAAGGCGAAGUAAAAUUCACUGAGUUGAAUGAGCGAUCAUUGCUGAUAUAAUUAAAGACUGGUGAAUCCUGCAUGUUGACAAGCAUCAUUUUUAAUCUAACAUAGAGUCUUAAAAACCUGGUCAGUGGCAAAUGAUCACGACAACAAAUCUGAAGUACAAACAGCAGAGCUCAACAAAUCACUAAGAGAAAAUAACACCAGUAACCAAGCAGAUGAAAGAAAAGCAAAAUAAUCCAUCUCAAAUCACCACAUGCACAAUUUAAGGGGGUUGUGACAUGGGUUUAAGCAUGAUUUAACAAGUGCCACCAGUGAAUUCUCAGAUUGAAUUUUCAUACACAUGUCAAAUUUUCAAGUCCAACGAAUUGUUAUCUUUCUGAAGAUAUUAACUAUGCAUAGCAUGCUAUAAACAAAUCAUAUUAUUAGGGCCUUUGUUUGCUGUACACAACAUAUGUACAGAGGAACAAAUCCAUGAGCUGAAAUCAUCAUAUUCCAAAAUAUUCUACCCAAUCAACACUACAAAACCGUAACGCUAAACAGAAUUGGAGCAAUUUAAGAAAGCUAUUUGUCACACAAAGCACUAGUACCUCAGAACCCAAUUUGCAAAAAAGCAACAAAAAUGAAAAAUAACAAAUGCCCAGAUGCAAAAUCAGGAAAAAAUGCUCAAAUACAAACUACAACCCCAUAAGCUGAGAUUGACCUCAAACUUGGAAACAGAAGCGACAGUGAUCUGUUUCUUGUCUGGAGUGUCCAUUUCUAUAAUCUACUUUGUCCGUUUUCAGUCGCUCCGCCACAAAGCCUCUUCACUCCGAAGCUGAAACUCGCCACACACUUGCAAAACGAAAGCAUUUGAUUGAUUGAGAGGCGGGAAGGCGGGAAAACGAGCGAAAUUUGCUUUUGUUUUUUCUUCGUUUGGUCAUACAUGUGCGGGCCCCCCAGGUUGACAAGCGUUAUCAUUACUAUUUGCAUUAUUUGAAGGACGCGUGUCAUGCAACGACGAUAGAAAAAGUGGUGCAAAACUCCAAUUGUCACGAAAUGAUGAUAAAAUAAAAAUAUAUCGUUAAUUUUUCACUUAACAUUGGAAUAUCAUAUAAUUUUAUGGUCAUUUUCUCGCCGCCACAUUCUUUUGAUAAAAUAAUACGGUAAAACUUUUCUAUAAUCAUGAUAUUAGAACCCAAUUAACUUUGUUUCUACAAAGAGGUUAUAGCUUAAUAAAGUAAAAUUGUAAAAAAUAUUAUUUUGACUUAAUUAUCUAAAGAGUAAAUAUAUAAUAAUUAAUUAAUAAAUUAUGUCAAAUACAAUAUAUGGACUAUGAUAAAAAAGAUAGACAUAAUUUCAUAAAAUUAAUACAUAUGUUUUUGUAGUGCUGCGAUUAUACAAAGUUAUCUUAAAAGUGUAAAGAGUAAAGUAUUGUUUUAAUUAAUUUAAAAAAAUAUUUUAUUAUUAACCUUUAAUGCAACAUAGUAAUUUUUUUUCCCUGGCAACAAAGUAUUGUUCCAAAUAAUUAUUAUUGGAUCUAGAUCCUGCCCUAGGCAUUUUCUCUACUAAUCCUCAUAAACUUUUAGGGUAUGUUUGGCACGUAAGAUUAGAUUGGACAAACUAUUAUGAUUGGACUAACUUAGAAUGGAUUAGAUUAGAUUGGAUUAUAUAUAGUGCUGACUUAUGUUUGGUAUGGUAUUGGAUUAGAUUAUGUUAAAUUAAAUUUACAUAAAAUUAAAUAGUAUUUACAUUAAUAUUUGAAUUUAAAUAUCAACUAUUUAUAGAUAUUUAACAAGAAAUAUUAUAAUUAAUUAAAAAUAGCAAUUGGGUAGUCAUAAUUAUAAUAAAGAAAUAUAAAUUAUUUAAAUUAUAGGUUAUUUCAAAGAGUGAUGAUACAACCACAAAUUCUUGUACAAACUGAUUUGGCAUUAAUUCAUUUAUUGAAUGAAAAUAUAAAAUAAUAAAAAUAAAUCAUGUGGGCCCAAGAUAUAUUUAAUUCAACCAAUUUUAUCAUGCCACAUCAGUUUGUACAAAAAUUUGUGAUUAUAUUAUUACUCUAUUUCAAAUGAGAGAUAUCAUUUCAUUGAAUAAAAUAAAUAAAAUUAUUCAAAUAAUAAAUUAAUUAAUAAAAUUUAAGUAAAUCAUGAAUAAAAAAGAAAUCAAUUAAUUAAAAACAGUAAAUAAUUAAAUAAUUUUUAAUUUAUAAAUAAAAUGGUAUAAUAAAUUAUGGAAGAUACUAUAAAUACACAAAUAUUUUUUUCACAUUAUCUAGUUCUAACUAAACACACAUAAAAAUUAGGAUUAGCAAUCCCAUGAAUUUAGGAUUAAAAUUUGAAUUUAGUCGAUUAAUCCAAUACAAGUGAGCAUGCUAAAUAUGGUAUUAAUAUUUUAUCCCAGUAAUAAGUCCAAUUCUACACUUAAUCGUACCUCCCAAAUAUAAUCUUAAGGAUCUAUUGACAUGUGUCAUUAAUGAAAUUAAAUGGCUAAGAUUUUGUUUUAAUUAUUUUUUACCUAAAUAGACAUCAAAACUCAUGUGUGACUCUUGUUAAAUUUUUUCUUACAAAUUCUUUUCCUCUUAAUUCUUUAUAUUUUGACACUAAUUUCCAGCAAAUUAUUUAAAAAAAAGGAGCACAAAUUGGAAAAAAGUGAUUGACAACAAGGUUUGCAUCUUAAUUUCAAAAUUUUCCUUUCUUUGAUGUUUUUGUGGUUUCUAUAAUUGUUGUUUUCACUCUAAGUUGCAAUUCAAUGAACUAAAUUAGUGUUGCUACUUUAUAAACUGCUAUUACUGGGCAUAUAAUUCUAUUGCUACAAUUUUUUUGAGUUUAUAGUUUCUGUUCUAUUCUCUUUUUGGGUUUGCAACUGCUGUUUGUUGUUUUUUUAGGUUUUAUAGUUGAUGUUUUGGGAAAAAUAAAAAUAAAUGUGAUCUUGAAUUCUUUAACUACUAUGAAACAAUUAAAUUAUUUAGCUGCUGCAUUUUCUGCUGUAUUAUUAUAGGCGAGAUGUGUGUCGAAAGGGAAAGAAUUUGCCUAAAAAAAAAAAUUGACAAGAGUCACAUGUGAGUUUAGAUGUCUUUUUUAAGUAAAAAUUAAUUAAAAUUAAAUAUUAGCCAUUAAUAACACAUGUCAAUAAAUUUUUCAAAGUCUAAGAAGAUUGGAAGAGGAUCCGAUCUAUUAUUUACUCUAUAAAAGGAAGUUCCUUGAAGACAAGAACUAUAAAUAAAUUAAUAUAAUGAAUUUAUUCUUAACCUAGUCUAAAUUGAGACUAAAAUUUUUUACUUAAAAAUUUACUAGCUAGCUUUACCUUGAUGGACUAGCUAUGGCCCAUACACAUUUCUCCAAUUUUAUUAAUAUUUUUGUGCAUAGCAAUUAGGGAUACGUGACAAUAAAUUAUCCUUUUAACAUAUAAAAAGUAUUCUCACAAGUAGUGUGCCCCUCCAAAGGGCACAGACAGACUUUUAGCCUCUUUCUUCGGUUUACCACUCCAGUUGGAAUCUUCAAUAAGAUUAAACAUUGAAUAUAUCUAAAAUAUUAGCAAUAUUUGUACUUAUAUUUAACAAAACUAGAGUAAUAUAUUGAUUAAUCUACAUAAUUUUGGGCGGGUUCUUAUGUAAUGUUACAAUUAACAUAGAUUAUUUUCACGGUAUAAGGCAAAUCUUGAGAAUGAACCCAUUUCAAUAUGGUUUCCACAAUAAAUGAACCCACUUUACUACCAAUGAAAGGCCUUGACUCAUAUAUAUCCACCUGGAAAGAAGGGGGGGGGGGGGGAGAGAAGAAAUCUUCUAAUUUCUUUCACCAUCAACAAAAUCAGUGAAACACAUACUAAUUCAAAAUAAAAUAAACUUUGUGAAUUGAAAUAAUGCCUGCUCUAAAGAAAAUGAUAACUGCUAUUCAUUUUUCUGAACUGCUGAUAAAAGCUUCUGCUAUUUACUUCGAAAAAAUUGAGUAACUUCAAAUUUUGAGUUUAGGCAAGAGGAUGAAUGGUAAAAGUGAGACAUUUUAGGGGAAAAGUAAAUACUUGAUAGGCCAAUGAAACAUUCAAAAGAUUGAAAUCUAAAUGAGCAAAACCUCAUGGCCUUGAGGCCCUUGAUCCAACAAUUCCACUGCUGUUGACAUGCCUGCAAGCCCAACUCCAAUAAUAGCCACUUUCAGCUUUGGUCCUCUAUAAUGUUCCGGUUCUGGUGGAAACAAACACUUGGGAGCUGCCAAGUAUACCAUUCAAUUAUCCACAGCGAUAUUGGAAAAACAUACAUGUUUGAAAGUACUAAAUAUCAAAUGUCUCCCGAAAAAAAUACAAAGCACAAUUGCAUAAGCAUUUCAUUUCCCAAUAAAUUUCAAGAAUACAAAAUACUUGGUCUGUUCUUGAGUUCCUUUAAGAAAAUUUCCACGAGAGAGCACGCAAGCCACUCAAUAACACUCCAAAGUCAGAUUUUAAACGUUAUCUUGAUCUAUAAGUACAAUCCAUGAACCAUUCUGCCACAAAUUCAAUUAAAAAUUAUUCAAGUAAAAUGCCAAAUUCUCCUUCAAUAGCCUCAAAAAUUCAUAACUAGCAAACACUACAGAACAAAAAGAGCUCCCAGCAAUAAACGCAUAAAAAUCCCACCAGAAACCAGAAAACCCAAAAGAUCAAUACUUGGUAAACAAACAAAUCAAAUCAAAUAAAACAAAAAGAAGAGAAAUUUACCAUUAACACUCAUAUCAGAAACGUUAGUAUCCAAAGAAGCCCGUACACAGAAUCUUGGAACCUUCACUUGAACCCGAGACCAACAAACACCAGUAACUGAAGUUGCAGGAAACAGAAGUGAAGAACCCAUAUUGAAAUAAAAGAAUCCAAACCCAAAGUGCCACAUCUAAAUAUGAUGGAUCCACUUAAAAUAAACAUAUAAAAAUCUUCAAUAUGAGUGCGAAAAUGUGUGGGGGAAAAAACUAAAAAGUGGUUUACCAUGCAGCAAUAUGAAUUUUAAGCUCUCUUUUCUUAUGUCACUCAAGGCAUUGGCUGGAUGGCCAAACAGCAGAGUUCAAGUGUACAAUAGAGAAUCGAAAUUUUCCUUUGUAAAUGUUCAUAAGUAUUUACCACAGAUUUUUAAGUUAUUCUUGAUAGAUCCCCUACCACAUACGCUAUAAUAUUUCUCUCCUUUUAAUUUAAAAGUAAAUCAUGCAUAAUAACGCACUUGUAAAGAAAUGAAAUUUUCGGUAAUUAACUGACAAAAUAAAAAAAAAGGAUUAUGCGAAAGAAGUUAAUAUAGAGUAAGUCGAGUACUUGACAAUCAAAGUAAUUUACUCGAGGUUGAGUAAGGAUAGUACGAUACUUUCUCAAGUUUUCUGAGGACAUUCAUGUGACAUUGGACUAUUGAUUAUAGUUAGAGAGAAGUCCAAGGAUGUAAGUGAUGAUGAUAGAUUCAGAAUUCUUUUGAAGAAAAUAUUUUAUAUAAACUUAAUUAUAUGGUAUAAAAUGAUUGGCCUUAAUAAAAUUAAAAAAUAAUAAAAAUAAUACACGCCUGGGUCAUGCAAUAUUUUCAACCAACUAAUUUACACGCAAAAUUAAAACUUUAUGAGUACAUUUAUUUGCUAGCAGAAACUCUGCCAAAUUUUCCGAAAUGUGAAAGUGAACACUUUUAACAGCGGCACAAAAUGCCUGUGAUAAUGAAACAAUGUGCCAUCCUUAAACUAAUAUUAUUAGAAACUAUAAGUGAAAGUUUUCAGAAAACAUGUGAUAAGUUUUUCUCGGAAUUUGUUUUCUCCUUUGUUUUGAUUUACGCGAGAGAUAGUUGUAAAGAUUGUUUUGAUAAGUUUUCAGAAAACAUGUGACGAAUCGUAGUAAAAAAUUUAUACAUAAUAAUUGAAUGAGAUCCAUGGUUCACAAUUGCAAAUUAAAGGUUGGUUUUAUAAUAAAAAUCGUUUUGUGCAUACCAAAUUAGAAAAGAUUAUAAGUAAAUUAAGAUUUUCAAAAUUUGACUAGUACUAUAUUACGUACAUCAAUAUAAUAUAAAUUUGUUAUAUUUAUAUAUGUUAUUCUGUAACUAAUGCUUUCAAAAAUUUUAUACUUGUAUGUUUGAACAACUUUUUUUCGCUUUCUAUUUAUAUACGAUAUUAUUUAUGUUUACAUAAAUUUUCAUAUGUACCCAAAUUAAGUAUUAAAUACACACACUCUGGUAAGACACAUUUCUAGUAUCAGACAAUGAUAUUAUAUUGAAUGUAAUGCUUCAAUGAAUUUUAUUACUAUAUACUAAAAUACUCAACGAUCUUCAUUAAAAAAAAAAAAAAGAAAUUGCAUGAUUAGAAUGAUUAAAGUUCAUUUAAUGACGAGUUUCAUCAUUGACUGUGUCGAAACAGAACAGCAAUCCACAAUACACUCAACACGAGAGGCGCACACAAGCAUGCAUGAAUCUUCCACCAUUAAACCUGAAAUCAUAAAAUGAAAGAAACAAGGUGAGUGUUGUUUUACGGUCUGAAAGCCGAUUCGAAAUAAUAAUAAUAAUAGACCUUUGUUAAUAGUUACUACUAGUGGUCACUGCCUUGUCCAUCUUCCUUCUCUGUAUUAUCGUCCUCUUCCAAGCCGCUGUCAUCUGACCAAACCCCAGCAACCAUGGGAAAAAUCACCUACUUGUUUUAGGAGCAGGAGCAGGAGCAGGAGGAGGAAAUUAAGUUAGGGAUUUGGAGUGAUAGGGAAAAAGCUGAUUGUUGAGAAAUAUGUAUACCUUUUGUAUGGUUGUGUUAAGGUCGCCCUUCCAAGCCCAACGUGCUUCACUCCGCCGCUGCACUUCGUGUAAUUUGGGUGUACUUAAAUUUCCUUCAGAGAAAAUCUUCAUAUCGGGGCAAUCAUCCACCACUAAUAUUUCCAAAGAUGGGAACUUGAAAGCACAAUUGCCAGAGCAGAAGCUUGUCAAACUUUUUAAGUCUAAAAGCUUCAACUCCUUCAAUUCUCUGAAAGUAAUAACCUCAUCUUUUGCCACAACAUCAUCCACCAAUACUAUUUCUGUUAUCAUAACGCAUGAUUUUAUCUUCAUAUAUCUAAGUCGCACCAGAGACUUUGCAAUUGAGGAUGUUAAUACGAUUUUCAAUCUUUCGCAACUGAAUACCACCAGAUUUGUAAGAUUCUGAAAGGAUGUCGACGAUGGCACUAGAUUGACCAAACGGUCACACCCCUUUACACGUAGAAUAACCAAGUUGUUCGUAACAGAGGACUCCCUUAUCAAAAUGUUCUCCAGAUGAUAACAAUUAUUUGCUUCACUUAUUUCUACUGCCAUACCAUUUUCAACCUUCUCUUUCGGCGACCGGCCACCAUAUCCUUGUAUUUGGAGGACUUUCAUUGUGUGAAGUCUCUGGAGGAAGUCAUCAAGUGAUACAAUAGUCGGCUCAUCAACCAACUCCACAAAAAGAUAUUUUAGUUUGCAAAGCAAGUCUUCAAAAAAUAGAUAUUUAUUUGUUCCUAUGUACUUUGCAUCAACUUUCAACUCUUCCAAAUUAGGGAAUACCUGGGAGAUCGAUCAGAACCAAAAAAAAAAAAAAUACAAGAUGAAUCAGUUGAUGAGAAUUAUAAGUUACCACUAAUUUAUACAAUAUAUUUUAUUCAAUAAAUCAAUAAAUACAAGAUAAACUUUCACAGUACAUACAUAAGAAUUGAAAAAUUGAUUAUAAAACUCUUGUACGUACCCUUUCCGUCAAGAUAUUAGUAGUUCUUUUGCAUCUCGCCAUGAAUUCAGGACAUCCAGAUAUCCCUAAUUCUUUCAAGGAUGGAAAUUCAAGAUUAUCAAGAUCUCCAGUGCAGAAGCUUGUGAACUUUUCAAGAUCAGACAUCCUCAGAGAUUGCAACUGGGGAAACGUUACAAUAUUAUUCUUCAUUUCUUCUUGGUUGUCCACGACUAUUAACUCUUCCAGGACAGGACAUUUGACUAUCAUAAUGUGUUGGAGUCGAACAAAGCUACUAACUGUACAAGAUGAAAAUAGACAUCUUAAAUUCAUACAGCUGUACAGGGUCAAGCGCGUUAAAUUCUGAAUACCACAAGACAUGACUGCAACUUGGUUCAGCCAAAUCCUCUCAACAUUUAUUGAAUACAACAUCAACUCCUCCAAAUUUGGUAAUGCAACCUGCACGAUCAAAAAAUUAACUUGUUAAUUACAAGCAACAAUGAUUUCUGUUGAUGGACAAAUCAAUAAAAUUACUCUUUCUCUGUUUAUAGUUCUUUUCAGUUUUUCAUACAAACAACCGUUAAUCAAGUUUUCCAAAUUAUUCCUUACUAAAUUUUGGUUGAUUCGCAAUAGGACCUACUAUCCAGCGCGAGCAGUUCUCGGGGAUUUAACUACUGGCACCUCGAUUAUAUAAAAAUUUAGACGGCGGCUAAUAUAAUUUAUAUGUAUUCUAAUGACGUAUAUUAAAGAAAAUGAUUAACCAUAAUUUCAAUCAACUUAUUAGUCUAUAUAUAUAUAUAUAUAUAUAUAUAAUAUUCAGCGAUUACAACAUAUUUAGUAUUCCAUAACAUGAUGUUUAUAAUAAUAAUUAUUAUUAAUUCACUUAUUGUGUCAGAGUAUCUUUUCUUUCUCUAAGAAUGUAUUUGUUACACCCUACUAUACUUCGGAUGAAAAAUUUAGAAUAAUUGUGAAAUAUAAUUAUUAAUCACUCUUUGCCAUAUUUGUUACCAAACAGGAAUAUAACAAAGAAAAAAAACAAAAAUUAUAGAGAAUUAAUAAGACGAUUGACUUAUUAAUAACUGACCUUCUCAGGGAAAAGUGUAUUAUAAAUUUGGACAUUGUCCUCCAAAAUGAUUUCAUGUGACUGCAAAUCAUUAGCUGAUUCCUCUUGUCUCUGUUGACAUUGCAGGUAUCUUGAUUUUAGAGUGUAAACUUAAUUGUGAGCACAAUCUUAAUGCAUAGAUACAAGAUCUUUAAAAAUUAGUAUAAGAAACUUAGCACUAAAUCCAAAUUUGAUAUUUUGGAUUCCAUGAUUAAGAUUUUUUAAAUAAAAAUUUAAUAGAGUUAAUUUAAAAAUAAAAAUUAAAUAUGAAAAAUAAACUUGCAAUUAUGGAUUUAAUUUUAAUAAAUAAUGAAUGUUCUCUUUAUAUUUUUUUUAAAAGGUAAAAGAGCGUACAAAGCCCAAAUUCAUUUUUUUAAGUCCUUUACUCUCCCAUGAUUCAAACUUGGGUGGUUGUAGGAGGACUGCAAAUAUAUAAGACAGUUAACUUCACUUUUUUUUUCUUUUUUUUUUUGUUGAGAGAAAAGAGAAGAAGGAUAUUACAAAGCAUGAAGCUCGUGCAAUAUAAGGGCAAUUAUGGUUUUUUCUUUAAAUUAAAAUGGUAAGAUUCUGAAGCUAAAAGAUUAAAAUAUUAAUUAAAUUGCAAACAUUAAAGAUUUUUUUUGCAAAUGGUUGCUUUUAAAAUGAGAAUAAUAUAAUAUUUGAAGACUUUUCAAAAUUAAUUACUGUGAUGCACUAGAAAUUUCUAGCUUUAGUCUAAUGUAUAAAUUGACAAAACGAUAUUCGAAUCCCAGGUGAAAAGAACCCUCUCAUACCAAUUAUUUAAAUUAGGAAUGAUCAUACCUUUGACUCUGCCGGAUUGAGGGCGAGCCAGAGACGCUUGAGAUGGGAAGAGCCCACUUUGACUAAUUCAUUACGAAAAUAAUCGACAUCUUGCUCUUGCAAUCGCCAUAACUCAAGGUCUUCAAUUCUCUGCAGUUGCACGAUCAGCGAAUCCUUCAAGCAAAUCUUGUUAUUUAGCUCGAGACUGAAUUCACGACACCCAAUGCCGGUGCUCUCCCAAUAGCCAUCAUCUCCAAUGCGUAUGCUGUACCUUUCCAGCUUCUCCAAGAGCAGGCCUCUGGGCAGAGUGCUGACGUCACGGGCGCGUAAUUCCAAAGAGGUCAAGUUGGGCAAAUGCUUCAACUCCUCAAGGCUUGCAUUCUUAACCCCUUCUUCCACCUCCACCUCCCAAGCAGCAAAGCUUUGACCUAUAUAUAGUUCUUCUAAACGGGAUAAUUUUGACAGUAUAUUUGGUGGAAUAACUUCUAGGUCCUCACAAUGUCUCAAAUCAAGCAACUUUAGCCAAGUCAAUUCACCUACUUCUACCGGCAACUUCUUAAUAUCAGAAUCUCUUAGGCAAAGGAUUUCUAGUUUCUUCAAGUCUCCUACAACACUUAGAUCAGGCAGGUAGCACCAACACAAACUCAGUGUUCGAAGGUUUGACAGGAGACCAAGUGAUGAAGGCAAUGACCGUAGAUCCAUGUUAGUCAAGUUUACAACUCUGACCUCGAUCAUGCUCUUGAAAAAGUUGUCUGGAAUUGUUACUCGUGAAUAUUCCCAAGGAUCAUCACUUAUAAAAAGAAGUUCGAGCUGAGGACAUUCCAGUACUUUAGGAAGCAAAUUAGUGUUGAUAUCAUGUAAGACGAUUGAAGUGCAAUGCUUUAUUGCACUUCCGUCCGACCAUUCCCUGCAACCAUCAACCUGCUCAUUUGUAGCAGUAAACACAUUUCGUUCAGUAGAUGCAAUUGAUCUGGCGACAUCGCGAACUACAUCAUGCAUAGAAAACAACUCUUUCUUCUGGCUUAUAUGGUCAAGCAACAUACAAGAAGCUUUGAGUGUGCGCACCAAUGUAUGUACUCGAUUUCGUGCUACUUCAAUCUUAUUCACACCUUGAAAUAAACCCAAUCCCAUACCACACAUUAACAAGUCUUCAAUAGAUGCUAUGGCUGUAUAUCCUAUUAGCAAAAAGAUGUUCUUGAGAUCAUCCCUUCCUAGUUUAUUGUAGCUCAACUCGAUAGCUUUAAAUGCGGCUGGCUGUACAUCCUUAAAAUUCGAUGAAGAAGGCCUUCUUAGCUGUUCCAAUGCAUCCUUCCAUUCACGUAUGCUCUUGUUCCUUAAUGCCCUUGCAACCGUCACAAUGGAAACUGGUAGACCUGCACAUUCCUUUGCCACAUCCCUUGCUACCUCUUUCAAUUCAUUACCUUCAACAUAAUCACCUGCCAUCUUCGUGAAUAGACUCCAAGCUUCAUCUUCUUUUAAAAAUCCAACUGGGAAAUUUUUUCGAGACUCCAUCUCUCCAGACAAUACUUCUUCACUCCUCGCCGUGAACAGCACUUUACAUCCCAUGUGAUCAUCUCCGUGAGGAAUUCCGACAUCCAACAAAUCAAGAUUUUCCCAAAUAUUAUCCAAGAUUACAAGGAUCCUCUUCUCUUUCUUCAGUCGAUCAUAGAGUCUUCUUGCCCUACCCGAUUCACUCUCCUCAUCAAAUUUUAGACCUAGUUUAUCCGCGAUUUCUCCUUGAAGCUUUCUUACGUCUCGACUCUCAGACACCUCAGAAAAAACCACCUGAUCGAAAAGCUUGUCACUCUCUGCUUUUCUAGCAACUUCUUUAGCUAGCGUCGUCUUUCCGAUUCCGCCCAUUCCAUAAAUCAAAAGCAUGUUGACAUUGGGAUUUUUUAAUGCAUCAAUUAUUUCAUUCAGAAUGGACGUUCUUGAUUCAAAGGCCUCGAAGUCUUUGUUAGGCAUAAGCAAGGUAUCCUCCGGAAUGAUGCUGUAGGAAAUACUAUUAACUGGUCUAGCGUCCCGGACUUUGACAACAGCCUCCUUCUGCCUCUCUGCUUCCUUGCUAAGUCGAGGGCGGGUCUUCAAAUUAGGACAUGACCCCUUGAAACAACGCUUAUUUGCAGUGGCUUCAUCUUCUGUAAAUUUAUCUGCCUCUUCAAUGACACUGUUGGCCGUUGCAAGCCAAUUCUCAACGUUCUCUUCAAUCUCUUCUCCUUUUCUUUUAGCCUCAUCAACCUGGUGCUCUGUACUCACCCUCUCAGACUUUAGUUUCGCAACUUCAGUGUUGAGAUUCUGUAAGUUGCUCGUGUACUUACUCUCACGCAAAUAGCUAAUUUGGCGAUAUGCGGGAGGAGCCAAGCACUUUACAACUUCUAAAACAAUAGUAAGAAUGAUUUCAGCCAUCUUCAGUCCUUUGUCCUUGUCUCUCUAUCUCUCUUUUUCUGAAUUUUGGAAAAACAAUUCAACAAGUGACCGCAACAAGAUGGAACACAAGUGACCACAACAAGAUGGAACAAAAUACAAAGGAAAAAAAAUACAAAGAGUGGAUGGAGAAUAAAACAGAGACAGCGUCACAGCUAGACACAAUUAGAUAGAGAACAGAGGAAAACCAAAUAACAAGACUUAAGAUUACAACAAACAGAGGCCGAGGUGGAUAUAUAUACUUGGAGAAUAAAAUUCAAGAGCAAAGCGAGUGCUGGGCUGCAGUUUCUUAAGGAGAUUUAUAUAUCAUCCUCAAAAAUAAAUAUUUUAAGGUAGGUAUUUAGACUAUUUCAUCAUAAAAUAAAUGUAAUUAAUUUUCAUAAAUAUGUGAUAUCAAUAUUUAUUUAUUUUUUUAAUUACUGAUGGCCUUUGAAUAUACGAUACAUAUUACUAAUUCAAAAAAUAAAUUGUGAUUAUUUGUUAAUGUAUAUGAUUACUUGUGAUGGUAAACAAGGUAGAUAUGGUAUAUUUUGAAGUAGAAAAAAAAAAACAAAAGAAAAAACAGAGCUUUUACCAUUGCUUGCCUUAUCAUCUUUUAAAUUAAAGUUAUUAUUCUUUUAUUUUUCAAGUUGCCAACUCAUACGCAUUUUCUUUUAUUGAAUUUGAAGAUCAAUGAUUAUAAAUUUGUGUGAAAAUUUUAAGCCAAAAUUUUAAAUUAAAAUAAUCAUUAAGUUAUUAAAAAAUAAUAACUUAAUAUAACAAAUAUUAUAUCAUAUACUUUAUUGCUACAAGAUUACAAAACCUUAUAUUAUAUUAUGUUUCCAUAUUUCUCCUUUAUAGUGAAGACUCAUACUUUUUCUCUAGUAGAUGUUAAAGUAUUGGCUUAAACUUUUUAACCAGCACAGUAAACCCUUAAGCCUAUAUAUGCUAUAAUGUCCCUCUUCCCUCACAGAUCAAACACUAUUUUUCAAAAUAUUAUAUCUUUAGACUUAACAAAAUAUCUUUUAACCAUAUAUGUACAGUUUGUUUGAUCUCUUUUAAAUAUUGGAGAUUACAACAGAACAGAUGCGAAUUAGCAGUGACGCUGAGUUUAGAAGAUUGAAGUUAAGAAAAUUAAGGAAAGGGUAAGGAUGUAUUUUCAAAGUGAAUUAUUGAGAGAUCUUUGAAGAUUACUUCCGUCAAGAGCUGGGUCCUAUACUCUUAACCCUUUGUCCUCCAGUCAACCAUAAGACAAAUUAUUAUUGAGUGUGAGCAGACAUUAACCACCAAAUUUUCAAACUUGUGAUCCUUAUUGAAUCUGCAUUCCCCUUUACAAAAGUAAAAAAAAAAAGUGCAAAUAACGAAACAAAAUUCUGUUCCUUGACUGCAAGUGCUGUCGGCAUUUUCAGACUUGUAAGACCCUUCUACUUGCAAGAUACCACUGAAUUUGUCUUUUUUUUUUUAAAUUACACUAUAUUAUCUUAUAUUUUAUAAAAAAUUUAAUAAAUAUUAUAAAUUAUAAAUUUUUAUAUUUAAUAUUCUCAAAAUAAAUUAUCAAACAAAUGAUUCAUUUAUUAUUUUUUCUUUUAAAUUUUUGUUAUUAAGAAGAUUUUUGGAUAUUAAGCGUGAAGGGCUCCACUGAUCGCUAAUUUUGCAGCAAUUGCCCUUUUCUUUCUCCCCUAAUUGUUUUGAAAAAUAUCUAGUCUCAUUCAGCGAAGUAUCCAAGGCCAAAGGGCUAAAAGAUGGGACACCCACAUGUGCUUCUAAUUAAAAAGGGUUAUUUUUCGCUACCCCACAUGUUUUGACAAAUCAUAUUGUGUACCCAUUUGUUUCAACAAUCAUCAGUGUGCACCCAUUCUGUUAAAUUCAGCCGUUUAGUUUAACCAAUCAAGGGUAAAAUGGAUAUUGUACAAUAAAUGAAUAAAAAAUCAAGUUAAACUGUUUACACAGAAGAAAGAGAACAAGGAGAAGUAAAAGAACAACAUCAUUUCUGAAAAAACAACUCCAUCUCUGCAAAUCGUACCAUCCAAGAGCAUAAAUCAAAGCAAAUAUGGAGGGAAAAUAUUAUGUGUUGGAGUUGAUGUUCUUAUAUCCCCAUCUAGAGUAAGAGGUUUUGACAUGGUAGCGUCUUAUGACACCAUUGUAUUACAAGUUAUCAUUGGUAGUUUUUUGGCUGAAGGCUGGAAGGAGUCAAGAUCAUGGAUGCAACCAAAACCAUUGUCUUCUUCUAUGCCAAAAUUCAUCCUAGAAGCAUCAGCAAUUGGAAGCCCACCAUCACAUGGAAACUUAAGUGAAUCAUCUGGUGGACCUGGAAGCCCUCUAAACCACAGCACCGAAGGAGGCUGCAGUAACAGCAAUCCGCCAAGCAUACUGAAAUUUAAUGAGUUGGUGUUGUGUGAUUCAGCAUCAGUUUUUAUUUUUUAAAAUGCAUAUUAACAGUGACUGGUGGCAUUUUUGAAAUUUAAUGAUUUGAAAUUCAAAUUGGGGACAAAAUCACCAUUUCACAAAAUAAUUGUCAGAAUGGUUAAAAUAAACGGCUGAAUUUAACGGAAUGGGUGCGCGGUGAUAAUUGUUGAAAUAAGUGGGUUUACGGUAAAAUUUGUCAAAACAUGUGGGGGGUGGCCAAAAAUAACCGAAUUAAAAAAUCUAAAGUUAGGGGGACCAUAACUUACAUUUAAUAUAAUUUAUGAUAGGAGUCCACUUAUGUUACCACUGUACAACAGGUUUGGUCUUUUCUGACUCAAUUGCUGUAAAAGUUUGUUGAGCCCCUUGUACUCGAUAUUAUUUACUAUUUAUUUAUAAGUAUUAUAAAAAUUUUUGCUUACUUGUUAAAACAAACCUCUCGGCCCCACUUCCCUUUUUUUUUUUUUGAAAAGCCCCACUCCCCUUGUACUCGAUAUUUUUUACGCGUUUCUCUUUUCUCUCCCCCACGUGAACACUUUUGCCUUUUGCUCGUUCACGUGAAAGUCAGUUUAGAAUUUUGAUCUUAUUUCACAGAGCUAAUUUUUUUAUCACAAGCAGGAGAGAAACGGCAUUUCUUAGCAGUAGUUCAUCACUGUAGUAGCGAGCGAGUGAGGAACAAAAUUACCAACAAUUCUCAAAAAAUAAUUAUAAAAAAUGAUCACAUGCUAUAAUUAAUCAUGACACUUUGACAACAUUACUCCCACCGAGCAAAAGUUAACAGCAUCUUCUCCCACAUUUUUAAAAAAAAAAUUGUAUUAUAUAACCCACCAAAAGUAUAAAGAGUCUUUUCUUAUUAAAAUUAAUAAAUUACUCUUUAUAUUGAGAAAUUAAAAUUUAAAAUGAGAAUGAUGGGCGAUGUUCAUUUCUUAAAAUAAAAAUAAAAUUUAUGAAGUUUAUCUAUUUUUAGAAUUAAAGAAUAAGAACUUAAUUUCUUAUGGGGAGUGUUGGAAAUCAAGUUCUUAUUCCUUAAACUCUCAAUUUUACCUCACAAAAAUUUAUAAGUUCACUUUUAUCUUUAAUUAAAAUAUUAUUAUGUUAUUAUUAUGGUUAUUAUUCUUAUUUUUGUAGUAGUUGCUGUUGUUUUUGUUGAUGAUGAUGAUAAUAGUUGAUAAUAAAAUUAAUAAUAAUAAUGAAAAUAUAACUAUAAUUUUAACAGCUACAAUAAUAAUCAUUAAUAUUAUCGUUGUUGUUCUUAUUAUUAUUAUUAUUAUUAUUAUUACUACUACUACUAUCCUAUUAUAUUAUUAUUAUUAAAUAAUUAUUUUGAAUAAUAAUAAUCUCAAUUAUUAUAACAAACAACGACAAUAAUGAACUAAUGUCAUUUUCAUAACUUAUAACAAUUUAUUUUUUAUUUCAAGACAAAAUAAACAUAUUAAUAAUAAUACAGGUCAUUUCGAUUAUGAUUCUUACAGGUAAAAUAAAUAAUUUAUUAUGAUUUUCACAUCAUAAUCAUAAUUCUUAUAGUAUUAUCUUUAUUUUAAAAUACUUUUUUUAUUUAUAUUUAUUAUAAAUUAAUUAAAUUAUACCAAUGAAAAUUAAAUAAAAAUUUAAGUAAUAAAAAUGAGAAAAUAUAUGUUUCCGUUUGAAUAAAAAAUUAAUAAUAAAAUAUUUUUCUUAUUUUUUAAUAUUUUUAUUAUGAAGAAAAUAUAUUUUUCUUUUUUUAAUUAUUUUGAAAAAAUAUCCAGACUCAUUCUGCAAAGUACCCGAGGCCAAAGCGCCGAAAGAUAGGACACCCACAUGUGCUUUUAUUUACAAAAUCUAAAGUUAGGGUGGGUGUCCGAAACUUAAAUUUAAUAUAAUUUAUAAUUAGGUAAAAUUCUUUGAUUGACCCAUUAAAUUUUAUUAUUCUACUACUUAUUUUUAUAUUAAAAAAUUAGUAAUGUAGAAAAAUUCUUAAAAGUUAAUGGAGAAGGAAAAGAAAAAGAAAAAGUGUAAAUGAACUGUAUUCACCUAAGUUUCAAACACGUGGUUCAAUCUGAAUUCGCUUUUUUCAAAAGUAAAUACAAAAGAAAAUAUAAAGAAAAAAAAUUAAACGAGACAAAAAUCUGUGGCGUGGGUCAUUCAUAUCUUUUGUCAUUUCUUUUUUAGAGGUACAUGGGGUGGAUAUUUUGAAGUGACAAGCAGAGCUUUUACUGUUGCUUGCCUUAUCAUCUUUUAAAAUUAGAGUUACUAUUCUUUUAUUUUUAAGUAGCCAACGGAUGGUAGCCAACUCAUCCAUGUUCUCUAUUAUUGAAUUUAAAGAUCAAUGAUUUAUGUUAAUAAAUAUUUUGUUAACUAUCAAAGUUUUUAUUUCAAAAUUACUGUUAUAAUUCAUUAAUUUUUCAAUUUUUCCUUUUUCUAUUCACACAACAGAUUGAUUUGCCCUCCAAAAAAAUGUAUUAGAUUGUUUAAUAUUGUAACAUCAAGAAACUUAUAAUAAAUUUUUAAAGAGAUAACUAGAGAAUGUUAGCCUCGCAUCUACUCAAAAUUAAUAAAUAUACCACUAAUUCCUUAUUAUUUUUAUAAAACUAAUAACUUUCUUGGUAGUAUAAUUUUAUAGUAUUAUCCUUAUUUGUAAGUAUAUUUUUAUUCAUAUUUAUUAUAAAUUAAUUAAAUCAUAUCAAUAAAAAUUAAAAUAGAAUAAUAUGUUUUGGUGUGAAUAAAAGAUUGAAAAUAAAAAUAUUUUUCUUAUAUUUUUUGUUAUUUUUAAAUGUUUUUCAUAUAAUAAAUGUACAUUUUAUAUUCUUAAGAUGAAUUUUGAGUAAAUGACUCAUUUACUCAUUUUUUUUCUUUAAAUUUUUGUUACUAGGAGGAUUUUUAGAUAUAAUGAAAAUUGUAAGGUAGUAAGUAAUAUAUAAUAAUUUUAAUAGAGAAAAAUAAAAAAAUCUCUUAUUUUAAAAUAUAAGAAGAAAAAUAAUUAAUUUUAAGAAAUUUUAGAAGAUAUUUCAAUAUGCUGUGGAUCACACCCUCGAAUCUUUGUCGUCUCAGUCAACUAAAAGGACAGAAUAUUGAGCGUGAAGGCUCAACUGAUUGUUAAUUUCACAGCAAUUACCUUUUUUUUCUUCUUUUUUUCCUAAUUAUUUUGAAAUGGUAGGUAGCAAUUGCUUACAUCAAAAUAUUUAGACUCACUCGGCAAAGUAUCCGAGGCCAAAAUGCCAAAAGGUGGGACACCCACGUGUGCAUCUAAUUACAAAGUCUAAAGUUAAUGAAAAGAAAAAGAAAAAGUAUAAAUGAACGAUAUUCAUUCAAACAUCUAGUUCAAUAUGAAUUUCUUUUUACCAAAAGUAAAUUUGGGCGAGACUUUGCGAGGGGCCUCGGUGUGCCCGCGGGGAGUCGUCGGCUGAGCGCUGCCCAAAAAUAAGCGUCCGAAGGUCGUACGCUCGCGUGUGAGGCUGCCCUUGCUCGCGCGGCAACGUAGAGUAUGCUCACGCACGAGGCUGCCCACGCCCAGUCGCAAGUAGGGCAGCGCGCGCGACAAGUGGUUGCCCACUCUCGCGCACAAAACAAGCUUAUAAUAGAGCAGCUCCAGGCAUAUGAGGCAGUAGCCAUAAGACAUAAUUUUGAGAAUGGUGAGUGUGGAAACAGGGAGGAAUUUCAUAAGGUCAAAAAUGGGAUAUUGGCGGGCGAGGCUUUGCGAGGGGCCUCGGUGUGCCCGCGGGGAGUCGCGGGCACAGCCGCACCCCAAAAUAACGCCCCAAGGUCGGGGUGAUAAAAAGGCCUCAGUGCCCCGAGACGGGUGUGCUAUAGCCUUGGUGGGGGGCGCGGGCGAAGUUCGUCCGCCAGCGCGGCCGUGCCCGCAACUUCCGGCGGGCACACUGAGGCCCCUCGCAAAGCCUCCCCCUAUACCGAGUCCGGCGGACGAACUUCGCACGCGCCCCCCACCAAGGCUAUAGCCCACCCGUUUCGGACGAGACUUUGCGAGGGGCCUCGGUGCACCCGCGGGGAGUCGCGGGCACAGCCGCACCCAAAAAUAGUGCCCCAAGGUCAGGGUGCCGAAAAGGCCCCUAGGGGCCCCGAGACGGGUGGGCUAUACUGCCUCAAGGUCGGGUGCUAAAAAAGCCCCAGGGGCCCCGAAACGGGUGGGCUAUAGCCUUGGUGGGGGGCGCGGGCGAAGUUCGUCUGCCGGACUCGGAAUGAAGCGAGGCUAAACGAGAGCCCUCGGGUGCGCGGGCGAUGCUCGUAUGCCGGACUCAGAAUGGGGCGAGACUUUGCGAGGGGCCUCGGUGUGCCCGCGAGGAGUCACGGUGCCAAAAAGGCCCCAGGGGGCCCGAGUCGGGUGGGCUAUAGUCUUGGUGGGGGACGCAAGCGAAGUUCGUCUGCCGGACUUGGAAUGGGGCGAGGUUUUGCGAGGGACCUCGGCGAGCCCGCAGGGAGUCGGCGGCCGAGGACCAUCUUGAAGUCAUCCAUGAGGACGAUGGAGAAAUCAAGCUUUCCGCUCCACGUACUGAGUGUUAAGUGCACGCCUUGUGCAAUUCCUGCAAUUGACUUGGCGGGUGAGUUUACCGCUUUCAUCGUGCCUCUUUUCAUCUCGAUUCCCGAGGCCCGCUGGUCCCAUUGGACGAAACGGAACCACAAUCAGAUGCCUCGAUCAUGAGUUACGGCCAAAACCGGUAAAAACAACCCCGAUCUUACCCCCCGCUGGCGAUCAAAACCCGCUAACGCACUAGCGGAAAAAGGCCCCGAGACGGGUGGGCUUUAGCCUUGGUGGGGGGCAUGGGCGAAGUUCGUCCGCCGGACUCGGAAUGGGGCGAGGCUUUGCGAGGGGCCUCAGUGUGCCUGCGGGGAGUCGUGGGCACCCUGCCCUUCGGGGCCCAAAAAUAAGCGCCCGAAGGUUGGGGUAGCAAAGGCCCCAACGAAAAAAGGCCCCGAGACGGGUGGGCUAUAGCCUUGGUGGGGGGCGCCGCCGCACAAUUCAUCCUCCGCGGCCCUUUCCCCACUCCCCGGUGGGUCCGAGGUGUCCCGGAGAGUUACGAACUUGACGUGAUAAGUUGUAUAUUUCACGUGAAGUGUUACAUCCUUACUUCUUCAGCUUCCUUGUACGUUCACUUCUUAAGAAUCUGGCUAUGUUUUUUUAAUUUUAGGUAUUUUUAGUGUUGAAAUCUGGCUUGUAGUUGGGCUUAAUGAGUAGUGUAAAGAUUGUUGAUCAAUGAUUAAUGUGCUUGUUGCUGAUUUAUUUCUGUUUUUGUUUCAGAUUGGUGAGUGUCGCCUUGGUGGGGGGUGAGGGCGAAGUUCGUCCGCCGGACUCGGAAUGGGGCGAGGCUUUGCGAGGGACCUCGGGGAUGCAGCCCAGCCUCGCAUGCCAGCAGCACAUGCUCGCGGGCAAGGAUGGGCGCUCGCGCGGGGCAUACAGUAGGCAGUCGCGCGGUAAACUGCCCACGCUCUCGAGGCAAGCAGCUCCUAGUCGGGCAAGGCAGUGCGCGCUCGCCACCAAGGCAAGUAGCCCAAGCUCGCGCGAGGAAGUCAGGCCAGGCUUGUGCGCGCGCGUGGGGUGAGGCUUCGUAAGGGGCCUCAGUGUGCCCGCGGGGAGUCGUGGGCAUAGCCGCACCCAAAAAUAGUGCCCCUAAGGUGGUGGGGGGCACGGGCGAAGUUCAUUCGCCGGGCUCUGAAUGGGGCGAGGCUUUGCGAGAGGCCUCGUUGUGCCCACGGGGAGUCACGGGCACAGUCGCGCCCAAAAAUAGUGCCCCAAAGUCGGGGGGCCAUUGACUGGUGUACCACGAUCAUAUUUAACUGUUGUAUGCAUGAAUCCUUGUGACAUGACAUAUAGCCAAUUAAAUUCUGACAUGCGUGCAAUAAAGACUGUAAAGUGACCGGUUAUUCCGGUUGAAUUCACAAGAACUCUUGUUUGUGUGUUUAUGUUCCAAGUUGUGUACUCUUUGUUACGAGUUCUCUAAUUAGUCUGAUAUUAUCGCAACUGAUGCUCAAUAAUGUUACAGGUUUUAUAAUAUAUGUCACUGGUACGAUCGCUGUCACAAAUUUUGAACGAAAAGUUCCUAAUAAAACAAGUUAUUUAAUUAAUUAAAUAAGAAUAAAAUGAAUUUGUGAAAAAAAAUUUAAUUUAAUUUUGAAUUAUUUUAACCAAAAUUUAAGUUUUUUUUUUAAUUUGUUUAAGAAAAUGCGUUUUAAUUGGAAAAUCAAUGAAAAAAUUUAUGUAACAGAAAAAAAAAAAAAGCAAAACGUUUUGUUUUGGAUGGAGGCCAUAGAUUCCAAUAUUUCCUUCACGAAAACUACAAAAAAUUAUCAAAGGCAUCAAUUUCUACACUCUCACCGAGCAAUACUCUUAACCCAGAAGAAAGUGUAUAAACCAACCCCAAUCAGUCCAUCAAUGUCGUCAACCUCAUACAAUAUAAAAAAAAUCCGUGUCCAUUAAACCGUCUUUAUUGAGCCAUUAGACUAUUCGUGUCAUCUUCCCAUCUCGUUGUAGUAUUUUGCCGUUCAAAUCUAGUUAUCAAUUGGGGAAAAUGGGGACCAAUCUGCAAGUCUUUAAAAUAGAUAGGAACUUUAAUUGGGCACUAUGUUCACAGUGGUGGACCCAGCAGCAUUAAUAUUUAAGGUGGAGCUAUUUGUAUCUUAAAAAUGAUUUUAAAUAUUCUAAUUUCAAUAAGAAUAUAUAUUAUAAAAAUAUUUAUUAUAUAAGUUAUUGGACAAUAUAUUAUAAGUCAAUAUUAUAUAAUUACUUUGAACACUUAUAUAGCACAAUCCUAAUUUAAUUUAUUAUUCUCAUGACUUAAAUAUAAAAAUUUUUAUUUCCAACAUCUUAAUAAAUAUGUAGAUGAAUAAUAAGGAAAUUAACUUUGAGAAAAAAUUAAAUACAAAAUAUGUGUAAUACUUUUAAAAAUAAAAUAAAACAAAAGUAUUGCACAAGAUUUUUUUUGGGGGGAGGGGGGGGGGGGGGGCUUUGGCCAUUCUUCUUCUUCUUCUCCUUCUCUCUCUCUCUUUUUUUUUUUGGGUAGUAUUUAUGGAACAUUUUCUAUUGUUAUGUUCUCAUCACAAGUUAUUUUGGGUGUAAAAUUCAAUAUUGAAAAUAAAUUAAAUGAAAAAUUAGUAACGAAAAUUAUGUUAAAUUAUUUUUUUAUAACUUAAUUUUUAAUUAUAUUAUUGUGAGUAUAUGCUAAAUCUCUUAAAAAUAGAGUGUUGAAUAAUUUUAUUAGUUUUUUUUUAAAUAAAUAAAGUUAAGUAACUUAAAAAGUUUAAGUAAGGAUAUUUUUGAAUUUUAAUUAGUGUACAAAGUAAAGUUUAAUUUUUUUAUAAUUAAAUUAUAAACGUGAAAAAUAAUAGAAUGUUCAAAAUAAUAUUUAGAGUACUAAUAAUCCUACCUUAAUCUUUAUCAUCACAUUAUUUUUCAUAAAAAAUUUACAAUUACCUCUUUAUUGGAUAAUUUUGUUCCCUCUCUUACCUUAUGUUCCCUUACAUUCUCAUUUCUGCAUCACCAUUUAAAUUGUAAUCAUAACGUUAAUCUUUAUCCAUCACAUAUUUUGCCAAAUUUAUUCGCACCGCAAAGCUCUUUCCUUUUUUUUUUUUUCCUCCGUUAAGUUUGCUAUAAUGUACGUGAAGAAUAGUUAAAGAGCUCUUUCGUGUCCUUACCCUUUUUUUCGGGUUCACUUUUGCUGCUUUUUAACGUUUCUCCAGAAUUCACUUCAACAUGACUGGCGCAUUUUCUUCUUUCUCGUUGCAACAUCAACUGGGCCACCACCUCUUGCCUCUCCCGGUUCCCCUCAAUUUUCGUAUUCAAUGUCCACCGUUGAUUGUACAUUUAUUAAAACUCUGUGGUUAUUGUUUUUUUGCAUACAUUUAAUUCCACACGGUCUAUCAAUAGAGCAGGUGCAUCGUAGUUGUGGCCUUAACUGUUAUUGGUAACUCAAUAGCUAAUUCUAAUGUUUCAUCAAGCAGUUUAGAGAUAACCUCUCUCGCUGAACUCCUUGGAGUAACGCAAUCCAGUUUUCCAGUGCAAUCACCAGACAGUUGAACAGCUUCUGAAUUCCCUAUGCUUUUCUUGUUUUCUUUUCCAUGUAAAGGGAGCUCAGGCUUCAAUAUAUCUGGGGAUUGAUUACUAAUGAUAAAGACAACAUACGGUAGAGGACACAAAUUGUUAUUAAAGAAUGAUGCACUUUUCAACUGAGUAUAGUAAAGCAAGAAUGGGUAAUUAGUUUUACCUGCAACGUGAAAAUCUAGACUCCCGACGGUAACCGAUCUUUGGUCAAGCAAAUAAAGAAGAAGGCGAAGUAAAAUUCACUGAGUUGAAUGAGCGAUCAUUGCGUAUGGACUUGACUUGUUCAAUGGGUGAAAGACUGCUGAUAUAAUUAAAGACUGGAGAAUCCUGCACGUUGACAAGCAUCAUUUUUAAUCUAACAUAGAGUCUUAAAAACUUUGUCAGUGGCAAAUGAUCACGACAAGAAAUCUGAAGUAGAAACAGCAGAGCUCAACAAAUCACUAAGAGAAAAUAAGACCAAUAACCAAGCAGAUAAAAGAAAAGCAAAAUAACCCAUCUCAAAAUCACCGCAUGCACAAUUAGGGAUGGCAAUUUCCGGGUCCGGGUCCGGGUCCGGGUUUGGCUGUUCCGGAUCCGGACCCGGACACGAAAUUUUCAUAACCGGACCCGCAUUAAACCCGGGUUUUUUUAAUCCGGGUCCGGUCCGGGUUCAACCCGGAAAAAUCCGGGUUUCCGGAUUCCGGGUUUUGAACCCGGAUUGCUUAUUUUUUUUUUUUUAGAGACCAUAUAACUUAUUUUAACAAGGCACAGGGGAUGGGGUUUAAUGUUUUAAUCUUUUCCCCAACAACACACUACACAAUUCUUCCUAGAAUUGGUUCAAUAAAAUUUGAUGGAUAAAAGGCAAAAUAAAAGAACAUAUAACACAUCAGUGACAUCACUAGACUACUAGAACCAAAUUGUUUAACUUUGGUUCAUCAAAAUUUGCCGGACAUAGGGCAAAAAAACAGAACAUAUAAACACAUCCAGAACCACCAGCCCACUAGAACCAAAUUGUUUAACUUUGGUUCAUCAAAAUUUGCUGGACACAGGGCCAAAUAACAGAACAUAAUAACACAUCCAGCUUCUAAAACAAAUACAACACAAAUACACAAUAUAAAAUCUAAAAUUCAAAGUUUUAAAGUAAUAAACAUCCACAAAUACAAAUUCAUAACAUAAUUCUAUAAUUUAAAGCUGAAAUUUCCAGCCACUGCCCACUAGUGCUCAGAUUUCUAGCCACUGCCCACAGCCCACCAAUGCUCAAAUUUCCAGCCACCGCCCACUAGUGCUCAUAUUUCCAGCCACUGCCCACAGCCCACCAGUGCUCAAAUUUCCAGCCACUGCGGCACUGCCCACCAGUGCUCAAAUUUCCAGCCACUGCCCACCAGUACUAAAGACUAAACUCUGAAUCAUGCACUUCAUUGGACUGUUGUUCACUCAUCAAACUUUCAUCAAUCAAAUGCUCUGCAGAAAGUAUUGCUUCCUCUGGAAUUCCAUUUACAAAAAAUGUGUAAAUCAUAAACAUAAUGAACAAGACAACCAAUUAGUGACAAAUUGAUAAUAAGAACAAUACAACAAAUAAUUUGAUUCUAAUAAAUAAAAUUUUCAUACCUUUUAAGUUUUGUUCAAGCCAAAACCAAUUUUGAGUGCACACUAAUGCCUCUACUGUGGAUGGGUGAAGUCUACUACGAUGAGGGCUCAAAUGUCUACCUCCAGUGCUAAAAGCAGACUCUGAAGCAAUUGUUGAUACAGGAAUGGCCAAAAAGUCCCUUGCAAUCUUUGCAAGUAUAGGAUAUUUGCCUUGAUUAUUCUUCCACCAUGAUAAAAUGUCAAAUUGACUAGUUGAAGGCAAAGUACACUCCUCAAGAUAAAACUCUAAUUCUGAUUUGGAAUGAGUAUUUUGCGUGUUUUCAUUUCUAAAUAAUGCCCACUCAUCAGCCAUUUCAUCCAAAUCUAAAUCUAACAUAUUAGAGUCCUCUCCUCCAGCAGCUUGAGAAUUGGCACCAUUAACCCCCCCACUUGAAUUUGAUAGAUGAUUUACUUCAUACUCAUGUACUAAAUCAACAAAUAACUUACGCACUCUUUCAAUUUCAGAUUCAGCUCUUUCCCCAUAUAUUUUAGGAAAUAAAAAGUUAAUCAAUAACAUUUUACGCCUAGGAUCUAACAUAGUCCCCACUGCAAGAACUCCAUGAAUAACAUCCCAAUACUUUUCAUACUUUGCAAUCAUCCUAGUAGCCAUAUUUUUUAUCCCCUCAAUUGGUGAUUGCAACCAUGCAUUCAUUGACAAUCUAAUUUCACAAAUCUUGGCAAAAAAUAAAUUAGAUGUCGGAUAUUGUGUCCCCGAAAAAAGUUCUGUCAACUUAUAAAAGCUUUUUAAAUACUCACACAUAAGCUUUGACAAAUUCCACUCUGACUCACUAGGUAAAGAUGUAUAAUUUCUCUCACGUUCCUUUAAACGAUCAAAUACAUUUUUAUACAGCAAUGCAGUACUAAGCAUCAAGUAAGUAGAGUUCCAUCUAGUUUUACAAUCAAGUACUAAGUUUUUGGUUUCCUUAAUACCUAAUUGUUUUUUUGCAUUCUCAAAUUUUUCAACUCUAGCUGGUGUUGCUGUCCAAUAAUGAACACUAUCUCUAAUUUUCUCAACUCCCUUUUGUAUCACUGACAAACCAUCUCUAACUAUCAAGUUCAAUAUAUGAGCACAACAACGCAUGUGAAAGAAUUUGCCACCCAUAAUCAUUGAACUAGUAGAAAAUUUCCCCAACAACAAGGCAAUCAUAGAAUCAUUUGCAGCACAGUUAUCAGCAGUUACAGAGGACAAUUUUCUAUCUAUAUUCCAAUCCAUCAAACAAUCAUAUAACUCAUUACACAUUACCUCAGCACUAUGUGGAGCUGGCACAUAUAUAAACCUAAUAAUGUGAAAAAAUAAUUAAAAUAUUAGACAGGACAUUAAUUUAUGCUUAAACCAGAAAAAAAAGUUUCAAGAAUAUUACCUCAUAAUACGACUUCGCAACACCCAUGAACUAUCAAUGUAAUGUGCCGUAAUAACCAUGUAUCCUUUUUUUUGGUUACUAGCAGUCCACAUAUCAGUAGUAAUUGCGAUUCUACUCUCACAAGCUUCCAAAAUACCCAUUGUCUUUUUCUUUUCAACAUCAUAAAGCCUCAAAAUUUCAGCUUUGAUGGUGUUUCUACUAAUAGUCUCAAUAGAAGGUUGGAGUAGCUUCAACAAGUCAUAAAACCCAACAUACUCAACAAAUGCCAAUGGGAGCUCAUGUAAUACAAUCAUUCUAGCUAUAAAAAGCUUUACUGUAGCCAUAUCCCAUUUUGACUCAGAACUAAAAUUACUAAGUGAAGUGCUUCCAUCAACUUUAGAAGAAAAGGAUAGGUGCAUUUGCUGUACAUUCUUAAAUGACCUUCUAGGACAACGUUUAGCAUGGUUUAUUAAGUGAUUAGUACCCCUCGAAUAAUGUCCUUGCAUAACUAACCCACAGUAAUUGCAAAUUGCCUGAACUUCCUCACCCAACUUAACUUUUUUGAAAUGAUUCCAAGCAUCAGAGACUACUCUACCACCACUAUCUCGUUUUUGUGAAGUGACAGAAUUAGUAUUACCCCUACGGCCACGGCUACGGCCACGACUAUUCCCCUGAACUGCUGCUGUUGAAUUUGGUUCUAAUUCAACAGCUGUAUCGUUAUUAUUUUCUAAUUCUGUCCUAACUCUCACACAAACACUUUCAUCACUUUUUUCAGAGGCGUCCAAGUCGAUUCUUUGUUCAUUUUCCAUAUCAAAUUUUCACUCUACAAAAAUUAUGUCAAGAUAUAAUUAAUUCCAGCAACUUCUUCCAAUUUAUAUGCUAUGUUUAACCGUAAAAGCUAUAAAUAAUAUUUUAGAGAUACCAUUUCUAUUCUAUUAACAGCAACAAUAAAAAUAAUUCAAAAAAUAAACUAUAAAUAAUAAAAUUGAAGCAUAACAAAGUAUAGAUACUAAAAAUCACAGAGUUUAGCUAUUAAAGUCACAAAGUAUAGAUAUUAAAAUUACAAAGAGAGCAAAACAGAACACAGAACACAGAGCACAGAACACAGAACAUAUUUGAUUUGAAAACUCAAUGUUAAUGGGUCUUUUAAGCAAAGGUAUGUUAUCAAGUUUUUAUGCAACCUUAGAGAUAGCUAGUAUAUUUAAUCUAUCUCUACAGAAUUCUGAUACAGAUUAGUAUGAUUUACUGUGUUAACCGAUAUUAGACUUCUUUUGCAGACUCAAAAAAGUGCCUGCGACAAAUUUGCAGAUAUCCUAAACAAUUCUUACUGCAUUGGCAGAUUAUUCUAAAUUUCUAAUCGAGGAAAAGGAUCAGGAGUGUACAAUACUAACUGGAAAGAGUCAUUACUCUUCAAGCAACUCAGUAUACACAAGUAGUAAAAGCACAGGACAAGGUCGAACCCAAUUUCAGUGAGAGAAAGCAGAAGCAAGCCAAACAGAGUAUUAAUGCUAGUCAGGCUCAGAACUACCAUUCAUGCAGCUAGCCAUAGGCAGCAGCCCUUUGGCUAAUUAUACUUCAAAUUCAAUUCUAAGCUUACUCACUAACCAACUCUUAAUGCACAAAACCAACAAUACGCGGCAGAAGAAAAAUGGCAACUGUUCUGUUUUAGACAACAAUUUCUCCUUGUGCCAGAAAAACAAAGAACAAAAAGAGGCAAAUAAUUCAGAAAAACAAAAAGCUUAUAAUUAGUCAAGUGCUCUCAUAUGUCAUAUACAAAGAAAACAAUGUAUGAGGAAAAAUCAAAUUGUGCCAGCAGCAAUACAAGCUCAAAGCAUAACAGCACAAAAAUUGCAAAGAGGGAAAAUCAAAGUGUAAUAGAGCAUAAAUUGUAAAGAGAAAAGCCGAGACUCACAAAUAUUCACAGCGGCAACUGAAGUAUAUGCUGAUGAACACAGAACACAGCAGCGAGACUGAGGUGGAUUUCAACCCCUUUUGCUGGCCGCGACAGAGUGAGAGAUCAGACGAGUGAUGAAACGAACAAAGCCUCGCCGUGAAGGUGAUGACAAGCCACGACGCGAAGGAUCUGAUCUGAUCUGAAGAAGAGAUUACAGGAGAGUUGCAGAGAGAGUGAGAGAGAUUAAGUGACGAUGGAGGACUGAGAUGAGCAAUGAGUCACGGCUCACGGGUGAGAGAGAUUGAGAGAGGAACGGAUUACGGUUUACGGAUGAGACUUGAGAGAUUGAAAGGAGAAAUUACAGAUUUACAGUAAUUUUUUUUAGGUUGAAGGAGAAAUUUCGAGAGAGGAUUAGAGGAACGAGACGAGAGAGAUCUAGAUUCUAGGGUUCACUUUUGUUUUCGUUUUUUUUUUUUCUAUUUAUAAUUACGGAUUUACGGAUCAAAAUUAAUAUUAAAAUAAAUAAUAUCCGGGUCCGGGUUCCGGAUUUGCGGGUUCACCUGAAACCGGAUCCGGACCGGAAAAAUGCGGGUUGUCAAAAACUGAUCCGGAUUCCGGAUAAAAACUAUGCCGGUGCGGGUUGAACCCGGACCGGAUUUUCCGGGUUCAAUCCGGGUCCGAUCCGGGUCCGGGUUUGAUUGCCACCCCUAUGCACAAUUUAAGGGGUUUGUGACAUGGGUUUAAACAUGAUUUAACAAGUGCCACCUGUGAAUUGUCAGAGAUUGUAUUUUCAUACACAUGUCAAAUUUUCAAGUCCAACAAAUUGUUAUCUUUCUAAAGAGGCUAAUAUUAUUAUUAUCUAUGCAUAGCAUGCUAGAAACAAUUCAUAUUACUAGGGCCUUUGUUUUCUGUAAACAACAUAUGGACAGAGGAACAAAUCCCUGAGCUAAAAUCAUCAUAUUCCAAAAUAUUCUAUUAAAUCAACACCACAAAACGCGAACGCUAAACAGAAUUGGAGCAAUUUACCAAAGCUAUUUGUCACGCAAAGCACUAGUACCUCAGAACCCAAUUUGCAAAACAGCACCAAAAAUGAAAAAUAACAAAUGCCCAGAUGAAAUAUCAGGAAAAAAAAGGCUCAAAUCCAAAUUACAACCCCAUAAGCUGAAUCGUUCUCUUCGAACUGAAUUAAAAAAAAUUAAAAAAAUUAAAUAGGGAGAUUGACCUCAAACUUUGGAAACAGGAGCGACAGCGAUCUGUUUCUUGUCUGGAGUGUCCAUUUCUAUAAUCUACAUUGUCCAUUUUCAGUCGCUCUGCCACAGAGCUUCUUCCCUCUGAAGCUGAAGCUCACACACACUUGCAAAACGAAAGCAUUUUUAGUGAUUGAGAGGCGGGAAGGCGGGAAAAUGAGAGAAAUUUACAUUUGUUUUCUCUUGGUUUGGUCAUACCUGUGCGGGCCCCAGCUUGACAAGCGGUAUUAUUACUAUUUGUAUAAUUUAAAUGACGCGUGUCAGGCAAUGACGAUAAAAAAUAUAUACAUAUAUUGUUAAUUUUUCACUUAACAUUAAAAUAUCAUAUAAUUUUUCCAAUUUUAUGGUUAUUUUCUCGCCCUUAUGCCACAUUCUUUUGAUCAAAUAAUACAGUAAAACUUUUCUAUAAUCAUAAUAUUAGAGCCAAAUUAAAUUUGUUUCUGUAAAGAGGCUAUAGCUUAAUAAAGGUAAAAUUAUAAAAAUUAUUAUUUUGACUCAGUUAUCUUUAGUGCAAGUGAUAUAAAGUACAGAUAUAUGAUAAUUAAUUAAUGAACUAUGUCAAAUACAAUAUGCUGACAAUGAUAAAAAAGAUAGACAUAAUUUCAAGAAACUAAUACAUAUAUUUAUGUAGUGCUGGGAUUAUACAAAAUUAUCUUAAAAGUGUAAAGAUUAAAGUACUAUUAUGAUUAAUUUAAAAAAAUUAUUUUAUCUUAAUCUUUAAUGCAACAUAGUUUUUUUUUUUCUUAGCAACAAAGCAUUGUUCCAAAUAAUUAUUAUUGGAUUCAAAUCAUGUCCUAGGCAUUUUUUCUUCUGGUCGUCUUAAACUUUUAAUGAUUUAUUGGCAUGUGUCAUUAAUGAAAUUAAAUAACUAAGACUUUGUUUUAAUUAACGUUUACAUAAAUAGACAUCAAAACUCACGUGUGAUUCUUAUCAAUUUUUUUCCUGCAAUUUUUUUCCUCUCAACUAUUCAUAUUUUGACAUUAAUUUCCAGCAAAUUAUUAAAAAAGAAGAAGCGUAAAAUGGAGAAAAGUGAUUGACAACAAGGUUUGCAUCUUAAUUUCAAAAUUUUCCUUUCUUUGCUAUUUUUGUGGGUUCUACAAUUGUUGUUUUCACUCUCAGCUGCAGUUCAAUGAACUCUAUUAAUAACCAUGAAGCUUAAUGUAUCAAUUCCAGUACGACAAGUCCUUCUACGCAUGUUACAACACUUUUUUGUCAUUAUAGGUUGCAAAUGUUCCGUAAUGUACUCAUUCAUAUAACGGAAACGCUAUUAUCAAUAAUGAAAGUUGACUAAGUUUGUAAAUUCUAUUUAACGAAAAAGUAUCAUAAAUUUAGUUGAACAAGAGGUAAUUAAUAUGUAAUCUAUGAAACUAGGGUGUGACUAAGUUACAUAGUAAUGUAACUUACAUGAACACAAAAAUAAUUAGUUUUUAAACUACAAGUAGCUUUGAAACAGCUCUUAAAUUGAUAUAAGUUCUAUUAUUAUGUAACUUAGCAAGGUCAGAUAUUUUAAUAAUAGCUUACUCUACCGUGCCAAUGUCAUUAGUAUUAAUCUGUUGAACCUAAGACCAGAUCUAAGCUGAUCUAGAUUCCCCAAGAUCGCACACCACACAGUGAUUAAUGAAUCAAGAACAAUAAACCAUCAAAGAAUCGCAAACUUACAUGUCGGGUUACAUGUAAUAAAUGUUUUAAUUAUUAGAUGAUUCAUAAUGUUAGACCAUUUUUUGUAUGUUUUGUAAUCUACGUUUGAUAAUUUAAUUAGCUGAUAAACACUUGAAUAAUAUUAUUUUAUUAACUAUGUCAUUGAUCCCCAGGAAAAAAAAAAAAACCAAUUUGGGAUGUUAUACAUUGCUUUUUCAUUAAUUCCCAUUUUAUAUUAAUAUUUAUCACAUAUAUUCUUAGUAACUUGUAACCCUUUUUGCUAAGGGUGAAAUGUGUUUGUUACCCCUUCUAUUUCUGAGAUUGUCCUUACAAUAAGGAUGCCGGCCCCAAUGUCAAAAACUGCUAUCUCUGGGUGUAAAUUCCUUAUAAAAUUCUUUUUUAAUUGAAAUUACUUAAAUAAUUGAAGAUAAAUUAAUUUUUUAUUUCAUUCAAAUAAAAAAAAUCAAUUAAACACUUAAAUAAGCUAUCCUUUUAAUUUUUUUUUUACACCCCUCCAGUUUCAUAAUUUAUAUUUAUAAUUUAAAUUUUAAUGGAAAAUAUUUUUUUGAAAAAUUUUAAGAAUUAAGAAUUAUGGGGAUAAAAAUUAUGUAAUAAGAACAAAAUAAUUUAAAAUUUUAAAAUUUGCAUGCAUUAUAAACAAAAACUUGAAAGAAAUACUCUUUUCAGGGUGAAAUUUAAUGAGAAAAAGAUUAAUUUUAAUUUAUGAAUUAGUAUUUUAUAAGUUAAACUGAGGUAUUUCAAGAAAUAGAAUUCAAAAGGCAUGGGAACGAGGGCCUUGGGUUUCAUUUUGUUUUGUAGGAAUUGGGAAAAAUACACGGACAGACAAAGGGAGCAGUCAUUAUAAUGCUGUGAAGCUGGUCGGAGAUACCCUGCCCAUUUGUAGCUUAGACUCCUGGGGUUUUGUUCAUGUCUUUUAUGUAUCCCACUUUUUCAUGCAGCAGAUGUACAUAUGAUGAGAUGAAAACAACAGCAAAAAUUGCUGUCUCAUAAGAGAAAUAGUCAUACAUAGUUGGUUAGGCCUCCUGUCCAUUAACUUAAUAAUGAAUUUUAUGAAAAUUGAUUAUCUCAUUGGAAUUACAUAGAUAUUGGAAAACAUUACUCCAGCCCCACCAUCCCAACCAUUUACUUAGUUCAUCAGUAAAAGCUGGAUUUUCCAUUUGUUCUUGAGAUUCAAAUUAAGGCAACAAGUUGCUCAUUCUAUAUUAUCUAUGUAAUCCUGUAAAAGUGAAGGGCGUUUAGAUGUGGAAAAACCUUACUCCUGCCGCAACACCUCAAACAGAUUGUGAUCAGACAAGACUUAGUUCAUCAUUAGCGGUAGUUGGAGCUUCCAUUUGUUCUAGAGAUUCAAAGGCAGCAAGCUGCUUCCUCAGUGCUACUAAUUCUUCCCCGGCAUUGCAUAUGUAGCCUGAGGCUCGUCUGCCAGACAAAGUUGCUCCUUCCAUACUAUCUAUGUAAUCCUGUGAGAGUGAAACCAUUUAGAAGACAUCUCUUUUUUUUUUUCAAUAUUUGGAAUGAAACAAUUAUAUACAGUUACCUGUUUUGUAUAUGAGCUGGCGAGGAAGAAGUUCUUCAUUGGUAUCUUUUGAUCAGGUCUGAAGGGGUCUUUACCAGGUCCCUCACCUCACAAAGAUUGCCGGAUUUUGACGACAGAUAACCAAAUAACUUCUAAACCUUGGGAUGAUGGAAUUAGAGCUAAAACCUAAUAAAAGGAACCGUGAAUGGAUAGUAUGGAUUCAUGUAUAUUAUCCAGAAAGUUGCAUGACCGUUUGUGGUACUCAGGUCACUAAAAAACGUGAGAUAAACAUCUAGGAUAAGAAAAGCAAAAAAGCGUAACCUAAUAUGUAUUAUAUGAAUUGAAGGUGUCACUGAACACUACUAACCUGCUUUGCCACUCUCCUUAUGAUUUCAUCAUUUGGUAAGGGCAUAUAAGGAUCUCCAGGCGUCAAAACGCAUCUGAAAGAUAAUAUGGUUAUAGGAAGCAAGAUGGAAUACAAAGACACUUGGCAAAAGGAAGUCAAUCAGAUUCCAUGCACAAAAAAUAACUAAAAAUGACGAGGAUAAGAAAUGUUUCUUACUGGAGAAAUGAACCUUGCCCUUCUCUGUAGUAGUAUUCUGGUGAAGUGAGUGCUAGAUCUGCAAAGCAAGAGAAAUCUGCAUCUGGAGUAUAUAAAAGGUUAUCUAACCCCACAGCUUGCCUCAAUUGCCUACAUGUUCAAUACAAGGAUCCGUUAAAAAAUGGAAAUUUCUUCAAUGCAUUAGUAAAGGGGAGUGAAGUGAAAGCUGAUUUCUUAGGCCUUCACAGAGCAUCUUGUGUUUGACAGCAAGCAUUAAAGAAUAAACUCAAAGUCAAUGCUUCUAACAGAUGAUAUAAACAACAAAUUUACAAAUAUCAGGUCAUUGCAUUAGCUCCAUGCCUCCGUCAGAGCGAACAUUAAUAGAUGCGUAAAAAAUAAAUAAGAGCGAUAUGUGAAACAAUUUACCUUAGACAUGGCAAGUCCUUUGACAAAUGUUUCCCCGUUAGCAGAUUUAUCAUAAUGCAUCUCUCUGCAUCCCCACCUAAGAUGGAACCUGUUCUCACAAGAACAGAUUCCAAGGUUGGGAAAAUCAAUUGAUCAUCGGAGAAAACAAACAGGAUUAACAAAUCACUACAAUGGUGUGAACCUGUAAAUACAAACGUACCUGCCCCCUUUAUCUGUGAUAUAUUUUCUUAUUGGCCCACUCAAAUAAACAUCCGGAGAACCCUUGAGCAUCUGCAAUAGGGAAGCCUCGGUCUUAGUUGCAAACAGUGCAAAUAUAGUAUGCAUACAACGAGCAAUGAUGUUAUCACAAUCAAUAAACCCAAGGGCAAACGCAACAGGAUCUUACAUUCUUUGGAUACUCAUCCAUGUACCACCCUUGGACAAAAACCAAUCAGAGAAGCUUAUCUGUAAGAAGAAAUGAAGUUUGAGGUAAAAUAAAAAUUUGUAGGAACAGGGAUUGAAAUUCAACAAACAAGAAAAUAUGUUGUUUGUUGAAAUUCAACAAACAACAAACAAGGCUCCAUCAGGAUCAAGAAGUGCCUUUACAACAGGACUCAGCGCAAGAGCAAUAGCAUUUCUUGAUUUAUCAUAAGUCUGCACUUGAGCAAUAUACGAGGCAAAGUACAUCAAAAGAGAAUCCAAAAGAGGCAAGAAGCUUCAACAUGAAAAAAGGAGUACUGCCUCGUCAUACUGCUUUGCAAUCACAGUGCAAAAGAUAACAUCAACAAAAUCAAAAUCGAGCAUAAAUCCGUAUGCACUACCUUAAGCUGAUUUGUAGACAAAAAUGCACGAAUCCCAUGUAAUGGAGCUCCAAUCGGAAACCGGAAAUCAAGUUCUGGAGUUGAAAAUCAAAAUCAUGAAUCAAAUCAGAGUUAUUAUUGAAUUAGACAAUCCAUAAACCAAUAGAAGGUGAUGUCAAACCAUCAAGCAUAACUAUUAGUUGUUUUAAGUGAUCAAGAAAUAACUGUACCACCAAUUUCACCACCCUUAUUUACAAAUUUAUGAGUAUGAUCCUUCAUGAGUAAAUUUUCGUCCGCACCGACCUGUCGACAUCCAUGAAAAACUAUCAGAUCAUAAACACAUGUUCCAGUUAAAGAGGAUCUAUGAUUCUGAUCCAUCAUGUUAUUUGAACAACAUUUUCGGAUUUUCUUACAACCCUAAGCUAUUAUCAGUUAUCAUCGCUACAAAUGAUAUGGUCAAGAGGAAUGAUAGUUCUUGUUUCAAGAAUCUCAAAUCGUAAUUCUUUUGCAUGGCUUCUGUGCUUUUAUAAUCAUUCAAACACGCAUAUCCACAACUAAGCAAGCUUUACCUUUUUUGUCAAUCGGAACAGAUUAUUGCAGCAUCCAAAGAAAAUGUGCAGGCUGAUUUCAAUAUGGUUUCCAUGUUUACCGACAAAUGAAGCCACUUUACCACCAAUAAAAGACCUCAACUCAUAUAUAUCCACCUGGAAGAAAGGAAAAUUUAAAAAAAAGGAACUUCUAAUUUCUUUCACCAUCAACAAAAUCAGAAAAACACAUACUAAUUCAAAAUGAAAUAAAGUUUGUGAAUUGAAAUAAUGCCAACUCCUAAGAAAAAUUAUGACUGCUGAUAUUUUUUCCGAAAUGCUGAUAAAAGCUUCUGCUAUUUACUUUGAAAAAAUUGAGGUUAGAAGCCUAUUUACUUGAAAUUUUGAGUUUAGGCAAGAGGAUGAAUGGUAAAAGUGAAACAUUUUAGGGAAAAAUGUACGUCAGUGGCCAAUGAAAGCAUUAAGAAGAUUGAAAUCUAAAUGAGCAAAACCUCAUGGCCUUGAUCCAACAAUUCCACUGCUGUUGACAUGCCUGCAAGCCCAGCUCCAAUAAUAGCCACUUUCAGCUUUGGUCCUCUAUAAUGUUCCGGUUCUGGUGGAAACAAUUAAACAAACCCUUGGGAGCUGCCAAGUAUACCAUCCAAUUAUCCACAGCGAUAAUGGAAAUAUAUAUGUGUUUGAAAGUACUAAAUUCCUAAACAUGACAUGUAUCCAAAAAGUGACGCAAAGCAGAAUUGCGGAAGCAUUUCAAUUCCCAAUAAAUUUCAAGAAUACAAAAUACUCGGUCUGUUCUUUCAAUUCCUUCAAUAAAAUUUCCACUAGAGGCUACGCAAGCCACUCAAUAACACUCCAAAGCCAGAUUUUAAACGUUAUCUUUAUCUUUAACUCCAAUCCAUAAACAAUUCUGCCACAAAUUCAAUCCAAAAUUGUUCAAGUGCACCGCCAAUUCUCCAUCAAUUCCCUCAAAAAUUCAUAAUUGGCAAACACUACAAACCCAAAAGAGCUUCCAGCAAUAAACGCAUAAAAAUCCACCAAGCAACAUAAAACAAAAUACCCAGAAACCAGAAAAGCCAAAAGAUCAAUGCUUGGCAAACAAGCAAAUCAAAUAAAACAAAAAGAAGUGGAAUUUACCCUUAACGCUCAUAUCAGAAACAUUAGUGUCCAAAGAAGCCCGUACACGGAAUCUUGGACCCUUCACUUGAACCCGAGACCAUCUAACGCCAGUAACUGAAGUUGCAGGAAACAGAACUGAAGAACCCAUAUUGCAAAUCCUGAGCUGAAAUCAAAGAAAUUCAAUUGGAACUCAAUUCAGCUCAACCGAGCGGAGCUCUCUUUUGCUUCAAUAACAAAGUGUUUUUCUUUCAUAUCAACAAAGAUUUGUCAACAUCAACAAAAUUUAACUAAGAAUCUAACAAGAUGCUAAGGAAGAGAGUUUUGUCAGGGAACUGUUUCGGUGUGGUUGGCCAAGUGCUUCUUUGUUUGUUUUUUUUUUUUUCUUUUUUUGCCCUUUUCAUUAAUACACAACAGUAGUACUCGUGAAGAGCACAAAAUGUUGGUGACUUUGUCACUAACGAUACCAAAGUGGAGUGACCAGAGCAACCAACUAAAUUUUAAAGAGAGGGAAUGAUAAGUAAUAUUUUCUUUGGGUGAUUAAUUAAUUUAUUAUCAAAUAAUUUUAUUUAUUUAUUUAAACGACAUCCUUAUCUUUGUACAAGGCAGCUGAAAGAUGACGAUGUUGUGUUGUCACAUAUUUUUGGGCCGACCGUUUCUUGUUUCGGCUUAAAUGAGGCUUUUGUAAUUUUGUACUAAAAAGUGGCAUUGGCUGGAUGGCCAAACUGCAGAGUUCAAGUCUACAAUAGAGAAUCGAAAUUUACCUUUGUAAAUGUUCAUAAGUAUUUACCACAGAUUUUUAAGUUAUUCUUGAUAGAUCCCCUACCACAUACGCUAUAAUAUUUCUCUCCUUUUAAUUUAAAAGUAAAUCAUGCAUAAUAACGGGUUUGUAAAGAAAUGAAAUUUCUGUUAAUUAACUGUCAAAAAAAAAAAGAUGGAUUAAGCUAAAGAAGUUAUUAUAGAGUAAGUCGAGUACUUGACAAUCAAAGUAAUUUUACUCGAGGUUGAGUAAGGAUAGUACGAUACUUUCUCAAGUUUUCUGAGGACAUUCAUGUGACAUUGGACUAUUGACUAUAGUUAGAGAGAAGUCCAAGGAUGUAAGUGAUGAUGAUAGAUUCACAAUUCUUUUGAAGAAAAUAUUUUAUAUAAACUUAAUUAUAUGGUAUAAAAUGAUUGGCCUCAAUAAAUUAAAAAAUAAUACACGCCUGGAUCAUGCAAUAUUUUCAACCAAAUAAUUUACACGCAAAAUUAAACUUUAUGAGUACAUUUAUUUGCUAGCAGAAACUCUGCCAAAUUUUCCGAAAUGUGAAAGUGAACACUUUUAACAACGGCACAAAAUGCAUGUGAUAAGUUUUUGUUAGAAUUUGUUUUCUUCUUUGUUUUGAUUUACGCGACAGAUAGUUGUAAAGCGUAAAAUUUUAAAAUCCGCAACAAAACAAAAACUUACAUGGGUUGGCCGCACCUUUCGUGCCUGCUUUCGUCUAAUAGUAUUUGAUACGUACAUCAAUAUAAUAUCAUGGACAUUGAAUUUCAAAUUAACAGUUGGUUUUAUAAUAAAAAUCUUUAUGUUAUAUUACGUACAUCAAUAUAAUAUAAAUUUGUUAUAUAUAUUUUUUUUUCUGUAACCAAUGCUUUCAAAAACUUUAUAUUUGUAUGUUUGAACAAUUUUUUUUUGCAUUCUAUUUAUAUACGGUAUCAUUUAUGUUUACAUAAAUUUUCAUAUCUACCCAAAUUAAGUAUUAAAUACACAGACACUUUGUUAAGACUCGUGUAAUAAUUAAUCUUAAUAAUUUCUUAUACAAAUACAAUCCUUUAUCUAAGACCAGCAACGUCACUCAUCAUAAUUUUUCACCAAAUAUUGUAAAGUUGUUGUAGUAGUAUAGUUAUCAUGGACAUUGAAUUUCUAGUAUCAGACAAUGAUAUUAUAUUGAAUGUAGUGCUUCAAUGAAUUUUAUUACUAUAUACUAAAAUACUCAACGAUCUUCAUUAAAAAAAAAAAAAAUUGCAUGAUUAGAAUGAUUAAAGUUCAUUUAAUGACGAGUUUCAUCAUUGACUGUGUCGAAACACAACAGCAAUCCACAAUACACUUAACACGACAAUCAUGCAUGAAUCUUCCACCAUUAAACCUGAAAUCAUAAAAUGAAAGAAACAAGAUGAGGGUUGUUUUACCGUCUAAAAGCCGAUUCGAAAUACUAAUAAUAAUAAUAAUAAUAGACCUUUGUUAAUAGUUACUACUAGUGGUCACUGCCUUGUCCAUCUUCCUUCUCUGUAUCAUCGUCCUCUUCCAAGCCGCUGUCAUCUGACCAAACCCCAGCAACCAUCCUGGGAAAACUCGCCUCCUUGUUUUAGGAGCAGGAGCAGGAGCAGGAGGAGGAAAUUAAGUUAGGGAUUUGGAGUGAGAGUGAAGGUGGAGAAAAAGCAAGAGAGCGAAAAAGCUGAUUGUUGAGAAAUAUAUACCUUUCGUAUGGUUGUGUUAAGGUCGUCCUUCCAAUCCCAACAUGCUUCACCCAGCCGCUGCACUUUGUGUAAUUUGGGUGUACUUAAUUUUCCUGCAGAGAAAAUCUUCAUAUCGGGGCAAUCAUCCACCACUAAUCUUUCCAAAGAUAGGAAAUUGAAAGCACAAUUGCCAGAGCAGAAGCUUGUCAGACUUUUUAAGUGUAAAAGCUUCAACUCUUUCAAUUCUCUGAAAGUAAUAACCUCAUCUUUUGCUACAACAUCAUCCACCAGUACUAUUUCUGUUAAACCUGAAAUCAUAAAAUGAAAGAAACAAGAUGAGGGUUGUUUUACCGUCUAAAAGCCGAUUCGAAAUACUAAUAAUAAUAAUAAUAAUAGACCUUUGUUAAUAGUUACUACUAGUGGUCACUGCCUUGUCCAUCUUCCUUCUCUGUAUCAUCGUCCUCUUCCAAGCCGCUGUCAUCUGACCAAAAACUCGCCUACUUCUUUUAGGAGCAGGAGCAGGAGGAGGAAAUUGAGUUAGGGAUUUGGAGUGAGAGUGAAAGUGGAGAAAAAACAAGAGAGGAAAAAAGCUAAUUGUUGAGAAAUAUAUACCUUUCGUAUGGUUGUGUUAAGGUCGUCCUUCCAAUCCCAACAUGCUUCACCCCGCCGCUGCACUUUGUGUAAUUUGGGUGUACUUAAUUUUCCUUCAGAGAAAAUCUUCAUAUUGGGGCAAUUAUCCACCACUAAUCUUUCCAAAAAUGGGAACUUGAAAGCACAAUUGCCAGAGCAGAAGCUUGUCAGGUUUUUUAAGUGUAAAAGCUUCAACUCCUUCAAUUCUCUGAAAGUAAUAACCUCCUCUUGUGCUACAACAUCAUCCACCAGUACUAUUUCUGUUAUCUCAUCGCAUGAUUCUAUCUCCAUAUAUCUAAGUCGCACCAGAGUCUUUGCAAUUGAGGGUGUUAAUACGAUUUUCAAGCCUUCGCAACACGAUACCACCAGAUUUGCAAGAUUCUGAAAGGAUGUCGAGGAUGGCACUAGAUUGACCAAACGGUCACACCCCAUUACACGUAGAAUAACCAAGUUGUUCGUAACAGAGGACUCCUCUAUCAAAAUGUGUUCCAGUGGAUAUUUUGCUUCUCUUAUUUCUACCCCCAUCCCAUUUUCAACCUUCUCAUACAGCAACCAAGCACCAUAUCCUCCUAUUUGGAGGACUUUCAUCGUGUGAAGUCUCUGGAGGAAGUCAAAAAGUGAUAAAAUAGUCCGCUCAUCACCCAAUGUCACAUAAAGAUAUUUUAGUUUGCAAAGCAAGCCUUCAGAAAAUAGAUAUUUAUUUGUUACUAAGUGCUCUGCAUCAAUAUCCAACUCUUCCAAAUUAGGGAAUACCUGGGAGAUCAAUCAGAACCCCAAAAAAAAAAAAAAAAUACAAGAUGAAUCAAUUGAUGAGAAAUAUAAGUUACCACUAAUUUAUAAAAUAUAUUUUAUUCAAUAAAUCUUAACCUUAAAAAAAAUAGUAAUAAUAAUACGCCUAACAUCUAGAAUAAUUAUGAAUGAAUAAAAUUCACAGUACAUACUUAAGAAUUGAAAAUUUGAUUAUAAAAUUCUUGUACGUACCCUUUCCGUCAAGAUAUUAGUAGUUCUUUUGUAUCUCGCCAUGAAUUCAGGACAUCCAGAUAUCAUUAAUUCUUUCAAGGAUGGAAAUUCAAGAAUAUCAAGAUCUCCAGUGCAGAAGCUUGUGAACUUUUCAAGACCAGACAUCCUCAGAUAUUGCAACUGGGGAAACGUUACAAUAUUAUUCUUCAUUUCUUCUUGGUUGUCCACGACUAUUAACUCUUCCAGGACAGGACAUCCGGCUAUCUCAAUGCUUUGGAGUCGAACAAAGCUACUAACAGUAGAAGAUGAAAAUAGACAUCUUAAAUUCAUACAUCGGUGCAGGGUCAAGCGCGUUAAAUUCUGAAUACCACAAGACAUGACUGUAACUUGGAUCGGCCAAAUCCUCUCAACAUUUAUUGAAUCCAACGUCAACUUCUCUAACUCUGGUAACCGAUCCUGCUCGAUCAAAAAAUUAACUUGUUAAUUGCAAGUAAACGAUCAUUGAUUAUAAAAUUCUUGUACGUACCCUUUCUGUCAAGAUAUUAGUAGUUCUUUUGUAUCUCGCCAUGAAUUCAUGACAUGCAGAUAUCCAUAAUUCUUUCAAGGAUGGAAAUUCAAGAAUAUCAAGAUCUCCAGUGCAGAAGCUUGUGAACUUUUCAAGAUGAGACAUCUUCAGAUAUUGCAACUGGGGAAACGUUACAAUAUUAUUCUUCAUUUCUUCUUGGUUGUCCACGACUAUUAACUCUUCCAAGACAGGACAUCUGACUAUCCCAAUGCGUUGGAGUCGAACCAAGCUACUAACAGUAGCAGAUGAAAAUAGACAUCUUAAAUUCUCACAGUCCCACAAGGUCAAGUGUGUUAAAUUCUGAAUACCACAAGACAUGACUGUAACUUGGUUUUGCCAAAUCCUCUCAACAUUUAUUGAAUGCAACUCCAACUUCUCUAACUCUGGUAACCGAACCUGCUCGAUCAAAAAAUUAACUCGUUAAUUACAAGCAACAAUGAUUUCUGUUGAUGGACAAAUCAAUAAAAUUACUCUUUCUCUGGUUAUAGUUCUUUUCAGUUUUUCAUACAAACAACCGUUAAUCAAGUUUUCCAAAUUAUUCCUUACUAAAUGUAUAGAUUUAGACGGCGGCUAAUAUAAUUCAUAUUGUAAAUAUUCUUUGAUUGUAACGAAUUUUGUAAUAUUAAAUUUUGGUUGAUUCGCAAUAGGACCUACAAUCCAGCGCGAGCAGUUCUCGGGGAUUUAACUACUGGCACCUCGAUUAUAUAAAAAUUUGGAAUAUUUUCAAAGGAAAUCACAUAAUUCCCCCUUGCAAAUAGUAAUUAUCAUCAAUUGCCGCGGGUUCACAUAUAAUUCUAAGAAAUUAGGCGAGAAGAGUCUCAUCAACAAUCAAUCAGCAGAUAUCACGUUUGGCAGAUCAUCAUGAUUUCCUCAGAUGCUAGAGAAUCAACGUGAUUUCCGCUCAUGCAGGAGUGGACACAUUAUCUUAGAGCAUCCCUCACUGAGAUCUUUUAAAAAAUUUAUAUUAUAAAGUGAACAACAUAUUUAGUAUAGAUUUAGACGACGGCUAAUAUAAUUUAUAUGUAUUCUAAUGACGUAUAUUAAAGAAAAUGACUAACCAUAAUUUCAAUCAACUUAUUAUUCUAUAUAUAUAUAUAAUAUUCAGUGAUUACAACAUAUUUAGUAUUCCAUAACAUGAUGUUUAUAAUAAUAAUUAUUAUUAAUUCACUUAUUGUGUCAAGAACCUUUUCUUUCUCUAAGAAUGAAUUUGUUACACCCUACUAUACUACGGAUGAAAAAUUUAGAAUAAUUGUGAAAUAUAAUUAUUAAUCAAUCUUUGACAGAAUUGCUACCAAACAGGAAUAUAACAAAGAAAAAAAAACAAAAAUUAUAGAGAAUUAAUAAGACGAUUGACUUAUCAAUAACUGACCUUCUCAGUGAAAAGUGUAUUAGAAAUUUGGACAUUGUCCUCCAAAAUGAUUUCAUGUGACCGCAAAUCAUUAGCUGAUUCCUCCUGUCUCUGCUAACAUUGCAGGUGUAUUGAUUUUAGAGUGUAAGCUUAAUUGUGAGCACAACCUUAAUGCAUAGAUACAAGAUCUUUAAAAAUUAGUACAAUAAACUUAGCACUAAAUCUGAAUUUGAUAUUUUGGAUUCCAUGAUUAAGAUUUUUUUUAAAUGAAAAUUUAAUAGAGUUAAUUUAAAAAUAAAAAUUAAAUAUGAAAAAUUAGACUUGCAAUUAUGGAUUUAAUUUUGAUAAAUAAUGAAUGUUCUCUUAAUAUUUUUUUUUAAAAGGUAAAAGAGCGUACAAAGCCCAAAUUCAUUUUUUUAGUCCCUUACUGUCCCAUGAUUCAAACUUGGGUGGUUGUAGGAGGACUGAAAAUAUAUAAGACAGUUAACUUCACUUUUUUUUUUUUUUUUUUUUUGAGAGAAAAGAGAAGAAGGAUAUUACAAAGCAUGAAGCUCGUGCAAUAUAAGGGCAAUGAUGGUUUUUUCUUUAAAUUAAAAUGGUAAGAUUUUGAAGCUAAAAGAUUAAAAUAUUAAUUAAAUUGCAAACAUUAAAGAUUUUUUUUUUCAAAUGGUUGCUUUGAAAAUGAGAAUAAUAUUAAUAUUUGAAGACUUUUCAAAAUAAAUUACUGUGAUAGAUGCACUAGAAAUUUCUAGCUUUAGUCUAAUGUAUAAAUUGACAAAACGAUAUUAGAAUCCCAGGUGAAAAGAACCCUCUCAUACCAAUUAUUUAAAUUAGGAAUGAUCAUACCUCUGACUCUGCCGAACUGAGGGCGGGGUCUAAACCCCUCAUACGGAGACGCUUGAGAUGGGAAGAGCCCACUUUGACUAAUUCAUUACGAAUAUAAUCGACAUCUUGCUCUUGCAAUCCACGUAAUUCAAGGUCUUCAAUUCUCUGCAGUUGCACGAUCAGCGAAUCCUUCAAGCAAAUCUUGUCAUUGAGGUCGAGACUGAAUUCACGACACCAACUGCCGUUGCUCUCCUCAUCAUCUCCAAUGCGUAUGCUGUACCUUUCCAGCUUCUCCAAGAGCAGGCCUCUGGGCAGAGUGCUGACGUCAUAGACGUGUAAUUCCAAAGAGGUCAAGUUGGGCAAAUGCUUCAACUCCUCAAGGCUUGCAUUCUUAACCCCUCCCACCUCCAUCUCCCAGUAACGAAAGCUUUGAUCUAUAUAUAGUUCUUCUAAAUGUGAUAAUUUUGACAGUAUAUUUGGUGGAAUAACUUCUAGAUAGCAACAAUCCCUCAAAUCAAGCAACUUUAGCCAAGUCAAUUCACCUACUUGUACCGGCAACUUCUUAAUUGUAGAACCUCUUAAGCGAAGGAUUUCUAGUUUCUUCAAGUCUCCUACAACACUUAGAUCAGGCAAGCCGCAGUAACACAAACUCAGUGUUCGAAGGUUUGACAGGAGACCAAGUGAUGAAGGCAGUGACUGUAGAUACAUGUAAGUCAAGUUUACAACUCUGACCUCGAUCAUCCUCUCGAAAAAGUUGUUUGGAAUUGUUAAUGAUGAAGGUUCACGACCACCACCACGUAGAAAAAGAAUUUCGAGUUGAGGACAUUCCAGUACUUCAGGAAGCAAAUUAGUCUUGAUAUCAUGUAAGACGAUUGAAGUGCAAUGCUUUAUUGCACUUCCGUCUGACCAUUCCCUGCAACCAUCAACCUGCUCAUCUGUAGCAGUAAACACAUUUCGUUCAGUAGAUGCAAUUGAUAUGGCGACAUCGCGAACUACAUCAUGCAUAGAAAACAACUCUUCAUCCAAGAAGCUUUCAUGGUCAAGCAACAUACAAGAAGCUUUGAGUGUGCGCACCAAUGUAUGUACUCGAUUUCGUGCUUCUUCAAUCUUAUUCACACCUUGAAAUAAACCCAAUCCCAUACCACACAUUAACAAGUCAUCAAUAGAUGCUAUGGCUGUAUAUCCUAUUAGCAAAAAGAUGUUCUUGAGAUCAUCCCUUCCUAGUUUAUUGUAGCUCAACUCGAUAGCUUUAAAUGCGGCUGGCUGUACAUCCUUAAAAUUCGAUGAAGAAGGCCUUCUUAGCUGUUCCAAUGCAUCCUUCCAUUCACGUAUGCUCUUGCUCCUUAAUGCCCUUGCAACCGUCACAAUGGAAACUGGUAGACCUGCACAUUCCUUUGCCACAUUCCUUGCCACCUCUUCCAAUUCACUACCUUCAACAUAAUCACCUGCCAUCUUCUUGAAUAGACUCCAAGCUUCUUCUUCGUUUAAAACACCAACUGGGAAAUUUGUUCGACAAUCCAUCUUCUCAGACAAUACAUUUAGACUUCUGGCCGUCAACAAUACUUUACAACCAUCUCCAAGAGGAAUUCGGACAUUCCCCAAAUUAAGAUUUUCCCAAAUGUUGUCUAAAACUAUCAGGAUCUUCUUCACUUUUUUUAUACCUUCACAUAACCUGCCUGCCCUUCCUUCAUUACUUUCCUCAUGCAACUUCAGGCCUAAUUUAUCUGCGAUUACUCCUUGAAUCUUUCGUAUGUCUUGCUUCUGAGACACCUCCACAAAAACCACCUGAUCAAAGAGUUUGUCACUCUUGACUUUCCUAGCAACUUCUUCGGCCAGCGUCGUCUUUCCGAUUCCGCCCAUUCCAUAAAUCCCAAGCAUGUUGACAUCGCGAUCUUCUAGUGCACUGAGUAUACUCCUCAAAGUGGACAAUCUUGAUUCAAAGGGCUCGUAGUCUUUGUUAGGGAUAAGCCGAAUAUCCUCUGGAGCAGUACGGUAGGAAAUUCUAUCAAAUUUUCCAUCUCCUCGGACUUUGACAACAGCCUCCUUCUGCCUCCCUGCAUCCUUGCUAAGUUCACGGCGGGUCUUCAAAUUAGGACAUAAUCCCCCGAAACAACGCUCACUUGCAGUGGCUUUGUCUGUAACUUUCUCUGCCUCAACAAUGACAUUGUUCGCCCCUGCAAGCCAAUUCUCAACGUUCUCAUAAAUCUUUUCCCCGUUUAGUUCAGCCUCAUUAACCUGCCUCAACAAUGACUCCCUCUCAUACUUCAGAUUGUCAACUUCAGUCUUGAGAUUCUGUAAGUUGCUCGUGUACUUACUCUCACGCAAAUAGCUAAUUUCGCGAUAUGCGGGAGGAGCCAAGCACUUCACAACUUCCACAACAACAGUAAGAAUGAUUUCAGCCAUCUUCAAUCCUUUGUCCUUGUCUCUCUAUCUCUCUUUUUCUGAAGUUUUGAAAAACAAUUGACUAUUUGGGAAGCACACUGAGUGAUUGAACACAAGUGACCACAACAAGAUGGAACAAAAUAAAAAGGCAAAAAAAUACAAAGAGUGGAUGGAGAAUAAAACAGAGACAGCGGCACAGCUGGACACAACUAGAUAGAGAACAGAGGAAAACCAAAUAACAAGACUUAAGAUUACAACAAACAGAGGCCAAGUAUUGUUGAGAUCAGAAGACGGAAAAUUCAAAAGAGUUGAUGGCAGAUGCUGAAUAACAAGACAACAAUGAACGCAAUAAACAGAAGCAAAGUGUGUUUGUGAUCGACAGACGGAAGUAACGAAAGCGGUUGUUGAUUGAAAAUGAAUGAAUGCAAGGAAAGACUGAUAUUGAAAAUUGAUGUCAAUAGCGAAGGAAUAAUUGAACUUUCGCUUAAUUAUUGUUUGUGGCCUUCUUUUACUUUUUAUUUGUGGGUCAUGUCUUUUGGAACUAAUCAUCUUAGGUUAUCCCUUAUAGCUUUAAGGCCGGUAAACCGGUGUCCGUUGGAUUAGCAUAUAGAAAUCCAACGGUGGAUAUAUAUACUUGGAGAACAAAAUUCAAGAGCAAAGCGAGUGCUGGGCUGCAGUUUCUUAAGGAGAUUUAUAUGUCCUCCUCAAAAAUAAAUGUUUUAAGGUAGAUAUUUAGACUAUUUUAUCAUAAAAUAAAUGUAAUUAAUUUUCAAUAAAUAUCUUAUAUAAAUAUAUAUUUAUUUUUUUAAUUACUAAUGACCUUUAAAUAUACAUAUAUACAUAUCACUAAUUCAAAAAAUAAAUUGUGAUUAUUUGUUAAUGUAUGCGAUUACUUGUGAUGGUAAACAAAGUAGAUAUGGUAUAUUUUGAAGUUAAAUUAAAAAAAAAACAGAGCUUUUACCAUUACUUGCCUUAUCAUCUUUUAAAUUAGAAUUAUUAUUCUUUUAUUUUUCAAGUUGCCAACUCAUCCGCAUUCUUUUUUAUUGAAUUUGAAGAUCAAUGAUUAUAAAAUUGUGUAAAAAUUUUAAGUCAAAACUUUAAAUUAAAAUAAUCUUUAAAUUAUUGAGAAAUAAUAACUUAGUAUAACAAAUAUUAUAUCCUAUAAUAUGCAGAAGCUGAAGCAGCAAAUUGGGGGCUGGAAAUUGCAGAAAAUGCAGCAUGCAUCCCACUGAUUAUUGAAUCAGAUUGCCAAGACGUGGUGAAUUUAAUCACAAAAAAGAAGAGUAGCAAGGUGGAGAUUUUUUGGACUAUCUCGGAAGUUCAUGAAAGGCUGAAACGUCUGAACCAAGUCACUUGUCAACAUACCCCCAGAAGCUGUAAUAGUAUUGCUCAUACUUUAGCUGGUUUUGCUUUAAAAGUUGUGUAACCUACUAUUUGGUUGGAAACUUGCCCAACCCAUCUGCUGUACUUGUUCUCCUAGUUACACUUUCCUUUCAAAAAAAAAAAAUAUCCUAUACUUUAUUGCUACAAAAUUACGAAACCUUAUAUUAUAUUAUGUUUUCAUAUUUCUCCUUUAUAGUGAAGACCAUACUUCUUUUUUAAUAAAUGUUAAAGUAUUAACUUAAAUUUUUUAACCAACACAGUCGACCCUUAAGCUAUAUAUAUUAUAAUAUCCCUAUUCUCUCACAGAUUAAACCAAUCUGAUCUCAGAGUAAGUUGAUACCAUGAGUUUGCAUUUGCCAUCAAAGGAGCAUCAUUACUAAUUAAUAUAGAUUCGAUCAAUAGGCAUGAUAAUAAAUUUUUUUAUCUACAAACAUUAUUUUUGAAAAUAUUAUAUCUUUAAACUUAACUAAAUAUCUUUUAACCAUAUAUGUACAGUUUGUUUGAUGUCUUUUAAAUAGUGGAGAUUACAACAGAACAGAUGCGAAUUAGUAGUGACGCUUGAGUUCAGAAGAUUGAAGUUAAGAAAAUUAAGGAAAGGGUAAGGAUGUAUUUUCAAAGUGAAUUAUUGAGAGUUCAGAGAUCUUUGAAGAUUACUUCCGUCAAGAGCUGGGUCCCAUACUCUUAUGCCUUUGUCCUCCAAUCAACCAUAAGACAAAUUAUUAUUGAGUGUGAACAGACUUAUUAACCACCAAAUUUUCAAACUUGUGAUCCCUACUGAAUCUGCAUUCCCCUUUACAAAAGUAAAAAAAAAAAGGGCAAAUAACGAAACAAAAUUCUGUUCCUUGACUGCAAGUGCUGUCGGCAUUUUCAGACUUGGAAGACCCUUCUACUUGCAAGAUACCACUGAAUUUGUCUUUUUUUUUUAAUUACACUGUAUUAUCUUAUAUUUUAUAAAAAAAUUUAAUAAAUAUUAUAAAUUAUAAAUUUUUAUAUUUAAUAUUCUCAAGAUAAAUUAUCAAACAAAUGAUUCAUUUACUAUUUUUUCCUUUAAAUUUUUGUUAUUAAGAAGAUUUUUGGAUAUUGAACGUGAAGGGCUCAACUGAUCGCUAAUUUUACAGCAAUUGCCCUUUUCUUUCUCCCCAAAUUGUUUUGAAAAAUAUCCAGACUCAUUCAGCGAAGUAUCCGAGGCCAAAUGGCUAAAAGAUGGGACACCCACAUGUGCUUCUAAUUACAAAAUCUAAAGUUAGGGGACCAUAACGUACAUUUAAUAUAAUUUAUGAUAGGGGUCCGCCUAUGUUAUCACUGUACAACAGGUUUUGUCUUUUCUGACUCAAUUGCUGUAAACGUUUGCUGAGCCCCUUGUACUCGAUAUUAUUUACUAUUUAUUUAUAAGUAUUAUAAACAUUUCUGCUUACAUAUUAUAUAAAAAUUUAAUUUGUUUCCUUACACUCUUGUUCAUUUACUAUUUUUUUGUAGUAUCAAAAGAAUUUAUAUUUACAACCAUGAUAUAUUAAUUAUCAUACCACUCUAAUAUUAAUAAAAAGACAAAGACAUCCUUAAAUUAAAACAAAAAAAAAUACUUUCUUCUUUUGAGGAAUUACGGUAUCUCAUCUUCCACCACUCAUCCUCAACAAAAUUUUUAAGGAUAUAACCAUUCAUCUUCUUUAUAAUAUCAUAUCACAAUAAUUAAUACUUUCAUGACAAAAUAAAAAAUAAAUUCCCAUAGAAUACAUUCCUCUCCACUAUUAAUUUCUCUUCAUCAGUAACCUUUAUCGACAAUUAAAACCACCAUUAGACUCAUCAUAAAGAGAGAGUAAGAGAAAGGAAGAAGAAACGAGAAAAAAUAUAUGAACCUUUUAUAAUUUUAUAGUGCGUUCACUAAACGAGAAUCGAAAUGAGGUGAAAUCAAAAUGAGAAAUUAAAAUCAAAAUAAGUUAUUUACUGGAACUAUAUAAAUGGUAAUUGAAAUAAGUUGUAUGGUCAUUAAUGUGUUUAUCUCGUCUUAGAAUCAAAAUUGGAAUGAGUUAAAUUAUAAUAAAUUACUAUAAAAUCAUUAAUUAAUUUUUAUCAUAAUUAUUAUUUUAUAUUUUUAAUUAUUGUGAUUAUUAUUAUUAUUAUUCCAAAAAAUAAUUAUUAUUAAUAUUAUUGUUAAUUAUUAUUAACCAUUAAACUAAAAAGUUACUAUUAAUUAUUGUUAAUAUAUUAAUUAAUUAUAAUACUUUUUAUUGUUGUUAAUAAUAAUAACUUUAUGAUUGAGUGUGAACAGUCCGACUUAUUGAUCACCAAAUUUUUAAAUUUGUGAUCCUCAUUGAAUCUGCGUUCCCCUUUGCAAAAGUGAAAAAAAAAAAAAAAUUGCAAAUAAUGAAACAAAAUUGUCGGCAUUUUCAGACAUGUAAGACCCUUCAACUUGCUUUCGAAGAUGGAAAAUGCUACUCAGCGAGAAUGCCGAGAGAAACGGCAUACAGUUUGUCUCGGCCCCACUCCACGUGAAGACUUUCUCUUUUCACAUUUUUUACGCGUUUCUCUUUUCUCUCCCCCCACGUGAACACCUUUGCCUUUUGCUCGUUCAGGUGAAAGUUUAGAAUUUUGAUCUUAUUUCACAAAGCUAAUUUUUUUAUCACAAGCAGGAGAGAAACGGCAUUUCUUAGCAGUAGUUCAUCACUGUAGUAGCGAGCGAGUGAGGAACAAAAUUACCAACAAUUCUAAAAAAAAAAAUUAUAAAAAAUGAUCACAUGCUAUAAUUAAUCAUGACAAUUGACAACAUUACUCCCACCGAGCAAAAGUUAACUGCAUCUUCUCCCACAUUUAAAAAAAAAAUUAUAUUAUAUAACCCACCAAAGUAUAAGGAGUCUUUCCUUAUAAAAAUUAAUAAAUUACUCUUUAUAUUAAAAAAUUAAAAUUUAAAAUGAAAAUGAUUGAUCAUCAAUUAUUAUUAUUAUUAAAUAAUUAUUUUAAAUAAUAAUAAUCACAAUUAUUAUAACAAACAACAACAAUAAUUAACUAAUGUCAUUUUAAUAACUUAUAACAAUUCAUUUUUUAUUUCAAGAUAAAGUAACCAUAUCAAUAAUAAUAUAUGUCAUUUCGAUUCUAAUUUUUACAGGUAAAGUAAAUAAUUUAUUCUGAUUUUUAUUUUUUAUUUUAUUUUAUUCUAUUCUAAUUCCAUUUGAUUCUGAUUCCAACCAAUUCUAAUUACCGAUUAAAAAUUACAUUGUUACUACUUUAAUAAUAACUAAUGAUUCUCCUCACAAUUCUUAUAGGAUUAUCCUUAUUUUAAAAUAUAUUUUUUAUUCGUGUUUAUUAUAAAUUAAUUAAAUUAUAUCAAUGAAAAUUAAAUAAAAAUUUAAGUAAUAAAAAUGAAAAAAUAUAUGUUUUGGUUUGAAUAAAAAAUUAAUAAUAAAAUAUUUUUCUUAUAUAUUUUAAAUAUUUUUAUUAUAAUAAAUAUUUAUUUUAUAUUCUCAAAAUAAAUUAUUAAGUAAACGAUUCAUUAACUCAUUUUUUUUCCUUUAAAUUUUUGUUAUUAAGAAGAUUUUUGGAUAUUGGCCGUGAAGGGCUCAACUGAUCAUCGCUAAUUUCACAGCAAUUGCCUUUUCUUUUUUUCUUUUUUUUUAAUUGUUUUGAAAAAAUAUCCAGACUCAUUCUGCAAAGUACCUGAGGCCCGCCAAAGCGCCGAAAGUUAGGACACCCACAUGUGCUUUUAUUUACAAAAUCUAAAGUUAGGGGGGGUGUCCAUAACGUACAUUUAAUAUAAUUGAUGGUUGGGUAAAAGUCCAUUAAAUUUCAAUAUUCUAUUAUUUAUUUUUAUAUUAAAAAAUUAUUAAUGUAUGAAAAUUCUUAAAAGUUAACGGAGAAGGAAGAGAAAAAGAAAAAGUGAAUACAAAAGAAAAUAUAAAGAAAAAAAAUUAAACGAGACAAAAAUAUGUGGCGUGGGUCAUUCAUAUCUUUUGUCAUUUCUUUUAUAGAGGUACAUAGGGUAGAUAUUUUGAAGUGAAAAGCAAAUCCAAAGUUAAUGAAAAAGAAAAAAAGAAAAAGUAUAAAUAAACGGUAUUCGCCUCACUUUCAAACAUCUAGUUAAACAUGAAUUUCCUUUUACCAAAAGUAAAUUUCCUCUCGGAUUGUCCUCAUUACGUCAAACACGAAUGAUGACGACGCUCUGUCCGUUUCUGGCUCUUUGCUUUUCUCUCUCACAUCAUAUUUAACUGUUGGAUCUUUCUACUAUGCAGCUGGUGUAUGCAUGAUUCCUUGUGACAUGACAUACAGUCAAUUAAAUUCUGACAUGCUUGCAAUAAAGACUGUUAAAGUGACCGGUUAUUCCGGUUGAAUUCACAAGAUCUCUUGUUUGUGUGUUUAUGUUCCAAGUUGGCUCUUUGCUUUUCUCUCUCACAUCAUAUUUAAGUGUUUUGGAUGGUGGCCAUAGAUUCCAAUAUUUCCUUCAAGAAAACUACAAAAAAAUGAUCAAAGGCAUCAAUUUCUACACUCUCACCGAGCAAUACUCUUAACCCAGAAGUAAGUGUAUAAACCAACCCCAGUCAGUCCAUCAAUGUCGUCAACCUCAUACAGCAUAAAAAAAAUCUGUGUCCAUUAAACCGCCAUUUAAACCGUCUUUAUUGAGCCAUUAGACUAUUCGUGUCGUCUUCCCAUCUCGUUGUAGUAUUUUGCCGUUCAAAUCUAGUUAUCAAUUGGGGAAAAUGGGGACCAAUCUGCAAGUCUUUAAAAUAGAAAGAAACUUUAAUUGGACAAUAUAUUAUAAGUCAACAUUAUAUAAUUACUUUGAACACUUAUAUAACUCAAUCGUUCGAGGUUGAGUGAGGAUAGUACGAUACUUUCUCAAGUUUUCUGAGGACAUUCACGUGACAUUGGACUAUUGACUAUAGUCAAGAGAGAAGUCCAAGGAUGCAAGUGAUGAUGACAGAUUCACAAUUCUUUUGAAGAAAAUAUUUUAUAUAAACUUAAUUAUAUGGUAUAAAAUGAUUGGCCUUAAUAAAAUUAAAAAAAUAAUAAAAAUAAUACACGCCUGGGUCAUGCAAUAUUUUCAACCAACUAAUUUACACGCAAAAUUAAACUUUAUGAGUACAUUUAUUUGCUAGCAGAAACUCUGCCAAAUUUUCCGAAAUGUGAAAGUGAACACUUUUAACAACGGCACAUUCAAAGUUAAUGUUGAUGCUGCUGUUAAUUUUGAAAGGCAAAAGGCCGGCCUGGGGGUUGUUAUUAGAGACUCAUGCAACAAAGUUAAAGUGGCUGUUGUGAAAUCCACUCUAUUUACAGGGGAUGUAAAGACUGCAGAAGCUGAAGCUGUUGAAUGGGGGUUAGUGGUGGCAAAAAGUGCAGCUUUUCAAUGCAUAAUGGUGGAGUCAGAUUGUCAAGAAGUGAAGUUAAUUAACAACAAAGAGGGCAGUAGGACAGAGGUUAUGUGGGUGAUCUCAGAAAUUCAAAGUCUUAGCAAGGAUUUCCAGAAUUUCAACUGCUAUCACACUCCUAGAUCAUGUAAUACUCAUGCCCAUUCCUUAGCUAAGUUAGCUCUAAGGAACAAUGAAACUGUUGUAUGGCUGGAACCAAUUCCAGUGGAAGUCGAAUCUGUGUUAUCAUCUUUGCUUUGAAAUCGUUUAUUUCCUUCUCAAAAAAAAAAAAAAACAACGGCACAAAAUGCCUGUGAUAAUGAAACAAUGUACCCUUCGUGCCUGCUUUCGUCUAAUAAUAUUUGAUACGUACAUAUUCAUUUUAAAAUUGGCGAAUCGUAAUAAAAAAAUUUAUAUAUAAUAAUUGAAUGAGAUCCAUGGUUCACAAUUGCAAAUUAAAGGUUGGUUUUAUAAUAAAAAUCGUUUUGUGCAUACCAAAUUAGAAAAGAUUAUAAGUAAAUUAAGAUUUUCAAAAUUUGACUAGUAUUAUAUUACGUACAUCAAUAUAAUAUAAAUUUCUUAUAUAUAUAUUUUACUCUGUAACCAAUGCUUUCAAAAACUUUGUACUUGUAUGUUUGAACAACUUUUUUCGCUUUCUAUUUAUAUACGAUCUCAUUUAUGUUUACAUAAAUUUUCAUAUGUACCCAAAUUAAGCAUUAAAUACACACACUUUGGUAAGACACAUUUCUAGUAUCAGAAAAUGAUAUUAUAUUGAAUGUAAUGCUUCAAUGAAUUUUAUUACUAUAUACUAAAAUACUCAACGAUCUCCAUUAAAAAAAAAAAAAGCAUGAUUAGAAUGAUUAAAGAUCAUUUGAUGAGGAGUUUCAUCAUUAACUGUGUCGAAACACAGCAGCAAUCCACAAUACACUUAACACGAGAGGGGCACACAAGCAUGCAUGAAUCUUCCACCAUUAAAUCUGAAAUCAUAAAAAAAAAAGAAAUAAGAUGAGUGUUGUUUUACGGUCUGAAAGCCGAUUCCAAAUAAUAAUAAUAAUAAUAGUAAUAGUAAUAGUAAUAGACCUUUGUUAAUAAUUACUACUAGUUGUCUCUGCCUUUUGCAUCUUCCUCCUUUGUAUCAUCGUCCUCUUCCAAUCACACGGCUAGACCAGUAUGUCUCGAGAAUCUCUACUGCCUUCUCAGAGAUCCCGUUGUCGUCAUGACUUCGUAGAUUUUCAAUCUUUUCUAAUCCCUCAGCCUCCUCAACCAACUGGGCAUAUUGAUUAAAAUCUCCAACGGCGGUACCCGUAUUCAUUUCAGCUAACCCGACCUUCAAAAUGUUCUCUAAUCCUUCUAAGCAAACAGUGACGAUCAUUGGAUCAGCGCAUAGAAGCAGAUCACACAAUGGUUUUAUACACCCCUCUUUCACGAGGUACUUGAUUUGCUCAUGAGUGCCAAACUUGGUGGCAUUCGAAAUUGCCCAAGCGGCGUCCUUCUUUGUAUCAAAUUCAGCAUUUUGAAGUAGAUUGACAGUGGGACCAAUUAAGCCGGAAUCAAUUACCGCCUGAAUCUGUUCCCUGUUUCCACAUGCGAUAUUUGAAAUAGUCCUGCAUGCAUCCUUCUUAAUGCGUUUUCCAUGAUUAUGGAUCAACAGGCCCAAAAGGUAUGGCAGUGCACCACAGUUAAUUAUAUACUGAGCCUGGAAAUCAUCCCCCGUCACAAUAUUUCCAAUAGUCCGCAGGGCAGGAGUGAGCACUGAGGAUGAUGAGUGACCAAGGAGCUCAACAAGUCGUGGACAGACACCUGCCUCGAUCACAGCUUGAACAUUGUCAUUCGUACCAUCAGAAAGACAGGAGAGUGCCCAGCAGGCAUCAGUCAAGACCUCUUCAUUGUUUGAACGAAUAAGCUGUGCAAGCGCCGGAAGAGCUGGCCUUACCUGAUCAAAUGGUGGUUCUGGCUUGCCCUUGCAUAAAUUAGACAAUGUCGUUGCGGCAAUUCUCAGCAUUGAAAGCUUAGCAUGCUUAUUUAACUCUGCCAGCAAUGGAAUCAAAGCUCCUUCACUAAGCACAAGAUCACGGCAUCCAGAUGAGUCACCAGCAACAUUUCCCAAUGCCCAAACAGCCUGCUCGCGGACAUCAUCACUUGGGGAAGCAAGCAGCUUCACGAAUAUUGGAACGGCACCGUGGUCAAUCACCACCUUAAUGUUCUCUGAAUUUCCAAAAGCAAUGUUUGAAAGAGCCCAAGCAGCCUCAUACUGAAGUUGCGGAUAGUCUUCCCUCAUAAGAAACUCAACAAAGCGCUGGACAACGCCAGAUUGUAUGACUUUAUCAAUUUGUGGACUCCUCGCAAUCGAAAGCAGUUUGCUGAACUGAGUAGUUGCUUCCAGCUGUAGGCCGCUGUCAUCUGACCAAACCCCAGCAACCAUCCCGGGUAAACUCGCCUACUUAUUUUAGGAGCAGGAGCAAGAGGAGGAAAUUAAGUUAGGGAUUUGGAGUGAGAGUGAAAGUGGAGAAAAAGCAAGAGAGGGAAAAAGCUGAUUGUUGAGAAAUAUAUACCUUUCGUAUGGUUGUGUUAAGGUCGUCCUUCCAAGCCCAACAUGCUUUACCCCGCCCCUGCACUUUGUGUAAUUUGGGCGUACUUAAUUUUCCUUCAGAGAAAAUCUUCAUAUCGGGGCAAUCAUCCACCACUAAUCUUUCCAAAGAUGGGAACUUGAAAGCACAAUUGCCAGAGCAGAAGCUUGUCAGACUUUUUAAGUGUAAAAGCUUCAACUCCUUCAAUUCUCUGAAACUAAUAACCUCAUCUUUUGCUACAACAUCAUCCACCAGUACUAUUUCUGUUAUCAUAUAGCAUGAUGCUAUCUCCAUAUAUCUAAGUCGCACCAGAGUCUUUGCAAUUGAGGAUGUUAAUACGAUUUUCAAGUUGUUGCAAUGCGAUACCACCAAAUUUGUAAGAUUCUGAAAGGAUGUCGAUGAUGGCACUAGAUUGACCAAACGGUCACACCCCACUACACGUAGAAUAACCAAGUUGUUCGCAACAGAGGACUCCUCUAUCAAAAUGUGCUCCAUAGGAUAAAGCCUGUUUGCUUCUCUUAUUUCUACCCACAUCCCAUUUUCAACCUUCUCAUACACCAACGGGGCACUAUAUCCUCGUAUUUGGAGGACUUUCAUUGUGUGAAGUCUCUGGAGGAAGUCACCAAGUGAUAAAAUAGUCCGCUCAUCACCCAACGUCACAUAAAGAUAUUUUAGUUUGCAAAGCAAGCCUUCAGAAAAUAGAUAUUUAUUUGUUACUAAGUGCUCUGCAUCAAUAUUCAACUCUUCCAAAUUAGGAAAUACCUGGGAGAUCAAUCAGAACCCAAAAAAAAAAAAAAAUGCAAGAUGAAUCAAUUGAUGAGAAAUAUAAGUUACCACUAAUUUAUAAAAUAUAUUUUAUUCAAUAAAUCUUAAACUUAAAAAAAAUAGUAAUAAUAAUACGCCUAACAUCUAGAAUAAUUAUGAAUGAAUACUAUACACUAAUCUGUAAGAGAGUUACGUUGCUGACAAUUUGACUUUUAGUAAGAAACCAAGCGAUAAAGGCAAAGGCAAUAUAACUCUAAAGCUUUAUGAUAUAAACUCUCACGGUACAUACAUAAGAAUUGAAAAAUUGAUUAUAAAAUUCUUGUACGUACCCUUUCCAUCAAGAUAUUAGUAGUUCUUUUGUAUCUCGCCAUCAAUUCACGACAUCCAGAUAUCAUUAAUCCUUUCAAGGAUGGAAAUUCAAGAAUAUCAAGAUCUCCAGUGCAGAAGCUUGUGAACUUUUCAAGACCAGACAUCCUCAGAUAUUGCAACUGGGGAAACGUUACAAUAUUAUUCUUCAUUUCUUCUUGGUUGUCCACGACUAUUAACUCUUCCAAGACGGGACAUCUGACUAUCUCAAUGCGUUGGAGUCGAACCAAGCUACUAACAGUAGCAGAUGAAAAUAGACAUCUUAAAUUCUCACAGUCCCACAGGGUCAAGUGUGUUAAAUUCUGAAUACCACAAGACAUGACUGUAACUUGGUUUUGCCAAAUCCUCUCAACAUUUAUUGACACCAACUCCAACUUCUCUAACUCUAGUAACGGAACCUGCUCGAUCAAAAAAUUAACUUGUUAAUUACAAGCAACAAUCAUUUCUGUUGAUCGACAAAUCAAUAAAAUUACUCUUUCUCUGGUUAUAGUUCUUUUCAGUUUUUCAUACAAACAACCGUUAAUCAAGUUUUCCAAAUUAUUCCUUACUAAAUGUAUAGAUUUAGACGGCGGCUAAUAUAAUUCAUAUUGAAAAUAUUCUUUGAUUGUAACGAAUUUUGUAAUAUUAAAUUUUGGUUGAUUCGCAAUAGGACCUACUAUCCAGCGCGAGCAGUUCUCGGGGAUUUAACUACUGGCACCUCGAUUAUAUAAAAAUUUGGAAUAUUUUCAAAGGAAAUCACAUAAUUCCCCCUUGCAAAUUAGGCGAGAAGAGUCUCAUCAACAAUCAAUAAGCAGAUAUCACGAUGUUUAUUCAGUGAUUACAACAUAUUUAUAUAUAUAUAUAUAUAAUAUAUUCAGUGAUUACAACAUAUUUAGUAUUCCAUAACAUGAUGUUUAUAAUAAUAAUUAUUAUUAAUUCACUUAUUGUGUUAGAGUACCUUUUCUUUCUCUAAGAAUGUAUUUGUUACACCCUACUAUACAUCGGAUGAAAAAUUUAGAAUAAUUGUGAAAUAUAAUUAUUAAUCACUCUUUGCCAUAUUUGUUAUCAAACAGGAAUAUAACAAAGAAAAAAAAACAAAAAUUAUAGAGAAUUAAUAAGACGAUUGACUUAUUAAUAACUGACCUUCUCAGGGAAAAGCGUAUUAGAAAUUUGGACAUUGUCCUCCAAAAUGAUUUCAUGUGACUGCAAAUCAUUAGCUGAUUCCUCUUGUCUCUGUUGACAUUGCAGGUGUCUUGAUUUAAGAGUGUAAACUUAAUUGUGAACACAAUCUUAAUGCAUAGAUACAAGAUGUUUAAAAAUUAGUAUAAUAAACUUAGCACUAAAUCCAAAUUUGAUAUUUCGGAUUCCAUGAUUAAGAUUUUUUAAAUAAAAAUUUAAUUGAGUUAAUUUAAAAAUAAAAAUUAAAUAUGAAAAAUUAGACUUGCAAUUAUGGAUUUAAUUUUGAUAAAUAAUGAAUGUUCUCUUUAUAUUUUUUUUAAAAGGUAAAGGAGCAUACAAAGCCCAAAUUCAUUUUUUUAGUCCCUUACUCUCCCAUGAUUCAAACUUGGGUGGUUGUAGGAGGACUGAAAAUAUAUAAGACAGUUAACUUCACUUUUUUUUUUCUUUUUCUUUUUUUCAUUUUUUGUUGAGAGAAAAGAGAAGAAGGAUAUUACAAAGCAUGAAGCUCGUGCAAUAUGAGGGCAAUUAUGGUUUUUUCUUUAAAUUAAAAUGGUAAGAUUCUGAAGCUAAAAGAUUAAAAUAUUAAUUAAAUUGCAAACAUUAAAGAUUUUUUUUCCAAAAUUGGUUGCUUUGAAAAUGAGAAUAAUAUAAUAUUUGAAGACUUUUCAAAAUUAAUUACUGUGAUGCACUAGAAAUUUCUAGCUUUAGUCUAAUGUAUAAAUUGACAAAACGAUAUUAGAAUCCCAGGUGAAAAGAACCCUCUCACACCAAUUAUUUAAAUUAGGAAUGAUCAUACCUCUGACUCUGGCGAACUGAGGGCGAGGCGUGAACCCCUCAUCUCGAGACGCUUGAGAUGGGAAGAGCCCACUUUGACUAAUUCAUUACGAAAAUAAUCGACAUCUUGCUCUUGCAAUCCACAUAAGCGAAGGAAUUCAAUUCUCUGCAGUUGCACGAUCAGCGAAUCCUUCAAGCGAAUCUUGUCAUAUAGCUCGACUCUGAAUUCACGACACCAAAAGUUGGUUCUCUCCCGAAACCAACCUCCAUGUCCAAUGCUUAUUCUGUACCUUUCCAGCUUCUCCAAGAUCAGGCCUCUGGGCAGAGUGCUGACGUCACGGAUGUCUAAUUCCAAAGAGGUCAAGUUGGGCAAAUGCUUCAACUCCUCAAGGCUUGCAUUCUUAACCCCUUCCACCUCCACCUCCCACUCCCAUUCAUCAAAGCUAUUACCACCUAUAUAUAGUUCUUCUAAAUGGGAUAAUUUUGACAGUAUAUUUGGCGGAAUAACUUUUAGGUUCCAACAUUCUCUCAAAUCAAGCAACUUUAGCCAAGUCAAUUCACCUACUUCUACCGGCAACUUCUUAAUUUUAGAACCUCUUAAGCAAAGGAUUUCUAGUUUCUUCAAGUCUCCUACAACACUUAGAUCACGCAAGUUGCAGCGACACAAACUCAGUGUUCGAAGGUUUGACAGGAGACCAAGUGAUGAAGGCAGUGACCGUAGAAACAUGCCAGUCAAGUUUACAACUCUGACCUCGAUCAUCCUCUCGAAAAAGUUGUUUGGCAUUGUUAAUGAUGAAGAUUCACGACGAUCAGCACGUAUAAAAAGAAGUUCGAGUUGAGGACAUUCCAGUACUUCAGGAAGCAAAUUAGUCUUGAUACCAUGUAAGACGAUUGAAGUGCAAUGCUUUAUUGCACUUCCGUCUGACCAUUCCCUGCAACCAUCAACCUGCUCAUUUGUAGCAGUAAACACAUUUCGUUCAGUAGAUGCAAUUGAUACGGCGACAUCGCGAACUACAUCAUGCAUAGAAAACAACUCUUUCUUCUGGCUUAUAUGGUCAAGCAACAAACAAGAAUCUUUGAGCUGGUGCACCAAUGUAUGUACUCGAUUUCGUGCUGCUUCCAUCUUAUUCACACCUUGAAAUAAAGUCAAUCCCAUACCAAACAUUAACAGUUCGUCAAUAGAUGCUAUGGCUGUAUAUCCUAUUAGCAAAAAGAUGUUCUUCAGCUCCUCCCCUACCAAUUUGUCGUAACUCCACUUUAUGGCUUCAUAUGCAUCUGGCUGUACAUCCUUAAAAUUCGAUGAAGAAGGCCUUCCUAGUUUUUCCAAUGCAUCCUUCCAUUCCUGUAUGCUCUUGUUCCUUAAUGCCCUUGCAACCGUCACAAUGGAAAGUGGUAGACCUGCACAUCCCUUUGCCACACCCCUUGCUACCGAUUGGAAUUCACUGCCUUCAAUAUAAUCACCUGCCAUCUUCUUGAAUAGAUUCCAAGCUUCUUCUUCGUUUAAAACACCAAUUGAGAAAUUUGGUCGAGAAUCCAUCUUCCUAGACAAUACAUCUAGACUUCUGGCCGUCAGCAAUACUUUACAACCUUUAUGACCAUCUCCAUGAGGAAUUCCGACAACCCGCAAAUCAAGAUUUUCCCAAAUGUUGUCUAAAAUUAUCAGGAUCUUCUUCUCUGCUUCUAUACGUUUAAAUAAGCUGUUUGCCCUUCCUGAUUCACUUUCCUCAUGAAACUUCAGGCCUAAUUUAUCUGCUAUUUCUCCUUGAAUCUCUCGUAUGUUUUUAUUAUGGGAUACCUCAACAAGAACCACUUGAUAAAAGAGUUCACUCUUGACUUUCCUAGCAACUUCUUCCGCCAGGUUCGUCUUUCCGAUUCCGCCCAUUCCAUAAAUCCCAAGCAUGUUGACAUUGGGAUUUUUUAAUGCAUCCAUUAUUUCAUUCAGAAUGGGCGUUCUUGAUAGAAAGGCCUCGUAGUCUUUGUUAGGGAUAAGCCGAAUAUCCUUUGGAGCAGUACGGUAGGAAAUUCUAUCAAAUCUUCGAUCUCCUCGGACUUUGACAACAGCCUCCUUCUGCCUCUCUGCUUCCUUGCUAAGUCGACGGCGGGUCUUCAAAUUAGGACAUAAUCCCCCGAAACAACGCUUACUUGCAGCGGCUUCAUCUUCUGUAAAUUUAUCUGCCUCUUCAAUGACUUUGUUGGCCCCUUCAAGCCAAUUCCUAACGUUCUCUUCACUUUCUUCCCCGUUUCGUUCAGCCUCAUCAACCUGCCUCAACAAUGACUCCCUCUCAGACUUCAGAUCGUCAACUUCUGCCUUGAGAUUCUGUAAGUUGGUCGUGUACUUACUCUCACGCAAAUAGCUAAUUUUGCGAUAUGCGGGAGGAGCCAAGCACUUCACAACUUCUACAACAAUAGUAAGAAUGAUUUCAGCCAUCUUCAGUCCUUUGUCCCUGUCUCUCUAUCUCUCUUUUUCUGAAUUUUUGAAAAACAAUUGACUAUUUAGGAAGCACACUGAGUGAUUGAACACAAGUGACCACAACAAGAUAGAGAACAGAGGAAAAAAAUAGAAAGAGUGGAUGGAGAAUAAAACCGAGACAGCGGCACAGCUGGACACAACUAGAUAGAGAACAGAGGAAAACCAAAUAACAAGACUUAAGAUUACAACAAACAGAGGCCAAGUAUUAUUGUUGAGAUCAGAAGGUGGAAAAUUCAAAAGAGUUGAUGGCAGAUGCUGAAUAACAAAACAACAAUAAACGCAAUAAACAGAAGCAAAGUGUGUUUGUGAUCGACAGACGGAAGUAAGGAAAGCGGUUGUUGAUUGAAAAUGAAUGAAUGCAACGAAAGACUGAUGUUAAAAACUGAUGUCAAUAGCGAAGGAAUAAUUGAACUUUCGCUGAAUUAUUGUUUGUGGCCUUCUUUUACUUUUUAUUUGUGGGCCAUGUCUUUUGGAACUAAUCAUCUUAGCCUAUGCCUUAUAGCUUGAAGGCCGGUAACCGGUGUCCGUUGGAUUAGCAUAUAGAAAUCCAACGGUGGAUAUAUAUACUUGGAGAAUAAAAUUCAAGAGCAAAGGGAGUGCUGGGCUGCAGUUUCUUAAGGAGAUUUAUAUAUCCUCCUCAAAAAUAAAUGUUUUAAGGUAGAUAUUUAGACUAUUUCAUCAUAAAAUAAAUGUAAUUAAUUUUCAAUAAAUAUCUUAUAUAAAUAUUUAUUUAUUUUUUUAAUUACUAAUGACCUUUGAAUAUACAUAUAUACAUAUCACUAAUUCAAAAAAUAAAUUGUGAUUAUUUGUUAAUGUAUGCGAUUACUUGUGAUGGUAAACAAAGUAGAUAUGGUAUAUUUUGAAGUUAAAUUAAAAAAAAAAAAAACAGAGCUUUUACCAUUACUUGCCUUAUCAUCUUUUAAAUUAGAAUUAUUAUUCUUUUAUUUUUCAAGUUGCCAACUCAUCUGCAUUCUCUUUUAUUGAAUUUGAAGAUCAAUGAUUAUAAAUUUGUGUGAAAAUUUUAAGUCAAAACUUUAAAUUAAAAUAAUCUUUAAGUUAUUGGGAAAUAAUAACUUAGUAUAACAAAUAUUAUAUCCUAUACUUUAUUGCUACAAAAUUACGAAACCUUAUAUUAUAUUAUGUUUCCAUAUUUCUCCUUUAUAGUGAAGACUCAUACUUCUUCUCUAAUAAAUGCUAAAGUAUUGGCUUAAAUUUUUUAACCAGCACAGUAGACCCUUAAGCUAUAUAUACUAUAAUGUCCUUCUUUUCUCACAUAUUAAACCAAUCGGAUCUCAGAGUGAGUUGAUACCAUGACUUUGCAUCAUUCGUGAUCGGGUAAAAGCUCAUUUAGUCCCUGUAUUUUAAGAUUAGUGUCCGUUUAGUCCCUAUAUUUUUAAAAAUACCCUGAAACAUCCAUGUCGUUAAAGUAUUGAUACCCCUACCGUUACUUUUUAUUUCUUUUGGCUUACUUUUACAAUAUUACCCUUUUAUAAUAAUUUUUUUGUUUGGACAUUAAAAAAAAAUAAUUAAAUUAUCAAUUUAACCCUAUAAAAUAAAAUAAAAAUUAUAUUAAGUUUUUUGCAAGCACCAUUUGCUCACUUGUUAGUUUGCAUACAAUUUUUGAUAAUUAAAAAUUAAUAUAAUUUUUUUAGGGUUAAAUUGGUAAUUUAAUUAUUUUCUUUUUAUUAAUGUCCAAACAAAAAAAAUUAUUAUAAAAGGGUAAUAUUGUAAAAGUAAGCCAAAAGAAAUAAAAAGUAACAAUUUAAUUUUUGACAAUUAAAAAUUAAUAUAAUUUUUUAUUUUUUAGGGUUAAAUUGGUAAUUUAAUUAUUUUCUUUUUAUUAAUGUCCAAACAAAAAAAUAUUAUAAAAGGAUAAUAUUGUAAAAGUAAGCCAAAAGAAAUAAAAAGUAAUGGUAGGGGUAUCAAUACUUUAACGGCAGGGAUGUUUCAAGGUAUUUUUUAAAAUAUAAGAACUAAAUGGAUAUUAAUCUUAAAAUACAGGGACUACGUGGGCUUUUACCCUUCGUGAUCAAAGGAGCAUCAUUACUAACUCAUAUAGGCUCAAUCAAUAGGCCUGAUAAUAAUUUUUUUUUUAUCUACAAACACUAUUUUUCAAAAUAUUAUAUCUUAAGACUUAACUAAAUAUUUUUUAACUAUGUAGAUAUAGUUUGUUUGAUCUCUUUUAAAUAGUGGAGAUUACAAACAAACAUAUGUGAAUUAGUAGUAUGUUGAGUUCAGAAGAUUGAAGUAAAGAAAAUUAAGGGUUUCUUGAUCUAGGGAAAUUUCAAAAGAGUGAAGCGUCCUCGAAAUCGGAAGACGAAAAUAAGGAAAGGCUAAGGGUGUAUUUUCAAAGUGAUUCUAUUAGGAGAUCUUUGAAGUAGGAGUGGGCAAUCGGGUUUCGGUUUAGGUUUCAACCCAAUCGGAUUGGAGAAUUGAACCCAAUCGGGUUGAAAACACCAACCCCAACCGAACCGAACCAAAUUUAAUUCGGUUUGGUUCAGUUCGGGUUCAUAAUUCGGAUCGGACUGGGUAGUAAUUCAGGUUAAAAUUUCGGUUCGGGUUAAUUCGGAUUAGAAUAAUUCAAUCUAAAAUUUUGGGUUAGUUCGGUUUAAAACGGGUUGGAACAAUUUAAUCCAAAAAUUCUACCAACAACCACUUAAAAUCUAAAAAUCUAAAUUCCAAACAUCCUUAACAACAAAUAUCAACUACAAACCAUCUUUAACAACAUUUCAACAAUAACAAUAACAAUAAUAACAACAACAAUAAUAAUAAUAACAACUAUGAAUCAACAAUUCAGCAUAUUGCCAUAUUCUAAAUUAAAAAAACACAAAUUAAUUAAUUAAUUAAUUAACAAUCUCCAAUUUAAUUUAUAAUAACAGCAAAAACCCACUCCAAUUUAAUUAAUAACAGUCUCAAAUUGUUCAAUUAUCAGUCAACAGCAACAAACCCACUCCAAUUUAAUUAUAACAAUCUCCAAUUGUUCAAUUAUCAGUCAACAGUAACAAACCCUCUCCAAUUUGUCACGAACAACCUCUAAUUGUUCAAUUAUCAAUCAACAACAACAAACCCACUCCAAAUAAUUGAACAAUUAUUAAUUAAUUAAUUUAAAAUAUCCAAUUUAAUUAAUAACAACACCCAAGAGCAAGUUAGCAAUAAACCCACUACAAAAUCCAAAUAUAAGUAUAAACUAAGUGUCAAAUCGUGACCGUGUGGGGCUGAGUGAGACCGUCGACCGAGGGUGUGAGAAAGGAGAAGAGGGAGCAGGGAGGUAACGUGGUGUGUGUGAGUUUAUAUAUAUAUAUAUAAUUUUUAAAAGUUAAAACAAAAAAAAAAAUUUAACCCAAUCCAAACGCCCACCUCAUAUUACUUCCCUGUUUUUUUUUUUUUUUGAUUACAUGAGACUAUUGCUCAGAUUACAACUUGUUGAUGCGAGAUUCUGGUUCUCCUCAUUCUACGACCAGGAUCUCUACUCGAUCAACUUCACCACGACCAGGAAGUCUGCUCGUAAGGCUCCUUCUCCAGAGGUUCCUGCGCACACAGACAAGUCAGAGUACGCCGGUUGUUUUCCCGGCGCAAACCCUCCGACGCUCAAGUCAGAUAUCCAGGUUUGGGGAACACUUGCCACAAAUCUUAUGGCCUUUAGGUCCGUUCUCUCCCUCUAGAAUUUCUUUAGUCUCUCUUUUAUCUCAAAAAAUUGCCAACCCCUUUACCUUCGUUCGCUACCUUUUUGUAGGCUGCCUCUGAAUCCCAGUUUUCCGCUUUUUGCCAGACGGUAUGGGACUCUGACUGCUGCGUUAUGGGCAAAGGUGGGAUCUUGCGUGUUACGCCACGGUUCUGGGGAAAGCGUGGCUGUCGUGAUUCUGUGAGAUCUUGCAUGUUACGUCAUGGGUCUGGGGAAAGCGUGGCUGUCGCGCCUAGAUUCUCGAGCUGGAGAGCAUGUCUUGCCAACUGUCGUCGGCCGGGUCUCCUCACCACUCGGCCUCUAGCCGAAAUGACCUUAUGCCUCUCACAGGAAGUUGGCCUCGCGGAUGACGUGCUCGUGGACGAACAGGAUAUUUCUGCUCCUGUUCCCCCGCGCACCAGGCUUUUACGGAACACACCGGUCCGCAGAACUCUGCCAUCAGAUACCUGCUCACCAUGCCUGGUCUCGUCGACGUAUUUCUCCCAAACACCGGUCCCCCAGUUUCUGGUGUUGGGUAAUGUAGUGGACCAGCAGUAGAAACUCGACAGUACUCGCUCGCGUGGGAUGGGAAAAGGCUGCCAAGAGUCAUGUCGCAUUUAAUUGCGGACGAGGUGACGUGACAGAAAUCCCCCCCUCCAUUUGAAUUUCAAACCGACGGUUAUGAGACUCUCGGGAUUCGGCGCUGUUAAAUGCUGGCAACCCAAGAAUCCGUCCUCAUUAGGAAAACCAAAUCUUCUCGAACGGCAUAUUCAUUAUUCACUCCGUCUCCGUCUCUCCGGCAAAGCAGUUCCGGCAUAAAAGCCUCCAUCUCUGACUUUCACCGACUGAACCAUUACUUCAGGUAUUUCUUCUAUCUCCUUGGUCUCGGAUAGUUGUAGAUAAUUUCUCUUCUCUUCUGUUUGGGUAGUAGUUGGUGGUGUUGUGGUUAGAACUUAGGGAAUGUCGAAAGGCAAAGAGAAGGUCGUUGAGGUUGACGACGAUGAGUUGGACUUCCUGCCUAGUCUGCUCACCGAUCCUGCUUUUGACCCCGGGAUCCCCUUAGAGCCCACUAGAUCCAGUGUUGGUACUAGCGCUAGGAGGAUGUCUCCCCAAACGACCUCCUCGAGCGAAAAAAACGAUGAGGAGGGGUCUUCUGGAUCGGAGAACACCCUGAGUGAGGGUCGAGGAGAUGAUUCUGGUGAGGCGUCUCCAUCAGGAGCGCCGCGACCCGAAGUGAGGAGUACGAUAGGAGGUAGAGCCCUAUCGCAGGAUUACGCUAUCGAUUAUAUGACGUGCACGACCACGUUUAAUGAGCUCGACGACCUCCGGCUGAGGUAUAGCAUUCCUGGUGAAAUACUUCUCAAGGUCCCAGGAAAGAAGGAUUCUCCUAGCCGACCUCCUAGGGGAUAUGUUACCCUGUAUCUGGAUAGCUUUAAGUACGGGCUGAGGUGUCCCUUGCAACCUUACUUUGCCCGGAUACUUAGCGGGUUGAAUCUAUCUCCUGGUCAGUUGAACCCAAACGGUUGGAGAGUGCUCUCUGGUCUGUUCAUACUGUGGGACAGAUGCUGCCAAAGCGAGCCCACGGUCGACGAGGUGAUGCACCUGUACCAGCUGAAAAGCAGCCCAAAAGACGCCGGCUGGUAUUACUUCCAAUCAAGUACCAAGACCAGGAAACCCAUAACCGAUCUCCCUACUGGUGGUGGUGGGAAUUGGAAGAGGAAGUUCUUCUUCGCAGGGGGUCCCUGGGGUCAGGUUGCACAGGUUGAUGGGAAGGAUUAUCGGGUCUCACCCCGUUUCACGGUCCCAGGUUGCCUGCUCGCUUCAGAUGUCUUGUAUCCAUAAUUGUUCUUGUUUUAUUGGUUUGUCUCUAACCCAGUGUCUGUUUGUGUUGUAGUUUCUUGGGGUGUCCACUUCUCACUCAAACCGGGACAGCUCAAACGGGUCGAGGCUGUGCUAGUCAAUUCCUGCUCGAGCCGAGAGCUGUUAACCACAUAUAACUUGCUCGAGUCUCGCCUGAUACUUCCCGGCCAUAGGAUGGAGGACGCUGUGAUUGGGGCUCUGACCCGAAAACGUUCUCGACCUCCGACCACGAAGAGGGACCAGAGUAAGGAUGCCCCUACUGCAAAGCGGGCCAACAUCGUGCAGCAGGUCCCACCCUUGAAGAUUUUACCUCCCGCUCCUGUAAAAGUCGGGGAAGCCAGUGGAGCAGCCACAGAUCCUGCUUCCUCUUCGCCUCCUGUCGGGCCUCGACCUCGCUUACCUGACAGCCGAGCGGAACACCUGGUCCCCUACCUCAAUGAGUUAUCUAAACUCGUGAGCAAGAAGGACCUGGAGGACUUUGACGGCUGCACCCUGGGUGAGCUGGUGGGGGCCAUGCAGCAUAGCGCUUUCCACCUCAGCUGCAUGACCACCUAUUACAAGGCUAAGGUCGGCCGUUACGACCGGAAGAUGAAGGAGGAUAUUCAAUCGGCGACGACCAGAGCUGACGUUGCCGAGAAGAAAGCAGGGGAGCUGAAUCUCGAGAACCUGAAGCUGGUAGAGCAAGAAUCACUUGCUCAAGCAAAAGCCAUUACCCUUGAAGAGGAGCUUACCAAGGUCAAGGAGGAUCUGCAAAGGCAGAAGGCUAUGUAUGAGGCUCAGCUCGAAUCUCUCCGCGACUCCCACCGAGCCCAGGUCGAGAACUUGGAGGGGGAGGCCGACAACCAGUACGACCAGGGACUUCGGCAUUCCUACCGUUGCAUCAUGGCCGUCCUCGGGAAGCAGCACCCGGAUCUGAAGAUGGAUGACCUUGCAGCUGGUGUUGCUCAACAUAUGGACGAGGAGGCGGCCAAGGAAGGUGCUGAAGAGGUAGAGCCGAUCGUGAUUGAGGAGGAUAACUCUCCUCCUCAUGCAGCCCCUGCUGACGGGGGCGAGGCGAGCACCCCCCCGGACGCAACCGGUGAUACCCCCCUGCACCUGAGGAGGUCCAGCCAACCGAUGCUGCUCGGCUCGCUGAUCCACCAUCUUUUUGACAUAUUUCUUUUGUAUUGUAAUGAACAACGUUAAUGAAAUUUAUCUCCUCUGUUAGCCAUUAACACAUUAAUAAAAAUGUUGUUGAUUACUUUCUUAUGUUGUUAUCAUAGUUAUUUUUCGUCUGAAACUCUGCUCGCCUUUGUCUGAUCGAGCAGGAUCUGGCUCGGCGUAUGGUUUUGCCAUACAUCUUAGAAAAUAUUCCGACGCCUGGGAUUCUGCUCGCCUUCGCGUGGUCGGGUAGAUCCUGGCGAGUUUGGCUUCUAGUUUUGCCAUAUACAGGCUUUGAAUGCUUUGGAGUCUGCUCGCCUUCACGUGGUCGAGCAGAUCCUGGCACGCUUGGCUUCUGUUUCACCAUAAAACAGGUUUUGAAACUUGACGAGCCUUUGUAUGCCUUAGAAAAUAUUCGGAUGCUCGGGGAUUCUGCUGCCUUCUCUUGGCCGAGCAGAUCCUGGCAUGCUCGGCUUCUGUCUCGCCAUAAAUAGGAUUUGAGACUUUGUCGAGCCUUUGUAUGCCUUGGAUUUUUCAAGGCUUGGGAUUCUGCUGCCUUCUCGUGGCCGAGCAGAUCCUGGCAUGCUUGGCUUCUGUCUCGCCAUAAGACAGGCUUUGAGACUUUGUCGAGCCUUUGCAUGCCUUAGAUUCUUCAAGGCUUGGGAUUCUGCUGCCUUCUCGUGGCCGAGCAGAUCCUGGCAUGCUGGGCUCCUGUCUCGCCAUAAGACAGGCUUUGAGACUUUGUCGAGCCUUUGCAUGCCUUAGAUUCUUCAAGGCUUGGGAUUCUGCUGCCUUCUCGUGGCCGAGCAGAUCCUGGCAUGCUGGGCUCCUGUCUCGCCAUAAGACAGGCUUUGAGACUUUGUCGAGCCUUUGCAUGCCUUAGAUUUUUCGGUUUCACGCGAAUGAAAUUCCUCGACGUUCCAUUAAUGACAGUGUUCGACUUACAUAAAAUUGCUUGGACAUAAAGCGUGCAAGAUAAACGAUAAUGAAUGUGAGCAAAAGUAACUUUCAAAUGUGAACAAGUAUUACUGGAAGUAUUUUUGGAGGUGUGCUGCGUUCCAUGGGCGUUUCACCUCGUGGCCGUCCGUGCGAACCAGCUGGUAAGCUCCGGGUCCCGCUAUCUGCUUGACUCUAUAUGGCCCUUCCCAAUUCGGUCCCAGCACUCCUUGAGUCGAAUCUUUGGUGCUCUGAUUCACUCUUCUCAGUACCCAGUCCCCGACCCUGAAUUGCCGUAUGUUCACCUUCUGGUUAUAAUGCCGAGCAACCCUCUGUUGGUAAAUGACUGAUCGCUCGGCUGCUUGCUCCCUCCUUUCCGUUAGCAGAUCAAGAUUCAAACAUAUCUGCUCGUCGUUCUCCUGCUCAUUGAAAUGAUCUGUCCGGUGUGUGGUCGUUCCUAUCUCAGCCGGCACGACCGCUUCAUGUCCGAAAGCCAAAGCGAACGGUGUCUCCCCAGUUGCGGUUUUGUGGGUUGUUCUGUACGCCCAUAGCACACCUGACAGCUCGUCAACCCAAGCACCUUUUUUUGCUCCAAGCCUGGUUUUCAAAAGCCUCUUGAUGGUCUUGUUGGCUGCUUCUACUUGUCCAUUCGAUUGAGGGUGAGCAGGCGAGCAAUACUUCAGCUGUAUCCCGAGGUUCUGGCAGAAAUCCCUGAAGCUGUGAUUAUCGAACUGCCUGCCAUUAUCCGUUACCAAGGCAUAAGGGAUCCCGUAUCGACAGACCAGGUUUCUCCACACGAAGUCUGUUGUUUUCUUCUCUGUGAUCCUGCUAAGGGCUUCUACCUCUAUCCACUUCGUGAAGUAAUCUAUAGCAACUAUUGCAUGUGUUGCUGCUCCUCGUCCCUUUGGCAAUGGGCCGAUCAGAUCAAUUCCCCAUUGAGCGAAUGGCCAAGGGGAGGCCAUAGAGGUGAGCUUCUCUGGUGGUUGGUUAGAGAAAUUUGCAAAACUCUGGCAGCUUACACAACUCCUGGUCUUCUCUUGCGCAUCCCGGUGCAUUGUCGGCCAGAAAUAUCCCUGCCUUAGAACCUUGUGGGCCAGGGACCUCCCGCCAGAAUGAUUUCCGCAAAUUCCUUCAUGUACUUCUCUCAGUACGUAAUCCGCGUCGUCCUCAUCCAAACACCGAAGGAACGGUAGUGUGUAUCCUCGCCGAUACAGUACCCCAUCAAUCAUCGUGUAUCUCGAGGCCUGGGCUCUGAUCUUCCGAGCUCGCAGCUUAUCUGAUGGUAAUACCCCGUCUCUAAGGAAUGAAACUAUCGGGUCCCUCCACGAGCAUUUUUGUUCUAUCCGCAACACCCCCCAAUUCUGCUCGAUACUUGGACUGGACUUCACCUCGAGAGGGACCGACUUUGGCAUUUUUGGGUCGGCUACUGCUGCCAUCCUAGCCAAAAUGUCUGCUCGACUAUUCUGCUCCCUAGGGAUUUGUAUCACCUCCACUGCUUCGAAUUUCCCCAUCAUCUGCUUGACUAUCUUCAGGUACUGCUCCAUCUUCUCCUCUCUUGGUUGGAAUCUUUCAUUGACAUGAUUCGCAACCAGCUGGGAAUCAGUUCUGAUCUUAACUCUGUCUGCUUUCACGGCCUUAGCCAAUUCCAGACCUGCUAUCAAGGCUUCAUACUCUGCCUGGUUAUUUGUGGCUGUAAAUUCCAACUUUACAGCAUAAGAGAUCUCCUCCCCCUCUGGGCCUCCCAAGACAAUCCCUGCUCCUGAACCUCGCUCCCCUGACGACCCAUCCACAGACAUCUGCCAUACUUGAGUUUCAUCACUGCCUAUAACUGCAUCUUGUUGAUCUAAGCAUACUUCGGGUUCUGUGAAUUCAGCUACGAAAUCGGCCAUUGCCUGGGCCUUUAUCGCUGCGCGGGGUUUAUAGUCUAUGUCGAACUCGCUCAGCUCUACAGCCCACUUGACGAGCCGACCAGAAGCAUCUGGCUUGUGCAGAGUUUGACGCAAUGGCUGGUUUGUUAUUACCGUGACCGGGAAUGCUUGAAAAUAUGGCCUCAACUUCCGAGCGGCAACCACAAGGGCGAGUGCCCAUUUCUCCAGCGGUGGGUAUCUGGUCUCAGCGUCGAGGAGGGCCUUGCUGGUGUAGUAUAUCAGAUACUGCACUCCUUCUUCCUCUCUCACCAAAAUAGAACUGGCGGCCCGAUCCGAUACCGCCAAAUACAGAUAUAACUUGUCCCCAUCCCUCGGUGUGGACAGCAGCGGAGCUUGCUGCAAGUAUUGUUUCAAGUUCUGGAAGGCUUCCUCGCAUUCUGGGGUCCAUUCUGUUUUCUUUCCCCUCCUUAUCACUUGAAAGAAUGGCUGACACUUAUCUGUAGCCUUGGAUAUGAAUCUGCUCAACGCCGCCAACCUCCCCGUGAGGCUCUGCAUCUCCUUCAGGUUACGAGGAGACGUCAUCUGCACAAUCGCCUGGAUUUUCUCGGGAUUUGCUUCAAUCCCCCUAUGGCUCACCAUGAAUCCAAGGAAUUUCCCUGACUCGACCCCAAAAGCACACUUCUCCGGGUUGAGCUUCAUCUUAUACUUCCUCAAAAGCUCGAAUGUCUCCUCGAGGUGUCUGACAUGUUCCUUCGGGAUUUUGGACUUGGUGAUCAUGUCAUCCACGUACACCUCCAUGGUUCUCCCAAUCAAUGGCUUAAAGACUUUGUCCACCAGCCUUUGAUAGGUGGCCCCGGCAUUUUUGAGACCGAAUGGCAUUACCCUGUAACAGAACAGACCUUGGUUAGUGAUGAAAGCCGUGCUCUCCUCAUCCUGCUCGUGCAUGGGGAUCUGGUUGUAUCCCGAGAACGCGUCCAUGAAGCUAAGCAGGCCAUGCCCAGCCGUUGAAUCUACUAGCUGAUCGAUCUUUGGCAAAGGGAAGCUGUCUUUCGGGCAUGCCUUAUUGAGGUCUGUGAAAUCCACACACAUCCUCCACUUGCCGUUUGCCUUCUUUACCAACACCACAUUCGAUAUCCACUCAGGGUAACUGACUUCCCGAAUGAACCCUGCUCUCAGGAGCUUCUCCACCUCGCCAUUUAUAGCCUCAUACCUCUCCUGGUUGAAGCACCUCCUCUUCUGCCUUACUGCCCGAGCACCUUUCUUUAUUGCCAGCUUAUGACAUGCUACCUCAGGGUCAAUCCCUGGCAUGUCUUCAUGUGUCCAAGCAAACACAUCAGCAUGAGCCUGUAAGCAUUUCACCAACUCCUGCUUUUGCUCCCCCUUAAGUUUCGACCCGAUUCUGAUCGUCUUUCCCGGGUUCUCUGGUCCCAGGCUCACUGUUUCCAGAUCCUCUACAGGUUCUUGCCUGCCAUUCUUGUUUUCCACUCGGGUAUCGAGGGAUGUUAUCUGCAUUGCUUCCCUUGCUGCCGAGGAGUAGCAGCUUCUUGCGAUCCUCUGGUCUCCUCGUACCACUCCUACUACCCCAUUCACCCGGUACUUCAGAGCCAGAUAAUGGUUGGACAACACCGCUUUGCUCAUCCUUAAAAAUGGCCGACCUAGGAUCAUCUGGUAAGGACCUUCCUCAUCCACCACGACAAAGUCCAGUAUCAUUGUCCUUUCUGUCGGGGAACUCCCAAUUGUGAUAGGCAGUUCGACCACGCCCAGAGGGACCAGCUUCCCUCCUCCGAACCCCUUCAAGGAGGUAUUGGUGUAUUCCAACUUCCGGUCGGCUAUUCCCAUCUCUUCCAGGGUUGACUUAAAUAACACAUCAACUGAGCUCCCUGUGUCAAUCAGUAUCCGGUCAAACUUCUUGCUAGCGACGGUAGCCUUGAUGACUAAAGCAUCCUCGUGGGGGUAUAGAAUCCCUUCCUCAUCCUCAUCCGUCCAUAUGAUUGGCACUUGCCUGACCCUUGCUCGUUUGGCUGCUGGGGUGUUGAAGAGUACCUCUUUACUGGUCAUGGCGUACCUAGCAUAAUUUUUCCUCGAUCUGUUGGAAUCUCCGGCCAAUGUUGGGCCCCCAGCUAUCACCCUUACUGCGGGCUGCUCGCGCCUCAAGUUUCUAUCGCUCUGCUCCCCUUCACCUGUUGUGGCCACCAUCGGGAAAGUCCCAUCCACAAACUCGUCCAGGUACCGAUUUCUCACCAGAUCUUCGACCUGGGUCUUGAGAUCUCUACACUCUGCUGUGGUAUGGCCAUGGGUGUCGUGGAACUUACAAUAACGUCAUCUAUCCCUCCUGUUGGGUAGCUUUGUUAUUGGUGUAGGGAGGUGCAGCAGCCCUCGAUCCUUUAUGGCCUCGUACACCUCAUCCAGGGACAUCUUCAAGGAAGUGUACCGCCCAUAGUCCUGGUUCUGGUCGAUCAGGUGCACUGGUCUUUCUCUAUUUGCCCCGCUCUGAGUUGUGGGCGGUGGAAGUACUUCUGGUCUGCUCGCUCUGCUACCGUGGGAAUAUUGAUGAAGACCACUAGAUGCUGAAUCAUGCCUUCUCCAAGGCUCCCUAGCUGGGGAACGAGGAGGUUGCGCCCCGCUGCGCUGAUACUGUGGUGGCCGCUGAUGAGGCUGGUAAGCAGUUACCCGACCUCCUGCUCCACUACCGGAGGCCUGGUGGUCCCUCCUCCUGAUCGGCCCAUUCCCCGGUAAUGCUUUCUUCUCUUUCCUCCCCAACCCUUCUAACUGAUCUGUUUUAAUCCGUGCGGCCUUCUCCUCUUCAAUCUCGAUGUCUCUCUUAGCCUGCUCGUAUGCGGCUGCGUACGUUUGAAUAGCUGGGCUUCUCAAAUUGUACCACAGCCUUCCUAUCUUCACCCCUUCUUUCAACCCCCUUAACGCCUGAGGGUGGUUGAAGGCUCCCAAGUCGAGGACAGCCCGAUGAAACCUCUUGAUGAAUUCCCGAAGGGUUUCUUGCUCCCCCUGUUUCAUGCUUUUCAGCUCCAUCAUGUCAUCCUCUGGUGCCAUUGCCCCACUAAACUGCUCGGCGAAUUCCUGGCACAUCUGCUCGAAGGUUUUAAUGCUGCCCCGAGGAAGUUUCAUGUACCAUUCUCGUGCACGUCCCUCAAGGGAUAGUGGGAACACCCUGCACCUUUGGGACUGAGAUAAUCCUUGUACCCCAGUUAUGUCGUUGAAGCGCUCUAUGUGCACCAGCGGAUCAGUUCUUCCCGAGUAUCUGAGGUCUGGGAGGCGGAAAUCUCUCGGAAUAACCGCCCUCAUGAUCUCUGCUGCGAGCGGUGAUUCUCCGUCCAGCAUUAUCCUCCAACCAGGGGCUCUGUUCCUUCCUUGCAUGUCGUCAAUUAUCUGCGCUAGUCUGCGCACUUCCUCCUCCAGCUGCCCUGCACGACCAGGGUCACGUGCCUCAACUUGAUCGCGCUCUUGCUCUACAUCAUGCAAGUGUUGCCUCAACUUUGUUUCCUCCGCAUUCACCACCCCGUCGGCCUCGUCAGAAAUCUGUCUUGCCGGGGACUGCUCUCUUUCUCUAUGGGAUUCUCCCCGCAGAGGUACGUUACCUCUCUCCCCACCAUAUCCCCCGGUGGUUUGACUUCUCCUCGCACCAUCGGGACCUGGUGCCACCCCUCCGCCUCUCAACCUUCCCUCUUGGGCCACCCUUCGCUCGCUCCGCAGCUCAUGCAGGAUGGUUGUCAAGGUCUCCAUCUGCUUUUCCAUCCGUUCCAUCCGGUCGAACAUGACUUUUUCCCGUGCUUCACUGACUAUCUCCCUCAGCGUCACGGGAUCGUUAAGCCUCACAUCACCCCCUUGUGCACUAUUUCCUCCUAUCUCCAUUACUUUUCACUUGCUUCACUCCUUUUCUUGCUAUCUACAGAAGCUUUUUUGUAAGGUCCCCACAGACGGUGCCAAAAUGUUGAUGCGAGAUUCUGGUUCUCCUCAUUCUACGACCAGGAUCUCUACUCGAUCAACUUCACCACGACCAGGAAGUCUCCUCGUAAGGCUCCUUCUCCAGAGGUUCCUGCGCACACAGACAAGUCAGAGUACGCCGGUUGUUUUCCCGGCGCAAACCCUCCGACGCUCAAGUCAGAUAUCCAGGUUUGGGGAACACUUGCCACAAAUCUUAUGGCCUUUAGGUCCGUUCUCUCCCUCUAGAAUUUCUUUAGUCUCUCUUUUAUCUCAAAAAAUUGCCAACCCCUUUACCUUCGUUCGCUACCUUUUUGUAGGCUGCCUCUGAAUCCCAGUUUUCCGCUUUUUGCCAGACGGUAUGGGACUCUGACUGCUGCGUUAUGGGCAAAGGUGGGAUCUUGCGUGUUACGCCACGGUUCUGGGGAAAGCGUGGCUGUCGUGAUUCUGUGAGAUCUUGCGUGUUACGUCAUGGGUCUGGGGAAAGCGUGGCUGUCGCGCCUAGAUUCUCGAGCUGGAGAGCAUGUCUUGUCAACUGUCGUCGGCCGGGUCUCCUCGCCACUCGGCCUCUAGCCGAAAUGACCUUAUACCUCUCACAGGAAGUUGGCCUCGCGGAUGACGUGCUCGUGGACGAACAAGAUAUUUCUGCUCCUGUUCCCCCGCGCACCAGGCUUUUACGGAACACACCGGUCCGCAGAACUCUGCCAUCAGAUACCUGCUCACCAUGCCUGGUCUCGUCGACGUAUUUCUCCCAAACACAACUCAUAUUACAUGAGAAUAUAACUGAUAUAUACAAAUCAGACUAUAACUGGGACCAACAUACAUCAAAGCUAAUGGAGCGCUGCCCAGAUUUUAACCCUCUCAAAUAUUCGAGGGAUGUCUACUCCUCGCACUGGGGCAAGGAAGCAGACUGCCUUCACUCAAUUUUAUUUGAAGAAGAAAACACCCCACAUGCAUUGUGGGGGUUCGAACUGCUGCAGCAGCUCUCACCACUCGGCCAAAGACCGAGUGGCUAUAUUACUUCCCUGUUAAGAGCUGGAUCCCACACCCUUGAGCUUUUGUCGUCCCGGUCAACUAUAAAAGCAAAUCAUUAUUGAGUGGGAACAGACUUAUUGAUCACCCAAUUUUCAAACUUGUCAUCGUUAUUGAAUCUGCAUUCCCUUUUAAAAAAUUUUAAAAAAAGUACAAAUAAUGAAACAAAGUUCUAUUCCUUCAACAGUUGAUAGAGUUACGCGGCUUCAACUUGCAAGUGCUGUCGGCAUUUUCAAACUUGUAAUACCCUUACAACUUGCUUUCCAAGAUAGCUAUAAUUAAUAAUGACAACAGUCUCCCUUAUAGCGACUAGUGAGCAACUUGUUUCGUGAAAUUAACAGCAUCUUCUCUCACAUUUUUUAAAAAAUUGAAUUAUAUAACCCACCAAAACUAUAAAGAAUUGUUAGUUUUUCUUCAUUAAAAUUAAUAUAUUGCUCCUCAUUUUGAAAAAUCAAAAUUCAGAAUAAGAAUGAUUGAUACUGUUUAUUUACUAAAAUGAAAAUAAAAUAUAUGAAGCCUACAUAUUUUUGAAAUUAAAAAACAAGAACUUUAUUUUUCAUGGGAAGUGUUGGAAAUCAAGUUCUCAUUAUUUAAACUCUCAAUUGUACCUCACCGAAAUUUCAUAAUUUCACUUUUGUUCUCAAUUAAAAUAUUGUUAUAGUUAUUAUUCUUAUUUUUAUAGUUGUUGUUGAUGAUGAUGAUGAUGAUACAAGAUAAUUAAAUUAAUGAUAAUUAAACCAAUUUGAAUUCAGAGUGAGUGAGUACCAUGACUUCGCAUCAUUUGAUAUCAAAAGAGCAUCAUUACUAACUAAUAUAGGCUCGAUCGAAUUCAUCAUGCGAAGCAUAAUAUCGGCUGUAGGUAUGGAAAUAAAUUUUGUAUCCACAAACACUAUUUUUCAAAAUAUUUUAAGACUUGACUUAGCAUUUUUUAACCAUAUAUGUAUAGGUUGUUUGACCUAUUUUAAAUAGUGGAGAUUACAACAAAUGAACAGAUGUGGAUUAGUAGAGUUGUUGAGUUCAGAAGAUUGAAGUUAACAAAGGGUUUCUUGAUCUAGAGAAAAUUUGAAAGAGCGAAGUGUCUUCGAGAUCAAAAGACGAAAUAAGGAAAGGGUAAGGUUAUACUUUCAAAAUGAAUCUGUUGAGAGAACUUUGAAGAUUACUUCCGUUAAGAGCUGGAUCCCACACUUGAGUCUUCGUCGUCUCAGUCAGUCAGCUGUAAAGUCAGUCAGCUAUAAAGACAAAUUAAUUUUGAGUGUGAAAGGACACAAUUGAUCACCAAAUUUUCAAACUCGUGAUCCUUAUUCAAUCUACAUUCCCAUUUGAAAAACAAUAAAAGAUUAACAUUAAUUUAACUUCAUCUAGAUUCCCAUUUGAAUCUGCAUUCCCAUUCCCUUGUUCUCUGGGAAUGCACAUAAUCAAACAAAAUCCUAUCGGCAUUUUCAAACUCGUGACCCUUCAAGCUUUCUAUGACAACUAUAAUGAAUAAUUACAACAAUGCUACCUAAUAGUGAGCAACUUGUUUGAUGAAAUUAACAGCUUCUUUUCUCUCAUGUAUUUUUAAAAAAUUAAAUUAUCAAAGUUUUUAUUUCAAAAUUAGUGCUAUAGUUCAUUAAUUUUUCAAUUUUUCCUUUUUCUUUCCACACAACAGAUUGAUUUGCCCUCCAAAAAAUAUAUUAUAUUGUUUAAUAUUGUAACUUCAAGAAACUUACAAUAAAUUUUUAAAGAGAUAAAUAGAGAAUGUCAGUCUCCCAUCUACUCAAAAUUAAUAUAUAUCAUUAACUCUUGAUUAUUUUUAUAACAACUAAUAACUUUCUUGGCAGCAUAAUUUUACAGUAUCAUCCUUGUUUGACGUUUGUAAGUAUAUUUUUAUUCAUAUUUAUUAUAAAUUAAUUAAAUCAUAUCAAUGAAAAUUGAAAUAAAAAUUGAAGUACUAAAAAUUUAAAAAAUAUAUUUUGGUGUGAAUAAAAAAUUGAAAAUAAAAAUAUUUUUCUUAUAUUUUUUGUUAUUUUAAAAAUUUUUCUUAUAAUAAAUGUAUAUUUUAUAUGCUCAACUUUUUCUUUUAAUUUUUGUUAUUAGGAGGAUUUUUAGAUAUAAUGAAAAUUGUAAGGUAGUAAGUAAUAUAUAAUAAUUUUAAUAGAGAAAAGUAAAAAAUCUCUUAUUUUAAAAUAUAAGGAGAAAAAUAAUUAAUUUCAAGACAUUUUAGAAGAUAUUUCAAUAUGCGGUGGACCACAAACUCGAGUCUUUGUCAUCUCAGUCAACUAAAAGGACAAAAUAUUGAGGGCAUGGCUAAGGUGCAGAAGCUGCAAGUAACAGCUUCGAACUUUCCCAUUUCCAUCACCUUGCAUUGGGACCUCUUUCUCUCUCCUCUAGCACCCGUGGAAGUUCCCCAUUGGCUACUGUAACUUACAGAAGCUGUAACAUAGAUUUCUCCGAAUAUUGAGCGCGAAGGGCUCAAGUGAUUGUUAAUUUCACAGCAAUUGCCUUUUUUUUUUUCUAAUUAUUGGGAAAUAAUAAUUUAGUAUAACAAAUAUUAUAUCCUAUACUUUAUUGCUACAAAAUUACGAAACCUUAUAUUAUAUUAUGUUUCCAUAUUUCUCCUUUAUAGUGAAGACUCAUACUUCUUCUCUAGUAAAUGUUAAAGCAUUGGCUUAAACUUUUUAACUAGCACAGUAGACCCUUAAGCUAUAUAUACUAUAAUGUCCCUCUUCCCUCACAGAUUAAACCAAUCUAUCUCAGAGUAAGUUUGCAUCAAAGGAGUAUCCUUACUAACUAAUAUAGACUCGAUCAACAGGGAUGACAAUAAUUUUUUUAUCUACGAACAUUAUUUUUUCAAAAUAUUAUAUCUUUAGACUUAACUAAAUAUUUUUUAACCAUAUAUGUAUAGUUCGAUUAAAUAGUGGAGAUUACAAUAAAACAUAUGCGAAUUAGUAGUGAUGUUGAGUUCUAGGUCAAGACGAAAAUAAGGAAAGGAUAAGGGUGUAUUUUCAAAGUGAUUCUAUUGAAAGAUCUUUGAAGAUUACUUUCGUUAAGAGCUGGAUUCCACACUCUUGAGCCUUUGUCGUCCCAGUCAACUAUAAAGACACAUUAUUAUUGAGUGUGAACAUUCCGACUUAUAGAUCACCAAAUUUUUAAACUUGUGAUCUUCGUUGAAUCUGCAAUCCCUUUUGAAAAAAAAAAAAAAAAAGGAAAACUGCAAAUAAUGAAACAAAAUUCUGUUCCUUGAUAGAGUUACGCGGCUUCAACUUGCAAGUGCUGUCGGCAUUUUCAAACUUGUAAGACCCUUCAACUUGCUUUCCAAGAUAGCUAUAAUUAAUAGGAUCCCUCUAAGUUACGUUUAACGUAACAUACAGCCGAUGACAUGAUUAGUUGACCAAUAAUUAUAUGCCAGGUAAACAUAAUAAUAAUAAAAUAGAACUGAUUUAAGCGGUUGGAAGUCGGUCAUCAAAAGAAGUCAACGCAGGCAACACCCUUCUACAGGCGGUUGUCUCUGCCGUCAACUUUUCUGGUUUCUCCGACGACUCAAUCCUUCCCAUUAAGUUAGAAUCCCAAUUUUGCAGGCUCAAAUCUUUCCCGGCUACUGCCAAACCCAAAACCCACAUCAAUGAUAAUCAUCAUCAUCACACCGAAAAACACACACAAUCUCUUCAUCAUCAUCAUUCAAAUCCAACUUCAAAGUUAGAGUUUUUUUUAUUCCAAAUAAAACCCAUAUGGGAAACUCGGCUUGGAGACUGCAAAAUCCGUUUCUAGUUGUGAUUCCUCUCCUCCUUUGCCAUUUUCUUUGAGUCCAAAUAGAACCCAGAUUAAAAAAUUGAUUUUAAAGAAAUUCCAGGUGUGGGUCUGUUUUUGCUUUUGUUCCUAUUGUCGCUGUUUCCUCGAAAUCGAAGUUGAAGUCGAAAUCCAACUCAUUUUCUUCGUCGUUGAGUUCUCCGAGUUCAUGGAUGGAUUCACCUUCUUCUCCGCCGUCUCCACCUCAGAGAAAGGGCUGUUUUUUAUGUUCUCCAAAGAGUGCUUUGAAGAAAAAGAGCAAGAAAAGUCUAAUUCUUGGUGAUGAUCUUGAUUUGCUUGUAAAGAACGAUGAGUUCUUAUCGGAUUUGAAAUUUUUUUUGUGUUAAAGAGCAGGAAAAGAUGCUGCAGAAGGCAAUAAGGGAGCAAGAAAAGGUUAGUGGAGACUGGAGAGGAAGAGAAGAUUGUCAAAUGGGCACACCAAUUCAGCCGGUUUCCCAUCCUUUAGAGCUUUUGGACAAAUUAAACACUAGCCAUUGGAUUAGAUUUUAACACUUUCAACGGACAAGAUUUUUUAAAUUGUACGUUACGUUAAACGUAACUUAGGGAUUGCCUAAUUAAUAAUGACAACCGAAGACGGCUACGUUUGCGGUACAAAAGUUGCACCAUAUUAGACGUUCUUUUUUGUUCUUAUCCGAAGUAACCGUUGGAUUCAAAGGAAAGUGAUCAGACAUUCAAUAGCUUCACACGUGGACAUUAUAGGAUACCGGUCAAAUCGGUUAGUGCUCCUCCACAUCAAACUCACAAGCAUGGCAAUCAUCGUAUCAGCUUGGAAACUUGUUACAAGUGACGAAGAGCAACAGGGUCCGCUCCUCUAGAGUCGGUUAGUGCUCAAUAAUGUUACAGUUUUUAUAAUAUAUGUAACUGGUACGAUCGCUGUCUCAAGUGGUAAACUUUUGAGGCACAAAUUUAGAACGAAAAGUUCCCAAUAAAAUAAGUUAUUUAAUUAAUUAAAUAAGAAUAAAAUGAAUUUGUGAAAAAAAAUUUAAAUUUAAUUUUGAAUUAUUUUGACCAAAAUUUAAGUUUUUUUUUUUAAAUUUGUUUAAGAAAAUGCGUUGUAAUUGUCUUGUUUUAAUUAGAAAAUCAAUGAAAAAAUUAUGUAAAAAAAAAAAAAAAAAAAAAGCAAAACGCUUUGUUUUGGAUGGAGGCCAUAGAUUCCAAUAUUUCCUUCACGAAAACUACAAAAAAAUUAUCAAAGGCAUCAAUUUCUACACUCUCACCGAGCAAUACUCUUAACCCAGAAGAAAGUGUAUAAACCAACCUCAAUCAGUCCAUCAAUGUCGUCAACCUCAUACAGCAUAAACAAAUCUGUGCCCAUUAAACUGCCAUUUAAACCGUCUUUAUUGAGCCAUUAGACUACUUGUGUCAUCUUGCCAUCUCGUUGUAGUAUUUUGCCGCUCAAAUCUAGUUAUCAAUUGGGGAAAAUGGGGACCAAUCUGCAAGUCUUUAAAAUAGAAAGAAACUUUAAUUGGGCACUAUGUUCACUGUAGUGGACCCAGGAGCAGCUAUUUGUGCUUCAAAAAAUAUUUUACUCACUCUAAUUUUAAUAAGAAUAUAUAUUACCAAAUUACUUAUCAUAUAAGUUACUGGACAAUAUAUUAUAAGUCAACAUUAUAUAAUUACUUUGAACACUUAUAUAACCCAAUCCUAAUUUAAUUUAUUAUUCUCAUAACUUAAAUAUAAAAAUUUUUAUUUCCAACUUCUUAAUUAAUAUGUAGAUGAAUAAUAAGGAAAUUAACUUUGAGAAAAAAUUAAAUACAAAAUAUGUGUAAUACUUUAAAAAAAAUAAACAAAAGUAUUGCACAAGAUUAUUUUUUUUGGUGGGGGGGGGGGGGGGGGGGGGCUUUGGCCAUUCUUCUUCUUCUCCUUCUCUCUCUCUCUCUCUCUCUUUUUGUAGUAUUUAUGGAACAUUUUCUAUUGUUAUGUUCUCAUUGCAAGUUAUUUUGGGUGUAAAAUUCAAUAUUGAAAAUAAAUUAAAUAAAAAAAUUAGUAACUAAAAUUAUGUUAAAUUAUUUUUUAACUUAAUUUUUAAUUAUAUUAUUAGUAUAUGUUAAAUCUCUUAAAAAUCGAGUGUUGAAUAAUUUUAUUAGUUUUUUAAAUAAAUAAAAUUAAAUAACUUCAAAAGUUUAAGUAAGGAUAUUUUUAAAUUUUUUAAACAGUGUACAAAGUAAAGUUUAUUUUCUUGUCAGUGGCAAAUGAUCACGACAAGAAAUAUGAAGUAGAAACAGCAGAGCUCAACAAAUCACUAAGAGAAAAUAAGACCAAUAACCAAGCAGAUAAAAGAAAAGCAAAAUAACCCAUCUCAAAAUCACCACAUGCACAAUUUAAGGGGUUUGUGACAUGGGUUUAAACAUGAUUUAACAAGUGCCACCUGUGAAUUGUCAGAGAUUGUAUUUUCAUACACAUGUCAAAUUUUCAAAUCCAACAAAUUGUUAUCUUUAUAAAGAGGCUAAUAUUAUUAUUAUUUUUUUUUUUUGAAGUCUGUUAUACACAGAUAUUACUGACAUUACAUCAGACAUUACAAUUGAUAUUUACAAUCAUACUAUAUAACUGGGACUACCACCAUACAUUGACACACUGAAGUAUAUGCCCAGAUAUUUUAAACCCUCUCUAAUAUUCGAGGGGUGCAUAUCUACUCACAUUUCGUAAGAGAGAGACUGUCUCCACUCAAUUAAUUGAUAAUUGAGGAAGAACUGAAACUAACCUCCAUAAUGCACUUAUGGAGGCUCGAACCCUUGCACUCAACAUUGUAAGUGCAAGGUUUCUCCCAUUGAACCAAAGGCCCAUUGGUUAAUAUUAUUAUUAUCUAUGCAUAGCAUGCUAUAAACAAUUCAUAUUACUAGGGCCUUUGUUUUCUGUACACAACAUAUGGACAGCGGAACAAAUCCCUGAGCUAAAAUCAUCAUAUUCCAAAAUAUUCUAUUAAAUCAACACCACAAAACGCGAACGCUAAACAGAAUUGGAGCAAUUUACCAAAGCUAUUUGUCACGCAAAGCACUAGUACCUCAGAACCCAAUUUGCAAAAAAGCACCAAAAAUGAAAAAUAACAAAUGCCCAGAUGAAAAAUCAGGAAAAAAAAAAUGCUCAAAUCCAAAUUACAACCCCAUAAGCUGAGUCGUUCUCUUCGAACUGAAUUAAAAAAAAAUUAAAAAAAUUAAAAUGGGGAGAUUGACCUCAAACUUUGGAAACAGAAGCGACAGCGAUCUGUUUCUUGUCUGGAGUGUCCAUUUCUAUAAUCUACUUUCUCCGUUUUCAGUCGCUCUGCCGCAGAGCUUCUUCCCUCUGAAGCCGAAGCUCACACACACUUGCAAAACGAAAGCAUUUUUUAUUGAUUGAGAGGCGGGAAGGCGGGAAAAUGAGAGAAAUUUGCAUUUGUUUUCUCUUGGUUUGGUCAUACCUGUGCGGGCCCCAGCUUGACAAGCGGUAUUAUUACUAUUUGUAUAAUUUACAUGACGCGUGUCACGCAAUGACGAUAAAAAAAAAAUAUAUAUUGUUAAUUUUUCACUUAACAUUGAAAUAUCAUAUAAUUUUUCCAAUUUUAUGGUUAUUUUCUCGCCCUUAUGCCACAUUCUUUUGAUCAAACAAUACAGUAAAACUUUUCUAUAAUCAUAAUAUUAGAGCCAAAUUAGCUUUAUUUAUGUAAAGAGGCUAUAGCUUAAUGAAGUUAAAAUUAUAAAAAAAUAUUAUUUUGACUCAAUUAUCUUUAGUGCAAGUGAUAUAAAGUAUAAAUAUAUGGUAAUUAAUUAAUGAACUAUGUCAAAUACAAUAUACUGACAAUGAUAAAAAAGAUAGACAUAAUUUCAAGAAACUAAUACAUAUAUUUAUGCAGUGUUGGGAUUAUACAAAAUUAUCUUAAAAAUGUAAAGAGUAAAGUAUUAUUCUGAUUAUUUAAAAAAUUUAUUUUAUCUUAAUCUUUAAUGCAACAUAGCUUUUAUUUUUUUCUUAGCAACAAAGCAUUGUUCCAAAUAAUUAUUAUUGGAUUCAAAUCAUGUCCUAGGCAUUUUUUCUUCUAGUCGUCUUAAACUUUUAAUGAUUUAUUGGCAUGUGUCAAUCAUUAAUGAAAUUAAAUAACUAAGACUUUGUUUUAAUUAACGUUUACAUAAAUAGACAUCAAAACUCACGUGUGAUUCUUAUCAAUUUUUUUCCUGCAAAUUCUUUUCCUCUCAACUAUUCAUAUUUUGACAUUAAUUUCCAACAAAUUAUUUUUAAAAAAAAGGAGCGUAAAAUGGAGAAAAGUGAUUCACAACAAGGUUUGCAUCUUAAUUUCAAAAUUUUCCUUUCUUUGCUAUUUUUGUGGGUUCUACAAUUGUUGUUUUCACUCUCAGCUGCAGUUCAAUGAACUCUAUUAAUAACCAUGAAGCUUAAUGUAUCAAUUCCAAUGCGACAAGUCCUUCUACGCAUGUUACAACACUUUUUGGUCAUUAUAGGUUGCAAAUGCUCCGUAAUGUACUCAUUCAUAUAACGGAAACGCUAUUAUCAAUAAUGAAAGUUGACUAAGUUUGUAAAUUCUAUUUAACGAAAAAGUAACAUAAAUUUAGUUGAACAAGAGGUAAUUAAUAUGUAAUCUAUGAAACUAGGGUGUGACUAAGUUACAUAGUAAUGUAACUUACAUGAACACAAAAAUAAUUAGUUUUUAAACUACAAGUAGCUUUGGAACAGCUCUUAAAUUGAUAUAAGUUCUAUUAUUAUGUAACUUAGCAAGGUCAGAUAUUUUAAUAAUAGCACAUCACUAUUGUUUCAUGUGAAUGAUGCAAUUGGAUUAGCCCAAGACCAUUCAUACCGUCAUCCCCGGGAGAUGCUAUGGCAAUAGCUUACUCUACCGUGCCAAUGUCAUUAGUAUUAAUCUGAUGAACCUAAGACCAGAUCUAAGCUGAUCUAGAUUCCCCAAGAUCGCACACCACACAGUGAUUAAUGAAUCAAGAACAAUAAACCAUCAAAGAAUCGCAAACUUUCGGGUUACAUGUAAUAAAUGUUUUAAUUAUUAGAUGAUUCAUAAUGUUAGACCAUUUUUUGUAUGUUUUGUAAUCUACGUUUGAUAAUUUAAUUAGCUGAUAAACACUUGAAUAAUAUUAUUUCAUUAACUAUGUCAUUGAUCCCCAGGAAAAAAAAAAAAAAAAAAACCCCCAAUUUAGGAUGUUAUACAUUACUUUUCCAUUACUUCCCAUUUUAGAUUAAUAUCUAUCACAUAUAUUCUUAGUAACUUGUCACCCUUCUAUUUCUGAGAUUGUCCUUACAAUAAGGAUGCCGGCCCCAAUGUUAAAAACUGCUAUCUCUAGGUGUAAAUUCCUUAUAAAAUUCUUUUUUAAUUGAAAUUACUUAAAUAAUUGAAGAUAAAUUAAUUUUUUAUUUCAUUCAAAUAAAAAAAAUCAAUUAAACACUUAAAUAAGCUAUCCUUUUAAUUUUUUUUUACACCCCUCCAGUUUCAUAAUUUAUAUUUAUAAUUUAAAUUUUAAAGGAAAAUAUUUUUUUGAAAAAUUUUAAGAAUUAAGAAUUAUGGGGAUAAAAAUUAUGUAAUAAGAACAAAAUAAUUUAAAAUUUUAAAAUUUGCAUGUAUUAUAAACAAAAACUUGAAAGAAAUACUCUUUUCAGGGUGAGAUUUAAUCAGAAAAAGAUUAAUUUUCAUUUAUGGAUCAGUAUUUUAUAAAUUAAACAGAGGUAUUUUAAGAAAUAGAAUUCAAAAGGCAUGGGAACAAGGGCAUUGGGUUUCCUUUUGUUUUGUAUGGAUUGGGAAAAAUACACGGACAGACAAAGGGAACAGUCAUUAUAAUGCUGCGGAGCUUGUCGGAGAUUCCCUGCCCAUUUGUAGCUUAGACUCCUGGGGUUUUGUUCAUGUCUUUUCUGUAUCCCACUUUCUCAUGCAGCAGAUGUACAUAUGAUGAGAUGAAAACAACAGCAAAAAUUGCUGUCUCAUAAGAGAAAUAGUCAUACAUAGUUGGUUAGGCCUCCUGUCCAUUAACAUAAUAAUGAAUUUUAUGAAAAUUGAUUAUCUCAUUGGAAUUACAUAGAUAUUGGAAAACAUUACUCCAGCCCCACCAUCCCAACCAUUUACUUAGUUCAUCAGUAAAAGCUGGAUUUUCCAUUUGUUCUUGAGAUUCAAAUUAAGGCAACAAGUUGCUCAUUCUAUAUUAUCUAUGUAAUCCUGUAAAAGUGAAGGGCGUUUAGAUGUGGAAAAACCUUACUCCUGCCGCAACACCUCAAACAGAUUGUGAUCAGACAAGACUUAGUUCAUCAUUAGUAGUAGUUGGAGCUUCCAUUUGUUCUAGAGAUUUAAAGGCAGCAAGCUGCUUCCUCAGUGCUACUAAUUCUUCCCCGGCAUUGCAUAUGUAGCCUGAGGCUUGUCUACCAGACAAAGUUGCUCCUUCCAUACUAUCUAUGUAAUCCAGUGAGAGUGAAACCAUUUAGAAGACGUAUCUCUUUCUUUCCAAUAUUUAGAAUGAAACAAUUAUAUACAGUUACCUGUUUUGUAUAUGAGCCGACGAGGAAGAAGUUCUUCACUGGUGUCUUUUGAUCGUGUCUGAAGGAGUCUUUACCAGGUCCCUCACCGCACAAAGAUUGCCCGAUUUUGACAAAAGAUGACCAAAUAACUUCUAAACCUUGGGAUGAUGGAAAUAGAGCUAAAACCUAAUAAAAGGAACCGUGAAUGGAUAGUAUGGACUCAUGUAUAUUAUCCAGAAAGUUGCAUGACCUUUUGUGGUACUCAGGUCACUAAAAAAUGUGAGAUAAACAUCUAGGAUAAGAAAAGCAAAAAAGCAUAACCUAAUACGUAUUAUAUGAAUUGAAGGUGUCACUGAACACUACCAACCUGCUUUGCCACUCUCCUUAUGAUUUCAUCAUUUGGUAAGGGCAUAUAAGGAUCUCCAGGUGUCAAAAUGAAUCUGAAAUAUAAUAUGGCUAUAGUAAGCAACACAGAAUACAAAGACACUUAGCAAAAGGAAGCCAAUCAGAUUCCAUGCACAAAAAAUAACUAAUAAUGACGAGGAUAAGAAAUUUUUCUUACUGGAGCAAUGAACCUUGCCCUUCUCUGUAGUAGUCUUCUGGUGAAGUGAGUGCUAGAUCUGCAAAGCAAGAUAAAUCUGCAUCUGGAGUAUAUGAAAGGUUAUCUAACCCCACAGCUUGCCUCAAUUGUCUACAUGUUCAAAACAAGGAUCUGUUAAAAAAUGGAAAUUUCUUCAAUGCAUUAGUAAAGGGAAGUGAAGUGAAAGCUGAUUUCUUAGGCCUUCACAGAGCAUCAUGUGUUUGAAUUCCGGUAACCUCACAAAAGAUUAGAGCAUCACCUUGACCGUUCUAUGUCUUGCAACUCAGUAACCCAACCAUUGUAUCUAAGCUGCACUGUGACAACAGGAACUCCAACUAGCUCAUAAAUAUUGUUGAAAAAUUUCAUUUCCCUCCACGAUGAUGGAAGCAGUCUUUUAAUUCCAGGGACAUCACAUGCGGCCAUUAAAUAAGAAGUUGAAUAAAGAAAAAUCGUUCAACUAAAUGAUUCAGGAGUUAAAAAAAAAAAUGUAGAAGUAGAAAUAAAUAACGAGGAUUUAACCAUGAACCUGCAACAUAUGCAUCAGCUUGCACAACCUUCUUGUCAGUGGCCUGAAAUAGAAUGAGAAAUUGAAAGACAGUAAGCAUUAAAGAAUAAACUCAAAGAAGCUGCUUCUAACAGAUGAUAUAAACAAUAAAUUUACAAAUGUCAGAUCAUUGCAUUAGCUCUAUGCCUCCAUCAGAGGGAAUAUUAAUAGAUGCAUAAAAAAAUAAUUAGAGCCACAUGUGAAACAAUUUACCUUAGACGUAGCAGAUUUAUCAUAAAGUAUCUCUCUGCAUCCCCACCUAAGAUGGAACCUGUUCUCACAAGAACAGAUCCCAAGGUUGGGAAAAUCAGUUCAUCAUAGGAGAAAACAAAGAAGAUUAACAAAUCACUACAAUGGUGUGAACCCGUAAAUACAAACGUACCUGCCCCCUUUAUCUGUGAUAUAUUUUCUUAUGGGCCCACUCAAAUAAACAUCCGGAGAACCCUUGAGCAUCAGCAAUAGGGAAGCCUCAGUCUUAGUCGCAAACAGUGCAAAUAUAGUAAGCAUACAACGAGCACUGAUGUUAUCACAAUCAAUAAACCCAAGGGCAUACGAAACAGGAUCCCACAUUCUUUGGAACCCUUGGACAAAAACCAAUCAGAGAAGCUUAUCUGUAAGAAGAAAUGAAGUUUUAGGUAAAAUAACAAUCUGUAGGAACAGGGAUUGAAAUUCAACAAACAAGAAAAUAUGAUGUCAUUCUUACACUAUCCAAAUCUCAUAUGUCCUUCAAGGCUCCAUCAGGAUCAACAAGUGCCUUUACAACAGCACUCAGAGCAAGAGCAAGAGCAAGAGCAUUUCUUGCUUUAUCAUAAGUCUGCACUUGAGCAAUUUACGAGGCAAAGUACAUCAAAAGAGAAUCCAAAGGAGGCAAGAAGCUUCAACAUGAAAAAAGGAGUGCUGCCUCAUCAUACUGCUUUGCAAUCACAGUGCAAAAGAUAACAUCAACAAAAUCAAAAUCUAGCAUAAAUCCAUAUGCACUACCUUAAGCUGAUUUGUAGACAAAAGACCCGUUUGGGGCAGCUGCGUGGCAAACGGGUCUUUUGUCUACAAAUCAGCUUAAGGUAGUGCAUACGGGUCCAAAAAUGCGUGAAUCCCAUGUAACGGAGCUCCAAUCAGAAACCCGAAAUCAAGUUCUGGAGUUGAAAAUCAAAAUCAUGAACCAAAUCAGAGUUAUUAUUGAAUUAGACAAUCCAUAAACCAAUAGAAGGUAAAAAAAAAGGAAUAAAAAUUCUUCUAAAUUCUUUCACCAUCAACAAAAUCAGUAAAACACAUACUGAUUCAAAAUGACAUAAAGUUUGUGAAUUGAAAUAAUGCCAACUCCUAAGAAAAAUUAUGACUGCUGAUAUUUUUUCUGAAAUGCUGAUAAAAGCUUCUGCUAUUUACUUUGAAAAAAUAGAGGUUAGAAGCCAAUUUACUUGAAAUUUUGAGUUUAGGCAAGAGGAUGAAUGGCAAAAGUGAAACAUUUUAGGGAAAAAUGUACUUCAGAGGCCAAUGAAAGCAUUCAGAAGAUUGAAAUCUAAAUAAGCAAAACCCCGUGGCCUUGAUCCAACAAAUCCACUGCUGUUGACAUGCCUGCAAGCCCAGCUCCAAUAAUAGCCACUUUCAGCUUUGGUCCUCUAUAAUGUUCCGGUUCUGGUAGAAACAAACCCUUGGGAGCUGCCAAGUAUACCAUCCAAUUAUCCACAGCGAUAAUGGAAAUAUAUAUGUGUUUAAAGGUACUAAAUUCCUAAACAUGAAAUGUAUCCAAAGAGAGACACAAAGCAGAAUUGUGCAAGCAUUUCAAUUCCCAAUAAAUUUUAAGAAUACAAAAUACUCGGUCUGUUCCUCAAUUCCUUUAAUAAAAUUUCCACUAGAGGCUACGGAAGCCACUCAAUAACACUCCAAAGCCAGAUUUUAAAAGUUAUCUUUAACACAAAUUCAAUUCAAAAUUGUUCAAGUGCACCGCCACUUCUCCAUCAAUUCCCUCAAAAAUUCAUAAUUGCCAAACACUACAAACCAAAAAGAGCUUCCAGCAAUAAACGCAUAAAAAUCCACCAAGCAACAUAAAACAAAAUACCCAGAAACCAGAAAAGCCAAACGAUCAAUGCUUGGCAAACAAGCCAAUCAAAUAAAACAAAAAGAAGAGAAAUUUACCAUUAACGCUCAUAUCAGAAACAUUAGUGUCCAAAGAAGCCCGUACACAGAAUCUUGGAUCCUUCACUUGAACCCGAGACCAUGUAACGCCAGUAACUGAAGUUGCAGGAAACAGAACUGAAGAACCCAUAUUGCAAAUCCUGAGCUGAAAUCAAAGAAAUUCAAUUGGAACUCAAUUCAGCUCAACCGAGCGGAGCUCUCUUUUGCUUCAAUAACAAAGUGUUUUUCUUUCAUAUCAACAAAGAUUUGUCAACAUCAACAAAAUUUAACUAAGAAACUAAAAUAAUGCAGUAUCUUUGAGUUUAAGAAUCUAACAAGAUGUUAAGGAAGAGAGUUUUGUCAGGGAACUGUUUCGGAGAGGUUGGCCAAGUGCAUUUUUGUUUUUUUCUUGUUUUGCCCUUUUCAUUAAUGCACAACAUUAGUCCACGUGAAGAGCACAAAAUGCUGGUGGCUUUGUCACUAACGAUAAUGGAUGGAGUGUCCAAAGCAACCAACUAAAUUUUAAAGAGAGGGAAUGAUAAGUAAUAUCUUAAUGGGGUGAUUAAUUAAUUUAUUAUCAAGCAAUUGUAUUUAUUUAUUUAAAAGAUAUCCUUAUCUUUGUACAAGGUUUGAGGAAAGACGACGAUGUUGUGUUGUCACAUAUUUUUACGUUUCUCCAUAAUUCACUGCAACAUCAACUGGGCCACCACCUCUUGCCUCUCCUGGUUCCCCUCAAUUUUCGUAUUCAAUGUCCACCGUUGAUUGUACAUUUAUUAAAAUUCUGUGGUUAUUGUUUUUUUGCAUACAUUUAAUUCCACACGGUCUAUGGAUAGAGCAGGUGCAUCGUAGUUGUGGCCUUAACUGUUAUUGGUAACUCAAUAGCUAAUUCUAAUGUUUCAUCAAGCAGUUUAGAGAUAACCUCUCUCGCUGAACUCCCCGGAGUAACGCAAUCCAGUUUUCCAGUGCAAUCAUCAGACAGUUGAACAGCUUCUGAAUUCCCUUUGCUUUUCUUGUUUUCUUUUCCAUGUAAAGGGAGCUCAGGCUUCAAUAUAUCUGGGGAUUGAGUUCUAAUGAUAAAGACAACAUACGGUAGAGGACACAAAUUGUUAUUAAAGAAUGACGCACUUUUCAACUGAGUACAGUAAAGCAAGAAUGGGUAAUUAGUUUUACCUGCAACGUGAAAAUCUAGACUCCCGACGGUAACCGAUCUUUGGUGAAGCAAAUAAAGAAGAAGGCGAAGUAAAAUUCACUGAGUUGAAUGAGCGAUCAUUGUGUAUGGACUUGAUUUGUUCAAUAGGUGAAAGACUGCUGAUAUAAUUAAAGACUGGAGAAUCCUGCACGUUGACAAGCAUCAUUUUUAAUAUAACAUAGAGUCUUAAAAACCUAGUCAGUGGCAAAUGAUCACGACAAGCAAAAUGAAGUACAAACAGCAGAGCUCAACAAAUCAUUAAGAGAAAAUAAGACCAUUAACCAAGCAGAUAAAAGAAACGCAAAAUAACCCAUCUCAAAUCACCGCAUGCACAAUUUAAGGGGGCUGUUACAUGGGUUUAAGCAUGAUUUAACAAGUGCCACCAGUGAAUUCUCAAAGAUUGAAUUUUCAUACACAUGCAAAUUUCCAAGUCCAACGAAUUGUUGUCUUUCUGAAGAUAUUAACGAUGCAUAGCAUACUAUAAACAAAUCAUAUUAUUAGGGCCUUUCUUUGCUGUACACAACAUAUGUACAGAGGAACAAAUCCAUGAGCUGAAAUCAUCAUAUUCCAAAAUAUUCUACCCAAUCAACACUACAAAACCCUAACGCUAAACAGAAUUGGAGCAAUUUACGAAAGCUAUUUGUCACACAAAGCACUAGUACCUCAGAACCCAAUUUGCAAAAAAGCAACAAAAAUGAAAAAUAACAAAUGCCCAGAUGCAAAAUCAGGAAAAAAUGCUCAAAUCCAAACUACAACCCCAUAAGCUGAGAUUGACCUCAAACUUGGAAACAGAAGCGACAGUGAUCUGUUUCUUAUCUGGAGUGUCCAUUUCUAUAAUCUACUUUGUCCGUUUUCAGUCGCUCCGCCACAAAGCCUCUUCACUCCGAAGCUGAAACUCGCCACACACUUGCAAAACGAAAGCAUUUGAUCGAUUGAGAGGCGGGAAGGCGGGAAAACGAGAGAAAUUUGCUUUUGUUUUUUCUUCGUUUGGUCAUACAUGUGCGGGCCCCAGGUUCACAAGCGUUAUUAUUACUAUUUGAAGGACGCGUGUCAUGCAAUGGCGAGACAAAAAGUGGUGCAAAACUCCAAUGGUCACGAAAUGACGAUAAAAUAAAAAUAUAUCGUUAAUUUUUCACUUAACAUUGGAAUAUCAUAUAAUUUUAAGGUCAUUUUCUCGCCGUUACGCCACAUUCUUUUGAUAAAAUAAUAUGGUAAAACUUUUCUAUAAUCAUGAUAUUAGAACCUAAUUAACUUUAUAUCUAUAAAGAGGUUAUAGCUUAAUAAAGCAAAAUUGUAAAAAAUAUUAUUUUGACUUAAUUAUCUAAAGAGUAAAUAUAUGAUAAUUAAUUAAUAAAUAAUGUCAAAUACAAUAUAUGGACUAUAAUAAAAAAGAUAGACAUAAUUUCAUAAAAUUAAUACAUAUGUUUUUGUAGUGUUGCGAUUAUACAAAGUUAUCUUAAAAGUGUAAAGAGUAAAGUAUUAUUCUAAUUAAUUUUAAAAAAUAUUUUAUUAUUAACCUUUAAUGCAACAUAGUAAUUUUUUUUCCCUAGCAACAAAGUAUUGUUCCAAAUAAUUAUUAUUGGAUCUAGAUCCUGCCCUAGGCAUUUUCUCUACUAAUCCUCAUAAACUUUUAGGGUUUGUUUGGCACGUGAGAUUAGAUUGAACAAACUAUUAUGAUUGGACUAAAUUAGAAGGGAUUGGAUUGGAUUGGAUUGGAUUAUAUAUAGUGCUGACUUAUGUUUGGUAUUGUAUUGGAUUAGAUUAUGUUAAAUUAAAUUUACAUAAAAUUAAAUAGUAUUUACAUUAAUAUUUGAAUUUAAAUAUAAACUAUUUAUAGAUAUUUAACAAGAAAUAUUGUAAUUAAUUAAAAAUAGCAAUUGGGUAGUAUAAUAAAGAAAUAUAAAUUAUUUAAAUUAUAGGUUAUUUCAAAGAGUGAUGAAACAACCACAAAUUCUUGUACAAACUGAUCUUAUACAAACUGAUUUGGCAUUAAUUCAUUGAAUGAAAAUAUAAAAUAAUAAAAAUAAAUCAUGUGGGCCCAAGAUAUAUUUAAUUCAACCAAUUUUAUCAUGACACAUCAAUUUGUACAAGAAUUUGUGACUAUAUUAUUACUCUAUUUUAAAUAUGAGAGAUAUCAUUUCAUUGAAUAAAAUAAAUAAAAUUAUUCAAAUAAUAAAUUAAUUAAUAAAAUUUAAGUAAAUCAUGAAUAAAAAAGAAAUUAAUUAAUUAAAAACAGUAAAUAAUUAAAUAAUUUUUAAUUUAUAAAUAAAAUGGUAUAAUAAAUUAUGGAAGAUACUAUAAAUACACAAAUAUUUUUUUCACAUUAUCUAGUUCUAACUAAACACACAUAAAAAUUAGGAUUAGCAAUCCCAUGAAUUUAGGAUUAAAAUUUGAAUUUAGUCCAUUAAUCCAAUACAUGUGAGCAUGUCAAAUAUGGUAUUAAUAUUUUAUCGCAAUAAUAAGUCCAAUUCUACACUUAAUCCUACCUCCCAAAUAUAACCUUAAGGAUCUAUUGACAUGUGUCAUUAAUGAAAUUAAAUGGCUAAGAUUUUGUUUUAAUUAAUUUUUACCUAAAUAGACAUCAAAACUCAUGUGUGACUCUUGUUAAAUUUUUUCUUACAAAUUCUUUUCCUCUUAAUUCUUUAUAUUUUGACAUUGAUUUCCAGCAAAUUAUUAAAAAAAAGGAGCACAAAUUGAAAAAAAGUGAUUGACAACAAGGUUUGCAUCUUAAUUUCAAAAUUUUCCUUUCUUUGAUGUUUUUGUGGGUUCUAUAAUUUUGGGCGGGUUCUUAUGUAAUGUUACAAUUAACAUUAGAUUAUUUUCACGGUAUAAGGCAAAUCUUGAGAAUGAACCCAUUUCAAUAUGGUUUCCACAAUAUCAGGAUCUUCUUCUCUGCUUCUAUACGUUUAAAUAAGCUGUUUGCCCUUCCUGAUUCACUUUCCUCAUGAAACUUCAGGCCUAAUUUAUCUGCUAUUUCUCCUUGAAUCUCUCGUAUGUUUUUAUUAUGGGAUACCUCAUCUCCUUGAAUCUUUCGUAUGUUUUGAUUACGGGAUACCUCAACAAGAACUACCUGAUAAAAGAGUUCACUCUUGACUUUCCUAGCAACUUCUUCCGCCAGCUUCGUCUUUCCGAUUCCGCCCAUUCCAUAAAUCCCAAGCAUGUUGACAUUGGGAUUUUUUAAUGCAUCCAUUAUGUCAUUCAGAAUGGGCGCUCUUGAUACAAAGGCCUCGUAGUCUUUGUUAGGGAUAAGCCGAAUAUCCUCUGCAGCAGUACGGUAGGAAAUUCUAUCAAAUCUUCUAGCGUCCCGGACUUUGACAAUAGCCUCUUUCAACGUCACUGCUUCCAUGCUAAGUCGACGGCGGGUCUUCAAAUUAGGACACAACCCCUUGAAACAACGCUUAUUUGCUGCGGCUUCAACUUCUGUAAAUUUAUCUGCCUCUUCAAUGACUUUGUUGGCCCCUUCAAGCCAACUCCUAACGUUCUCUUCAAUUUCUUCCCCGUUUCGUUCAGCCUCAUCAACCUGGUGCUCUGUACUCACCCUCUCAGACUUCAGAUUGUCAACUUCUGCCUUGAGAUUCUGUAAGUUGGUAGUGUACUUACUCUCACGCAAAUAGCUAAUUUCGCGAUAUGCGGGAGGAACCAAGCACUUCACAACUUCUACAACAAUAGUAAGAAUGAUUUCAGCCAUCUUCAGUCCUUUGUCCUUGUCUCUCUAUCUCUCUUUUUCUGAAUUUUUGAAAAACAAUUGACUACUUAGGAAGCACACUGAGUGAUUGAACACAAGUGACCACAACAAGAUGGAACAAAAUAAAAAGGAAAAAAAAUACAAAGAGUGGAAGGAGAAUAAAACAGAGACAGCGGCACAGCUGGACACAACUAGAUAGAGAACAGAGCAAAACCAAAUAACAAGACUUAAGAUUACAACAAACAGAGGCCAAGAAUUGUUGAGAUCAGGAGAUGGAAAAUUCAAAAGAGUUGAUGGCAGAUGCUGAAUAACAGAACAACAAUAAACGCAAUAAGCAGAAGCAAAGUGUGUUUGAAUGGAAAGAAAGACUGAUAUUGAAAAUUGAUGUCAAUAGCGAAGGAAUAAUUGAACUUUCGCUGAAUUAUUGUUUGUGGCCUUCUUUUACUUUUUAUUUGUGGGUCAUGUCUUUUGGAACUAAUCAUCUUAGGUUAUGCCUUAUAGCUUUAAGGCCGGUAAACCGGUGUCCGUUGGAUUAGCAUAUAGAAAUCCAACGGUGGAUAUAUAUACUUGGAGAAUAAAAUUCAAGAGCUAAGGGAGUGCUGGGCUGCAGUUUCUUAAGGAGAUUUAUAUAUCCUCCUCAAAAAUAAAUGUUUUAAGGUAGAUAUUUAGACUAUUUCAUCAUAAAAUAAAUGUAAUUAAUUUUCAAUAAAUAUCUUAUAUAAAUAUUUAUUUAUUUUUUUAAUUACUAAUGACCUUUGAAUAUACAUAUAUAUACAUAUCACUUAUGUAUAUACAUAUCACUAAUUCAAAAAAUAAAUUGUGAUUAUUUGUUCAUGUAUGCGAUUACUUGUGAUGGGAAAUAAAAUAGAUAUGGUAUAUUUUGAAGUUAAAUUAAAAAAAAAAAAACAGAGCUUUUACCAUUACUUGCCUUAUCAUCUUUUAAAUUAGAGUUAUUAUUCUUUUAUUUUUCAAGUUGCCAACUCAUCCGCAUUCUCUUUUAUUGAAUUUGAAGAUCAAUGAUUAUAAAUGUGUGUAAAAAUUUUAAGUCAAAACUUUAAAUUAAAAUAAUCUUUAAGUUAUUGAGAAAUAAUAACUUAGUAUAACAAAUAUUAUAUCCUAUACUUUAUUGCUACAAAAUUACGAAACCUUAUAUUAUAUUAUGUUUCCAUAUUUCUCCUUUAUAGUGAAGACUCAUACUUCUUCUCUAUUAAAUGCUAAAGUAUUGGCUUAAAUUUUUUAACCAGCAUAGUAGACCCUUAAGCUAUAUAUACUAUAAUGUCCCUCUUCUCUCAUAGAUUAAACCAAUCUGAUCUCGGAGUGAGUUGAUACCAUGACUUUGCAUAAUUCGUGAUCAAAGGAGCAUCAUUAUUAACUAAUAUAGGCUCCAUCAAUAGGCAUGAUAAUAAUUUUUUUUAUAUACAAACACUGUUUUUCAAAAUAUUAUAUCUUAAGACUUAACUAAAUAUUUUGUAACUAUGUAGAUAUAGUUUGUUUGAUCUCUUUUAAAUAGUGGAGAUUACAAACAAACAUAUGCAAAUUAGUAGUGAUGUUGAGUUUAGAAGAUUGAAGUUAAGAAAAUUAAGGGUUUCUUGAUCUAGAGAAAUUUCAAAUGAGUGAAGUGUCCUUGAAAUCGGAAGACGAAAAUAAGGAAAGGGUAAGGGUGUAUUUUCAAAGUGAUUCUAUUACGAGAUUUUGAAGUAGGGGUGGGCAAGUCGGGUUUUGGUUCGGGUUGUUCAAGUUUCGGUUUGGGUUUCAACCCAAUCGGGUUUGGGAAUUGAAUCCAAUCGGGUUGAAAACGCCAACCCAAACUAAACCGAACCGAAUUUAAUUCAGCUUGGGUUCAUAAUUCGGAUUGGUAAUUCAGGUUAAAAUUUCGGUUCGGGUUAAUUUGGGUUAGAAUAAUUCCAUCUAAAAUUUUGGGUUAGUUUGGUUUAAAACAAAUUGAAACAAUUUAAUCCAAAAAUUAUACCAACAACCACUUAAAAUCCAAAAAUCUCAAUUCCAAACAUCCUUAACAACAAAUAUCAACUACAAACUAUCCUUGAUAACAUUUCAACAAUAACAAUAACAAUAAUAACAACAACAACAAUAAUAAUAAUAAUAACAACAACUAUGAAUCAGCAAUUCAGCAUAUUGCCAUAUUCUAAAUUUAAAAAAACACACAAAUUAUGUAAUUAAUUAAUUAACAAUCUCCAAUUUAAUUUAUAAUAACAACAAAAAUCCUCUCCAAUUUAAUUAAUAACAAUCUCGAAUUGUUCAAUUAUCAGUCAACAACAACAAACCCACUCCAAAUAAUUGAACAAUUGUUAAUUAAUUAAUUAAAAAUAUCUAAUUUAAUUAAUAACAACACCCAAGAGCAAGUCAGCAAUAAACCCACUCAAAAAUCCAAAUAUCAGUAUAAAUUAAGUGUCAAACCUUGAUCGGUGGGAAGCUACAGCGUCGGCAAAUUGUGACCGUGUGGGGCUGAGUAAGACCGUCAACCGAGGGUGUGAGAAGGGAGAAGAGGGAGCAGGGAGGUAACGAUGUGUGUGUGAGUUUAUAUAUAUAUAUAUAUAUAUAAUUUUUAAAACCUAAAACUUAAAAAAAAAAAAAAUUAACCCAAUCCAAACCGCCCACCUCAUAUUACUUCCGUUAAGAGAUGGAUCCCACACUCAUGAGCCUUUGUCGUCCCAGUCAACUAUAAAAACAAAUCAUUAUUGAGUGUGAACAGACUUAUUGAUCACCCAAUUUUCAAACUUGUCAUCCUUAUUGUAUCUGCAUCCCCUUUUGAAAAAUUUUAAAAAAAGUACAAAUAAUGAAACAAAGUUUUGUUCCUUCAACAGUUGAUAGAGUUACGCGGCUUGGACUUGCAAGUGCUGUCGGCAUUUUCAAACUUGUAAGACCCUUCAACUUGCUUUCCAAGAUAGCUAUAAUUAAUAAUGACAACAGUCUCCCUCAUAGCGACUAGUGAGCAACUGAAAUUAACGGCAUCUUCUCUCACAUUUUUAAAAAAAUUGAAUUAUAUAACCCACCAAAACUAUAAAGAAUUGUUAGUUUUUCUUCAUUAAAAUUAAUAUAUUGCUCCUCAUAUUAAAAAAUCAAAAUUCAGAAUAAGAAUGAUUGGUACUGUUUAUUUACUAAAAUGAAAAUAAAAUAUAUGAAGCCUACAUAUUUUUGAAAUUAAAAAACAAGAACUUUAUUUUCCUUGGGGAGUGUUGGAAAUCAAGUUCUUGUUAUUUAAACUCUCAAUUGUAUCUCACCGAAAUUUCAUAAUUCUACUUUUGUCUUCAAUUAAAAUAUUAUUAUAGUUAUUAUUCUUAUUUUUGUAGUUGUUGUUGUUUUUUUUUUUUGGUCUUAUCCACGAGGUAUCCUGGGGAGGGCCCCAACUGUGGGAGGCACCUUUAAGCCCGUACCACAACCCAGACUAGAAGUCCCCGCUCGAACCGGGAGGCACAGGUUCUCCCAACAAAGGCGACUUCCCUGCGACUCGAACUGGGGAGCAAACCCAGUCAAGCCACUUAAGGGGACUCCAUUGCCAGUGGAGCCAACACUUUGUUGGUUGUUGUUGUUGAUUAUGAUAAAUGGUCAGGCAAAUGAUUCAUUUACUUAUUUUUUUCCUUUUAAAUUUUUGUUAUUAAGAAGAUUUUUGGAUAUUUAGCGUGAAGGUCUCAACUGAUCGCUAAUUUCACAGCAACUUCCUUUUUUUUUUCCCUCAAUUGUUUUGAAAAAAUAUCAAGACUCAUUCAGCAAAAUAUCCGAGGCCAAAGCGCCAAAAAUGGGACAGCCACAUGCACUUCUAAUUACAAAAUCUAAAGUUAGGGUGUCCAUAACUUACAUUUAAUAUAAUUUAUAAUUAGGUAAAAUUCAUUCAUUGACCCAGUAAUUUUAUUAUCCUAUUACUUAUAUUUUUAUAUUAAAAAAUUAGUAAGUAGGAAAAUUCUUAAAAGAUAAUGAAGAAGGAAAAGAAAAAGAAAAAGUGUAAAUGAACUGUAUUCACAUAAGUUUCAAACAUGUGAUUCAAUCUGAAUUGGCUUUUUUCAAAAGUAAAUACAAAGGAAAAUAAAAAGAAAAAAGCAAUUAAACGAGACUAAAAUCUGUGGCCUGUGUCAUUCAUAUCUUUUGACAUUUCUUUUAUAGCGGUAUAAAGGGUAGAUAUUUUGAAGUGAAAAGCAAAGCCUUUACUAUUACUUGCCUUAUCAUCUUUUAAAUUAGAGUUAUUAUCCUUUUAUUUUUAAGUAGCCAAAUUAGAGUUAUCAUCCUUUUAUUUUUAAGUAGCCAACUCAUCCGCAUUAUCUAUUAUUGAAUCUAAAGAUAAAUGAUUAUAAAUUUCUCUGAAGAUUUUAAGUCCAAACUAUAAAUCAAAAUAAUCUUAUUGAUUAAGUUAUUGUAUAAUAAUAACCUUAGCAUGACAAAUAUUAAUUCUUCUCUAGUAAAUGCUAAAGUAUUGGCUUAAGUUUUUUAACCAGCACAGUAAACCCUUAAAGCUAUAUAUGCUAUAAUGUCCCUCUUCCCUUACAAAUUAAACCAAUUUGAAUUUAGAGUGAGUGAGUACCAUGAGUUUGCAUCAUUACUAACUAAUACAGGCUCGAUCGAAUUCAUCAUACGAAGUAUAUUAUCGGCUGUAGGUAUGGAAAUAAAUUUUGUAUCCACAAACACUAUUUUUCAAAAUAUUUAAGACUUAACUUAUCAUUUUUUAACCAUAUAUGCAUAGGUUGUUUGACCUAUUUUAAAUAAUGGAGAUUACAACAAAUGAACAUAUGUGGAUUAGUAGUGUUGUUGAGUUCAGAAGAUUGAAGUUAAGAAAAAGGUUUCUUGAUCCAGAGAAAAUUCAAAAGAGCGAAGUGUCUUCGGGAUCAGAAAACGAAAUAAGGAAAGGGUAAGGUUAUACUUUCAAAAUGAAUUUGUUGAGAGAUCUUUGAAGAUUAUUUUCAUUAACAAUUAGAUCCCACACUUGAGUCUUUAUCGUCUCAGUCAGUCAGUUAUAAAGACAAAUUAAUUUUGAGUAUGAAAGGACUUUCAAACUUGUGACCCAGUUAUAAAGACAAAUUAAUUUUGAGUAUGAAAGGACUUUCAAACUUGUGACCCUUCAAGCUUUCUAUGACAGCUAUAAUGAAUAAUUACAACAGUGCUACCUAAUAGUGAGCAACUUGUUUGAUGAAAUUAACAACUUCUUUUCUCUCAUGUAUUUUUAAAAAAAUUGAAUUAUCAAAGCUUUUAUUUCAAAAUUAGUGCUAUAGUUCAUUAAUUUUUCAAAUUUUCCUUUUUUUUUCCACACAACAGAUUGAUUUGCCCUCCAAAAACUGUAUUAGAUUGUUUAAUAUUGUAACUUCAAAAAACUUAUAAUAAAUUUUUAAAGAGAUAAAUAGGGAAUGUCAGUCUCCCAUCUACUCAAAAUUAAUAUAUAUCAUUAACUCCUGAUUAUUUUUAUAACAACUAAUAACUUUCUGGGCAGCAUAAUUUUACAGUAUCAUCCUUGUUUGUAAGUAUAUUUUUUUUCACAUUUAUUAUAAAUUAAUUAAAUCAUAUCAAUGAAAAUUGAAAUAGAAAUUGAAGUACUAAAAAAAAUGUUUUGGUGUGAAUAAAAAAUUGAAAAUAAAAAUAUUUUUAUUAUAUUUUUUUAUUUUUAAAUGGUUUUCUUAUAAUAAAUAUAUAUUUUAUAUUCUCAAAUUGAAUUAUUGAGUAAAUGACUCAUUUACUCACUUUUUCUUUUAAUUUUGUUAUUAGGAGGAUUUUUAGAUAUAAUGAAAAUUGUAAGGUAGUAAGUAAUAUAAAAUAAUUUUAAUAGAGAAAAAUAAAAAAUCUGUUAUUUUAAAAUAUAAGGAGAAAAAUAAUUAAUUUCAAGAUAUUUUAGAAGAUAUUUCAAAUUUUCAAUAUGCGGUGGACUAUAAACUCGAGUCUUUGUCGUCACAGUCAACUAAAAGGACAAAAUAUUGAGUGCGAAGGGCUCAACUGAUUGCUAAUUUCACAGUAAUUGUGUUUUUUCUUUCUUUUUUUAAUUAUUGGGAAAUAAUAACUUAGUAUAACAAAUAUUAGAUCCUAUACUUUAAUGCUGCAAAAUUAUGAAACCUUAUAUUAUAUUAUGUUUCCAUAUUUCUCCUUUAUAGUGAAGACUCACACACUUCUUCUGUAGUAAAUGCUAAAGUAUUGGCCUAAACUUUUUAACCAGCACAAUAAACCCUUAAGUUAUAUAUGCUAUAAUGUACCUCUUCCCUCACAGAUUAAACCAAUCUGAUCUCAGAGUGAGUUUGCAUCGAAGGAGUAUCCUUACUAACUAAUAUAGGCUCGAUCAAUAGGGAUGACAAUAAUUUUUUUAUCUACGAACAUUAUUUUUUCAAAAUAUUAUAUCUUUAGACUUAACUAAAUAUUUUUUUAAUCAUAUAUGUAUAGUUUGUUUGAUCUCUUUUAAAUAGUGGAGAUCACAACAAAGCAAAUGCUAAUUAGUAGUGAUGUUGAGUUCAGAAGAUUGAAGUAAAGAAAACUAAGGGUUUCUUGAUCCAGAGAAAUUUCAAAAGAGUGAAGCGAAAAGUGAAUUUAUUGAGAGAUCUUUGAAGAUUUACUUCCGUUAAGAGUUGGAUGUCACACUUUUUGAGCCUUUGUCGUCCCAAUCAUUCAAUUAUAGGAUCCCUAAGCAUAUAACUUACAAUUCUUUCAUAUAAAUAAUGAGUAGUGUGAACCCAUACAACUUACAACCUUCUCACAUAAAUAAUGAGUAGGUCUAAACUACUCACUAUUCAUAUAAAAAAAUUAUAAAUUAUAUACAUGUAACUUAACAUUAUUCUCCUCUAUAAAGACAUAUUCUUAUUGAGUGUGAAUAGACAUAUUGAUCACUAAAUUUUCAAACUUGUGAUCCUCAUUAAAUGUGAUUCCCCUUUGAAAAAGAAAAAAAAGUGCAAAUAAUGAAACAAAAAUCUGUUCCUUAACAGCAAGUGGUGUCGGCGUUUUCAGACUUGUAACAAGGGAAUGAGAUCCUCUCCUGAACCCGGGUCUCAUUCCCUGUGAAACAAAAAAAGUGCAAAUAAUGAAACAAAAUUCUGUUCCUUAGCAGCAAGUGGCGUCGGCAUUUUCAGACUUGUAAAAGGGAAUGAGGUCCUUUCCUGAACCCGGAUCUCAUUCCCUGUGAAACAAAAAAAGUGCAAAUAAUGGAACAAAAUUUUGUUCCUUAACAGCAAGUGGUGUCGGCAUUUUCAGACUUGUAACAAGGGAAUGAGAUCCUCUCCUGAACCCGGAUCUCAUUCCCUGUGACAAGACCCUUGUCACCCUUCAACUCGCUUUCCAAGAUAGCUAUAUUAAUCGUGACAACAUUACUCUCAGUGAGCAAAAGUUAUCAGCAUCUUCUCCCCAUUUUUUAAAAAAUUGUAUUAUAUAACCCACCAAAACUAUAAAGAGUCUUUUCUUAUUAAAAUUAAUAAAUUACUCUUUAUAUUAAAAAAUUAAAAUUUAAAAUGAAAAUGAUCUGAUGUUUAUUUAUUAAAAUAUAAAUAAAAUAUAUGAAGUUCAUAUUUUUUAAAUUAAAAAAUAAGAACCUAAUUUCAUUCCUUAAAUUCCCAAAUUUACCUCACAAAAAUUCCAUAAACUUACUUUUGUCCUUAAUUAAAAUAUUAUUAUGUUAUUAUUAUGGUUAUUAUUCUUAUUUUUGUAAUAGUUGUUGUUGUUGUUGAUGAUGAUAAUACAUGAUAAUAAAAUUAAUAAUAAUAAAAAUAAUAACUAUAAUUUUAACAAUAGCAGUAAUAAUCAUUAAUAUUAUUGUUGUUGUUCUUAUUUUUAUUCUUAUUCUUAUUAUUAUUAUUAUUAUUAUUAUUAUUAUUAUUAUUAUUAUAAUAAUAAUAUUAUUAUUAUUAUAAUAAUAAUAAUAAUAUUAUUAUUAUUAAAUAAUAAUAUUAUUAUUAUUAAAUAAUUAUUUUGAAUAAUAAUAAUCACAAUUAUUAUAACAAACGACAAUAAUCAACUAAGGUAAUUUUAAUAACUUGUAACGAUUCAUUUUAUUCAAAGAUAUGUGAUUAUUUGUUAAUGUAUGCAAUUACUUGUGAUGGUAAACAAAGUACAUAUGGUAUAUUUUCAAGUUAAAAAAGAAAAACAAAACAUAGUUUUUACCAUUUCUUGCCUUAUCAUCUUUUAAAUUAGAGUUAUUAUUCUUUUUAUUUUUCAAGUUGCCAACUCAUCUGCAUGCUCUUUUAUUGAAUUUGAAGAUCGAUGAUGAUAAAUUUGUGUGAAAAAAUUAAGUCAAAGUUUUAAAUUAAAAUAAUCUUUAAGUUAUUGGGAAAUAAUAACUUAGUUGUAAUAAAUAUUAUAUCCUAUACUUUAUUGCUACAAAAUUACGAAACCAUAUAUUAUAUUAUGUUUUCAUAUUUCUCCUUUAUAGUGAAGACUCGUACUUCAACUUUUUAACCAGCACAGUAGACCUUUAAGCUAUAAAUGUUAUAAUGUCCCUCUUCGCUCAUAGAUUAAAACAAUAUGUAGCCUUCUCUCAUAUAGAAAAACUUUUUGUAUAAGACAAAUUAUUAUGUUAUAGGAAAAAUUACAGUAGACGUAAGCCAUAUAUGUUAUAAUGCUCAUAAGUUUGAAGUUAAGAAAAUUAAGGAAAGGAUAAGGGUGUAUUUUCAAAGUGAAUUAUUAAGAGAUCUUUAAAGAUUACUUUCGUCAAGAUCUGGGUUCCAUACUCUUGAGCCUUUUUCGUCUCAGUCAACUAACAAGACAAAUUAUGAUUGAGUGUGAACCGUCCGACUUAUGGAUCACUAAAUUUUAUCCUUAUUGAAUCUGCGUUCCCCUUUGCAAAAGUAAAAAAAAAAAAGGUGCAAAUAAUAAAACAGAAUUGUUGGCAUUUUCAGACAUGUAAGACCCUUCAACUUGCUUUCCGAGAUGGAAAAUGCUACUCAGCGAGAAUGCCGAGAGAAACGGCAUACAGUUUCUCUCGGCCCCACUCCACGUGAAGACUUUCUCUUUUCACAUUUUUUACGCGUUUCUCUUUUCUCUCCCCCCACGUGAACACUUUUGCCUUUUGCUCGUUCACGUGAAAGUCAGUUUAGAAUUUUGAUCUUAUUAAUCAUGACAAUUGACAACAUUACUCCCACCGAGCAAAAGUUAACAGCAUCUUCUCCCACAUUUUUUUAAAAAAAAUUGUAUUAUAUAACCCACCAAAAGUAUAAAAAGUAUUUUGUUAUUAAAAUUAAUAAAUUACUUUUUAUAUUAAAAAAUUAAAAUUUAAAAUAAGAAUGAUUGAUGAUGUUUAUUUAUUAAAAUAAAAAUAAAUUUUAUGAAGUCUAUAUAUUUUUUAAAUUAAAAAAUAAGAACUUAAUUUCUUAUGAACUGUAUUCACUACUUAGUAUUCUUAAAAGCUAACGGAGAAACCACUCGGCUCAGCCCGAGUGGCUAGGGCUGCUGCCCUCCAAGUUGGAGGGCAGCAGUUCGAACUCCCACAAAAGUAUUGUGGGGGUAUUUUUUUCUUCAAUUAAUUUGAGUGAAGGUAGUCUUCUCUCUUACCCAUGAGUGAGGAGUAGACAUCCCUCGAAUAUUUGUGAGGGUCAAAAUCUGAGCAGAGCUCCAUUAGUAAUUAUGUAAGUUGGUCUCAGUACUAGUCUGAUUUGUAAAUAUCAGUUAUAGUCUCAUGUAUAUGAGUUGUAAUCUGAGCAAUAGUCUCAUGUAAUAAAAAAAAAAAAAAAAAAAAGCUAACGGAGAAGGAAAAGAAAAAAAAAAGUGUAAAUGAACUGUAUUCACCUAAGUUUCAAACAUGCGGUUCAAUCUGAAUUCGCUUUUUUCAAAAGUAAAUACAAAAGAAAAUAUAAAGAAAAAAAUUAAACGAGACAAAAAUCUGUGGCGUGGGUCAUUCAUAUCUUUUGCCAUUUCUUUUGUAGAGGUACAUAGGGUAGAUAUUUUGAAGUGAAAAGCAGAGCCUUUACUGUUGCUUGCCUUAUCAUCUUUUAAAAUUAAAGUUAUUAUUCUUUUAUUUUUAAGUAGCCAACGGAUGGUAGCCAACUCAUCCGUGUUCUGUAUUAUUGAAUUUAAAGAUCAAUGAUUUAUGUUAAUAAAUAUUUUGUUAACUAGCAAAGUUUUUAUUUCAAAAUUACUCCUAUAAUUCAUUAAUUUUUCAAUUUUUCCUUUUUCUAUUCACACAACAGAUUGAUUUGUCCUCCAAAAAAAUGUAUUAGGUCGUUUAAUAUUGUAACAUCAAGAAACUUAUAAUAAAUUUUUAAAGAGAUAAAUAGAGAAUGUCAGUCUCGCAUCUACUCAAAAUUAAUAAAUAUACCACUAACUUCUUAUUAUUUUUAUAAUAACUAAUAACUUUUUUAGCAGUAUAAUUUUAUAAUAUUAUCAUUGUUUGUAAGUACAUUUUUUAUUUAUAUUUAUUAUAAAUUAAUUAAAUCAUAUCAAUAAAAAUUAAAAUAACACAAUAAGUUUUGGAGUGAAUAAAAGAUUGAAAAUAAAAAUAUUUUUCUUAUAUUUUUUGUUAUUUUUAAAUGUUUUUCAUAUAAUAAAUGUACAUUUUAUAUUCUUAAGAUGAAUUUUGAGUAAAUGACUCAUUUACUCAUUUUUUUCUUUAAAUUUUUGUUACUAGGAGGAUUUUUAGAUAUAAUGAAAAUUGUAAAGUAGUAAGUAAUAUAUAAUAAUUUUAAUAGAGAAAAAUAAAAAAUCUCUUAUUUUAAAAUAUAAGGAGAAAAAUAAUUAAUUUUAAGAAAUUUUAGAAAAUAUUUUAAUAUGCUGUGGAUCACACCCUCGAAUCUUUGUCGUCUCAGUCAACUAAAAGGACAAAAUAUUGAGCGUGAAGGCUCAACUGAUUGUUAAUUUCACAGCAAUUACUUUUUUUAUUCUUUCUUUGUUUUUCCUAAUUAUUUUGAAAUAGUAGGUAGCAAUUGCUUACAUCAAAAUAUCUAGACUCACUCGGCAAAGUAUCCGACGCCAAAAUGUCAAAAGGUGGGACACCCAUGCAUCUAAUUACAAAGUCUAAAGUUAAUGAAAAGAGAAAAAGAAAAAGUAUAAAUGAACGGUAUUCACCUCACUUUCAAAUUUAACUGUUGGGUCUUCCUACUAUGCACCUGGUGUAUGCAUGAUUCCUUGUGACAUGACAUACAGCCAAUUAAAUUCUGACAUACUUGCAAUAAGGUCUGUUAAAGUGACCGGUUAUUCCAGUUGAAUUCACAAGAUCUCUUGUUUGCGUGUUUAUGUUCCAAGUUGUGUACUCUGUGUUGCGAGUUCUCUAAUUAGUCUGAAAUUAUCGCAACUGUUAGCUCAAUAAUGUUACAGGUUUUAUAAUAUAUGUCACUGGUAUGAUCGCUGUCACAAAUUUAGAACGAAAAGUUUCUAAUAAAAUAAGUUAUUUAAUUAAUUAAAUAAGAAUAAAAUGAAUUUAAUUUUGAAUUAUUUUGACCAAAAUUUAAGUUUUUUUUAAAUUUGUUUAAAAAAAUGCGUUGUAAUUGUCUUGUUUUAAUUGGAAAAUCAAUGAAAAAAUUAUGUAACAGACAAAAAAAAAAAAAGCAAAACGGCUUGUUUUGGAUGGUGGCCAUAGAUUCCAAUAUUUCCUUCACGAAAACUACAAAAAAUUAUCAAAGGCAUCAAUUUCUACACUCUCACCGAGCAAUACUCUUAACCCAGAAGGAAGUGUAUAAACCAACCCCAAUCAGUCCAUCAAUGUCGUCAACCUCAUACAUCAUAAAAAAAAUCUGUAUCCAUUAAACCGCCAUUUAAACCGUCUUUAUUGAGCCAUUAGACUAUUCGUGUCAUCUUAGCAUCUCGUUGUAAUAUUUUGCCGUUUAAAUCUAGUUAUCAAUGGGAGAAAAUGGAGACCAAUCUGCAAGUCUUUAAAAUAGAUAGGAACUUUAAUUGGGCACUAUGUUCACGGUGGUGGACCCAGCAGUAUUAAUCUUUAGGCAGAGCUAUUUGUAUUUUAAAAAUUAUUUUACACACUCUAAUUUUAAUUAGAAUAUAUAUUACAAAAAUACUUAUCAUAUAAGUUACUAGACAAUAUAUUAUAAGUCAACAUUAUAUAAUUACUUUGAACACUUAUAUAGCACAAUCUUUAUUUAAUUUUUUAUUCUCAUGACUUAAAUAUAAAAAAUUUUAUUUCCAACAGAUGAAUAAUAAAGAAAUUAACUUUGAGAAAAAUUUAAAUACAAAAUAUGUGUAAUACUUUUAAAAAAUAAAAUAAAACAAAAGUAUUGCACAAUAUAUAUUUUUUUUUGGGGGGCUUUGGCCAUUCUUCUUCUUCUCCUUCUCUCUCUCUCUCUCUCUCUUUGGAUAGUAUUUAUGGAACAUUUUCUAUUGUUAUGUUUAAAGCUGUUAAAAUGAGUCAUCAGGUCGUGUUUGUGUCGUGUCAAAUUUAAGUCGACCCAUUUAAUAAUCGUGUCAAAAUAUUGAGACCCAAACCCAACACAAAAAAAUAAUCGGGUUACUCAAUAACCUGCUUAAUAUCUAUAUAUUAAACAAAAAUUACAUCAAAUAUUUACACAUUAUCAUACAUACAUAUGCGCAUACAUACAUACAUCCAUACAUACAUACAUAAUUUAUCGAUAUUAUAAAAUAUAUAUAUGUACUAAAAUAUUACACACACUAUUGAGGUUUUAAUUAUAUAUAUGUAAAUAAUAUUAUAUAUCAAUAUUAUAAAAUAUAGAUGUCUACGAAUAUUUUAUACAUUUAUACUAUUAAAGUUCUAAAUGUAUUUAAAAUUUUAUAAAUAAAAUAUUGCGUCUAUAUUCAUCCUUUUAAAGAAUUAAAAAAAGAAAAUAAUCUCUAAUAUUUGAGUUUUGAUGACAAGAAUUUACAAAUUAUUUUAAAAUAAAAAAUAUAAUCAGGUCAUUGAUCGGGUAAAUAGGUCAAGAAUUUUAAUCCUAACCCGAUACGAAAAAAAAUCGUGUUGACCUAAACCCGGCCCAUUUAAUAAUCGUAUUAAAUUCGACAACCCAUACCCAUUUAUUAAUGUCGUGUUCGUGUCAGGUAAUCGAAUCGUGUCAAAUUUUGCCAGCUCUAGUUAUGUUCUCGUCGCAAGUUAUUUUGGGUCCAAAUACAAUAUUAAAAAUAAAUUAAAUAAAAAAUUAGUAACUAAAAUUAUGUUAAAUUAUUUUUUAUAACUUAAAUUUUAAUUAUAUUAUUGUGAGUAUAUUACUAAAUCUCUUAAAAAUAGAGUGUUGAAUAAUUUUAUUAGUUUUUUAAAUAAAUAAAGUUACCCAAAUCGUUUUAUUAUCACAUUAUUUUCCAUAAAAAAAGUUUACAAUUACCUCUUUAUUGGACAAUUUUGUUCCUUCUCUUACCUUAUGUUCCCUUACAUUCUCAUUUAUGCAUCACCAAGUUUGCUAUAAUGUACGUGAAGAAUAGUUAAAGAGCUCUUUCGUGUCCUUACCCUUUUUUUUGGGUUUACUUUUGCUGCCUUUUUACGUUUCUCCAUAAUUCACUCCAACAUCACUGACGCAUUUUCUUCUUUCUCACUGCAACAUCAACUGGGCCACCACCUCUUGCCUCUGCCGGUUCCCCUCAAUUUUCGUAUUCAAUGUCCACAGUUGAUUGUACAUUUAUUAAAAUUCUGUGGUUUUGCCUAUAUUUAAUUCCACACGGUCUAUCGAUAGAGCAUGUGCAUCGUAGUUGUGGCCUUAACUAUUAUUGGUAACUCAAUAGCUAAUUCUAAUGUUUCAUCAAGCAGUUUAGAGAUAACCUCUCUCGCUGAACUCCCUGGAGUAAUGCAAUCCAGUUUUCCAGUGCAAUCAUCAGACAGUUGAACAGCUUCUGAAUUCCCUUUGCUUUUCUUGUUUUCUUUUCCAUGUAAAGGGAGCUCAGGCUUCAAUAUAUAUAUCUGGGGAUUGGGUACUAAUGAUAAAGACAACAUACGGUAGAGGACACAAAUUGUUAUCAAAGAAUGAUGCACUUUUCAACUGAGUACAGUAAAGCAAGAAUGGGUAAUUAGUUUUACCUGCUAAGCGAAAAUCUAGACUCCCGAAGGUAACAGAUCUUGGGUGAAGCAAAUAAAGAAGAAGGCGAAGUAAAAUUCACUGAGUUGAAUGAGCGAUCAUUGCGUAUGGACUUGAUUUGUUCAAUGGGUGAAAGACUGCUGAUAUAAUUAAAGACUGGAGAAUCCUGCACGUUGACAAGCAUCAUUUUUAAUCUAACAUAGAGUCUUAAAAACCUUGUCAGUGGCAAAUGAUCACGACAAGCAAACUGAAGUUCAAACAGCAGAGCUCAACAAAUCAUUAAGAGAAAAUAAGACCAUUAACCAAGCAGAUGAAAGAAACGCAAAAUAACCCAUCUCAAAUCACCGCAUGCACAAUUUAAGGGGGUUGUGACAUGGGUUUAAGCAUGAUUUAACAAGUGCCACCAGUGAAUUCUCAGAGAUUGAAUUUUCAUACACAUGCAAAUUUCCAAGUCCAACGAAUUGUUGUCUUUCUGAAGAUAUUAACGAUGCAUAGCAUGCUAUAAACAAAUCAUAUUAUUAGGGCCUUUGUUUGCUGUACACAACAUAUGUACAGAGGAACAAAUCCAUGAGCUGAAAUCAUCAUAUUCCAAAAUAUUCUACCCAAUCAACACCACAAAACCCUAACGCUAAACAGAAUUGGAGCAAUUUACGAAAGCUAUUUGUCACACAAAGCGCUAGUACCUCUGAACCCAAUUUGCAGAUGAAAAAUAACAAAUGCCCAAAUGAAAAAAUCAGGAAAAAAAAAUGCUCAAAUUCAAACUACAACCCCAUAAGCUGAGUCGUUCUCUUCAAACUAAAUUUAACACUGAAUAAAAAAAUUAAAAAAUUAAAAUGGGGAGAUUAACCUCAAACUUGGAAACAGAAGCGACAGUGAUCUGUUUCCUGUCUGGAGUGUCCAUUUCUAUAAUCUACUUUGUCUGUUUUCAGUCGCUCCGCCACAAAGCUUUUUCCCUCUGAAACUGAAACUCACACACACUUGCAAAGCGAAAGCAUUUGAUUGAUUGAGAGGCGGGAAGGCGGGAAAAUGGAAGAAAUUUGCUUUUGUUUUUUCUUGGUUUGGUCAAACACGUGCGGGCCCCAGCUUGACAAGCGGUUCUAUUACUACUGUAUUAUCUACAUGACGCGUGUCACGCGAUCUCGAUAGAAAAGUGGUAAAAAAUUCUAAUGAUUACCCAAUGGCGAUAAAAAUAAAAAUAUAUUGUUAAUUUUUUACUUAACAUUGGAAUAUCAUAUAAUUUUAUGGUUAUUUACUCGCCGUUAUGCCAUAUUCUUAUGAUCAAAUAAUACAGUAAAAUUUUUCUAUAAUCAUAACGUUAGAACCAAAUUAAUUUCACUUCUAUAAAAAAAUUAUAGCUUAAUAAAAGUAUAAUUGUAAAAAUUAUUAUUUUAACUUACUUAUCCUUAGUACAAAUGAUGUAAAGUAAAAUAUAUGAUAAUUAAUUAAUGAAUUAUGUCAAAUACAAUGUACGGACAAUGAUAAAAGAUAAUUCAAGUGUGACUCUUAUCAAAUUCUUUUCCCCUCAACUCUUUAUAUUUUGACGCCGAUUUCCAACAAAUUAUUGAAAACAAAGGCAAAAAAUGGAGAAAAGUGAUUGGCUACAAGGUGUGCAUCUUAAUUUCAAAAUUUUCUUUUUCUUUGUUGUUUCUCUAGGUUCUAUAAUUGUUGUUUUCGUGGUCAAUUGCAAUUCAAUGAACUAAAUUAGUAGUAAAUUGCUAUUACUGGGCAUAUAAUUCUAUUGCUGCAAUUUUACUACUGUUUAGCUUUUUUUUUUUAGUUUAUAAUUGCUGUUUUGUUGUCUUUUUUAGGUUUUCAACUGUAGUUUGCUGUUUUUCUAGGUUCUAUAGUUGCUGCUUCGGGAAAAAUAAGAAUAAAUGUGAUCUUGAAUUAUUUAACUCUUAUGAAACAUCUUUAGCUGUUGCAUUUUUUCACUGUAUUAGUAUUGGCGGGAUGGAUGUUGAAUAGGGAUGGCAAAGUCCAUAUCCGGAUCUAAAUUGAUAUUUCUAUAUUCGGAUCCGCAUCCGAAUCUACACAUUUUUUUUUUUUUCGCGAAUCUGGAUGUGGGUAAUCUUCGUAGGGAUUGCAAGCAGAUAUCAUGGAUAUCUAGGUCCGCAUAAAUUAAAAUUUAAUAAUUUAAAAUAUAAUUUAAAAUUCAAUAACUUACCUAAUAAUAUCAAGUAAAAUCCAAUUAUAAUUUAACAAUCAACAAUUCAAUACCUAAAAUAACAUAUAACAUCAUUAAGUCAUAAAUAAAAAUAUCACAAUAUAAAUCAAAAUAAAAAAAAAACAUAAAUCUAAGUUUAGCACCACCACAAAUUCACGAAUAAAAUUAUAAAAACACCACAAAUCCAUAUAAAAUAAUGUGAAUUCCGAUAUAUUUCUUAAUUUAAUUUUACUUCUAUAUUUUUUAGUAAUCCUAUUAUCUUUUUUCAUUUAACUUAUAUAUUUUUCAUUUAAUUUUAAUUUAACAAAUAAUUUAAUUAAAAAAUAAGAUGGAUCCAGAUCCGGAUUUGGAUCCUCUUGGAUUCUAAAUCUUAGGAUCCGAAUUUAAAUUUUUUUAAUAUGUAUAUCUGAAUUCUAAAUCUUUGCGGAUCUGAACCAGAUCCUGAUAUUUUUACCAUUCCUAAUGUUGAAAGGGCAAUAAUUUGUGGGAAAAUAAUUUGACAAGAGUCAUGCAUGAGUUUGGAUGUUUGUAUAAUGUAAAAUUUAUACUUAAUAUGAUUGAAAUUGAGACUAAAAUAUUUUACCUAAAAUUCACUAGCUAGCUUUGCCUUGAUGGGCCUGUGAUCGCCCAUACAUAUUUCUUCAAAUUUAUUAAUAUUUUUGUGCAUAGCAAUUAGGGAUAUAUGACAACAAAUUCUCAUUUUUAGUGUGUCGAAAGUAUAUUCACAAGUUGUGUGCCCCUUGGAAUGGGCACAGCUCACCGACUUGUAGCCUCUUUCUUCAGUUCACCACUCUAGUUGGACUCGCCAAUGAGAUUAAACAUUAAAUACAUCUAAAAUUAUGUCGAUUAAUAUAUGCUCUUUUUAUAUAUUUCCCCUAGCUUAUUAAUAAUUUUAUAGAAUUAUACAAAAAUUGAUAUUUUGUAGCAUAUCAUGUUUGUUUAGUGUUCCCGUGUACUCUAUGUUUGAUAAUUUAAUUAGCUAAUAAGGACAUGAAUAAUAUUAUUUCACUCACUAUGUCAUUGGUCAGAAAAAAAAAAAGGAAAGAAAAACUCAAUUUGAGAUGUUAUACAUUAUUUUUUAUUACUUCCCAUUUCAGAUGAAUAUUUAUCAUAUAUAUUCUUAGUAACUUGUAACCCUUUCUGCUAAGGGUAAAAUGUUUUUGUUACCCCUUAUAUUUAUGAGAUUGUCCUUAUAGUAGUGAUGCUGGCCCCAUUUUCUAAGAGUACAUUUGGAAUUGAGAUUGUGUAGUUGUAGCUUAAAAGUCACAAUAUUAAAAUAUUUGGUCAACACUAGCUAUUGUAGUUUGGAAGCUAUGUUGAUAUGAUUUUUUAUUUGUAUAAUAGAAAAUCUAUUAUAUCUUUAAUAAUUUUGUUAAAAUUAUUAUUUAAACAUUAUAUUUACUAUAUAUUAUUAAUUUUUAUUUUAUAAUUACUGUUUUUUUUCUACAGCAAUUGUAGCUUUUAAGGUUAAUCACCUCAAUCCCAAACAAGAUCUAAAACUGCUAUCUCUAUGUGUAAAUUCCUUAAAAAAAUCUUUUUUAAUUAAAAUUAUUUAAAUAAUUGAAGAUAAAUUAAUUUAUUUUUUAUUUGAAUGAAAAUUCAAUUAAGCAUUUAAAUAAGCUAUUCUCUCUUAACAAAUUUUUUACGCCCAUCUUGUUUCAUAAUUUAUAUUUGUAUUUUAAAUUUUAAUCGAAAGUACGUUUUGAGAAACUUUUAAGAAUUAAGAAUUAUGGAAACAAAAAUUAUGUAAUAAGAAGAAAAUAAUUUAAAUUCUUAAGAUUUGUAUGUAUUUAUAAAUAAAAACUUGCAAGAAAUACUCUUUUCAAGAUAAGAUUUAGUGAGAAAAUUAUUAAAUUUUAAUUUACGAAUUAAUAUUUUAUAAAUUAAACUGGGGGUAUCUUAAGGAAUAUAAUUCAAUUGAAUUCAGAAAGAGUGUUUAUAAGGAUUUUUUAGGGGUGUUAAAAGCUCCACUUAUUUACGCAAGGAAUGGGAAUUAGGGUAUUGGGUAGGAGUGUUCGCGGAUCGGACAUCAAUCCAUAUCCAAUCCAUGAUUUUGUAGAUUAUGAAUUUUCAAUCAAAUCCAAUCUACGGAUUGGUUAAACUCAAUCCAAAUCCAAUUCAUAUAUUUGUGGAUCGGAUGCGGAUUUGACUCAAUUCAUAUCCAAUCCAUCAUUUUGCGGAUUGAUCUGCAGAUUACAAAUUUUUCAUUUGGUCCAAUCCACGAAAUAAUAAAAUGAAAAAAAGUAAUAUAAAAAUAAUUUUACUACCAAUCAAAUUCAAAAUUGAAUAAGAUUUAAAUAAAUAAAUUAUUUAAAUAAAACUAAAAAAAUGCAUUAAAGUUAAAAUACAACACACCGAAAUUAAUUGUUCAAAUGAAGAUAAAAUAAUACAUUUAAAGUUUCAAAAUAUAAUACAUUAAAAUUAAUUGUUGAAUUAAAAUUAUAAUAAUACAUUUAAAGUAUCAAAUUAUGACACAUCAAAAAGAAAAAUAUUUGCUGCCAAUUUGUAUUUUGUACUUUAACUUGAACUAAAUAAACAUAAUUGAAAUGAAUAACAAAUAAAAAAAUUUUAUUGAAUAAAAAAAUUAACAAAUAAAAUAAUUUUGUUUAAUGACUGCUUGCACAGAGAUCAAGAAUCGUUGGAGAAGAUGGCCGAAGGAGAAGUUUAAAGCUAGUAAGAAUCGUUGGGUGUUGGUGGCUCUGUGCUUGCGACAGGGAAGGAUAGGAAGUCAAGGGUUUUUUGUGUGCUUGUUACGGGAAAGUUUAAGAAGUCAAGGUUUUUUGUUUUCUAGUGGCUGCUUUGGUGAAGUGGCAUUUAGGAUAAAUGUUUUGUUUGGUUUAUAAUUUUUUAUUUUGUUUCAGAAUUUUUACAACUUAUCUUUGUAUAUUUUAAUUAUUUAUGUUAUUUUUGAAUAAUGGAUAAGGUAUCUUAUGGUGUUAAUAUAAGUAUGUAAUUACAUUUAACUUACUUAUUUAUUAGUAAUGUCAUAUUUAUAAAUUUUUUAAUUAAAUAAAUAUUUUUUUAAAGAUUGGCGAAUUUUUACGGAUUUACAAAAGUAAAUCCAUAUCCAAUCCACCGCUUGUGGAUUUUUAAAUUUUUAAUCCAAUUCAAUCCACCAAUCCACGGAUAAGAUUUUUACGAACCAAAUUUUUACGGAUCGGACGAAUUGAGCUGAUCGAACCGGAUUCUGAACACCCCUACUAUUGGGUUUCACUUUGUUUUACAUGAAUUUGGGAAAAAUACACGGAUAGACAAGGGAACAGUCAUUGUUAAGCUGUGAAGCUUGUGGAAGAUACCAUUGCCUAUUUGCAGCUUAAACUCCUGGAGCUUUGCUCAUGCUUUCUCUUUCCCACUUUCUCAUGGAACAGAUGUAUACAUCAUGAAAUGAAAACAACAGCACAAAUUGCUGUCUCGUAAGAGAAACAGUCAUACAUAGUAGGUUAGGCCUCAUGUCCAUUAACUUACUAAUGAAUUUUAUGAAAAUUGGCUAUCUCAUUGAAAUUACAUAGGUAUUGGAAACCCUUACUCCAGCUGCAUCAUCUCAUCAGUGAAAGCUGGAUUUUCCAUUUGUUCUUGAGAUUCAUAUUAAGGCAGCAAAUUGCUCAUCCCAUACUAUCUAUGUAAUCCUGUAAAAGGGAAGGGCGUUUAGAUGUGGAAAAACCUUACUCCUGCCGCUGCACCUCAAACAGAUUGCGAUCACACAAGACUUAGUUCAUCAUUAGUAGUAGUUGGAGCUUCCAUUUGUUCUUGAGAUUCAAAGGCAGCAAGCUGCUUCCUCAGUGCUACUAAUUCUUCCCCGGCAUUGCAUAUGUAGGCUGAGGCUUGUCUACCAGACAAAGUUGCUCCUUCCAUACUAUCUAUG
rnacentral:lncRNA from 1 species